UUUUACAAUAGAUGCAAAUCUACUGAGAAAAUGGUAAAAAAAGGUGUAUAUAAAAUGAGGCAAGUAACAGAAGUAUGAGUUAUCAGAUUAGAUUAAAAGUCACCCAAUUCAAUCUAUCAGAUUCCGUAAGGAUAUAACUGGAUGUCAUACCGCCAGUCCAUAUCCUCGAAAGUCUCUAGUCUUUGUCUCAACUCUGUCUGAGGCCAAUGUAAAUCCAAUUUGCACAAGCUCUUUAUGCACCAUAGCUCUUCUGGAAGCUUUCUCAAGUAAGCACAUGGGUUGACAAUUAAGCUUUCAAGUUUUGGCAUUGCUCUGCCCCCAUCGUCCACUCGUCUAGCCAAUACAUCGACUUCAGGUGCAAAAUCUUAAGUUCCGGAAAGCCAGCAGAGCCAACGCAGGCUAGCUUUCUUCCUAAAUACGAGUUCUGCUUCAGUUUCAGCACUUGAAGGCGUGGAAGCUUUUCCAGCAUUGGCAUGGGAUCCUCCAUUCGCUCAGUAUUUGAUAAGCUCAGUUGCAUCAUUCUUGGAGGAAAUUAGUAUUCAGACAGGACCAUCCGUGAGAGCUUGCUCUCAUUCACCAACUUCAAGCAUUCAACUUUGUGGAGUUUGCAUACGCUUUUGGAAACCCCAGAGUGAUAGCAACUCAAAUCUCCAGACACUCUAAGAGUUUGAAGAUUAGAUAGUCUGCACAAUAUAUCUGGCGUGCAACUACUAGGGUGUGAGGCUGAUAUGAAAAUAAGAUUUUUCAGAGAGCUGGAAUAAUUUUUUGGAGGUGCAGGCAGAGAGAUGGAACCAAAGUUCAGAUGCAUGAGUUUUUGCAUCUUCCAAAUAUCCUCUGGUGUUUGAUCUACGUAGCUAGAUGGCAUGUCUAGUGUUUGAAGGUUUGAAAGGGUGCAUAGCGGUGAAGGAAGACAUUUGAGCGAAGGGAUAUUCAAUUUCAAAUACUUCAAAUGGAAUAAAUUUUCUAAUCUGGGUGGAUAUUGGUCCAGGACUGCAGAACCCAUGUUCAAUACCCGAAGGUGUUUGAACAUUUUACAAAAAUUCUCGCAAUCUAUCGGAUUAAGAUGAUCGCUUUCUGAACUGUGAUUCAGAAAAAGAUUGGAGAUACAUGUCCGAAUGUUUCAAAGAAAAGAAUUCAAUCGGAUCAUCGAAAAUGAUGUACCGUUUGGCAUUUGCCAAUGAUUCAUCUUCGAAGUCAGGCGUCCGGACAAAUCCCAUCAUUGCUGCCGUCCCAAGUAACGCAGCAUAUGCAAAAGUUGGAACAUAACACGCCUUAAUUGUGCCUCCAUCUCUUCUCUUAUUUACUUGAAUGAAGCCAUGAUCGAUUAGUUCGUUCAAGUAAUGCUCGGCAGUUUCCUCACUGUUGUAUGGUAUGAAACCUUCAGCUACCCACAGCUGAUAUAAUUGCCUGGUAGAUAUCUCAAUGCCUGGAUGAAAGCUGAGGUUGUCCCUCGAUCAGUAAAUCAAACAAUUCCUCUGCCGCUUUCAAAUUCACUCUUAUCAAGCUGAAAUUGUCCCUCAAUCAAUAAGUGAGUGAAUUCGUUCCUUCGCUCUUUGAAAUCAAAACCAUUGUCUCUAGGCGGAAUUUGUUGCAACUGAUUUCUAAUAUCAAUGAUUUUACUGUGGAUUCCGACAAGAAGAGCAAUGAGUGAGAAAACAACUUGUUUGGUAACCAAAAAAGUAUUGAGAGAAAAUGUAAUGAUUCUGAGAAAUUGCUUUUAUUUCAAUUAAUCGAAUCCAGAGUAAAUGUACAGAGUUUCUUUAUAUACUAACGUAUCUACAUAGCUGAUAUUAGCUAAACUAAUUCAACCAGCUAAUCAUGCUUAACAACUUAUUAUAACUAACUAAAACUAAUAUUCACGUGUACAAGAAAUGAUGUAACCACCAGGUGCUAGCUGGCAUGCCAAGUCAUCAACUUGUAACCGUGAGCUGCAACUGUUACAAUCCUCUGCUUUGCUGACUAUCUGGCUCACAUGAGCUUCCUUAACAUCCCCUCUCAAGCUCAAGGGUCUGUUAACUACAUUGAGCUUGGAACGAAAAUAGCUAAAUUUUGGAAAAGAUAGAGGCUUAGUAAGAACAUCUGCCACUUGUUCUUCAGUAGGAAUAUAUCUAAUCUCUAACUCUUUGUUCAGAACCUUAUCUCUAAUGUAAUGAACAUCCAGCUCUAUAUGUUUGGUCUUGGAGUGGAAUAUUGGAUUUUUAGCUAGAUCACCUGCACUCUGAUUGUCACACCAGAGAAUAGGAGUUGGCAACUUGAUAAUUUUUAGCUCAGAAAACAAAGAUUGCAGCCAUGUAAGUUCAGAACUUGCUGCUGAUAAGGCUCGAUAUUCACUUUCUGUGCUAGACUUUGCCACAAUAGCUUGCUUUUUCGAAGACCAGGAAAUGAGAUUAUUACCAAGGAAAAUGUAGUAAGCUCCAAUGGAUUUCCUGUCAUCAGUGUCACAUGCCCAAUCAGCAUCUGAGUAUCCUGUCAACCCUAUUGUUUCCAAGGUUCCCUCUUGCUGAAUAUAGAGGCCAUAUGUAAUAGUUGCUUGAAGGUAUCUCAACACCUUUUUGCAGGCUAACCAAUGUUGGAGAGUUGGACCACUUAGAUACUGGCUAAGUUUAUGCACUGAGUAAGCAAUGUCUGGUCUAGUUAGAACCAAGUAUUGAAGCCCUCCAACUAUACUUCUGUAAAGAGUUGGAUUUUCAAAUUCUACACCCAAUGAGCCUUUAGCUAUUUUUUCUAAUUUGUAACCAGUGCUGAAAGGAGUUUCAGUUUCUUUACAGUUCUGCAUUGAGGCCUUGGUCAACAAAUCCUUGAUGUAUUUAGUUUGGGAGAGGUGCAUGCCAUGAUCUGUGUAGCUGACUUCUAUACCAAGGAAAUAUGAUACCAGGCCCAAGUCUUUUAAGGCAAAAGCUUUACUCAGCUUUGUGAUGAAUGCCUCCAGCAAGACUGAAUCUGGACCUGUAACUAAUAUAUCAUCUACAUAGAUCAAGACAAGGAUUAUGCCUUUAGUGUCAUGCUUGAUAAACAAUGAAGUGUCAGCCUUAGAAUUUGUGAAAUUCCAAUCUGUAAGACAGCCCUUAAGCUUAUCAUACCAGGCCCUUGGUGCCUGUUUUAAACCAUAAAGAGCUUUGUUUAGCUUACAGAUGUAUCCUCCCUCUGAAACAAAACCCUCUGGUUGUUGCAUGUACACAUCUUCAGUAAGAUCCCCAUUGAGAAAUGCAUUGUUGAUAUCUAUUUGUCUAACAUUCCAGCCUUGCAUAACUGCCAAACUCAAUAUAACUCUGACAGUUGAAGACUUGACUACAGGACUAUAAGUUUAUGAAUAGUCAACCCCAGCUGUCUGAUGGAAUCCUUUAGCAACAAGCCGAGCUUUAUGCUUAGAUACUGAGCCAUCUAAAUUAUACUUUGUUCUGAAGACCCAUUUGCAGCCAACCAGUUUAUGAGUAGGAUCCAUUGAAACUAGAUUCCAGGUUUUGUUUCUGAUAAGUGCAUCAUAUUCCAGUUGCAUUUUAUCUUUCCAUUUAGGAUCAGCUAAAGCUUCACCAACAUUAGAAGGUUCUAAACUGUUGUGUGCUGUCAAAAAUGCCUUAGGUUUGAAUAUACCAGCUUUAGCUCUGGUAGUCAUGGGAUGGACAGAGAUAGUAGGAUUGGAAAGUGAUAAAGAUGGUCUGGAAGGUGAUGUGUGUAAAGAAGCUUGAAAUGGUAUAGGAAGUUCUGGAGAAUUUUGAUGGAUGAUAGGUGAAGAUAUAGUGUUUGAAGUUGCUACUGGAGAUGUUGUGGGAAUGACAGGGGAGGUUAUGGUAUUAGUGGAUAAAAUAGAAUGAGUAGAAGAGGAAGGUAACAAGAUAUUGUGAUGAGAACUAGAAUUGUUAGAAUCAGUAUCUGCAGCAACAGCUUCAAAAGGUUUUAGAUUGCUAUUAGGAACUGAAACAUUAUAAAUAAAAACUUAUUAAAACCUAAUUUAUUUGGGAACCACAUAUUAAAACCUAAUUUAUUUGGGAACCACAUAUUAUUGGUCAGUAGUAUUUCUCAACUUAGCAAGUUAUUUCUAAUUUGUCCCUCUCUAUUAUUGGUUCUCUUAAAGCCAAUAGUGUCGCAUUUGAUAUCUUGCCAUUACCGUUGGCAUUAGCAUGUUACCUGAAAUUGGGAUUCAUUGAAAUCCUCAAUGUAAUCGGUGGAACGAAUGGAUUUCUUCUAUUCAUAAUUUGAUGAUUUUAAUUGAACUAGGAGAUAAAGUAAAAGAUAAAUGGUUGGUUUACUCCAAUUUCUGAAGUGCUUGUAUCUUUUUGGUUGAAUUCGUGCAGUUAAAUAAUCUCUACCAACAUAUGUAUGUAUGUAUGAAAUUGGAGUAACCAGACCUUUUCAAGAGUUAAAUAAUCUCUACCAACAUUGUAGAUUGCCCGAUAAAGUUAACUGUGUUACCCAGCUCCAUGCAUAUACAUUAAAUGCAUGUUUGGGUAGUUUUAUAAAAUGAUAACAGCACGUCAAAACUUGAUGAGUUAUAUUGUCAUAUUCGACAUUUUUAAAUUGAAAAAUUAGCAAGCAAUCUUCAGUGAACAUUACAAUUUUGUUCGCUCUACACCCCAUCAAUAUUUAAGCAAUCUACAGAUCAUUACUUGAGGAAAGAAACUCUUUGCGCCACUAGGCUUUUAACGAGGCUCAUUUCUAUGAAUCGGGAUAGCAUUAGAUAUCUCUCCGAAUACUGGUGGGAGUAGAUUGCAGAUCUCUGGGCUAUACUGCAAAGUGUAUGUACGUUGAUUGUCUGAUAUGAUUCAAAACAUCAGUCCAUGCAUCAUUUUAAUGAGAAAGAAUAUUCUGAGAUUAUUUAUGCAUCACCAUUUGUAGUUGUACUGACUAAUGAAAUUAAAGGUGCAAUCAGCAACUAAAAUGAAGCCAGAAAGACACGCAUGAGGCAGUUUUCCUAGAAGAUUUGAUAUUUCUUUGACUAGCAAACCAUACGAGUCCAAAGCUAGCCAAACCAUCCCUGCAAGUCCAGGGCUUAAAUGGAGUACAUCUAAGCAUAAAACAUUAAUCAAAACACAAUACGCACACACAGACCCCUACAUACAUACCAGCAAAUUCAAAAUAGAAAAAGGAGUGCAACUAUUCAAGUUUGUAGACAAUAUUGCAGCCAUGGCAUAUCAAAGCAAAUCCUUGAAAUGUGCUAAACAGAACAAUGCCCUGUCUCAUGAAUCGACGCUCAAUUACAAUUGAAAUUGAAAGUCCGGCUGGUGUUGUUUCCCUCUCCAGUUUUGCCUACAUAAGUAAAGGGAAAUAAGAAUCAUAAAUGAAAAUAUGCUUUGACAGUUCUUAUUAGAUAUAUAUAAAGGGAUCUUUCUUUGUUUCUCUGCUGCGAUGUGUGGUUAUCCCACUGUUUUUCCACUCAAGCUGAGUCUACGUUGAGACAUAAUUUUGACAUCAGAAGAUACCUCAAUUAGUUUGGCACUUUUACGAUAAACAUAAAUCUACUAAGAAAGUGCGGAAAAAAAGAAAAUGCAUAUAAAAGUAUGAUUUAUCAGAUAAGAUUAAAACUCACCCAAUUAAAUCCGUCAGAUUCCAUAAGGAUAUAACUGGAUGUCAUACCGCCGCUCCAUAUCCUCGAAAGUCCGUAGUCUUUGUCUCAGCUCUGUCUGAGGCCAAUGUAAAUCCAAUUUGCGCAAGCUCUUUAUGCACCACAGCUCUUCUGGAAGCUUUCUCAGGUAAGCACAUGGGUUGACAAUUAAGCUUUCAAGUUUUGGCAUUGCUCCUCUCCCCAUCGUCCACUCAUCUAGCCAAUACAUUGAUUUCAGGUGCAAAACCUUAAGCUUCGGAAAGCCACCAGAGCCGACACAGGCCAGCUUUCUUCCUAAAUACGAGUUCUGCUUCAGUUUCAGCACUUGAAGGUGCGGAAGCUUUUCUAGCGUUGGCAUGGGAUCCUCCAUUAGCUCAGUAUUUGAUAAGCUCAGUUGGGUCAGACUUGGAGGAAAUUGGUAUUCAGACAGGACCAUCCGUGAGAGCUUGCUUUCAUUCACCAGCUUCAAGCAUUCAAGUUUCUGCAGUUCGCAUAGGCUUUUGGAAGCCCCAAAAUGAUAGCAAGUCAAAUCUCCAGAUAUCCUUAGAGUUUGAAUAUUUGGUACUCUGCCCAAUAUAUCUGGAAUGCAACUACUAGGGUGCAAGGCUGAUAUGAAAAUGAGAUUUUUCAGGGAGCUGCAAUAAUUAUUUGGAGGUGCAGGCAGAGUGAUGGAACCGAAGUUUAGAUGCCUGAGUUUUUGCAUCAUCCAAAUAUCCUCUGAUGACUGAUCUAUGUAGCUAGAUGGCAUUUCUAGUGCUUGAAGGUUUAAAAGGGUGCAUAGCAGCGAAGGAAGGCAUUUGAGCGAAGGGAUAUUCAAUUUCAAGUACUUCAAAAAAUAUAAAUUUUCUAAUCCGGGUGGAAAUUGGUCGAGAACUGCGGAACCCAAGUUCAGUACCCGAAGGUGUUUGAACUUUUUACAAAAGUUCUCGCAAUCUAUCAGAGCGAGAUGAUCGCUUCGUGAACUGUGAAGCAGAAAAGAAUGGAUAUACUUGUCAGAAUAUUCUGGAGGAAAGAACUUAAUCAGACGAUCCAAAAUGAGAUACCGUUUGACAUUUGCCAGUGGUUCCUCUUUCAUGUCAGAUAUCCGGACAAAUUCCGUCUUGUCCGCCACCAAAUACAGUGAAAUAAAUUCAAAACUUGGAACAUAACACGCUUUGAUUGUGCCGUUGGCUCUUCUCUUACUCACUUGAAUGAAGUCGCGGUGGAUUAGUUCUUUUAACCCUCAGCUAUCCACAACUGACAUAAUUGCGUGGUAGAUAUCUCAAUGCCGGGGCGGAAGACACACAAAUAGAUGCAGCAGACUUUCAAGUAAAAAGGUAACUCCCCCACAGAACAAGUUCGACUGAAAACUGUCAAAUUUAUUUUUUCAUUCAUAUAAUUUUCUGAUGGCGCACUUCCAUAGUGUAGGACGAAAAAUUGCCAGGCCUCAUGCUCUAAUCUGAUCAAUGGUCCUUCAAUGAGCACUGAAUCAAGCCGAAUCUUCUCUCCGUUUUCCAUUUCCAACGACGUAAGGAGUUCUGGAUCAGUGAAAUAUCAAUACUCUGCUUCCAUUCCGAUUAUCAGGAAGAACUUCUUCAAGAUCAUCCCAUAUCUCAAUGUUAUCGCAGACAUCAUCAAGCACAAUAAAGUACUUCUUGUUUGUUAGGUAAUCUUGAAGAAUAGAUUUCUUCAAUUGAUAAUCUUCACCGAUAAUUACACUAACCCGAGAUGGAGGCAUCACGGACUUGAUUAUGUCAUCCAAUAUCUUGCCAAAAUCGUAGAGUGAAGAAACCCUGACCCAAGCAAAACCGUCAAAAUAGAACUUGACGUGAUUAUUAUUGUAAGUAUCUGCAGCAAAAGCAGUCUUAUCGAUGCCACGGCUGUCGAGAAUUGCAACCACUGCAAGCCGAGGAUGUCCUUCUAUCAAUAAAUCAAACAACUCCUCUCUGCCCCUUGCAAAUUCAUUGAUAUCAAGCCGAGGUUGUCCCUCACUCAAUAGGCGAAUGGUUUUGUUACAUUGUUCAGUGAUAUCAAAAUCAUUGUCGCCGGGUGGAAGUUGUUGCAUCCGAUUUCUAAUAUCAAUGAUUUCACUGUUGAGUCCAUCAAGAAGAGUCGUAUUAGUACUGCUGUCACUUUCGUUUUCACUGUUUUGCUGCUGCAUGAUUUUGAUGAAGAAUGUGUCAAUGGCUUCCUCAGAUUCACGGACAAAGUCAUUGAUGUCGUUCAGAAUUUCCAGAAUGUCUGCCCUUUUAACAUCUUCUUCAUCGCUUUUUUCUAAGUCCAACAGUUGCAAAGAAGGUAAAGAUAUUUCGGUGUCAUCGAAUUCUUCUCUAAUGAGUUGAAACAAAUCCGAGCCAUGUCAGAGUCAUAGUUUCCCAGCAGUGGUAACAAUAAUUUUGGACUCCGUAAGAAGGUUUUGAAAAAGUGGGGUUAAAUUUGUUGAAUCAGGCAGCGUUAACGGGUCUUCUUCACCUGCUAACACCCUUUUCAACCUCUCACAAAAUAGUCGGAGGUGGACGUCCAGCAUAUCUCAUUCUCUCCGUAGCACCCAGACGUAUUGUUAUUUGCUCCAACAAAUGUUAAAAGGAUUGGUUCUAUCUCAAAGUGGUUUGUGGUGUAAAAUUAAACACUAUGGGAGAAUUUGAAAGGAAGAUGCCAAGAAACCGUGUAAGUGGCUAAUUUCCACAAAUAUGACAUUAUUGCUCAUUUUUAACUCAAAAAAAUGAUAUGCGUUCAUUUAGAGAAAAGUCCAAGACGCUUGCCUUUUAAAAAGAACAGGUAUCCCUAUGCAACCUUUAUCUUAUUUAAUUACUACCAUAUGGUACUUAAAUCUAUUGUUUCUUUUUUAAUUUAAAGAAUUUUUCAUUAAAAAACUAUUUUAAUAUCAAAAUGCCUUCAAUGGCAUAGCUGCCGCAAGCCCAGUAUGAAUUAACAGGAUGAAUUAAAAAUUUUAGAAUUUUUGGGCAUGGAAAGAGUAAUAUUAAACAUUAGAAAGCUAAGCUUGUUCUGUUAAAGAAUUGAUAUUGACAUAAUUUUAUUUUGGUUUUCGGGGAAAAAAAUUAUUCGUUGACAAGCAAGAAACAUUUUUAAUUUUUAAAAUUUAUUAUGCAUAUUUUAUCAUAGUAAAGUAAUUUUAAUAAUAAAUAGAAACAUAAUAUUACAGUAAAUAAAUUAAAGUUUAAAUUAUUUUGAAUGUUAUAAAAAAUAAUUUUAAUAUUAUUAAUAGAAGACAUUUUCUUAAUUUUAAAAUCUUUUUAACCCAAAGGUUUAUUUAAAAUCUUUCUAAUAAAUACAAAUAUAAAAUUAAAAUAAAUAUCAAAAUUUGAAAUUUUUAAUAUUAAAAUUACUUUAAUGUUGUUAGUGACUGUUCGGUACAGCUUAUUUAAUGGCUAUAAGUGCUUAUUUAAUGUCAUAAUGUCAUGGGAUGAGUGUUUUGCACAGCAAAUCCAUGCGGUACUUAGACAACUUUGCCGAAUGUUGCUAAGUAAGCCUUGAGCUUCUCGAACUAGCUAAGCCUAGAGGUUUUCGAAGAGCUAGAGAGAAGAGAGCAAUGAAGCCGAAUGAAGAGAAUUGUAUUACUAACAAGAGAGAUUACAAGAGAGCUUACAAGUGUUUGAGUUGCUUGUACUAAGCUUGUUGCUCAAAUGUCUAAUGCCAUCCCAUAUUUAUAGGGGAGGCUUGCCAAGCUCUAGAGAUUCUAGAGAAUUCUACCAUUUAUAUGUGCCGGAAUUCUAUGGAGUAUUCUAGAGUAUUUACAAGCUCAAAUGCCUUUUAAAAAGAAUAUGUAUACAAUGGCAAUCCAUACUUUAUAAAAUUGAUGGUGAUUACAAAGAAAAAUUGUUUAAAAUAGAUUUAAUGCACAAAUAUGAUGACUUUUGGCAAAAAUUAGUUUCGGAAAUGUUGGGAUGAAAACCAUAUUAAUUGAGAAUUAAAAUUACUUAAUAAAAUUACUUAACUACCAUCUAAUAGAUGAAAACCAUAUCAAUUGAGACUUAAAUUAAGAUUUAAAUGUUGAAAUAUCUAGCAUUACUCACAAUAACCAAUUCAAAUUAUGACUAUCAUGUAGAAGCAAAUGUUUAUGCUUGGGUUUUUUACUUCUUGAAUUUGAUUGGAAAAUUUUCUGAGAUAGAGAAGUGUUUUGGAUAAGCUUUACGGGAUUGAAACCACAAAUUGGUAGAGGAAAUUAAUUUUGGACAAAUUUUUCUUAUAUUGUAGGACCUUCUAGUUGGAGUAGUGAUGCCUUUGUCUUCAUUUUUGGUUCCUUUUGUGUCGGCAGCCCCUUACUAUUCUCUUGACCCUGAGUUUGAGAUAGAAAUUUAUCAACCUCCAACCCCACAUCCACAAACAAGUUGAUUGAAACAAUUACUCUUUUAAUUAAGAGGACCCAAAUGAUUUAGGUUUCAGUUCUUAUCAUUUGUCUAUUAUUUCUUUGAAACAUUUAUUUUGAGCGUUACUGAUCUUAAUUAUCUGUAUUUCUCCAAUUAUUGAAGAAUUUCAAGUGGCCACUUUUUCUCCUUUUUAUAUAUGUUUAUUUUUUGGAGUGAUCAAACGGGUGCAAAAUCAAGUAUUCGCUGGUCUGUAGUUUAGCCAACGAUGGCUGAUCCACACAGUUGAUUAUAUGAUACUAUUAGCUCUCAAAAUCUUUCUUAUUUGAGAACAUAAAUUGCCCAUUGAAGUUAAACUAUGUUACCCAGCUCCAUGCACAUACAUUAAAUGUUUAGGUAGUUUUACAAAAUGAUAACAGCAUGCCAAAACUUGAUGUUGUCAUAUUCGACAUUUCAAAUUGAAAUAUAUGCAAGCAAUCUUCAGUGAACAUUACGUGUUUAUUGAAUAAUUUAAAUGGCCAGUAAAUCAACAGUCCGUGAGUUUUAAAUCUAUUAUGACUUAAUGUAUCUUUCUGUAUUUGUACACGUGUUAUAUUAUCAUAGUUUAAAAUUUUAAUAUUAUUUUAAAUGUUAAAAAUACUUUAAUGCUAUUAGUCUACUACACAGGUUAUAUUAUUUAUAUUAUAUUUGUAUUAAUUAAAACUUUUAAUGUCAAUUUUCUAAUUACUAUAUUGAAAAGGUAUUAUGGUUAAGAAAAAGUUUUGGCAUUUCUUCUUGAAAAUUUGAGGGUUUUCCAAAUUCUAAGGGUAUAGGUUUGAAAAUUUAACGAUCUUUAACUUAAUGAAACAAAAGAGGGAAAUCAAGAACUAUUCAAUUUUGUAUUUUUUGUUUGUAAUUCAAAAAAUACAUCCACCAAACAAGUUUUACGCAUUAAUGCUGUCAUAAAACGAAAAACAGUUUGCCAAAAAAUGGUACCAAACAUGUCCUUAAUGUCUCACAUGAUUUCUUAGUAAGUCCAUAUUAGAUAUAUUUAUACAUUUUAGGUAUUUUAGUUAUAAAAGAAGUUGGACCUCCCCCUGUUUAUAAAAAAUAACUUUAUUUCGAGAUUACCACUAAACUCUUACAUAGAAUUAGUGUAAUGUUAAGAGAGAGUAACACAGUUUUCCAUUACCAUCUUUGAAAAUAGAGAGAUAUGGAUGCGUGCAUUUAAGAGUUACCGUGAAAAUCAUACAAUUCAAUUUCCUGACAUAUAUAUUCAUGGACCAGCACCGAUAUUCUCACACCAAUGAGCACCACAGUUAGCACAAAACGGUUCGUUUUGUGCUAACUAUAAAAGAUUUAACUGUAGCUUGAAAACGCAGACUCAUCUUGCUCAAACGCAGACCACACACGCGCUCGAGUUUCUAAAACGCAAACGCAAACGCAAACUACACACACACUCAUCUUACUGGACCACAACACUCUCUCUCACCGUGGGUCUCUCCACAUUUGGCUUGGCUGUCAGUUGUUUCUCUCCCAACCCCGUGGAUUGCAUUCUCACGGCACUUCUGGAAUUUGAGACUUAGCUGCAGCUUCACUCUCUCGGCUGUCGGAAUUGAUUUGUGGAGGUAAUUUAUGCAAACGCAAACCACACACACACUCAUCUCAGUUGACCACAACACUCUCGCUCGCCGUGGGUCUCUCCACAUUUGGCUUGGCUGUCAGUUGUUUCUCUCUCCACCCCGUGGAUUGCAUUCUCACGACACUACUGGAAUUUGACACCUAGCUGCAGCUUCACUCUCUCGUUAUGAAUUUAUGUUAAUUUUGCUGUCUUCAGAACUGCCUGUUGUGGUCGAGUACAAGAUUGCGGAGAUGGGUUAUGUUAGAUUCUACUUGACACCAAGAUAGAAGAAGAUGAGGAUGAGACCAAGCCUCUAGCUUAAGUGUCAUUUGGUACAUAUGCUAUGGCAUUUUGUUGAAUCGAGUUACUCCUACAUUUUAAGUUUGCUUUUAGAAUAUUUCUCGUAAAUUUUCAUGUUGAAAAACCAAUCAUUUGUAGUUAAGUAGAUUGAUAAGAAUUCGUUUCUUGUGCUUGGUUUUUUAUCCUACUGUUGCACAUGGCCAGACAGCUGGUUGCACAUCAGAUUCAAGAGCUGUAAAUUUUGAGGCUGAGGAAUCUCAGCUGGGAUUUCAUGUGAUAACAUAUUAUCAGAUAGAUCCAGCAACUGCAAUGAAGUAAUGUUGCCAAUUUCCGCAGGAAGCUUGCCUUGAAAGUUGUUCUGAUACAAAAACAUUAUCUCCAAUAGCUCAAGCCUCCCAAGUUCAGCUGGAAUCUCCCCACCAAGAUUACCAACGGCCAAAUCAAGAUACUUCAGGUUGGUAAGAUUCCCAAAUUCCACUGGGAUUUCACCUUCAAAUUCAUUGUAUCCAAGAAUCAUAGUCUCCAUGGAUGAAAGUUGCCCAAGCUCUCGCGGUAUCUUGCCAGUGAGAUUAUUCCCAGAUAGAUUGAUAAGAAUUCGUUUCUUGUGCUUGGUUUUUUAUCCUACUGUUGUACAUGUAAUUGAUUCAUUUGUAAUCUUUGUUGCUUUCAAAGGUAGGCUUCAAUUGAGUUGAAACUUUAAAAAAUUUAUAAAAAAUGAACCGCAAAUAAAAGAUAGCAUCAUAUUGGGUGACAAAAUGUUCUCGAGGAUGAUCCUGAUUAAUGCUGUGUAUUUCGCAAUGUAAUUACUUGCUGAUCAAUUUAAUUGAAUUGAUUAACACAUUGGUUUGAGUUUUGAUACUGCUGCUCUGUUUUUGGGUUAUUUGAAGAUCGCAUUUUUGCAGGAACUGGUAAAUUGGACACGUUAACAAAAACUUCUCACGUAUUACUGAAAUAAUAACUGUUAUAUUUCAGCCCUUAUGCACAGAACACAAUGGUUGCAAGCAAAUCAACUCAUAACUUACACAAUGGUUGCAAGCAAAUCAAUUCAUAACUUGUAAAUAAAUAAACCCCAAAAAAUUGGGCAUUAAUUUCCAUUUUCCAGCAUAUAACAAUUUCUAGCAGCAAGUUUUAACAGCAGAUAACUUCCGACAACAACUCAUCCCAAAAUCAGCAACUCAUAACUCACAACACAAUAGCAUUUUGCUAAUUUCCAAUAGCAAGAUGCGUGAGAGAGACCCACGACGAGAGAAAGCCGAAGGAGAGAGCAGCGAGAUGCGCGAGAGGCCAGAUGAGAGAGACCCACGGUGAGAGAGAGAGCCACAGCCGAAGAGUGACCCACGCUCAAGAGAGAGAGCCACAGCCGAAUAGAGACCCACUCUUGAGAGAGAGAGAGAAAACCAAAGGAGAGAGCAAUCCCACGAUCCGUUUUGUGAGGCGAGUGUGUGAGGAGAGUGUGUUAGUUUUGAAGCUACAGUAUUUUCUUUUAGAGUUAGCACAAAACGAUGGUGCUAACUGCUAAGCGUGGUGCGUUUCUCAUUUUCCAUUCAUGGCCGUAUGCCAAAAGAAUAAAUAGACAGAAAGUAAAUUUACAGUCCUCACUUCCUCACAAUUGUUAACGUGAAGAUGCAUUACAACCGUGAACUGUCACUACUUUAGCCUUUUUUUUUUUUUCAAUUAUGGUGUGAUGGAGACAUUAAGGAUGAGCAUAAAAGUUAAAGAUGACUCAUUUUCUUUUUAAAGUGCUCUGCUGAAAGCCAAACUUCCUUUGGCUAAUUAAUUUAGAAGUAAAGCAGAGAAUAAAGUCUUAGAUGCCUUCUGAAAUUAGAAAUACAUUUUAUAUGCUUUAAUUAUGAUUAUUUGGUAGACUAAAGACCUAAAAGAUAUGUCAAAAGUAUAAAACAGAGCGAUUAAAGAAAAAAAGAAAAAAAAAAAACAGAGUAUUUGUGACGUAGAAUAACAAUUGGUAAAUAAAUCCUAAAUAUUUGAGUUGUUUAAAGCAAAUAUAACAGAGACGGUAAGAGAGAUGCAGAAACAGAAAACUAUUAGCCCUCUAUAUUCAUUUUCGAUGCUUUUCAAUCGAGAUUCUUUUAAUUCUUCUGGUGUCUGCAGCCCCGGCUCCUCUUAUAGAUCUCCAUCCCACAUCUGCACUACGAACAAGUUGAUUAAAGUUAAAUAAUGUUGGAGAUGUGGGGUGAGCCGUCAAUUUGGUAAAAAAUAUUAUGUAUAAUAUUGUUAAUAAUAUAAAAUAUAUAAUAAUAAUUACAAAGAAUCAUAAAUUAGAAAAAUUAAUUAUUUUACAAUCUAUUUCUUAAGUAAGAUAGAUCUCGUAAUAAGUUAAGUUAUAAUGUAAAAAAUAUUUUCAAUUUAUAAUCAUUUAAGAAGUCAUUUAACAAUAAAAUUUUUCUUUUUUUGAUCAAUUGGUCAUGCUACAGAGUAUCAUCUAUAUUCGUAGUGAUAUUAUUAUUACUCCGUAUUCUCAAAAAACCCGAUUUAACAUUUAGAAAAAGUUCCUACCUUUUAAAAAGAACAUGUAUGCAACAGCUACCCAUACUUUAUCUUACCACGACAAAACUAAUAGGGACUAAAUCAAAUUUCUCGAAUAAAGCAAAAUUUCUUAAAAUUAAUUUAAUAUACAAAUAUGAUGACUUUUUGCAAAAAUUAGUUUUGGAAAAUUAGUGACAGAAAAUAGUAACGAUUAUUAUUUAGAUGUGUAAAUAGCCUAAACAUGAUCCCUAGUACCAAUAUCCACGUGCAUCUUAACAUCUUUCGUCAUAUUCUUUCAUUCAUGGCCACUGGUUCAAGAUUUGAAUUUGAUCAUUAAAUCAUGUUCAAUAAUAUUAGAGAUUCCAACAAUUGAGCACCAACUUAAAUCCCAAUGCUAUGUGUCAUUAACAAAUGUUGUGUCAUUUAUAAUUAUUGAAUGAAUAAUUCGUUAAUUUAUUGAUAAACAAAAAUUUAUUAAUUUAAAGAGAGAUUUUUUUUUUUGGUUUUAAGAAGAGUUUUGCUGGUACAUGUACAUACUUAUAAAGAAAUAAACUUGUAAUUAUACUAUAUCUUUCUUUCUUUGUUUAUUUUGGUGGGAUAUUGUGAUAAAUCAUUGGAUUAAAAUGCAUUUAAAAAUAAAACUUGUUAAAAUCUAAUUUAUUUGGAAAACGCAUAUUAUUUGUCAGUCGUACUUCUCAACUUAGCAAGUUAUUUCUAACUUGUCAGUCUCUAUUGGUUCUCUAAAAGCUAAUAGUCUCGAAUCUCCCGGAUUUGAUAUCUUGCCAUUACUGUUGGCAUUAACAUGUUACCUGAGAAAUGAUAUUUUUUGUGGUGUUGAUAAAGAGGUUAAAUAUGAUUCAACAAUUUAAAAUAUGAAAACAUAUGGAAGACGGCCGCAAUUAAAUUGAUUGUAUGAAAAUAUUUCAAUGAAAUUUUAAAAAUUUGGUACUUGUUAUCUUAUCGAGAGUUUUUUUAAAUUAUAUUACUACUUGAACUUAACUGCUUUUGUAUUGAAUUCCUAGCGUUGCCAUUGCUUCUACUCAAAAGCCAUUUAAGUUUGUGUAAGCUACGUAUAGUUUGAACAACAAUUUACUCAUGAAUUGUUGUUCACAAUAGCAAGUCGGGGGUUUAAAUGGAGUACUUCUAAGCAUAAAACAUUGAUUAAAACAGAAUACACACAUACAUACCAGCAAAUUCAAAAUAGCAAAAGGAGUGCAAAAGUUCAAAUUUGUAGACAACAUUGCAACCAUGGCAUGUUUAUAGCAAAUCCUCGAAAUCUGCUAAAUAAAACAAUGCCCUGUCUCAUGAAUCAAUGCUGAAUUAAAAUUGAAACUGAAAGUCUGGCUGGCGUUGUUUCCCUCUCCAAUUUUGCCUACAUAAGUGAAAAUAAGAAUAAUAAAUGAAAAUCUGCUUUUACGGUUCUUAUUAGAUAGAUAAAAGGGGGAUCUUUCUUUGUUUCUCUGCUGCAAAGUGUGGCUAUCCCACUCUGUUUUGCCACCCAAGCUGAGUCUAUGUUGAGACAUAAUUUUGACAUCAGAAGCAAUCUCAAUUAGUUUGGCACUUUUAUGACCUCCUUGAAGGUUUUACGAUAAACAUAAAUCUACUGAGAAAGUGAGAAAAAAAAAGAAAAUGCAUAUAAAAAUAUGAGUUAUCAGAUAAGAUUAAACUUCACCCAAUUCAAUCCAUCAGAUUCCGUAAGGAUAUAACUGGAUUUCAUACCGCCACUCCAUAUCCUCGAAAGUCCGUAGUCCUUGUCUCAACUGUGUCUGGGGCCAGUGUAAGUCCAAUUUGCGCAAGCUCUUUAUGCACCACAGCUCUUCUGGAAGCUUUCUCAAGUAAGCACAUGGGUUGACAAUUAAGCUUUCAAGUUUGGGCAUUGCUCCAGCCCCCAUCGUCCACUCAUCUAGCCAAUACAUUGAUUUGAGGUGCAAAACCUUAAGUUCGGGAAAGCUACUCAAGCCAACACAAGCAAGCUUUCUUCCUAAAUACGAGUUCUGCUUCAGUUUCAGCACUCGAAGGCGUGGAAGAUUUUCCAGAAUUGGCAUGGGAUCCUCCAUUAACUCAGUAUUUGAUAAGCUCAGUUGGAUCAGACUUGGGGGAAAUUGGUAUUCAGACAGGACCAUCCGUGAGGGCUUGCUCUCAUUCACCAGCUUCAAGCAUUCAAGUUUGUGGAGUUCGCAAAGGCUUUUGGAAACCCCAGAUUGAUAGUAACUCAAAUCUCCAGAUAUCCGAAGAGUCUGAACACUAGGUAGUCUGCCCAAUAUAUCAGGAGUACAACUACUAGGGUUUAAAGCUGAUAUGAAAAUGAGAUUUUUCAGAGAGCUAGAAUAAUUUUUUGGAGGUGCGGGCAGAGUGAUAGAACCAAAGUUUAGAUGCAUGAGUUUUUGCAUCAUCCAAAUAUCCUCUGGUGACUGAUCUAUGUAGCUAGAUGGCAUUUCUAGUGUUUCAAGGUUUAAAAGGGUGCAUAGCAGUGAAGGAAGGCAUUUGAGCGAAGGGAUAUUCAAUUUCAAAUACUUCAAAAGAUAUAAAUUUUCUAAUCCGGGUGGAUAUUGGUCCAGGACUGCAGAACCCAAAUUCAAUACCCGAAGGUGUUUGAACUUUUUACAAAAAUUCUCGCAAUCUUUCGGAUUAAGAUGAUCGCUUGCCGAACUGUGAUUCAGAAAAGAUUGGAGAUACAUGUCAGAAUGUUCUAAAGAUAAAAACCCAGUCAGAUCUUCGGCAAUGACGCACCGUUUAACGUUUGCCACUGGCUCCUCUUCCCCGUCAUGCAUCAAGACAAAUUCCGUCUUCUUUGCCACAAAAUACAAUGAAGUAUAUACAAAACUUGGAACAUAACACGCUUUAAUUGUGCCUCCGGCGCUUCUCUUACUCACUUGAAUGAAGCCGCGACGGAUUAGUUCUUUCAUGUAAUGUUCGGCAGUUUCUUCACCGUUGUAUGGUAUGAAACCUUCAGCUACCCACAACUGAUAUAAUUGCUCCGUAGAUAUCUCAAUACUUGGAAGGAAGACACACAAAUAGAUGAAGCAGACUUUCAAGUGAAAAGGUAACUCCAUCACAGAAAAAAUUUGUCUCCAAACUGUCGGAAUCGCUUCGCCUUGAAGAUAAUUUUCUAAUGGCAUACUUCCAUAGUGUAGGAUGAAAAAUUGCCAGGCUUCAUGCUUUAAUCUGAUCAAUGGUCCUCCAAAGAGCACUGAAUCACGCCGAAUCUUCUCUCCGUUUUCCAUUUCUAACGACGCAAGGAGGUGUGGAUCACUGACCAACAUCAAUACUCUGCUUCCAUUCUGAUUAUCAGGAAGAACUUCUUCAAGAUCACUCCAUAUCUCACUGUCAUCGAAGACAUCAUCAAGCACAAUAAAGUACUUCCUGUUUGUUAGGUAAUCUCGAAGAAUAGAUUUCUUCAAUUGAUAAUCUUCCCCGAUAAUUACACUAACCCGAGAUGGAGGCAUCACAGACUUGAUUAUGUCAUCCAAUAUCUUGCCAAAAUCGUAGGUUAUAGAAACCCUGACCCAAGCAAGACAGUCAAAAUAGAACUUGACGUGAUCAUUAUUGUAAGUAUCUGCGGCAAAAACAGUCUUGUCGAAGCCACUGCUGUCGAGAAUUGCAACCACUGCAAGCCCAGAUGGUCCCUCAAUCAAUAGAUCAAACAACUCCUCUCUGCCCCUUUCAAAUUCACUGAUAUCAAGCCGAGGAUGUCCCGCACUCAAUAGGCGAAUGAUUUCGUUACUUUUUUCACUGAUAUCAAAACCAUUGUCGCCGGGUGGAAGUUGUUGCAUCCGAUUUCUAAUAUCAAUGAUUUCACUGUGGAGUCCAUCAAGAAGAGCCAUAUUAGUGCUGCUUUCACUUUCGUUUUCACUGUUUUGCUGCUGCAUGAUGUUGAUGAAGAAUGUGUCAAUGGCUUCCUGUGAGUCACGGACAAAGUUAUUGAUGUCCUCCAGAAUUUCAAAAAUAUCUGCUGUUUCAACGUUUUCUUCAUCGCUUUCUUCUAAGUCCAACAGUUGCAAAAAAGGCAAAGAUAUUUUGGAGUCAUCGAAAUCUUCUCUAAUGAGUUGAAACAAAUGCCGAGCCAUGUCAGCUUCAUAUUUUCCCAGCAGAGUAGUAGCAAUAAUUUCGGACUCCGUAAGAAGGUUUUGAAAAAGUGGAGUUAAAUUUGUUGAAUCUGGCAGCGGCAACGUGCCUUCUUCACCUGCUAACACCCUUCUCAACCUCUCACAAAAUAGUCGGAGGUGGACGUCCAGCAUAUCUCCUUCUCUCUGUAGCACCCAGAGGUAUUGUUUUUUGCUCCAAGAAAUAUUAAAAGGAUUGGUUCUAUCUAAAAGUGGUUACUGGUGUAAAAUUAAACGCCAUGGGAGAAUUUGAAAGGAAGAUGCCAAGGAACUGGCGAAGUGGCUAAAUUCCACAAAUACGGCAUUAUUGCUCAUUUUUAACUCAAAAAAUUGAUACGCGUUCAUUUUGCGAAAAGUCCAAGACGCUUGCCUUUUGAAAAGAAGAGGUAUCCAAUAGAUAUCCAACCUUUAUCUUAUUUUAAUUACUACCACGACAUGAUUGAUGGUGGUUAAAUCAAUUGUUUCUUUUUUAAUUUAAAGAAUUUUUCAUUAAAAAAUAUUUUAAUAUCAAAUUGCCUUCAAUAGCGUAACUGCCGCAAGCCCAGUAACAGGAUUAAUUAAUUUUUUUUGAAUUUUUGGGCAUGGAAAGAGUAGUAUUAGACUUCAGAAAGCUAAGGUUGUUAUGUUAAAGAAUUGAUAUUGACAUAAUUUUAUUUUGGCUUUCGGGGAAAAAAAUAUUUGCUGACAAGCAAGAAAAUAUUUUUGUAUUUUACAAUUUAUUAUACAUAUUUGAUCAUAUUAAAGUAAUUUUAAUAAUAAAUAGACACAUAAUAUUACAAUAAAUAAAGUAAAGUUUAAAUUAUUUUGAAUAUUAUAAAAAAAUAAUUUUAAUAUUAUUAAUAGGAAGACAUUUUGUUAAUUUUAAAAUCUUUUUAACCUAAAGGUUUAUUUAAAAUCUUUAGAAAUCUCCAUCCCACAUCUACCCUAUUAAACAAGUUGAUGGAAAUUGAACAAUUGCUUUUUAAAGUGGGACCCAUUGAGUUAUGUUCAUUACUGGUCAUUGUCUAUUCUUUCUAAGAGCCACUUGUUUUGAGCAUUAGCAAUCCUAUCUGGACUACUCCAAUUAUUGAUGUAACUCCAAUGGUUGCAUCGACAGUUGAAUAUAAGAGGAUGGUCCAUCGACAAUUUCUUUGUUUCUCCGUUGCAGCGUAUUAGUAUAAAUUUCUUUACCUAACAGUUCAUACAGUCUUCCUGUUAAUGAAUUCACUGAGGCAUUAUUGAUACAAUGUGCUUUUCGCUAAUUAAUUAUGAUUAUAUACGCUUUCAUAUAGCAAGUGGCAUUGUAGAUCUAAACUAAGUUGCUAUUUCAAUACGUUAAUUAAGUGAUUCUCCUCAUUGUCAUCAGCAUUAUACCCUCUAGGAAAAUAGCUCAAUUGUUUCUCUGCAUUGAUUUUCAUUGGUAAGUGAUUUCUUAUGAAAUUCUUUUGAGCUUUCCUUAUUAAAAAUGCUUGAGCUUUUAUCACCUAAUACGGAUAUCAAUUAACUUGUGAACGAUUUUGUAAUGAAACUAGGAGUUAAAUAAGAUUUUUACAUGAUGAUCAACUUGUUAAUUUUGUAUAUUUCAUAUUCAACAGGAUUUGGGCACGGAACGUUUGGAUUCUAAUAUUUAUAUAUUUAGUUUUAAUCAGUUUGACUUUCGUAAUCUUUCUCGCCUCAUCAUUAAGGGAUUAAGAAUUAGAGAAACAUUAGAAACAGGAAGAAAAUAACUUCAGAAAUAAGUAAGAGGGAAUCCAAUGAGAAAUAUGAUAAGAGAACGUCAAUUACUUGUCAUUUUCUAUUUUUUCUAUGAGAUAUUUAUUUUGAGCAUUAGUUAUAGCAAAUCCUUGAAAUCUACUAAACAAAACAAUGCCCUGUCUCAUGAAUCGAUGUUGAAUUACAGCUGAAAUUGAAAGUCUGGCACCAGUUAUAGCAAAUAUUGAAUUACAAUAUUUCCCUUGCCAAACCGUACCUGCAUGUGGCAACGUGCCUUCUUCACUUGCUAACACCCUUUUCAACCUCUCACAAAACAGUCGGAGGUGGAAUUCCAGCAUAUCUCCUUCUCUCCGCAGCACUCAGAGGUAUAGUUGAAAGAUUAAACACCAUGGAAGAAUUUGAAAGGAAAAUGCCAAGAAACUGUGUAAGUGGCUAAAUUCCACAAAUAUGACAUUAUUGCUCAUUUUUUAACUCAAAAAAAGGGUACGCGUUCAUUUAGAGAAAAGUCCAAGACGCGUGCUUUUUAAAAAGAACAGGUAUCCAACCUCUAUCUUAUUAAAUUACAACCAUGACAUAAUUGAUGGUGCUUAAAUCAAUUGUUUCUUUUUUAAUUUAAAGAAUUUUUCAUUAAAAAAAUAUUUUAAUAUCAAAUUGCCUUCAGUGGCGUAACUGCCUCAGGCCCAGUAACAGGACUAAUUAAAAAUUUUACAAUUUUUGGGCAUGGAAAUAGUAGUAUUAAACAUUAGAAAGGUAAGGUUGUUCUGUUAAAGAAUUGAUAUUGACAUAAUUUUAUUUUGGUUUUCGUGGAAAAAAAAUUUGUUGACAAGUAAGAAAAUAUUUUUAUUUUUAUAAAAUUUAUUAUGCAUAUUUAUCAUAUUAAAGUAAUUUUAAUAAUAAAUAGAAACAUAAUAUUACAAUAAAUAAAUCAAAGUUUAAAUUAUUUUGAAUAUUAUAAAAAAUAAUGUUAAUAUUAUUAAUAGGAAGACAUUUUGUUAAUUUUAAAAUCUUUUUAAUCCAAAGGUUUAUUUAAAAUCUCUAUAAUAAAUACAAAUAUAAGAUUAAAAUAAAAAUCAUAAUUUGAAAAUUUUAAUAUUAUUUUAAAUGUUAAAUAUACUUUAAUGUUAUUAGCCUACUACGUAAAUUUUAUUAUUUAUAUUAUAUUCGUAUUGAUUAAAAUUUUUUAAAGUCAAUUUUUUAGUUAGUACAUUCACGAGGUAUAAUAGUUAAAGAAAAAAUUUUGGUGCAACUGUUUUAAAAUUUCAGGGUAUAAAUGAUAAUUUUUUUAAAAAUUUUAAGUAGGUAUUAUUUUUCCGACAAUUUAUUUUAUUGAGGGAAACCCGAUGAGAAAUAUCAUCAGAGAACAUUAAUUUAACAUUCUUUACCUUUAUGAAAAAAGUGGAAACCAAGAACUAUUCAAUUUUUUUUUUUUUGUGUAAUUCAAAAAAUGCAUCCACCAAACAAGCUUAUCUUAAUUUUCCCACUUUAUUCAUUUUCGAUGCUUUUCAAAAGAGGUUCCUUUAAUCCAUCUAGCAUCUGCAGCCCCCACUAUUUUUACAAAUCUCCAUCCCACAUCUACACUAUCAAAAAAGUUGAUGGAAAUUGAACCCAUUAAUUAAGUUAUGUUCAUUACAGGUCAUUAUCUUUCUAUGAGCCACUUAUUUUGAGCAUUAGCGAUCUUAUAAGGAAUCAUGCCUUUUCCGGAUCGUUUUCUUUCAUUUCCUUAUUGACUUAUUGUAGUAGUUAAUUAAAUAAAGAACGAACAAGUGAACUUAAUUUGUCUAUUUCGAGGAAGAACAAGGUUUCCAAUACUAGAGGAACUUUGAAGAAAAUUAAUUGGAAGCCUUUAUUCAUCUUUGAAGAAAAUUACCACACUUUAAAUCCUGGAUUAAAAAAAAUUUAUUCAUCUUCGGACUAUGAAUUUAUAAAAUAAUAUUGCUAGGACUAAGAAAAAAAUAUUAUUUUAGAUACGUUAUUUAUUUAUUAUUGAAUGAAAAAUUUAUCAUGAUAAAUAAAAUUUCUUAAUUUAAAGAGAGAUUUUUUUUUUGGUUUUAAGAAGAGUUUUUUUGGUACAUGCACACACUAAUAAAGAAACACAAAAAGUGCUUCCUCAAGUCAAUAGUAUUUACUUUAAUCGCUAAGGUGCAUAAUAAUGUAGCUUAGUUAGGAAAUUUGUAAUUACAUUAUGGCUCCGUUUGGUAUAACUUUUUAAUUAGAACUUAUUUAAAGAGAAUUUAUAUUAGUAGAGUUUUUAUAAAUAGAGAUUUUUUUUAUAAAAAAAAUUAUAGUUAUUUAGUUAUCAAUGUCCAAAUUGAUGAAGUAUUGUUCUUUUUAUUAACAUGUGUUUGUUUUACUUAAUAAUAAAAGUUUAGUUUACAAUUACACCGGUGUCAAAUCAGCAGAGCAUCGGCAAGAGUUUUCGAUUGUUGCAAUUUGCAAUGCACGCGGUGAGAGAAAAUGAGAAUCUUGUUUAAUUGUCAAUAAUGACAAACCUAAUCCUUUCAUUAGGAGUAAAUUAAUAAUCGUUGGUUAUAAUUGAAUAUGUAUAAAGAAAGGAAAAUUAUAUUCAUAGAUUUGACUUAUUUUUUAUUUAACGUAACUAAUCAUUCAACCAUCUUCGUUUGCCUCUGGCCAAUGCCCUUGUAGAUUAGUUGAAGCGUUAAUUACAUAAUUCAGAUAAUUACAACGUCCUUUUCGCUAAUUAAUUAUGAUUAUGUACAUUUUCAUAUAGCAAGUGGCAUUGUAGAUCUAAACUACGUUGCUAUUUCAAUACGUUAAUUAAGUGAUUCUCGUCAUUGUCAUCAGCGUUAUAAACAGGAAUUAUGCAAACAGUACACAAUGCUGCAGCAAGGCGUGGUUGGCUAGAGUUUUGCAACCACCCUCGAGAUCAUGUGCUGCCAGUAGUAAAAGAAUUUUACGCCAAUUUGGUAAGCCUUGGUCAGCACAAUAUUUGGGGUAAGAAACUCACUUGUUCCAUUAGACUCUCGAGUUAUAAAUGUUUUUUAUAAUUUACCUGCUGAAAUUAAUUGUGAGUAUGCCAAGUUGCUUGACAAAUUGACCUCACAACAAUGGAACACAAUUUUCACGACACUUACAGUAGAGGGUGCAUCGUGGGCUAAUGAGGAGGGGCGUGUAAUUAACAGGAUAGAUUUAAAACUCAUUGCUAAGGUGUGGGUGAAAUUUCUGAAAUCUAGGCUUAUGCCAACCAUCCACACCAUUACUGUUUUACAGGAAAGGUUGGUGCUGUUACAUGCUAUUGUUAGAGGGCUUUCCAUAGAUGUGGGAAGUAUUAUCGAAAAAGAAAUUCGAGAUUGUACCAUGAAAAACCACAAGGUUGUUGCCUUGUUAUUUCCUUCACUCAUAACCAGCAUAUGUGUAGUAUCGGGUGUUCAUCUUGAUGCAAAGGAUAAAAUUUGUAAUUAUAUUAUGGCUCCAUUUGGUAUAACUUUUUAAUUCGAACUUAUUUAAGGAGAUUUUUAUUAGUAGAGCUUUUAUAAAUAGAGAUUUUACUAAAAAAAAAUUAUAGUUAUUUAGUUGUCAAUGUCCAAAUGGAUGAACUAUUGUUCUUUUUGUUAACAUGUGUUUGUUUUACUUAAUAAUAAAAGUUAAGUUCACAAUUACACCGGUGUCAAAUCAGCAGAGCAUUUUUGCAGGGGUAAAAUCUCAUUUAGUCCCUAUAUUUUAAGCUUAGUAUCCAUUUGGUCCCUAUAUUUUUAAAAAUACCUCAAAACAUCCCUACCGUUAAAGUAUUGAUACCCCUACCGUUAAAGUAUUGAUACCCCUACCGUUAUCUUUAAUUUAUUUUGGCUUACUUUUACAAUAUUACCCUUUUAUAAUAAUUUUUUUAGACAUGAAUAAAAAAUAAUAAUUAAAUUACCAAUUUAACCCAAAAAAAAUUAAAAAAAAAAUUAUAUUAAUUUUUUUUGCAAACACCAUUUGCACACUUGAUAGUUUGCAUACAAUUUUAGAUAAUUAAAUUUCAACACAAGACUGAGUUUUUCAUCAUUCAAACUUCUCAUGUCUAAACUUUAUUUAUUGAGGUGCUAAAAGAUAAAUAUAUUGGCAAUUGGGAAAUGAAGUCAAUGAUAAGUUUGAUACAACCGUUGAUUAAAUAUCAUUAAAAAAAAAAAAGUACCUACAACUAGAAGUUAAAAAAAAAUGUCACCAUAGCCCACGUAUAAAUCCAUUUUGUAGUGCGUCAAAACUUAUGAAUAUCCUCUUGAAGUACGUCGCUACACCUUAUGUUUCAUAUUGAAUUUUCACCAUUGCCCUUUUAUUCUUUAUAAGAAGAACGUUGGCAUAGUCAUGUAACUUUGCAUAAGAUUUUGUGUAGUCACUAUCAGCAAUUUUUAGAACCCUUUUUUUGGCCAUAUACAGCCUUUUCUUUGUAGUUGAACAAGAAAACCUCUUCCUCAAUUCAUCUGACAUGGAUUCACAACCGAUAUCAGGAUUAAAACUAAUAAAACCAUACAAUUUCUGAGCUAUCCAUCUACUAGUUACUUCAGGAUUCUUAAACAGCUCUUUGCACUUAUGUUCACCACCUUUUAAAGUUUUAAUCUGGAAUGUAACUUUGUCAACCAAUAAAGAUGCAUGGAUUCUCCAUGGACAUUCCUUUCCUUCUUUGUCCUUCCCAGCACACACGGCUGUAACUCUACAUUUGUCAUUCUUUUUCCUUUUCAAAACUCUUGACUCUUGAAUAGCAUAAUCCUUCAAUACAUUCUUAAACUCUUGAGCACAACUAAAAGUUUGCCCAACUUCCAAAACAAUAUCAUCAUCACCAUCGGGUUCUUGAACUUUUUUUUCUUAAAUCCCUUUUCAUCUUCAAUAUUAUAGCGUCAUCUUCUUCAUCACUUGUAAUAGAUACAUCUUCAUUAUCACUCUCACAAUCUGACAUGCCAUCAUCUCCAUCAAAUUCAUUAAUAUCAAACCCUAAAUCAACUUCAGGUUCACUAUCAGACUUAACAAUAUCACCAAUAUCUUCAUCAGACCAGUCAAUAGACUCAACACUGAUUGCAUCAUCACUUUCACCAUCUAAAAUACAAACAUUAACUGCAUUUGAGGCAAAAUGAUUAUCUUCAGGGCGAGUUUGAGCUAAAACGGGUGACAAGCUGGCCAAGGAUAACGCAUCCAUCUCCAAAUUAAUAGAAUUAAGACCCUUGGCUUGAAUUAAGUUAACCAAAUUCUGGAAGUCUUUAUCAUUAUUCAAUUCAAUCCCUUCAUUGGACCAUGGGACAAUGCCAGUAAGCUUAAAGCUCUCAUCAUAAUGCUUGUGCCUUCCAAAGACAUUAUUCAAGACAUCGUUGAUGAGGGAUACAAGAAUCAAGCAAUCAGGAUCAUAAGCAUCCUCCACAUCUUUGCCUAAAAAUCGAACUGAAAUGCUGAUUUGACUCAUUUUGAAUCUGCCAACAUAAAGAUGAACAAAAAAUAUCAGAAACUUAAAACUAUUACAUACGAAAUCAUAAAAUACAAAAUCGACAUUAUAGAACUUUAUAUGAUUAUGAUUUUUUUUUACAAAAAAAUACUCAAUCAAGUGAAGUUAAAAUAAUUUCUUUUCGAUUACAAAUCAAUUCCACUACCAAUAUUAAGCUACGAAACAACCAUGAAAGGGUUAAAAAAAAGAAAGAAAGAAAACAAAAACCGUUCAACUUUUAGUCUACUGCAAAACAAAAACCGUUCAACUUUUAGUCUACUUCAUAUGGAAUUUUAGUCUUGGGAAGAAAUACCCAUUCAAGUGGAAAAAAAAAUAAUUUCUUUUCAUUGAACACAUGGAAGAUUAAAAAAAUAAAUAAAUAAACAAGACCAAUGUGAGACGUACCAGAAUAGGCCAAUUUCCUUCGUUGUCGGUUUUGACAUCUACUGCAAGACUACGUUUCCAAUAGAAAAAAUUUUACAGCAAUAAAAUUGUUAUGAGUUUUAAAAAAGCAAGUCACUUAAGUUCUUAAAGCGAGGGUUUUAAAGAAUAUUAGGGUUAAAAUACGUUUUUGCGAUUAUGGAUCUAGGUUAUCGUAAUAAUUUUUUAAAAUUUUAAAUUUUACCAAGAAAAAUACAUUUUUACCCUCAUUAAUCUAGAAUUAACAGUAACGGAGGUGAUGCUAAGGGUGUUUUGAGGUAUUUUUAAAAAUACAAUGACUAAACAGACAUUAAUCUAACGCUUUUUCUCCCAUGUAAAUUCUUAAUGUCGUUUUUCCAUAGUAUAGGAUGUAAAAUUGCCAGGAUUCAUGCUUUAAUCUGAUCAAUGGUCCUCCAACGAGAACUGAGUCAGGAUGAAUCGUCUGUCCAUUUUCCAAUUCGAACGAGGAAAGGAAGGCUGGAUCAGUGACCGUUAUAAUUACUCUACUUCCAUUCUGAUUCUCAGGAAGUACUUCUUCAAGAUCAUCCAAUACGUCGUCACCCUCUUUGUAGUAAUCAUCAAGCACAAUAAAGUACUUCUUGUUUGUUAGGUAAUCUCGAAGAAUAGAUUUCUUCAAUUGAUAAUCUUCACCGAUAACUACACUAACCCGAGAUGGAGGCAUCACAGACUUGAUUAUGUCAUCCAAUAUCAUGCGAAAAUCGUAGGAUAUAGCAACCCUUGUUAGGAAAUUGAGCUUCCUCCCAAGAUCACUCCAAGCAAUUUAUCAAGCAACAAAUUAACAGAAAAAUUUAAUGGAGAAUACAUCAAUCACACAACACAAGAUUUACGUGGAAAACUCUAAAUCCGGAGAAAAACCACGGCCGUUGUCAAAAAGACAACCAGAGAAAAUAUUCACUAUAUGGAAAAUUAUUACAACCACACUCUCAAAAAUAAUUUUCUCUCACCCAAGCCCCAAAUACAUAAUCCUGAGAAAUAUCCCUUAACAAAGCAAACCCGUAAUACCCAUAUUACGGAGCCAAAUGCUCCUUCAAUAUAACUACAUGCUUAAGAACUUUUCUCUCUCUCAAUUUCUCACCAAAACUUGGAUUCCUUCUCUGGGAUUUGGAUUGCUUCUCUCAAUGGCCAACAGUUCAUGUCUAUUUUCUUUAGCAAAGCCGAAGCUCAUUGCUACUCAUUUCUCAUCAAAUGACAUUCCAAUUUAUAGCCAAACUAUCACACCAAAAAUCUAAUAAGUCGGCAACAACUUUCUUCCUUUUUUACAAAUUCAUCAUGCGGUUCAAAAUUGGCAUUUUGCUUGUCAAAGUCCAUCCACCCAUUUGAAUGCAAUCAAUGUGUUCCCAUUUCACUUUUCCUUUUUUUUUAAUCAAUUUCAACAAUCUCCACCUUGAUUAAAAAAAAAAUUCAUAACUACUGCUACAAAACACUGUCUUCACCAACAGUCAUAAUUCUUAACAUAGAGAAUUAUCAUACUCCACCAUAAAGAGUAUACCACUUAGAAACAACCAUUCUAAGAUUUUUCUCGGCACAUGUCAAAAUAUCUUGCUGAAAUUUAUGGUACAAUUCUCAUGCUUGGUUUCCCUAAGAAUUCUUCAGCCAUGACAUAACUUUUCCACUACACACCUUGCAUUUAUACCAAGCCAAUGCCCGCGUGCAAACUUGUGGACCCCGCUGAUCAUAGCAUGUUCUCUUUCAUGACAACUUGGAGAUUUACAUGCCAAAAGAACUAACCCAAUCUCCUAUCAAAAGGAAACUCACAAUCUACGAGAAUAUCAUUAUCUCCUUUACUGAUUCUGGAGUAAUUUGCCGAGCCCACUCCACCUUCUUGACAAUUUUCUUGAGGUGCCAAAAAUUGUCUCACACCUUCAAAUCUUUGUGCAUACCAGAUUGGAUACACCUUUGACUUGAAUUCUCCACAAGCCAAUAAAAUCAUUCUUCCAUUAAUUUUUUUUUUUAACAACAUCAAACUCCACCAAGUUUAAAAAACACCAGCUACUGACAUAUAUGCUUUACAUAAACAGUAUCGUAUACCCCAAGUACAAACCGUUGGCUCUGAUACCACUGUUAGGAAAUUGAGCUUCCUCCCAAGAUCACUCCAAGCAAUUUAUCAAGCAACAAAUUAACAGAAAAAUUUAAUGGAGAAUACAUCAAUCACACAACACAAGAUUUACGUGGAAAACUCUAAAUCCGGAGAAAAACCACGGCCGUUGUCAAAAAGACAACCAGAGAAAAAUAUUCACUAUAUGGAAAAUUAUUACAACCACACUCUCAAAAAUAAUUUUCUCUCACCCAAGCCCCAAAUACAUAAUCCUGAGAAAUAUCCCUUAACAAAGCAAACCCGUAAUACCCAUAUUACGGAGCCAAAUGCUCCUUCAAUAUAACUACAUGCUUAAGAACUUUUCUCUCUCUCAAUUUCUCACCAAAACUUGGAUUCCUUCUCUGGGAUUUGGAUUGCUUCUCUCAAUGGCCAACAUUUCAUGUCUAUUUUCUUUAGCAAAGCCGAAGCUCAUUGCUACUCAUUUCUCAUCAAAUGACAUUCCAAUUUAUAGCCAAACUAUCACACCAAAAAUCUAAUAAGUCGGCAACAACUUUCUUCCUUUUUGACAAAUUCAUCAUGCGGUUCAAAAUUGCCAUUUUGCUUGUCAAAGUCCAUCCACCCAUUUGAAUGCAAUCAAUGUGUUCCCAUUUCACUUUUCCUUUUUUUUUAAUCAAUUUCAACAACCCUGACCCAAGCAUGACAGUCAAAAUAGAACUUGACAUGAUUAUUGUUGUAAGUAUCAGCAGCAAAAGCAGUCUUAUCGAAGCUACUGCUGUCGAGAAUUGCAACCACUGAAAGCUGUGGUUGUCCCUCAAUCAAUAAAUCAAACAACUCCUCUCUGCCGUUUUCAAAUUCACUCUUAUCAAGCUGUGAUUGUCCCUCAAUCAAUAAGUAAGUGAAUUCGUUCCUUCGUUCUCUGAAAUCAAAACCAUUGCCUUCAGGUGGAAUUUGUUGCAACCGAUUUCUAAUAUCAAUGAUUUUACUGUGGAUUCCGACAAGAAGAGCAAUGCAAGUAGUGCUUUCACUUUCACUGCUUUGCUGCUGCGUGAUGUUGAUGAAGAAUGUGUCAAUAGCUUUCUCUGAUUCACGGACAAAGGAAUUGAUGUCUCUCAGAAGUUCCCAAAUGCCGAUAACGCGAAGGUAUUUCGUCUUCAUCGAAAUGUUCUCUAAUGAGUUGAAUCAAAACCCGAGCCAUUUCAGCUUCAUAGUUUCCCAGCAGAGUAGUGGCUAUAAUUUCGGACUCCGUAAGAAGGUUUUGAAAAAGUGGAGUUAAAUUUGUUGAAUCAGGCAAAGUUAACGUGCCUUCUUCACCUGCUAACACCAGUUUCAACCUCUCACAAAAUAGUGUGAGGUUAAUUUCCAUAUCUUUCCCUCUCUCAGUAGUACUCAGAGGUACGUAUUGUUAUUUGUUAGUGUUGAUGACGAAAGCUGAAUAACAAAACAACAGUGUACACAAUCAACAGAAGCCAAAGUAUGUUAAUUUGAGAUCAAAGGAUAUAAAUAAAGGAAAAGUUUUCGUCGAUUGAGAAUGGAUGGAUGCAAAGAAUGACUGAUAUUAAAUGAUUUCUAUAAAUGAGACAUGCAAAGAAUGAAAUUUAAAGGUAACCCCCUUUUUUUUUUUUUUAAAGUACUCUAUUGAAAGCCAAAGUUCCUUUGGCCAAUUAAUUUAGAAGUGAAGGAAAGAAUAAAGUUAGUCCUUGAUGUCUUUUGAAAUUAGAAAUACAUUUUGAAUGCUUUAAUAGAUGCAGAGCAAACUGGCUCGAUAUCUACCUAUUUUUAGUGCUAAAAUCAUUUAAUAGAAGUUGUAGCAUUAAAAAAAAAAAAAAAAAAAAACUGGCUUGAUAUCCAAUUUUGUUAUUGAAUAUGUCUCAUGUGAGAGUAAAAAAAAACUGGCUUGAUAUCCAAAAUUUAAAGGUAACUCCUUGAAUUUGAUUGAAAAAUUAUUGAGACGGACAAGGCUGGACCAUUGUUCGAGACUGAAACUACACAUCAGUCUUAGAAAAUUGUAAUUUUGUUGGCUUAUCAUGAUUUUGAUCGUCUCACAUUGAUUUUCCUAUGAUGUCUCUGUCGAGUGGCUAUGCUUACAUUUUUAGGUAUUUAAUUCUAAAAAUUAACUUAUUAAAUGGAGGGACCAAUUCUACCUAUAAAUCCAAGUGGCUUCCCUUUACUAACUCAUAUGAGAUACAACAAUAAUUUUCUUUGGACAAAACCACUGUUGGAGGGUUAUUUUCGUUCAACAUACAUGAGUUGUUCCACCACCAUAUUUUGAGGGUUUGUUUUGGAUAUGACUUGGGGGAGCUAAGGCUAAGAUUUCUAAGUAUCAACAUAAAAACCUUGCCGGAAGGACCAAUCCUACUUUAAAGUCUAAAUGACUAAUUCUUGAGGACACAACUCAACAGCCCAAUAUAAACUUUUGACGUCCCAUUUUAUUACUUUCCAGUGCUUUUACUUUUGCUGUCUAGAGCCCUACCAUGCUAUUAAGCAGAAAAUAUUUCAAGGCACUCUCGGUCCAGUAGAUAACUUUGGUAUUUAUCAUCUAUUUUCUUUCCAUUUUAUGCAUACCCCGAUCUUUACCUCUGAUUGGUUGUAGAUUCUUUUGUUGCUUUGGGGUUAGGGGGUGGUUUUCAUAACUAUUCAGUUGAUCAAUGCAGAAAAUCACCAUCAAGAAAUUAUAAAGGAUUGUUAGUUCUAUCUGACAAACAACAUUAAUAUGAAGGAUGAUGAUUGUUCUGUUCAAGAGUUUAUAAUGACAUAAUUCUACUUUGGUCUUUUAAAAAAAGUAAUUUAGAAACGAGGAGUAUGUGAGUGAUGAUUUUUACAAAAUAAAUUACAUGCGUAGUGAUGAUUUUGACACAUGAAAAUGAAAAAAGAAAUAUAACUUGUGAAUAAUAAUUGAAGUACCUGCUAUUGUUAUAUUGAGUAAUCAAGGACUUCAAUAUUCGGACGAUAUAAGCAACACAAUCAAAUAUUAGUUGGAAGGCAUAGCAAAAUUAGAAUGUAGAACAAACUGGGUAUUGAUAAAUGGAUGGUUUUGGAAGAAUUGAAAAUGAUGGCAUAAGUAAACCAAAGUUUAGAGAAAAGAGAAAGAGCAUUUGAACUUUACUUGUAAGAAAAGGCAAAUAUCUUGGUUCAAGAAAAGAUAAGAGAUAUCAAACUAGCAAUAGGAAAAAGGAGGAAGGUUAAGACAGCAUCUUAACAAAAGCUAAAGAAAAGAAAAACUUAGUUCAAGCAAAGAACAAUGUGCUAAUGUCGUGUAAUCUUGUUUAAUUUCUUUUUCUUCUCACAUUUUCCAGGGCUUAAAUAAUACAAUAUACAUUUUCAAGCAAAGAACAAUAUGCAAUUGCAGUACUUCUGAGCACACAACAACAAAUAAAUAAUACAAUAUACAUACCCACUAAAUUAAAAAAAAAAUAUUAUCCAAGUUUGUGGACUAUAGCCAUGGCGUCGUCGAAAUCUACUGACAGCUGAAACAAAGAAAGAAUGGAUGAAUGCUGGAUCACAGUUGAAAUUGAAGGUCUGGUAGGUGAUGUUUCCCUCUCUGAUUUUCCCUAAACAAAUACAAGAAAAUAAGAAUCACAAAUGAAAAUCUGCUAUUACACUGUUCUUACUUAUUAAAAUACAGAGGUUUCUUUGUUUCUCUGCAGCAAUGUCCAUGGCUAUUAGAAACAAGAACAAUUAGACCAGCAUUUGUAAGAAUCCUUUAAGGUAUUACUGCAGAUAUAAAUCGACUGAGGAAAUGGAAAAAUUGAAUACCAAAUUAGGCAAGUUAACUGAAGAUUGAGUUAAUCAUAGAAGAAUAAAACUCAUCCAAUUCAAUCCAUCAAAUUCCAUAAGGGUACAACUGGAUGUCAUACUGCUGCUCCAUAUCCUCAAGAGCCCGUAGAUUUUGCCUCAACUCUGGCUGAGGCCAAUGUAAGUCCAAUUUGCAAAAGCUCUUUAUGCACCAUAGCUCUUCAGGAAGCUUUCUCAAGUAAGCACAAGGGUUGACAAUUAUGCUUCCAAGUUUUGGCAUUGCUCCAGCCCCUAUCGUCCACUCCUCUAGCAAAUACAUUGAUUUCAGGUGCAAUACCUUGAGCUCCGGGAAACCACAAGAGCAAACACAAGCCAGUUUUCUUCCUGAAUAUGAGUUCUGGUUCAAUUUCAGCACUUGAAGGUGUGGAAGCUUGUCUAGUGUUAGCAUGGUAUCCUCCAAUAACUCAGUAUUUGAUAAGCUUAGAUGGAUCAGACUUGGAGAAGCUGGUAUUUAGACAGGGCCAUCCGAGAGAGCUACCACCUCUGGUUUCGUUCACCAGCUUCAAGCAUUCAAGUUUGUGUAGUUCGCAUAGGCUUUUGGAAACCCCAGAACGAUAAUAACUCAAAUCUCCAGAUACUAAGAGUUUGAAAAUGAGGUAGUCUGCCUGUUAAAGUAGCUCACUAUGUUGAACAAAUGAAGGAGAAAGCUAAGCUGGAGAAAAUACAGGGCAAGAGUAUUAGCUGUGCCAGCUCAACUGACAGCUCAGCAAAAUCAGUUAAAUUUUGUUACAAGCCCCCUGUGCAUUGUGCUGAAGAUUAGUUAGUUUAAUAAUGAUUAGUUUUAGAUUAGUUAAAAUGUAAUCAUGAUUAAGAUAUAUAUAUAUAUAUAUAUAGCUGCUGUACUGAUAUCAUGGAUUAAGUGUUGAGAAAUAAAAUUCAUUAAGCAUUUCCAGAACUCUUGAUUUUCUUUCUCAGUAGCCAAACAACUUCACUCUCAUUUUUUUUUUUCAACAAUGAGUUCUCAAACCACUCAGGUAUCAUUUUCAGACAUUCUUGGCCUUGUACUCACCAUCAAAAUGGGUUGGUUGAGAGAAAACAUAGGCAUAUUGUUGAAUUAGGUUUGACUCUGUUGGCUCAAGCUCAACUUCCUUUUAAAUUCUGGUGGGAUGCAUUCCAUACUGCUCUAUCAUCAAUAGAUUACCAUCUUCUGUUUUCAAACUUUCGACCCCAUAUGAGAAGAUAUUCAAGCACAAACCUGAUUAUGAUUUUCUCAAAUGUUUUGGUUGUAUUUGUUAUCCUUACUUGAGAGACUAUAACAAACAUAAGUUUGCCUAUCAUUCCAGUAACUGUAUAUUCAUUGGUUAUAGUCCUUCACAAAAGGGUUAUAAAUGCUUACAUUCUUCAGGUCAUGUCUAUGUGGCAUGACUUGUUAUCUUUGAUGAGUCAACCUUUCCUUAUGCUACUGAAUCUGUUUUUCAUAGUCACACAAAUUCUGAUUCUCAUUCUUCAAACUUAUUUACUCCACAGCAUGUCUAUUAUCUUUCUACUUUACCUGUCAUACCAGUAUUUCUAAGUAACAACACUGAUAAUCUAAACUCUACAAAACUAAAAUACCAGCUUUUUGGUGUUAGCAAUAGGAAACAACUUACCACAACCAUUAAUUAUCCAUAAUUUCAUUGUUUAUCCUCAGUUUUCUUCAUAAAUGUUACAGCAUUCUUCACGAGAAAGCGCAAGGGCAUUUCAAAAGUUCUGAAAUAAUACCUCAAUUCUAUUGCAAAAAUAAAUAAUCUCAAACAAGAACCAAUAAUCAUAUUUCGUUACUGUCAAACACAAUGCAUCUGAGCAAAACAUUGGAAGCCAACACCAGAAUACAUAUGAAUAAACAAUUAAAGAUAGAGAAAAAAGGCUUAAACCUUGGGGGAAAAAAGUGAAAAAAACAUGAAAGACAAAUUACACAUGUACAGUAAUCAUCGAACUUAUCAGUCACAGCUGCAUCCAUUACAUUGCUCCAACAACACAAUGGCAAACCACCAGUUUCAAAUUGAGGAUAGCUAUCGAGAAUGAGAAAGUGUCCAAAACGUCAUAAAUAGACAUGUUCCUAUUGUGCAUAAUUUACAUUAUAGGCAAAUAUUCUUAUACCAUCAAAGGCAACACAUGACACUAACAAUUGAUCCCCCCCCCCCCCCCCCCCAAACAACCAAAAAAAGGAAAAAGAAACAAUACAGAAAAGAUUGAAACAGAUAAGGCUACACUGAGCACAGGAUGCCAUGAAACAUAAUCCAGGAACCAAAUUAAUAAAAAAGGAGGCCAAACCAUUAUUUAACAAUCUGUUUUGUAUUUGGGAAAGUCUGAUAAAAUCUACUGAGGGAUAAUUAGAGAACCUCAACUAUUAAUCACACCUCAUAAAUGAACUAACAUUAACCAUCUACCAUCCCCACGUCACACAAACAUUCUCUAUACUUCUGAACCUAAUACUUCCAUCUUCAAUAGGGGGUUUUUUUUCUUUUUUUUGGGGGGGGGGGGAGUUAUCAAUUUUCUAAGCUUGCUUAGCUUCUGUGUAGGACUGAAAUGCUCAUUUCGAAUCACUAACAGUAAAAUUGGAAGCUCAUGAAAAAACAGUUUUAUCCCAAAAUUGCAUCUCGAUAUAAAUUCUCUUUUCAUUUCCUUCAACUUUCUAAUUAAGCUUAAAAAAUGUACCUUCAACCACAAAGGGGUUUAAAAUUUAAAAUAUAAAAAAUAAAUUCAGAUAAAAAUAAUUAAUUUAAUUAAAAAUAUAAAUAGAGUUACAGAGAAAGAGAAAAUAGAGAAAGACCUAAUGUUGAGUCCUUUGGCGCAUGUCUCUUCAUAGGUCCGAACCAUUUCUUCGGGCGUGGGUUACGGCCGAGAUUGGAUAAUGAUGGAGGAGGAGAAGAUUAGCGAUGACGACGCCGAUGAAAUGGAAGGGUUUACCAGAGGAGUGGAUGCGAAGAGUGCAGGGACGGCCGCAGAGAGAGAGCGGCGGAGAGCGGCGACGGACGGAUGGCGGUAUGGGCCAUUGCUUGCGCGUCGGUGAUUGUCUCGAGUGAGAGAGUGAAGGGUUUUGUUUAGGGUUUUGGGAAAUGAAAAAUGCAAAUGUUUGAUUUUGUUGCUAGAAACUUCUUCUGCUGCUGCCUUUUAUUGUCGCUAUAAUAAUAAUAAUUUGUUAAUCAAAUAUUUUCUUAAAAAAGAUAAAUUUCUACAACAAAAUUUAUAUUAAAUCAAAUUGUAAAAAUGUCUAAUAGGGUUAAUUUCUCCUUAAUAUUAUUAUUAGUAGAAGUAGAUUUUCAAAUUAGUCUUGAUAUAUAUCAGAGUUGUAUUAUAAAUGUAUAUGUAUCUGGAUUGCAAUUAUAUUUUAAAAAAAAUAAUUUUUUUAAUUAUUGCACAAUAAAUGUAGAAAGUGUCUAUAAAAUAAUAUUAUUGGAACUAUGAAAAGAUAUUAUUUUAGAGUAGUUAUUUAUUUAUUUUUGAAUAAAUAAUUUAUUAAUUUAUUGAUAAAUUAAAUAAAUAUUAAUUUAAACAGAGAAUUUUUUUUUUGUGGGUUUUUAAGAAGAGUUUUGUUGGUAUAUGUGCAAACUUAUAAAGAAAUACAAAAAAUGCUUCCUCAAGUCAAUAGUAUUUACUUUAAUUCAUAAUAAGAUAGUUUAAUCAAGAAACUUGUAAUUAUACUAUAUCUUUCUUUCUUUGUUCUGUUUGGUGGGAUAUUGUGAUAAAUCAUUGGAUUACAAUGCAUUUCUAAAUGAAAACUUGUUAAAACCUAAUUUAUUUGGGAACCACAUUUUAUUUGUCAGUCUUAUUUCUCAACUUAGCAAAUUAUUUCUAACUUAUCGGUCUCUAUUGGUUCUCUUAAGUACCUGUUUGGUAUAUCUUAUUUAAUGGCAAUAAGUACUUAUUUAAUCUCAUAAUUUUUUUCCCUCUCUGACAAUUGAGGUAGGGGGUCAAACUUGAAAGUAUCUUAAAAUCAGACAACAAUUUAACUAUUUUUUUUUUUUAGAUAACUGCUAAUAUGCUCUAUUAGACAAUGAUAAGUGAUUGCAUUUAUGCAUCCCCACCAAUAUUUAAGCAAUUUAAUUACAGAAACAUUUCUUGAGGAAAGAAACUCAUAUCACCACUAGGCUUUUAAUGAGGCUCAUUUUUAUGAAUCUGGAUAGCAUUAGAUAUCUCUCCGAAUAUUGGUGGGAGUAGAUCGCAGAUCUCUGGGCUAUACUACAAAGUGUAUGUACGUUGACUCUCAAUAAACACAAACGAUUCCCUGAUAUGAUUCAAAACAUCAGUGCAUGCAUCAUUUUAACGAGAGAGAAUAUUCCCAGAAAUGUACACGCAUGAGGAAUUUUUCCUAGAAGAUUGAUAUUUCUUUAACUAGCAAACCAUACAAGUCCGGGGCUUAAAUGGAGUACUUGUAAGCAUAAAACAUUAAUCAAAACACAGUAUAGACACACACACACACACACCCCUACAUACAUACCAGCAAAUUCGAAAUAGAAAAAGAAGUGCAGCUAUUCAAGUUUGUAGACAAUAUUUCAACCAUGGCAUAUUAAAGCAAAUCCUUGAAAUCAGCUAAACAAAACAAUGCCCUGUCUCAUGAAUCGAUGCUCAAUUAAAAUUGAAAUUGAAAGUCCGGCUGGUGUUGUUUCCCUCUCCAGUUUUGCCUACAUAAGUAAAGGGAAAUGAGAAUCAUAAAUGAAAAUCUGCUUUGACAGUUCUUAUUAGAUAGAUAUAAAUGGAUCUUUCUUUGUUUCUCUGCUGUAAUUUGUGGCUACCCCACUCUGUUUUGCCAGUCAAGCUGAGUCUACGUUAAGGCAUAAUUUUGACAUCAGAAGCAACCUCAAUUAGUUUGGCAUUUUCAUGACCUCCUUGAAGGUUUUACGAUAAACAUAAAUCCACUGAGAAAGUGGGAAAAAAAGAAAAUUCAUAUAAAAGUAUGAGUUAUCAGAUAAGAUUAAAACUCACCCAAUUCAAUCCAUCAGAUUCCGUAAGGAUAUAACUGGAUGUCAUACCGCCACUCCAUAUUCUUGAAAGUCCGUAGUGUUUGUCUCAACUCUGUCUGGGGCCAAUGUAAGUCCAAUUUGCGCAAGCUCUUUAUGCACCACAGCUCUUCUGGAAGCUUUCUCAAGUAAGCACAUGGGUUGACAAUUAAGCUUUCAAGUUUCGGCAUUGCUCCAGCCCCCAUCGUCCACUCAUCUAGCCAAUACAUUGAUUUCAGGUGCAAAACCUUAAGUUCGGGAAAGCUACUCAAGCCAACACAAGCAAGCUUUCUUCCUAAAUACGAGUUCUGCUUCAGUUUCAGCACUCGAAGGCGUGGAAGAUUUUCCAGAAUUGGCAUGGGAUCCUCCAUUAGCUCAGUAUUUGAUAAGCUCAGUUGGAUCAGACUUGGGGGAAAUUGGUAUUCAGACUGGACCAUCCGUGAGGGCUUGCUCUCAUUCACCAGCUUCAAGCAUUCAAGUUUGUGGAGUUCGCAAAGGCUUUUGGAAACCCCAGAUUGAUAGUAACUCAAAUCUCCAGAUAUCCGAAGAGUCUGAACACUUGGUAGUCUGCCCAAUAUAUCAGGAGUACAACUACUAGGGUUUAAAGCUGAUAUGAAAAUGAGUUUUUUCAGAGAGCUAGAAUAAUUUUUUGGAGGUGCGGGCAGAGUGAUAGAACCAAAGUUUAGAUGCAUGAGUUUUUGCAUCAUCCAAAUAUCCUCUGGUGACUGAUCUAUGUAGCUAGAUGGCAUUUCUAGUGUUUCAAGGUUUAAAAGGGUGCAUAGCAGUGAAGGAAGGCAUUUGAGCGAAGGGAUAUUCAAUUUCAAAUACUUCAAAAGAUAUAAAUUUUCUAAUGCGGGUGGAUAUUGGUCCAGGACUGCAGAACCCAUGUUCAAUACCCGAAGGUAUUUGAACCUUUUAAAAAAAUUCUCGCAAUCUUUCGGAUUAAGAUGAUUGCUUUCUGAACUGUGAUUCAGAAAUGAUUGGAGAUACAUGUCAGACUGUUGUAAAAAAAAGAACUCAAGCAGAUCUUCCAAAAUGAAGCACCGUUUAGCAUUUUCAAUUGAUUCCCCUAUCCAUGCAGGCAUUCGGACAAAUCUCGUCUUCUCUGCCACCAAACCCAAUGAAGUAAAUACAAAACUUGGAACAUAACACGCUUUAAUUGUGCCUCCGGCUCUUCUCGUACUCACUUUAAUGAAGCCGCGAUGGAUUAGUUCUUUCAAGUAAUGUUCGGCAGUUUCUUCACCGUUGUAUGGUAUGAAACCUUCAGCUACCCACAACUGAUAUAAUUGCCUCGUGGAUAUCUCGAUGCCUGGAGGGAAGACACACAAAUAGAUGCAGCAGACUUUCAAGUGAAAAGGUAACUCCAUCACAGAGAAAAUUUGUCUCCAUACUGUCGGAAUCGCUUCGCUUUGAAGAUAAUUUUCUAAUGGCAUACUUCCAUAGUGUAGGAUGAAAAAUUGCCAGGCCUCAUGCUUUAGUCUGAUCAAUGGUCCUCCAACGAGCACUGAACCAUGCCGAAUCUUCUCUCCAUUUUCCAUUUCCAACGACUCAAGGAGGUCUGGAUCAGCGGCCAAUAUUAAUACUCUGCUUCCAUUCUCAUUAUCAGGGAGAACUUCUUCGAGAUCAUCCCAUAUCUCACGGUCAUUGAAGACGUCAUCAAGCACAAUAAAGUACUUCUUGUUUGUUAGGUAAUCUCGAAGAAUAGAUUUCUUCAAUUGAUAAUCUUCACCGAUAAUUACACUAACCCGAGCUGGAGGCAUCACAGACUUGAUUAUGCCAUCCAAUAUCUUGCCAAAAUCAUAACGUAGAGAAACCCUGACCCAAGCAUGACAGUCAAAAUAGAACUUGACAUGAUUACUGUUAUAAGUAUGUGCAGCAAAAGCAGUCUUAUCGAAGCCACUGCUGUCGAGAAUUGCAACCACUGAAAGCCCAGAUGGUCCCUCAAUCAAUAGAUCAAAAAACUUCUCUCUGCCCCUUUCAAAUUCACUGAUAUCGAGCCGAGGUUGUCCCUCACUCAAUAGGCGAAUGAUUUCGUUACGUUUUUCACUGAUAUCAAAACCAUUGUCGCCGGGUGGAAGUUGUUGCGUCCGAUUUCUAAUAUCAAUGAUUUCACUGAUAUCAAAACCAUUAGUGCUGCUUUCACUUUCGUUUUCACUGUUUUGCUGCUGCAUAAUGUUGAUGAAGAAUGUGUCAAUGGCUUCCUCAGAUUCAUGGACAAAGUGAUUGAUGUCCUUAAGAAUUUCCAGAAUGUCUGAUCUUUUAACGUCUUCUUCAUCACUUUCUUCUAAGUCCAACAGUUGCAAUAAAGGCAAAGACAUAUUGGAUUCAGCGAAUUCUUGUCUGAAUAGUUGAGACAAAAUCCGAGCCAUGUCAGCUUCAUAGUUUCCCGACAGAGUAGUAGUAAUAAUUUCAGACUCCGUAAGAAGGUUUUGAAAAAGCGGGGCUAAAUUUGUUGAAUCAGUCAACGUUAACGUGCCUUCUUCACCUGCUAACACCCUUUUCAACCUCUCACAAAAUAGUCGGAGGUGGACGUCCAGCAUAUCUCCUUCUCUCUGUAGCACCCAGAGGUAUUGUUUUUUGCUCCAAGAAAUAUUAAAAGGAUUGGUUCUAUCUCAAAGUGGUUACUGGUGUAAAAUUAAACGCCAUGGGAGAAUUUGAAGGGAAGAUGCCAAGGAACUGGCGAUGUGGCUAAAUUACACAAAUACGGCAUUAUUGCUCAUUUUUAACUCAAAAAAUUGAUACCAAGACGCUUGCCUUUUGAAAAGAAGAGGUAUCCAACCUUUAUCUUAUUUAAUUACUACCAUGACAUGAUUGAUGGUGCUUAAAUCAAUUGUUUCUUUAUUAAUUUAAAGAAUUUUUCAUUAAAAAAAUUAUUUUAAUAUCAAAUACCCUUCAAUGGCAUAACUGCCGCAGGCCCAGAAACAGGAUUAAUUAAAAUUUUUUGAAUUUUUGGGCAAGGAAAGAUUUGAAAUUCUAGUUAUGCAACCCAAGAGGGAGUGAAUUAGAAUUCUAUAAAUUAUUUAAUUUAUAAAGAAAACCUUAAUGCAAAUAUAAACCAAAUUCAAAGCAAUAACAAAUAAGGUGAUCACAAUAUAAAAAGAUAAGGGAAGAGAGAUUCAAACACAUAGAUUUUUACUUGGUUCGGCCAACCUCGCCUACGUCCGCGCCUCCAAGCUUUCCGAGCUUAAAGAUUCCACUAAGCAAGCCUCCAAGGCUUCAAAUGCUUACACUUGACUUCCAAGGUGUCAAUAACCUUUACAACAAGAGAUUAUCCCAAUCUCUUUAACCCAAGUGUAUCCCAACACUUACAAUCACUCAAAACAAAAGAUUACAAAUUUGUUUUGACUCUCACAAUAUUUAAGAUUACACAAUGAUGCCCAAUAUGUCAAUAGAUGAAGCAAGAAUGUGUUCAAAGCUCUAUGAAGAUUGUAUUCUCGAGUAUAAGCUCAAUAGUCGUGUUGUGAUCAAUCUUGUUUGAAUUUGAAUGAGCUUAUUUAUAUUUGGAGCUGAAAAACUAGCCAUUACAAACUGUCGGCCCGAAAACGGUUCGCUGUUAACCAUUAACGGUUAACCGUUUAGGCUGGUCAAAAGUUACCGUUGGGCCAAAUUUCAAAUAAACGGUUUGCCGUUUAGGAUUACCCCUUCGCCGUUAAAUUCUAGAGACCUGCAAGAUGAAUAUCAGUUAUCCGUUUACAUUAAACGGUUAAAGAUUUGCAUGAAGUGACUUCUCUGGAUAUUAUCGGUUAACCGUUUGUAAUAAAUGGUUCGCCGUAUGUUUCCAGUAACCUGCAAAACAAUUUAGCCUUAUCCGAUUUUGUUAAACGGUGCCAGAAGAGUACAACCUUCAAUUCUGGAUUUUAUCGGUUAACCGUUUAAAUAAACGGUUCACCGUUAAAUUCCAGUAGCCUUCCCAGCUUUUUGUGUUUUCCAUUUUUCUUAAUCGGUUAGAGCUUAGGCAAUAUGUUGCUCUCUGGUUUUAAUCGGUUAACCGUUUGAAAGAAAACGAUUCACCGUUUAUUUCCAGAAUCACAUUUUAAACCAGAUUUUGCAGAAAGUCAUUUUCUAAUUUGAAAGUCCAUCUUUUAUGAAUAUGAUUGGAAUGAUUAUAAGGCUUUCAUUUAUUAAGGAAUAGCUCCAACAUUUUAAUCAAAAACCAUUUAAAGUUUGUUAUCAUCAAAAUCAAUAUUAUUAACAUAUUCAUGUUAACAAUAGUAGUAUUAAACAUCAGAAAGCUAAGGUUGUUCUGUUAAUGAAUUGAUAUUGACAUAAUUUUAUUUUGGUUUCCGGGGAAAAAAAAACAUUUGUUGACAAGCAAGAAAAUAUUUUUAAAUUUUACAAUUUAUUAUACAUAUUUUAUCAUAUUACAAUAAUUUUAAUAAUAAAUAGAAACAUAAUAUUACAAUAAAUAAGUUAAAGUUUAAAUUAUUUUAAAUAUUAUAAAAAAUAAUUUUAAUAUUAUUAAUAGGAAGACAUUUUGUUAAUUUUAAAACCUUUUUAACCCAAAGGUUUAUUUAAAAGCUUUAUAAUAAACAUAAAUAUAAGAUUAAAAUAAAUAUCAUAAUUUGAAAUUUUUAGUAUUAUUUUAAAUAUUAAAAAUACUUUAAUAUUAUUAGCCUACUACAUUGAUUUUAUUAUUUAUAUUAUAUUCAUAUUGAUUAAAACUUUUUAAAGUCAAUUUUUUAGUCAGUAUAUUCAAGAGGUAUCAUAGUUAAAGAAAAGAUUUUGGUGUUAUUUUUUGAAAAUUUUAAGGUUUAAAUGAUAAUUUUUUAAAAUUUUAAGGAUGUAGGUAUUAUUUUUCCGACAAUUUAUUUUAUUUUUGAGGAAUUCGAUGAGAAAUAUCAUGAGAGAAGGUUAAUUUUACAUUCUUUACCUUUAUGAAAAAAGUGGAAACCAAGAAGUAUUCAAUUUUGUAUUUUUUGUUUGUAAUUCAAAAAAUGCAUCCACCAAACAAUCUUAUCUUGAUUUUUUCACUUUAUUCAUUUUCGAUCCUUUAAUCCAUCUAGUAUCUGCAGCCCCCGCCAUUUUUACAAAUCUCCAUCCGACAUCUACCCUAUCAAACAAAGUUGAUGGAAAUUGAACAAUUGCUUUUUGAAGUGGACCCAAUAAGUGGACAUUUUAUUAAUAUUAAACAAAGUUGACGGAAAUUGAACAAUUGCUUUCUAUGAGCCACUUAUUUUUAACAUUAGCGAUCUUAUCUGGACUACUCCAAUUAUUGAUGUAACUCCAAUGGUUGCAUCAACAGUUGAAUGUAAGAUAGUGUUAGCUCUUCUUUGAGAAUAUAGAGUGAUCUUUCUUUGUUUCUCUGUUGCGACGUGCUACUAUAAAUUUCUUUACCUUGCAGUUUAUAUAGUCUUGCUGUUAAUGAAUUCGCGGAGGCAUUAUUGAUCCAAUCUCAGUGAAGUAAUUGUGGGUGGAAAAUGAAUAAAGGGUAAGAGAACGUAGCUCAAGUGCUGAAUUGGCUAUUAAAGAAGAGUGUCACUUGAUCACAAUCACAUUGAUGCACAACUCACUCGAGGCAAAUUUCAUCUAUAUAUGUACUGCAAAUUCAGCCAAACCAUACAUGCAGGAACAAAACUAAAAUGUAGUUCUAAUCAAAACUGUAAUUAAAGCUACAAAAGGCUUGCUCAAUCCAAAAACUUAAAAGGAAGAUUUUACUCAAGUUUGUCCCCAAAAGACAGCUGAAUUGAAAAAUAUUGACUAUUGAAUCAAUGCUCAAUUACAUUUGAAAUGGAAAGCUUGGCUGCAGUUACGAUGUUUUUCCCUCUGAUUUUCUUCCAAAACAAAUUCAUUUGUAAACAAUAACGGAAGUAGCAAUAAUUUAUUCAUCAAAGAAAAUAUCCAAGUUUUCAACUAACAAAUCCUUUUGUCUAAACUAAAAAAACUUAUAUUUUUAAAAUCUAUCUACAAAAUGUUGGAAAUAAAGAGUGAUCUAUCAACUCGGUAAAUAAACUCAUACAUAAUGUUUACAAUAAUGAUAAAUUACAUAAUAAUUAUUAUAAAGAAUCAUAAAUUAGAAAAAUAUUUUAAGAUCAAAUUGCCUUCAAUGCUGAAUUACAUUUGAAAUGGAAAGCAUGGCUGCAGUUACGAUGUUUCCCCCUCUGAUUUCCUCCAAAACAAAUUCAGUUGUAAACAAUAACGGAAAUAACAAUAAUUUAUUCAUUACUCAAAUUUUUUCAACUAACAAAUCCUCUUGUCUAAACUAAAAAAACUCAUAUCUCUAAAAUCUAUCUGCAAAAUGUUGGAAAUGAGGGGUGAUCUGUCAAUUCGGUAAAUAAACUCGUGCAUAAUGUUAACAAUAAUGAUAAAUUACAUAAUAAUUAUUAUAUAGAAUCAUAAAUAAGAAAUAUUAAUCAUUUCACAAUCUAUUACGUAAGUAAGAUAAAUUUCAUAAUAAGUUAAGUUAUAAUGUAAUAAAUAUUUUCAAUAUGCUAAGAUAGGAUUGGUCCUAUCUCAAAGUAGUUAGUGGUGUAAAACUGAUGGUUGUCGAAGCCAGCAAAAAUAAAUACCUACUCUAAAUAAAUUGUGUAUAGUGAUUGAGCAGGGUCGUGUCCACAGAGAUCGGUAAUUAUUUAAAUCAUUUUAAAAUGUAAAAUGCAAAAUGGGGGAAUUGUUGACAAUAAUAAAAAUCAAAUUAAAAUAACAAGAAUGUAAAUUAAAAUUGUAAUUCAAAUUGGGGAAAAAGUAGUAUUAGACUUCAGAAAGCUAAGGUUGUUAUGUUAAAGAAUUCAUAUUGACAUAAUUUUAUUUUGGCUUUCGGGGAAAAAAAUAUUUGUUGACAAGCAAGAAAAUAUUUUUGUAUUUUACAAUUUAUUAUACAUAUUUGAUCAUAUUAAAGUAAUUUUAAUAAUAAAUAGACACAUAAUAUUACAAUAAAUAAAGUAAAGUUUAAAUUAUUUUGAAUAUUAUAAAAAAUAAUUUUACAUUUGAAAUGGAAAGAGUGGUUUUAAACACCAGAAAGCAAAGAUUAUUCUGUUAGACAAUUGUUAUUGACAUAAAAAAUAAUUUGGUUUUCAAGGAAAAAAAACAUAUUUGUUGACAAGCAUGAAAUUUUUUUUUUGUAUUUUACAAUCUGUUAUUACAUAUUUUAUCAUAUUAAAGUAAUUUUAAUAAUAAAUGUAUAUGUAUCUAGAUUGUAACUAUAUUUUAAAAAAUAUAAUUUUUUUAAUUAUUGCACAGAAAAUGUAGAAAAAUGUCUAUGAAAUAAUAUUAUUAGGACUAAGAAAAAAUAUUAUUUUAGAUAAGUUAUAUAUUUAUUAUUGAAUGAAUAAUUUAUUAAUUUAUUGAUAAAUAAAUAUUUAUUAAUUUAAAGAGAGAUUUUUUUUGGUUUUAGUAAUAGUUUGUUUGUUACAUGUACACACUUAUAAAGAAACACAAAAAGUGCUUGCUCAAGUCAAUAGUAUUUGCUUUAAUCGCUACUGUUCAUAAUAAUGUAGCUAAGUUAGGAAAUUUGUAAUUAUACUAUGGUUCUGUUUUGUAACGCCCAAAUUUCUAUUAUUUUAUUUUAUUUUUAAUGGAAUUUAUAAAUGGCGUUACUGCCCUUAUAAAAAGGGUUAUUCAUGGGAUAAUUUUUAGGAAAUGGUUAUUUUUCCAAAUUCAAUAGGGUUUCUUAAGACUCCCUAUAAAUUAAUAUUUUUUUUCCCUUCGAUACUCGAAGUCCACGACGAUUCUUCUUCUUCUCUGCUGCUCAUUAUGCUCCUACCCAAACCCUAGGAUUCAAACUUUUGCUUAGGAGAGAAUCAAAGCGAUUGGUGUUGGAGGUGAUUGAGGCUCUUAGAGGCUUAGAGGUCUGUUAAUUCAAAUUCUUUUGUCGAGAUAAGUAAUUUCAUUCCUAAUAUACUGGAUAUGUAUAAGUAUUUUGAUGUUAUUAUAAGAGUUUUUAUACUUCUUAGAAGAUUAAUAGAUUUUCAUACCAAAAUCAGUUUAUGAAAAUGUUUUCAAAUCUGAAUUCUUUUGAUAAAAUAUUUUAUAAAUGCGUUUUAAUAUGUAAAUUAUUUUAUGACAUGACUGCCUUUUAUAAUUUUGUCUAUGAAAUAUUUUUGCAAGCCUAAAUUGUUGCUAUAGACUUUCAUGAAUCUAAUACGAAUGUUUUGUGCCUAUGUAUGAUUUUAAUUAUUUAUGACUGUACGGGGGCCACCUCUUGAGACUAUAUGGGGGCCACCUCUUGAGGGCCAAAGCGCCGCAAAGUGCCACAUAUAGUGCAAAGUGCCACGUAUAAGUCAUUAUGUUUUGGCUCAUUGUCCGUAGUUAUUCUGAUUCUAAUUCUGAUUGUAUUAUACGAUAUAUUUGUUCUGGACUAGUACUAGGUUUAUGUUCUAAGUGUGCACACGAUAUUCUGAUUCUGUUUCUGGUCAGGUCACCGAGACUAUAGGUGAUACUAUGUGACAUGAGCUAACUAUCUGCUUUCUGUAUACACUUUAUACGAUUUGCUUUCAUAAUUGAUUAUUCUUUUGAUACUCUGAAUUACCAUGAAUUUAUGUUAUAUAAUUGAAAUAUGUUGUUUUAUGAAGUUUAUGAGUUAUAAUAUAUGUUUUUGAAUAAAAGAAGGCUUGCAAUAUUUUUGAUAUCGAUAGGCCUAGUGUAUUAGGAAUGAUUUUACCUACCGAGUUGACAGCCCACCCCUCGUUAUUACUUUUUGCAGAUUAAGUUCCUUUUAAGAGGUAUGCGUAGCUUUGGAGUUAGAGAUUUCGUUUCCGUUUGCUAUUUGAAUAAGAAGAGGAAUAGACUCAUGUUUCUUUUUAGUUUAUUUCUGUUAUGAACUUGUAAUUUGGAGUUUGAGACUUUUGUUAUUGUUAUGUUUUGGAAGAGAUUAUUUAGUGUUAGACGUAUUAAUUUGUGGAUUUAUUUGAAUAAGAAUUUGAGGUAUUUGAGUUUGGAAUUUAUAAGUAAGGAUUACGAUUUGUAAGUAACCUCCUUCUUCAUGUGCUCCGCACGUGUUAGAUUUGGGGUGUCAUAUGUUUCGUAUAACUUUUGAAGUAGAGCUUAUUUAAAUAGAGUAUUCGUCAAUAAAGCUUCUAUAAAUAAAGAUUUUACUAAAAAAAAUUUAGUUGUUUGGUUGUCAAUGUCCAAAUUGACGAACUUUUGUUCCUUUGCUAACAUGUAUUUGUUUUAUUUAAUAAUAGAAGUUUGGUUUACAAUUACACCACCUUCAAAUCAGCUGAGCAUUUUUGCAACCGGUCACAUUAUACAUUAUACUAAUAGCAUCGGCAAGAGUUUUCGAUUGUUGCAACUUGCAAUGGACGCGAUGGGAGAAAAUGAGAAUCUUGUUUAAUUGCAAUAUUGACAAACCUAAUCCUUUCGUAGGGAGUAAUUUAAUAAUCGCUUGUUAUAAUUGAAUAUGUAUAAAGAAAGGAAAAUUCUAUUCAUAGAUUUCGACUUAUUUUUUGUUUAAAGUAAUUAAUCAUUCAACCAUCUUCAUUUGCCUCUGGCCAAUGCCCUUGUAGAUUAGUUGAACCGUUAAUUACUUAAUUCAGAUAAUUACAGUGUCCUUUUCGCUAAUUAAUUAUGAUUAUAUACGCUUUCAUAUAGCAAGUGGCUUUGUAGAUCUAAACCAAGUUGCUAUUUCAAAACGUUAAUUAAGUGAUUCUCCUCAUUGUCAUCAGCGUUAUACGCUCUAGGAAAAUAGCUCAAUUGUUUCCCUGCAUUGAUUUUCAUUGGUACGUGAUUUCUUAUGAAAUUCUUUUGAGCUUUCCUUAUUAAAAAUGCUUGAGCUUUUAUCACCCAAUACGGAUAUCAAUUAACUUGUGAACGAUUUUGUAAUGAAACUAGGAGUUAAAUAAGAUUUUUACAUGAUGAAUUUUUAUUUUUUUAAUUUUUUGAUGUAGUCAAUUUGCUAAUUUUAUGUAUUUCAUAUUCAACGGAAUUUGGGCACGGAAAGUUUGGAUUCUAAUAUUUAUAUGUUUAGCUUUAAUCAGUUUGACUUUCGUAAUCUUUUUCCCCUCAUCAUUAAGGGAUUCAGAAUUAGAGAAACGUUAGGAAGAGGAAGAAAAUAAUUUCGGAAAUAAGUAAGAGGGAAAAAAUUAUCAAAUUAGGAAUGAUUUUUUGUAGAGUAUGUUGCGUUUACUAAAAUGAAAUCGAAAUGAGCUGGAAUCAGAAUGGAUAAAAAUGCGAAUGUGCUGGAAUAAGAAUAAGUAAUGAGAAUCAGAAUAAGUUGUUUACUUGAACUGUAAGAAUCGAAAUCGAAAUGAGCUGGAUUGCAAUUACUUUGUCCUACAAUUAGAAUCAAAAUGAGUUAGAUUGUAACAAAUUACUAAAAGGUACUUAAUGAAUUAUUGUCAUAAUUAUUAUUUUAUAUUUUAAUUAUAGUGAUUAUUUAUUCUAAAUUAUUAUUAUUAAUUAUUUUCAAUAAUAUAUUAAUAUGUUAAUUAAUUUUAAAAAUUAUUAAUUAAUUUAUUAUAAUAAUAUACUAAUUAAUUAUAAUAAUUAUAUUAAUAAUUAUUAUAAAAAUAUAUUAAUUAUUAAUAAUGAAAUUACUUAUUUAAUUAUAAUAAUAUAUUAAUUAUUGUGAUUAUUUAUUCAAAAAUUAUAAUUAUUAAUAAUUAUUGUUAAUAAUGUAUCAAUAUAUUUUAUAUUAUGAAAUUGUGAUGUAUUGUAGACAAAUAAGGGAAUUUGGUACAAUAAAUUCUUAAUAUCUUAGUACAAAGUAUGGUACAAUGAUAUUUUAACUUAUUGUAGACAGAUUAAAUUUCGACACACUUAAUCCAUAAUAAAAUUAGUGGAAAAUAAUGAUAAUUUAUACAAUUAAUCUUUUGAGCAAUAAAAAAAUAAAAGAAAAAGAAGUUACUAAAUUAUGUUUACUGUUAAGAGUGAAUCCACAAUCCUAAAUAAUUUAUUUCCAUCGUUUCACUUAAAUUAAAUAGUGUGAAUUUAAAUUCUAAUUUUUUGAUAAAUUAAAAAGAAAUAAAAAAUUAAAAUUUUUCUCUAUGGAUCGACCUCGGAUUGAUCAAUUUAUUUCAUAACAACACACUUUUAUACUUGAGAGUUAUAAAUAACUUUGAAGUUGUGUUAAGUUUUUGACGCUCUUACGGGGGAAAAAUAUUUAUUUUAUUUUAUGUAUGGGUCAAACUUGAAAGUAUAUUUUAAGAUAGCUGCUAAUAUGCUCUAUUAGACAAUGAUAACGUAGUUGUUUGUGGUGUUCAUAAUGAGUUUAAUUAUGAUUCAACAAUUUAAAAUAUGAAAACAUAUGGAAGAUGGCCGUAAUUAAAUUGAUUGCAUGAAAAUAUUUCAAUGAAAUUUUAAAAAUUUGGUACUUAUUAUCUUAUCAAAAGUUUUUUAAAUUAUAUUACUACUUCAACUUAACUCCUCCUGGAUUGAUUGUAUUGAAUUUCCAGCACCGCCAUUGCUUCUACUUGAAAGCCAUUUAAGUUUGUGUAAGCUACCUAUAGUUUGAAUAACAAUUUACUCAUGAAUUGCUGUUCAUGAUAACAAUUUGAUUGAAAGUGCGGCUGCACUAAUUGUUCUCGUACGACCCCAGAAUGCUGUUAAAUCAGUUGUAUUGGAAAUUAAUCAACUGGUUACAACUCUACACCCCAUCAAUAUUUAAGCAGUCCACAGAACAUUAAUUGUGUUUUGAAAUUUUAAUGAGUCUCACGUGUUUUUCACGUGAUAUGCAGUAAAAACAAAAUUAAAAAAAUGAAAACAUUCAGCCCCAAAGCCAAAAUCCCCAACUCCUUCCAAAUUGGUUCCGCAGCCCCCAAAUCCCUUAAACCCAAAGCACUCUAAAACGACUCUCCUCAGCCAAAAAGAAAAAGGUCACCUCACCUCUCCUCUUCUUCUUCCAUGGCGAUCAACGGCGGCACAAGCACGGGCUGAUCUCCUUCGUCAGUAACGAUCAACGGCGGUACAAGCAUGGACAGAUCUUUUUUUUGGCAAUGAUGAACAGCGGCACAAGCAGAGUCGUCCUCAGGUACGGAUUUGAUGUUGGUUGUGUUGUCAAGUAGCGAUUCAUGUUUGGAAGAGAAUCCGCUCACAAGGACCUGGAGCACUUAAUCGAAGAUCUUAAGCGAGGAAUUCGCUUCCUCCUCAUUCCUAAUCGGUGCCUGAUUCAUCAGUAUGAUUAAGGAUGAAAAUUGAGAAAGAAGGACGCAUUAGGUUUGAGACAUUGGUUGAAAAACGCUACCCCGGUGGCCACGCUGGAAACAUAUGUUCCGUGGCUUCUUGCGUUGUCUGUGAGGAAUAUGUACUGCUGUAGAAGAUAAUUAUGAAUCAAUGGUAAUUGGCGUGUUGGUUUUGGUGCCGAUUUCCUCUUAUUUUCCAGAAAAGGCUUGUAAUUUGUUCACCUCAAGAUUCAAUUUUGUUAUUGAAAAUGGAUGGCUGUAAAGACCUAUUGGCCUUUCAUUAUAUUAAUGUUUUUGACAGUAAGUUUGUAAUAGUUAGUGCAGGGAACUUAUUGAUUCUUGAUUAUAUAUAACGGUGGCCCUUAUUACUUUAAAAAAAAAAAAAAAAUUGAUGAUGGGUUUCGUUUUGUAUAAGUGUUUGGAGUGUUGGAAAAUUAACAUUGUAUAUUUUAGAUAGUUGAGUUCCAUAGUAAUAAAAAGCUACGGAUUUGUUUUCUUUUUAUUGAAAUGAAAACAUUUUUCACUUGUAUAAUAGAAAAUAUACUAUAUCUUUAAUACUUUUGUCAAAUUUAUUAUUUAAAAUUUAUAUUUACUACAUAUUAUUAAUUUUUGUUUCAUAGUCAUAGCUUUUUUUCCACAGUAGCUGUAGCUUAAAAGAUACAGCACCUCAAUUCCAAACGCACUCUAAUUAAAAAUUUUAGAAUUUUUGGGCAUGGAAUUGAAAAGAGUAGUAUUAAACAUCAGAAAGCUAAGGUUGUUCUGUUAAAGAAUUGAUAUUCACAUGAUUUUAUUUUGGUUUUUGGGGAAAAAAAAAAUUGUUGACAAGCAAGAAAUUAUUUUUAUAUUUUACAAUUUAUUAUACAUAUUUUAUCGUAUUAAAGUAAUUUUAAUAAUAAAUAGAAGCAUAAUAUUAAAUAAAGUUUAAAUUAUUUUGAAUAUUAUAAAAAAUAAUUUUAAUAUUAUUAAUAGGAAGACAUUUUGUUAAUUUUAAAAUCUUUUUAACCCAAAGGUUUAUUUAAAAUGUUUAUUAUAAAUAAAGAUAUAAAAUUAAAUAUCAUAGUGUAAAAUUUUUAAUAUUAUUUUAAGUAUUAAAAAUAUUUUAAUGUUAUUAGUCUACUACAUAGAUCAUAUUACUUAUAUUAUAUUUGCAAUGAUUAAAAAAUUUUAAAAUCAAUUUUCUAGUUACUAUAUUCGCGAAAUAUUAUGGUUAAAGAAAAGACCUUGGUGUUACUUUUUACAAAUUUGAGUGCCUGCAUGAUAAUUUUUUCAAAAUUUAAGAAUGUAUGUGUCCUUUUCUCCAAUAAUUUAUUUCACUUUUGAGGGGAAUCCAAUGAGAAAUAUGAUAAGAGAAUGUCAAUUACUUGUCAUUUUCUAUUUUUUCUGUAAGCUAUUUAUUUUGAGCACUGGUGAUCUUGUCUUGACUACUCCAAUUAUUGAUGGAACUCCAAUGGCUGCAUCCACAGUUGAAUAUAUGAUAGUGUUAGCUCUUAUUUGAGAAUUCAGAGGGAUCUUUCUAUGUUUAUCAAUUGCAAUGUGCUAGUAUAAAUUUCUUUACCUUACAGUUUAUAUAGUCUUGCUGUUAAAGAACUCACUGAGGCAUUAUUGAUUCAAUUUCAGUGGAGCAAUCGCGCGUAGAGGAUAAAUAAAGGAUAACAGAACAGAGCUGAAGUGCUAAAUUGGCUAUUAAAGAAGGGUGUCACAUGAUCACAAUCACAUUGAUGCACAACUCUCUGGAGGCAAAUUUUGUCUGUAUGUUCUCUAAAUUCAGCCAAACCAUACAUGCAUGAACAAAAAUUAAACCGUAGUUCUCACCACAACAGUAAUUGAAGCUACAAAAGCCAGCAAAUCUGAACAAAAACUUAAAAGAAAGAUCUUAUUCAAAUUUGUCCCCAAAAGAGUGCUGAGAUGGAAAAUAUUGACUAAUGAAUGGGUCAAUGCUGGAUUACAUUUCAAAUGGAAAGCUUGGCAGCAGUUACAAUGUUUCUCCCUCAGCUUUUCCUCCAAAACAAAUUCAGUUGUAAACAAUAACCGAAGUAGAGAUAAUUCAUUCAUCAAAGAAAAUACCCAAGUUUUCAACUAACAAAUCCUUUUGUCUAAACUAAAAAACUCAUAUCUCUAAAAUUUAUUUGCAAAAUGUUGGAAAUGAGGAGUGAUCCGUUAUCUCCGUAAAUAAACUCAUGCAUAAUGUUAACAAUAAUGAUACAUUACAUAAUAAUUAUUAUAAAGAAAUAUAAAUUGGAAACGCUAAUCAUUCUACAAUCUAAUAAAUAAGUAAGAUAAAUCUCGUAAUAAGUUAAGUUAUAAUGUAUAAAUGUUUUUAAUAUAUAAUUAUUUAAGAAGUCAUUUAAUAAUAAAAUAUUUAUUCUAUUCAGUUGAUCAUAUAGCGUUAUCGAAACUCUUGACGAUAUUAUUAUUACACUUUUCUCAAAAAAACAUGAUUAACAUUUAGAGAAAAGUCAUGCCUUUUAGAUAGAAUAUGUACAUAAGCUAUCCAUAUUUUAUCUUACCAUGAAAAAAUUGAUGGUGAUUAAAUCUACUUUUAAAAUAGAUUUAAUGCACAAAUAUGAUGAUUUUUGGCAAAAAUUAGUUUCGGAAGAUACAAUGGUAGAAAAUAGUGAUGAUUAUUGUUUAAAUGUGUAAAUAGCCUAGGCAUAGCCCGUAAUACCAAUAUCCAUUUACCUUCAUUUAGAUUAUCACAUCUCAUGAUAUUUUUUCAUUCACGACCAUUGUUCGAGAUUUGAACUUGAUCAUAAAUUAAGCUGCAACGGAGUUACUUAUGUUUCUAAGCUUUUCAAUCGCGAUUCCUCCAUGCCUUUCUUGGAUACCAUUUUACUGACCUUGUAAUUGGUGUGUAUAAGGAGUCAUGCCCUUUCAGGAUCGUUUUCUUUUUUUUUUUUCCUGAUUGUAGUGUCAAAUAAAUAAAGAACGAACAAUUGAACUUAGUCUAUUUCGAGGAAAACCAAGGCCUGCAAUAUUAGAUGAACUUUGAACAAAAUUAAUCUACUAUUCUACAUCCCCACCAAAAUUUAAACAGUCGACAUUGUGGAAAGAAACACAUUUCGCCACUAGGCUUUUAGUGAGGCUAAUUUCUCUGAAUUUGGACAGAGUAGGUCCUCCAACGAGAACUGAAUCAGGACGAAUCGGCUCUCCAUUUUCUAAUUCGAACGAGCAAAGGAAGCCUGAAUCUGUGACCGUUAUCAAUACUCUGCUUCUAUUCUGAUUCUCAGGAAGUACUUCUUCAAGAUCAUCCAAUACAUCGUCACCCUCUUUGUACUAAUCAUCAAGCACAAUAAAGUACUUCUUGUUUGUUAGGUAAUCUCGAAGAAUAGAUUUCUUCAAUUGAUAAUCUUCACCGAUAAUUACACUAACCCGAGAUGGAGGCAUCACAGACUUGAUUAUGUCAUCCAAUACCAUGCGAAAAUCGUAGGAUAUAGAAACCCUGACCCAAGCAUGACAGUCAAAAUAGAACUUGACGUGAUUAUUGUUGUAAGUAUCAGCAGUAAAAGCAGUCUUAUCGAAGCUAUUGAUGUCUUUCAGAAGCUCCCAAAUGUCUGUUCUUUUAACAUUUUCUAAGUGCAAGAGCUGCCGAUAACGCGAAGGUAUUUCAUCUUCAUCGAAUUGUUCUCUAAUGAGUUGAAUUAAAACUCGAGCCAUGUCAGCUUCAUAGUUUCCCAGCAGAGUAGUGGCUAUAAUUUCGGACUCCGUAAGAAGGUUUUGAAAAAGUGGAGUUAAAUUUGUUGAAUCAGGCAAAGUUAACGUGCCUUCUUCACCUGCUAACACCAGUUUCAACCUCUCACAAAAUAGUGUGAGGUUAAUUUCCAUAUCUUUCCCUCUCUCAGUAGUACUCAGAGGUACGUAUUGUUAUUUGUUAGUGUUGAUGACGAAAGCUGAAUAAUCAAAACAACAGUGUACACAAUCAACAGAAGGCGAAGUAUGUUAAGUUGAGAUCAAAGGAUAUAAAUGAAGGAAAAGUUUAAGUACUCCGUUGAAAGCCAAAGUUGCUUUGGCCAAUUAAUUUAUAAGUGAAGGAAAGAAUAAAGUUAGUCCUCGAUGUCUUUUGAAAUUAGAAAUACAUUUUGAAUGCUUUAAUAGAUGCAGAGCAAGCUGGCUCGAUGUCUAACUAUUUUAAGAGCUAAAAUCAUUUAUUAGAAGUUGUGGCAUUGAAAAAAACUGGCUUGAUAUCCAAUUUUGUUAUUUAAUGUCUCACGUGAGAGUAAAUAACUGUUGUGUUACUGGCAGAUGAUUGAGACGGACAAGUUUGGAACAUUGUUCGAGACUGAAACUACACAUCAGUCUUAGAAAAUUGUAAUUUUGUUGAAAAAUUAUAGAUUGAAAAAUUAUUGAGACGGACAAGUUUGGACCAUUGUUCGAGACUGAAACUACACAUCAGUCUUAUAAAAUUGUAAUUUUGUUGACUUAUCAUGAUUUUGAUUGCCUCCCAUUGAUUUUCCUAUGAUGUCUCUGUAGAGUGGCUAUGCUUACAUUUUUAGGUAUUUAAUUCUAAAAAUUAACUUAUUAGAUGGAAGGAUCAAUUCUACCUGUAAAUCUAAGUGGCUUCCCUUUACUAACUCAUAUAAGACACAACAAUAAUUUUCUUCGAAAAAAACCACCAUCGGAGGGCUAUUUUCGUUCAACAUACAUGAGUUGUUCCGCCACCAUAUUUUGAGGGUUUGCUUCUAAUACAACUUGGGGAAGCUAGGGGUAAGAUUUCCAAGUAUCAACAUAAAAACCUUGCCGAUUGGAUAGAAGGACCAAUCUUACUUAUAAGUCUAAAUGACUAAUUUUUGAGGACACAACUCAACAGACCAAUAUAAACUUUUGGCGUCCCAUUUUAUUACUUUUCAGUGCUUUACUUUUGCUGUCUAUAGCCCUACUAUUCUAUUAAGCAGAAAAUAUUAUCUAUUUUCUUUCCAUUUUAUGUAUACCCCGAUCUUUACCUCUGAUUGGUUGUAGAUUCUUCUGUCGCUUUGGGGUUAGGGGAUGGUUUUCAUCAAGAAAUGAUAAAGGAUUGUUAGUUGUGUGACAAACAGCAUUAAUAUGAAGGAUGAUGAUUGUUCUUUUCAAGAGUUUAUAAUGACAUAAUUCUGCUUUGGUCUUUUAAAAAAAAGUAAUUUAGAAAUGAGGAGUAUGUGAGUGAUGAUUUUUACAAAUAAAUUGCAUGCGUAGUGAUGAUUUUGACACAUGAAAAUGUAAAAAGAAAUAUAACUUGUGAAUAAUAAUCGAAGUACCCUGCUAUUGUUAUAUUGAGUAAUCAAGGACUUCGAUAUUCGGACGAUACAAGCAACACAAUCAAAUAUUAGUUGGAAGGCAUAGCAAAAUUAGAAUGUAGAACAAACUGGGUAUUGAUAAAUGGAUGGUUUUGGAAGAAUUGAAAAUGAUGGCAAAAAAAAAACAAAGUUAAGAGAAAAGAGAAAGAGCAUUUGAACUUUACUUGUAAGUAAAGGCAAAUAUCUUGGUUCAAGAAAAGAUAAGAGAUAUCAAACUAGCAAUAGGAAAAAGGAGGAAGGUUAAGACAGCAUCUUAACAAAAGCUAAAGAAAAGAAAAACUUAGUUCAAGCAAAGAACAAUGUGCUAAUGUAGUGUAAUCUUGUUUAAUUUCUUUUUCUUCUCACAUUUUCCAGGGCUUAAAUAAUACAAUGUACAUUUUCAAGCAAAGAACAACAAAUAAAUAAUACAAUAUACAUACCCAGUAAAUUAAAAAAAAUAUAUUAUUCAAGUUUGUGGACAAUACUGUAGCCAUUGCGUCGUCGAAAUCUACUGACAGCUGAAACAAAGAAAGAAUGGAUGAACGCUGGAUCACAGUUGAAAUUGAAGGUCUGGUAGGUGAUGUUUCCCUCUCUGAUUUUACCUAAACAAAUACAAGAAAAUAAGAAUCACGAAUGAAAAUCUGUUAUUACACUGUUCUUACUUAUUAAAAUACAGAGGUUUCUUUGUUUCUCUGCAGCAAUGUCCAUGGCUAUUAGAAACAAGAACAAUUAGACCAGCAUUUGCAAGAAUCUUUUAAGGUAUUACUGCAGAUAUAAAUCGACUGAGGAAAUGGAAAAAUUGAAUACCAAAUUAGGCAAGUUAACUGAAGAUUCAGUUAUCAUAGAAGAAUAAAACUCAUCCAAUUCAAUCCAUCAAAUUUCAUUAAGCAUUUCCAGAACUCUUGAUUUUCUUUCUCAGUAGCCAAACAACUUCAAUCUCAUUUUUUUUUUUCAACAAUGAGUUCUCAAACCACUCUGGUAUCAUUUUAAGACAUUCUCGGCCUUGUACUCACCAUCAAAAUGGAUUGGUUGAGAGAAAACAUAGGCAUAUUGUUGAAUUAGGUUUGACUCUGUUGGCUCAAGCUCAACUUCCUUUUAAAUUCUGGUGGGAUGCAUUCCAUACUGCCCUAUAUCACAUCAAUAGAUUACCAUCUUCUGCUUUCAAACUUUCGACCCCAUGUGAGAAGAUAUCCAAGCACAAACCUGAUUAUGAUUUUCUCAAAUGUUUUGGUUGUAUUUGUUAUCCUUACUUGAGAGACUAUAACAAACAUAAGUUUGCCUAUCAUUCCAGUAAGUGUAUAUUCAUUGGUUAUAGUCCUUCACAAAAGGAUUAUAAAUGCUUACAUUCUUCAGGUCAAGUCUAUGUGGCAUGACAUGGUAUCUUUGAUGAGUCAACCUUUCCUUAUGCUACUGAAUCUGUUUUUCAUAGUCACACAAAUUCUGAUUCUCAUUCUUCAAAUUUAUUUACUCCACAGCAUGUCUAUUAUCUUUCUACUUUACCUGUCAUACCAGUAUUUCUAAAUAACAACACUGAUAAUCUAAACUCUACAAAACUAAAAUGCCAGCUGUUUGGUGUUAGCGAUAAGAAACAACUUACCACAACCAUUAAUUAUCCAUAAUUUCAUUGUUUAUCCUCAGUUUUCUUCAUAAAUGUUACAGCGUUCUUCACAACAAAGUGCAAGGGCAUCUCAAAAGUUCUGAAAUAAUACCUCAAUUCUAUUGCAAAAAUAAAUAAUCUCAAACAAGAACCAAUAAUCAUAUUUCGUUACUGUCAAACACAAUGCAUCUGAGCAAAACAUUGGAAGCCAACACCAGAAUACAUAUGAAUAAACAAUUAAAGAUAGAGAAAAAAGGCUUAAACCUUGGGGGAAAAAAGUGAAAAAACAUGAAAGACAAAUUACACAUGUGCAGUAACCAUCGAACUUAUCAGUGACAGCUGCAUCCAUUACAUUGCUCCAACAACACAAUGGCAAACCACCAGUUUCAAAUUGAGGAUAGCUAUUGAGAAUGAGAAAGUGUCCAAAACGCCAUAAAUAGACAUGUUCCUAUUAUGCAUAAUUUACAUUAUAGGCAAAUAUUCUUAUACCAUCAAAAGCAAAACAUGACACUAUAACAAUUGACUCCCCCCCCCCCCCCCCCCCCCCCGCACACAAAAAAAAAGGAAGAAACAAUACCGAAAAGAUUGAAACAGGUAAGGCUACACUGAGCACAGGAUGCCAUGAAACAUAAUCCAGGAACCAAAUUAAUAAAGAAGGAAGGCAAACCAUUAUUUAACAAUCUGUUUUGUAUUAGGGAAAGUCCGAUAAAAUCUACUUAGGGAUAAUUAGAGAACCUCAACUAUUAAUCACACCUCAUAAAUGAACUAACAUUAACCAUGUACCAUCCCCACAUCAGACAAACAUUCUCUAUACUUCUGAACCUAAUACUUCCAUCUUCAAUUGGGGUUUUUUUCUUUUGUGGGGGGGGGGAUAAGCUAUCGUUUUUCUAAGCUUGCUUACCUUCUGUGUGGGACUGAAAUACUGAUUUCGAAUCAUUAACAGUAAAAUUGGAAGCUCAUGAAAAAACAAUUUUAUCUUUUAACAAAAGUUAAAAUUACAUCUCCAUAUAAAUUCUCUUUUCAUUUCCUUCAAUUUUCUAAUUAAGCUUAAAAAAAUGUACCUUCAACCACAAAGGGGUUUAAAAUUUAAAAUAUAUAAAAAAAUAAAUUCAGAUAACAAUAAUUAAUUUAAUUAAAAAUAUAAAUAGAGAUUACAGAGAAAGAAAAAAUAGAGAAAGACCUGAUGUUGAGAGCAUCGACGGCCGGCAGUGACCGGCGGAAGAUGGCGAGAGAUGGCGGCGUGGGCCAUUGCUUGCGCAUCAGUGAGUGUCUCGAGUGAGAGAGUGAAGGUAGGGAUGGCAAUGGGGAGGGAGGGAGGGUCCAAUCUCUCUGUACCCAUCUCCCAAUUUGUCCCCGUCCCUCCCCGUCCCCAUUUGCUUAGAAUCUGUCCCCUACUCGAAUAAUAAUUCUCGAAUAAUAACAUAAAAUGCUCGAGGUUCUCGAUUUAUGAAUAAUUAAUAUAUUUUUUAUUUUAAAUUUUAAAUUAACUAUAUUAAAAUAAAAAAUUUAAAUAAAAAUAAAAUUUGAAAUAUAUUUUAUAUUAAUAUUGAUCCAUUAUAAAAAUUACAUACAAAAUAUAAAUUAUCAAAAUAAUUAUCUUUAUCAAUCUUCAUAAUCCUACAAUAAAAAGAAAAAAAAUUUACUUUUAUAUUGAUAAUAAAAUAAAUGUAGAUAAUUAAUUAAUAUUUUUAAUAAAAUAAAAUUAAAAUAAAAUAAAAUUUUUAGGCUAAUAUAAUCUACCCGACUUUUUUAAUGUGUUAAAUAAAAAUUUAAGACUUUAAUUAGUUAAUUAGGCCUAAAAGCUUAAUAAUAUAAAUAUUUUGAUAUUUAUUAUUUUUACUAAUAUUUAUAAUUUUAUAAUAUAUUCAAUUUUUAUUAUUUAUUUACUAGUAAUUUUAAAAAAUAAAAAUAAAAUUAAAAAAUAAAAUGGGGGAAAUGGGGAGGGGAUGGGGAUUCCACCUCAUCCCCGUCCCUUCCUUGUAGGGAUGGCAAAAGUUCGGGUCGGGUCGGGUCUGGGGCUGCCUGGAACUGACCCGGAUUUCACACAUAGCUGCCCGGACCCGGACCGUGCCCGGAUUUUUUCUAUGCGGGCCGGGUAUAUGGCUGGCACUAUCCGGGCACAGGUUUUUUUUGGGUUUUCUCUACCCACAUUUUCAAAACUGGCUAAAAAAAAAUUGAUAGAAAAGGCUAAAUAAGUAAACAAAAUUGCAAUUGGGCCUGGAAAUUCAUAACUUAUCCCUGAAUUAUAUAUAUAUAUAUAUAACUUCUAAUUCUUUGUUGAUACAAGUUUUUUCUAAUUCAUUAUAAAAUCACAUUAUAUAUAUUAUUUCCUCAUCAGAUAAUAAGUGACAAUUGCUCACCAGUUUAUUAACAUCUCUACGAAACCGUCUUUUAUGGCAUUAUUAUUAUUAUUGUUGUGGCUGAAACCAUGUAGUAUGUGAUUGAAGAAAUUGCAUUAAAUGUUGGAGUGGAGGUGAUGUAGGUGAGAAAGGAUUCCCUGGAGACUGUUAAACAAGACACAAGGCAUUUCCGGAAGAAAACAGAAGACAACUGGAUAAGACAAAACGGACAAAAGGGUAAGAGAGGUGGGUGGGAAAUUAAGAUAGGCAAUUUGUCCAGCAGAAACAUAAUAAUACCUCGUGGUCGUGGGUCGUGGCUGUGUUGGUGAAGUUGCAGCUGAACAAGAACAGUUGAUGCUGUCGCGUGGUGGCUGCCGUUGAGAAGAUGACCAAACGAUGAAGAGCUCUGUGACGGGAUGGUUGUGCUUUGCGAGGAGAAAUAGAGUUGACUGAGGAAGGUAAGAGGUUCGUGGAGGGAAAGGUGCGGACAACACUGCAUCAGUGCCGGUGGGUGGUGGAGAGACGGAGAGAGGUGCCGCCGAUUUGGAGAUUUCAGGGUGGGUGCUGACUGCUGCAGUGCUGCGUUGUUCUGCAAGUUGCAAUCGCGAUUUAGGGUUCAGUACCAGUUUUGGGGGCAAUUGGGCAAAGUAAAUUUUAUUUUCGCUUUUAUAUUUUCUUUUUUUUUACUUAAUAAAAAACCGGGCAUUGAAAAUCAAUGUCCGGAUCCGCUUUUUCCAUUCAUGUGGUCCGGGUAAAACCCGAACCGCACACGCCGGGUCUGGGCCGGAUCCGGUCCGGGUGGGUUUUUCUGCCACCUCUACUUCCUCGAAUAAGAAAUUUGGUAAAAAAAAUUUCCCGUCCCUUCCUCGAAUAAAAAAUCGGGUAUAAAAUUAUCUCUGUAUCCUCCCCGAAUGAGAAAAAUCCCCGAAGAUACCCAUACCUGUGGGGAUUUUUACCAUCCUUGAGUGAAGGGUUUUGUUUAGGGUUUUGGGAAAUGAAAAAUGUAAAUGUUUGAUUUUGUUGCUAGAAACUUCUUCUGCCGCUGCUUUUUAUUUUCGCUAUAAAAAUAAUAAUUUGUUAAUCAAAUAUUUUCUUAAAAAAGAUAAAUUUCUAGAACAAAAUUUAUAUUAAAUCAAAUUGUAAAAAUGUGGAAUAGGGCUAAUUUCUCCUUAAUAUUAUUAUUAGUAGAAGUAGAUUGUCGAACUAGUCUUGAUAUAUUUUAGAGUUGUAUUAUAGAUGUAUACGUAUCUAGAUUGUAAUUAUAUUUUAAAAAAUAUAAUUUUUUUUAAUUAUUGCACAAUAAAUGUAGAAAAUAUCUAUAAAAUAAUAUUAUUAGAACUAUGAUACAGCACCUCAAUUCCACAGUAGCUUAAUAUUAUUAGAACUAUGAUACAGCACCUCAAUUCCAAACGCACUCUAAUUAAAAAAUUUAGAAUUCUUGGGCAUGGAAAGAGUAGUAUUAAACAUCAGAAAGCUAAGGUUGUUCUGUAAAAGAACUGAUAUUGACAUUAUUUUAUUUUGGUUUUCGGGGAAAAAAAUAUUUGUUGACAAGCAAGAAAAUAUUUUUAUAUUUUACAAUUUAUUAUACAUAUUUUAUCAUAUUAAAGUAAUUUUAAUAAUAAAUAGAAACAUAAUAUUACAAUAAAUAAAUUAAAGUUUAAAUUAUUUUGAAUAUUAUAAAAAAUAAUUUUAAUAUUAUUAAUAGGAAGACUUUUGUUAAUUGUAAAAUCUUUUUAAUCCAAAGAUUUGUUUAAAAUUCUUAUAAUAAAUACAAAUAUAAAAUUAAAUAUCAAAAUUUAAAUUUUUUAAUAUUAUUUAAAUUUUAAAAAUACUUUAAUGUUAUUAGUCUUCUACAUAAAUUAUAUUAUUUAUAUUAUAUUUGUAUUGAUUAAAAUCUUUUAAAGUCGAUCUUCUAGUUAUUAUAUGCAAAAGGUAUUAUCAUGUUACAAUUUUUUGAAAUUUUAGGGAUGUAGGUUACGAUGAUUUAUUUCACUUUUGACAAAAUCCAAUGAGAAAUAUGAUAAGAGAAAGUCAAUUUAAUGUUCUCGACCUUUAUGAAAAAAAGUAAAAACUAAGAAUUAUUCAAUUUUAUAUUUUUUGCAUCCACCAAAUAAGUUUUGCACAUUUAUGUUAUCAUAAAACGAAAAAAAGGGUUUACCAAAAAAUGGUACCAAGCAUACCUUUAAUGUCCCACGUGAUUUCUUAUUAAGCCCAAUAUUAGAUAUAUUUAUACAUUUUACUGCAUUAAGUAUUUUAAUUAUAAAAGAAGUUGGUCCUUCCUCUAGUUACAAAAGAUAACUUUAUUUCAAGACUACCACUAAAUUCUUACGUAGAAUUAGUGCAAGGCCAAGAGAGAGUAACACAAUUUUACUUUUCCAUUACCAUUUUGAAAAUAGAAAGAUAUGGAUCCGUGUAUUUAAGAGUUAUUGUAAAAAUCAUACAAUUCAAUUUCCUGACGUGUAUUAUGUAUAUUUAGGCACAUUUGCCAAAAGCAUAAAUAGAUAGAAAGUAAAUUUACAAUCCACCCUUACUCACAAUUAUUGAAGUGAAGAUGCAUUACAACUGUCACUACUUUAACUUUAUUUAUUUAUUUGUUUUAAAUAAAAGUGUGAGAGAGACGGUGAACAUCAUGGACGAUAACAAAGGUUAAAGCCUAAAGGUGACCCAUUUUCUUUUUAAAGUGCUCUGCUGAAAGCCUAACUUCCUUUGGAUCCGCCGAAGUGGCCGAAGUGGUGGGCUGCUGCCCUCACAAGCAUUGUGAGGGCAGCGGUUCUAGCCCCCACAAAAGCAUUGUGGGGGUUAAAUGUUCUUUAUAUUUAAAAAUUUUUCUCCCUUGCGAAAUACAAGUGGAGUAUGGACAUCCCUCUCCUGUGAGGGGUUAUUUGUUUGGGCAUGUACUUCAUAGAAUUUAAUGUAAUAAUGUAAGUCCCAAUAAUGUAUAUCUGAUUGUAAAUAUCAGUAUAAUAUCUCUGCUACAAUAGCAAUUAUUGUAAAUAUUUGUGUAAUACAGUAAUCUGAUGAUUAAUCAGUAUUCAAAAAAAAAAAAACUUCAUUUGGAUCCGCCUAAGUUACUGCUUUGUAAAAUUUUAUAAAGCCCCUUAUACUCUAUAUUAUUUAUAAUUUGUUCAUAAAUAUUAUAAAACUUUCUGCAUUAUAUAAUUUUAUUGAGCCCCUUGUACUAUAUUUUAUUUCAUUGAAACCCUUAAAGUACCAAUUCGCCCUCUAUAAUUUUAAAUUACUAAAAUACCCUCCAUUUAAUUAAAAAUAUAAUGAUUAUUAAAUGAUUAUAAUUAUCUGGAGUACAAAUUCAGUAAUAAACAAUAACUAAAGUAUUAACAAUUUAUUCAUCAAAUAAAAUACUCGAGAUUUCAGCCGACAAAUCCUCUUGUCUAAACUAAAAAACUCAUAUCCCUAAAAUCUAUUUGUGAAAUGUUAGAGAUGAGUGGUGAUUUGUCAACUGGGUAAAUAAAUUUAUGCAUAAUGUUUCCGGUAUUGAUAAAUUACAUAAUAAUUAUUACAAAGAAAUCAUAAAUUGGAAACAUUAAUCAUUUUACAAUAUGUUACAUAAGUAAGAUAAAUCUCAUAGUAAGUUAAGUUAUAACGUAAUAAAUAUUUUCAACAUAUACUUAUUUAAGAAGUCAUUUAACAAUAAUAUUUUUUAUAUUUCAGUUGAUCAUGUCAUAUAGCGUUAUCUAAACUCUUGGCCAUAUUAUUAUUACUCAAUUUUCUCCCAAAAAAAAAAAAAAAAAAACAAAAACAAACAUGAUUAAUGAUUAGAGAAAAGUCAUGCCUUUUAGAAAGAAUACGUAUACAAGCUAUCCAUACUUUAUCUUACCAUGAUGGUGAUUAAAUAUAUUUUUAAAAUAGAUUUAAUGCACAAAUAUGAUGACUUUUGGCAAAAAUUAGUUUCGGAAGAUAUAGUGGUAGAAAAUAGUGAUGAUUAUUGUUUAAAUGUGUAAAUAGUCUAAGCAUAGCCCGUAAUACCAAUAUUCAUUUGCACCUUCAUUUGGAUUAUCAUAUUUUAUGAUGUUCUUUCAUUCAUAACCAUUGUUCAAAAUUUGGAUUUGAUCAUAAAACAAAACUAAAAAAUAUUAGAGAUACUAACAAUUGAGUCCCAUUUUAAGUCCCAAUACAAUGUGUUAUUUCUCAAUGUUGUGUCAUUCAUUAAUUAAGUGAUGAAUUUCAGAAUUAAUAAUUAGUUCAGACUUUAAUUAAGAUUUAAAUGUUAGAAUAUCUAGCAUCAUUCAAUCACAAUAAACAAAAUUCAAAUUGAAACGGCAAUAUUGUAUUUUCUUUAAUUAAUUUUGAUGCUGAAGCAAAUAUUUUGCUUGGGUUUUUCACUUCUUGAUUUUGAUUGGAAAAGUUUCUGAGACGAAGUAUUUUGGAUAAUUUUUUCGGGAUUGAAACCACAACUUGGUAGAGGAAAUUAGUUGGAGUAGUGAUGGCUUUGUCUUCAUUUUUGGUUCCUUUUGUGUCGGCAGCCCCUUACUAUUCUCUUGACCCUGAGUUUGAGAUAGAAAUUUAUCAACCUCCAACCCCACAUCCACAAACAAGUUGAUUGAAACAAUUGCUCUUUUAAUUAAGAGGACCCAAAUGAUUUAGGUUUCAGUUCUUAUCAUUUGUCUAUUAUUUAUUUGAAACAUUUAUUUUGAGCGUUACUGAUCUUAAUUAUCUGUAUUUCUCCAAUUAUUGAAGCAUUUCAAGUGGCCACUUUUUCUCCUUUUUAUAUAUGUUUAUUUUUUGGAGUGAUCAAACGGGGGCAAAAUCAAGUAUUCGCUGGUCUGUAGUUUAGCCAACGAUGGCUGAUCCACACAGUUGAUUAUAUGAUACUAUUAGCUCUCAAAAUCUUUCUUAUUUGAGAAUACAAGUUGCCCAAUAGAGUUGAACUAUGUUACCCAACUCCAUGCUCAUACAUUAAAUGUUUAGGUAGUUUUACAAAAUGAUAGCAGCAUGCCAAAACUUGUUGUUGUCAUUUUCGACAUUUCAAAUUGAAAAAUAUGCAAGCAAUCUUCAGUGAACAUUACGUUUUUAUUGAAUAAUUUAAAUGGCCAGUAAAUCAACAGUCCGUGAGUUUUAAAUCUAUUAUGACUUAAUGUAUCUUUCUGUAUUCGUACACAGGUUAUAUUAUCAUAGUUUAAAAUUUUAAUAUUAUUUUAAAUGUUAAAAAUACUUUAAUGCUAUUAGUCUACUACACAUGUUAUAUUAUUUAUAUUAUAUUUGUAUUAAUUAAAACUUUUAAUGUAAAUUUUCUAAUUACUAUAUUGAAAAGGUAUUAUGGUUAAGAAAAAGUUUUGGCAUUUCUUCUUGAAAAUUUGAGGGUCUGCAUGACAAUUUUUCCAAAUUCUAAGGGUAUAGGUUUGAAAAUUUAAUGUUCUUUAACUUAAUGAAACAAAAGGGGGAAACCAAGAACUAUUCAAUUUUGUAUUUUUUGUUUGUAAUUCAAAAAAUGCAUCCACCAAACCAGUUUUACGCAUUAAUGCUGUCAUAAAACAAAAAACAGUUUGCCAAAAAAUGGUACCAAACAUAUCCUUAAUGUCUCACAUGAUUUCUUAGUAAGCCCAUAUUAGAUAUAUUUAUACAUUUUAGGUAUUUUAGUUAUAAAAGAAGUUGGUCCUCCCCCUAUUUAUAAAAGAUAACUUUGUUUCGAUAUUACCACUAAACUCUUACAUAGAAUUAGUGUAAUGUUAAGAGAGAGUAAAACGGUUUUCCAUUACCAUCUUUGAAAAUAGAAAGAUAUGGAUGCGUGCAUUUAAGAGUCAUCGUGAAAAUCAUACAAUUCAAUUUCCUGACAAGAAGUUGGUCCUCCCCCCCUUUUUUUUUUUUUUUCAAUUACAGUGUGAUGGAGACAUUAAGGAUGAGCAUAAUAGUUAAAGAUGACUCAUUUCUCAUUUUCUUUUUAAAGUGCUCUGCUGAAAGCCAAACUUCCUUUGGCUAAUUAAUUUAGAAGUAAAGCAGAGAAUAAAGUCCUAGAUGCCUUCUGAAAUUAGAAAUACAUUUUAUAUGCUUUAAUUAUGAUUAUUUGGUAGACUAAAGACCUAAAAGAUAUGUCAAAAGUAUAAAACAGAGCGAUUAAAGAAAAAAGAAAAAAAAAACAGAGCAUUUGUGACGUAGAACAAUUGGUAAAUAAAUCCUAAAUAUUUGAGUUGUUAAAAGCAAAUAUAACAGAGACAGUAAGAGAGAUGCUGAAACAGAAAACUAUUAGCUUAUCUUGAUUUUCCCACUAUAUUCAUUUUCGAUGCUUUUCAAACGAGAUUCUUUUAAUUCUUCUGGUGUCUCUUAUAGAUCUCCAUCCCACAUCUGCACUACGAACAAGUUGAUUAAAAUUAAAUACUGUUGGAGAUGUGGGGUGAGCGGUCAACUUGGUAAAAAAACUAUGUGUAAUAUUGUUAAUAAUAUAAAAUAUAUAAUAAUAAUUACAAAGAAUCAUAAAUUAGAAAAAUUAUUUAUUUUACAAUCUAUUUCUUAAGUAAGAUAAAUCUCGUAAUAAGUUAAGUUAUAAUGUAAAAAAUAUUUUCAAUUUAUAAUCAUUUAAGGAGUCAUUUAACAAUAAAAUCUUUCUUUUUUUGAUCAAUUGGUCAUGGUACAGAGCAUCAUCUAUAUUCAUGGUGAUAUUAUUAUUACUCCGUAUUCUCAAAAAACACGAUUUAACAUUUAGAGAAAGUUCCUACCUUUUAAAAAGAACAUGUAUGCAACAACUACCCAUACUUUAUCUUACCACGACAAAACUAAUAGUGACUAAAUCAAUUUUCUCGAAUAAAGCAAAAUUUCUUAAAAUUAAUUUAAUAUACAAAUAUGAUGACUUUUUGCAAAAAUUAGUUUUGGAAAAUUAGUGACAGAAAAUAGUAAUGAUUAUUGUUUAGAUGUGUAAAUAGCCUAAACAUGAUCCCUAAUACCAAUAUCCACGUGCAUCUUAACACCUUUCGUCAUAUUCUUUCAUUCAUGGUCACUGGUUCAAGAUUUGAAUUUGAUCAUUAAAUAUGUUCAAUAAUAUUAGAGAUCCCAACAAUUGAGUACCAACUUAAAUCCCAAUGCUAUGUGUCAUUAACAAAUGUUGUGUCAUUUAUAAUUAUUGAAUGAAUAAUUCGUUAAUUUAUUGAUAAAUGAAAAUUUAUUAAUUUAAAGAGAGAUAUUUUUUUUUUUGGGUUUUAAGAAGAGUUUUGUUGGUACAUGUACAUACUUAUAAAGAAAUAAACUUGUAAUUAUACUAUAUCUUUCUUUCUUUAUUCAGUUUGGUGGGAUAUUGUGAUAAAUCAUUGGAUUAAAAUGCAUUUCUAAAUUAAAACUUGUUAAAAUCUAAUUUAUUUGGGAAGCGCAUAUUAUUUGUCAGUCGUACUUCUCAAGUCUCAACUUAGCAAGUUAUUUCUAACUUGUCAGUCUCUAUUGGUUCUCUAAAGCUAAUAGUCUCGAAUCUCCCGCAUUUGAUAUCUUGCCAUUAUUGUUGGCAUUAACAUGUUACCUGAGAUUGGGAUUCAUUAAAAUCCUCAAUGUAAUCGGUGGAACGAAUGGAUUUCUUCUGUUCACCAAUCCACCAAAAUUUCUGUAAUUAAAUUCAAGAGUCAAGAUCUAUGCUUAUAAUCUAUUCUAACAGCUAAUAUUCUAUUUUAUAUUUACUUAAAUAUGAAGAGCUAUGCUUGUCAUUAACUUCAAAUGUGAUCGAAGCAGCCUUACAUCUGUAUAUUACUUAUUCCCAACCUUUUUUUUUUGACUUCAUAUACUUUAUUUUCAUGUUAUUUACUCUUUUUUUCCCCUUUCUGACAAUUGAGGUAGGGGGUCAAACUUGAAAGUAUCUUAAAAUCAGACAAAUUUUUUUUUUUUUAAGAUAGCUGCUAAUAUGCUCUAUUAGACAAUGACAAGUAAUAACCUAGUUGUUUGCAUUAGAAAUGAUAUUUUUUGUGGUGCUGAUAAAGAGGUUGAUUAUGAUUCAACAAUUUAAAAUAUGAAAACAUGUGGAAGACGGCCGCAAUUAAAUUGAUUGUAUGAAAAUAUUUCAAUGAAAUUUUAAAAAUUUAGUACUUGUUAUCUUAUCGAGAGUUUUUUUAAAUUAUAUUACUACUUGAACUUGGCUGCUUUUGUAUUGAAUUCCCAGCGUUGCCAUUGCUUCUACUCAAAAGCCAUUUAAGUUUGUGUAAGCUACCUAUAGUUUGAACAACAAUUUACUCAUGAAUUGUUGUUCAUAAUAGCAAUUUGAUUGAAAGUGCGGCUGCACUAAUUUUCUAGAUGAAUUUUUUCCUACAUGCUUGUUCUCGUAUGACCCAAAAUCCUGCUACAUCAGUUGUAUUAGAAAUUAAUACUGGGUUACAAUUAUGCAUCCCCACCAAUAUUUCUUGAGGAAAGAAACUCAUAUCGCCCCUAGGCUUUUAAUGAGGCUCAUUUUUAUGAAUCUGGAUGGCAUUAGAUAUCUCUCCGAAUAUUGGUGGGAGUAUAUCGCAGAUCAAUGGGCUAUACUACAAAGUGUAUGUACGUUGACUCUCAAUAAAUACAAACGAUUCUCUGAUAUGAUUCAAAACAUCAGUGCACGCAUCAUUUUAACGAGAGAGAAUAUUCUAAGAACGAAAUUGAAGGUGCAAUCAGCAACUAAAAUGAAGCCAGAAAUGUACACGCAUGAGGAAGUUUUCCUAGAAGAUUGAUAUUUCUUUAACUAGCAAACAAUACAAGUCCAAAGCUAACCAAACCAUACCUGCAAGUCCGGGGCUUAAAUGGAGUACUUGUAAGCAUAAAACAUUAAUCAAAACACAGUAUAGACACACACACACACCCCUACAUACAUACCAGCAAAUUCGAAAUAGAAAAAGGAGUGCAACUAUUCAAGUUUGUUGACAAUAUUGCAACCAUGGCAUAUUAAAGCAAAUCCUUAAAAUCAGCUAAACGAAACAAUGCCCUGUCUCAUGAAUCGAUGCUCAACUAAAAAUUGAAAUUGAAAGUCCGGCUGGUGUUGUUAUUAGAUAGAUAUAACAAGAUCUUUCUUUGACAGUUCUUAUUAGAUAGAUAUAAAAAGAUCUGCUUUGACAGUUCUUAUUAGAUAGAUAUAAAAAGAUCUUUCUUUGUUUCUCUGCUGUAAUUUGUGGCUAUCCCACUCUGUUUUGCCAGUCAAGCUGAGUCUACGUUGAGACAUAAUUUUGACAUCAGAAGCGGCCUCAAUUAGUUUGGCAUUUUUAUAACCUCCUUGAAGGUUUUACGAUAAACAUAAAUCUACUGACAAAGUGGGCAAAAAGAAAAUGCAUGUAAAAGUAUGAGUUAUCAAAUAAGAUUAAAACUCACCCAAUUCAAUCCAUCAGAUUCCGUAAGGAUACAACUGGAUGUCAUACCGCCACUCCAUAUUCUCGAAAGUCCGUAGUCCUUGUCUCAACUGUGUCUGGGGCCAGUGUAAGUCCAUUUUUGCGCAAGCUCUUUAUGCACCACAGCUCUUCUGGAAGCUUUCUCAAGUAAGCACACGGGUUGACAAUUAAGCAUUCAAGUUUCGGCAUUGCUCCAGCCCCCAUCGUCCACUCAUCUAGCCAAUACAUUGACUUCAGGUGCAAAACCUUAAGUUCGGGAAAGCUACUCAAGCCAACACAAGCAAGCUUUCUUCCUAAAUACGAGUUCUGCUUCAGUUUCAGCACUCGAAGGCGUGGAAGAUUUUCCAGAAUUGGCAUGGGAUCCUCCAUUAGCUCAGUAUUUGAUAAGCUCAGUUGGAUCAGACUUGGGGGAAAUUGGUAUUCAGACAGGACCAUCCGUGAGGGCUUGCUCUCAUUCACCAGCUUCAAGCAUUCAAGUUUGUGGAGUUCGCAUAGGCUUUUGGAAACCCCUGAAUGAUAGCAACUCAAAUCUCCAGAUAUCCGAAGAGUUUGAACAUUAGGUAGUCUGCCCAAUAUAUCAGGAGUACAACUACUGGGGUUUAAAGUUGAUAUGAAAAUGAGAUUUUUCAGGGAGCUAGAAUAAUUUUUUGGAGGUGCGGGCAGAGUGAUAGAACCAAAGUUUAGAUGCAUGAGUUUUUGCAUCUUCCAAAUAUCCUCUGGUGACUGAUCUAUGUAGCUAGAUGGCAUUUCUAGUGUUUGAAGGUUUAAAAGGGUGCAUAGCAGUGAAGGAAGGCAUUUGAGCGAAGGGAUAUUCAAUUUCAAAUACUUCAAAAGGAAUAAAUUUUCUAAUCCGGGUGGAUAUUGGUCCAGGACUGCAGAACCCAAGUUCAGUACCCGAAGGUAUUUGAACCUUUUAAAAAAAUUCUCGCAAUCUUUCGGAUUAAGAUGAUAUCUUUUUGGACUGUGAUUGAGAAAAGAUUGGAGAUACAUGUCAGAAUGUUCUAAAGAAAGGAACUCAAUCAAAUCAUCGACAAUGAAGCACCGUUUAACAUUUGCGGGUGGUUCCUCUUCCACGUCAUGCAUCCAGACAAAUCCCGUCUUCUUUGCCACCACAAACAAUGAAGUGUAGUAUACAAUACUUGGAAAAUAACACGAUUUAAUUGUGCCUCCGGCCCUUCUUUUACUCACUUGAAUGAAGCCGCGAUGGAUUAGUUCUUUCAAGUAAUGUUCGGCAGUUUCUUCACUGUUGUAUGGUAUGAAACCUUCAGCUACCCACAAAUGAUAUAAUUGCCUCGUGGAUAUCUCAAUGCCUGGAGGGAAGACACACAAAUAGAUGCAGCAGAUUUUCAAGUGAAAAGGUAACUCCAACACAGAACAAAUUCCAAUGAAAAUUGUCGGAAUCGUUUCGCCUUGAACAUAAUUUUCUAAUGGCAUACUUCCAUAGUGUAGGAUGAAAAAUUGCCAGGCUUCAUGCUUUAAUCUGAUCAAUGGUCCUCCAAUGAGCACCGAAUCAAGCCGAAUCUUCUCUCCAUUUUCCAUUUCAAGCGACGCAAGGAGGUCUGGAUCAGUGACUGUUAUCAAUACUCUGCUUCCAUUCUGAUUAUCAGGAAGAACUUCUUCAAGAUCAUCCCAUAUGUCAAUGUUAUCGCAGACAUCAUCAAGCACAAUAAAGUACUUCUUGUUUGUUAGGUAAUCUCAAAGAAUAGAUUCCUUGAAUUGAUAAUCUUCACCGAUAAUUACACUAACCCGAGAUGGAGGCAUCACAGACUUGAUUAUGUCAUCCAAUAUCUUGCCCAAAUCGUAGAAUACAGAAACCCUGACCCAAGCAAGACAGUCAAAAUAGAACCUGACAUGAUUAUUGUUGUAAGUAUCUGCAGCAAAAGCAGUCCUAUCGAAGCCACUGCUGUCGAGAAUUGCAACCACUGCAAGCCCAGAUGGUCCCUCAAUCAAUAGAUCAAACAACUUCUCUCUGCCCCUUUCAAAUUCACUGAUAUCGAGCCGAGGUUGUCCCUCAUUCAAUAGGCGAAUGAUUUCGUUACUUUUUUCACUGAUAUCAAAACCAUUGUCGCCGGGCGGAAGUUGUUGCAUCCGAUUUCUAAUAUCAAUGAUUUCACUGUGGACAUGAAGAGCCAUAUUAGUGCUGCUUUCACUUUCGUUUUCACUGUUUUGCUGCUGCAUUAUGUUGAUGAAGAAUCUGUCAAUGGCUUCCUCAGAUUCAUGGACAAAGUCAUUGAUGUGCACCAGAAUUUCCAAAAUAUCUGGUCUUUUAACGUCUUCUUCAUCGCUUUCUUCUAAGUCCAACAGUUGCAAAAAAGGAAAAGAUAUUUCGAAGUCAUCGAAUUCUUCUAGAAUGAGUUGAAACAAAUGCCGAGCCAUGUCAGCUUCAUAGUUUCCCAGAAGAGUAGCAGCAAUAAUUUCGGACUCCGUAAGAAGGUUUUGAAAAAGUGGGGUUAAAUUUGUUGAAUCUGGCAGCGGCAACGUGCCUUCUUCACCUGCUAACACCCUUUUCAACCUCUCACAAAUCAGUCGGAGGUGGAAUUCCAGCAUUUCUCCUUCUCUCCGUAGCACUCAAUUAGAAUUAUCUUCGAAUUCUAAUUUAAUUGACUAAGUAGUUAUAGCUAUUCUAUUGAUUAGGUCUAGCUAUUAUAUUCUAAAUGAUUAAUUGAGAGGUAUAGUUGAAAGAUUAAACACCAUGGAAGAAUUUGAAAGGAAAAUGCCAAGAAACUGUGUAAGUGGCUAAAUUCCACAAAUAUGACAUUAUUGCUCAUUUUUUAACUCAAAAAAAGGGUACGCAUUCAUUUAGAGAAAAGUCCAAGACGCGUGCUUUUUAAAAAGAACAGGUAUCCAACCUCUAUCUUAUUAAAUUACAACCAUGACAUAAUUGAUGGUGCUUAAAUCAAUUGUUUCUUUUUUAAUUUAAAGAAUUUUUCAUUAAAAAAAUAUUUUAAUAUCAAAUUGCCUUCAGUGGCGUAACUGCCUCAGGCCCAGUAACAGGACUAAUUAAAAAUUUUACAAUUUUUGGGCAUGGAAAUAGUAGUAUUAAACAUUAGAAAGGUAAGGUUGUUCUGUUAAAGAAUUGAUAUUGACAUAAUUUUAUUUUGGUUUUCGUGGAAAAAAAAUUUGUUGACAAGUAAGAAAAUAUUUUUAUUUUUUAAAAUUUAUUAUGCAUAUUUUAUCAUAUUAAAGUAAUUUUAAUAAUAAAUAGAAACAUAAUAUUACAAUAAAUAAAUUAUAGUUUAAAUUAUUUUGAAUAUUAUAAAAAAUAAUGUUAAUAUUAUUAAUAGGAAGACAUUUUGUUAAUUUUAAAAUCUUUUUAAUCCAAAGGUUUAUUUAAAAUCUCUAUAAUAAAUACAAAUAUAAGAUUAAAAUAAAAAUCAUAAUUUCAAAAUUUUAAUAUUAUUUUAAAUGUUAAAUAUACUUUAAUGUUAUUAGCCUACUACGUAGAUUUUAUUAUUUAUAUUAUAUUCGUAUUGAUUAAAAUUUUUUAAAGUCAAUUUUUUAGUUAGUACAUUCAAGAGGUAUCAUAGUUAAAGAAAAGAUUUUGGUGCAACUGUUUUAAAAUUUCAGGGUAUAAAUGAUAAUUUUUUUUAAAAUUUUAAGGAAGUAGGUAUUAUUUUUCCGACAAUUUAUUUUAUUUUGAGGGAAAUCCGAUGAGAAAUAUCAUCAGAGAACAUUAAUUUAACAUUCUUUACCUUUAUGAAAAAAGUGGAAACCAAGAACUAUUCAAAUUUUUUUUUUUUGUGUAAUUCAAAAAAUGCAUCCACCAAACAAGCUUAUCAUAAUUUUCCCACUUUAUUCAUUUUCGAUGCUUUUCAAAAGAGGUUCCUUUAAUCCAUCUAGCAUCUGCAGCCCCCACUAUUUUACAAAUCUCCAUCCCACAUCUACACUAUCAAAAAAGUUGAUGGAAAUUGAACCCAUUAAGUUAUGUUCAUUACUGGUCAUUAUCUUUCUAUGAGCCACUUAUUUUGAGCAUUAGCGAUCUUCUAAGGAAUCAUGCCUUUUCAGGAUCGUUUUCUUUCAUUUCCUUAUUGUAGUAGUUAAUUAAAUAAAGAACGAACAAGUGAACUUUGUCUAUUUCGAGGAAGAACUAGGUUUCCAACACUAGAGGAACUUUGAAGAAAAUUAAUUGGAAGCCUUUAUUCAUCUUUGAAGAAAAUUACGUGCCAAUGUAACCAAGGCUUUUAUUCAUCUUCGGACUAUGAAUUUAUACAAAAACAUUAACAGAAAAUAACAAAGACACAGCUAAAUGAUAGCAACAAGUGUUGAUUUAGUGGACCACUUCUACAAGUAAAUAAAAACUAAAUAUUUAUUUAAGGAGGGCUUUUGUUAGUAGAGUUUUUAUAAAUAGAAAUUUAACAAAAAAAAAUUAUAGUUAUUUAGUUGUCAAUGUCCAAAUUGAUGAAUUAUUGUUCUUUUUGUUAACAUGUGUUUGUUUUACUUAAUAAUAAAAGUUUAGUUUACAAUUACACCGGUGUCAAAUCAGCAGAGCAUUUUUGCAGCCAGUCACAUUAUACAUUAUAUACUAAUAGCAUCGGCAAGAGUUUUCGAUUGUUGCAACUUGCAAUGCACGCGAUGCGAGAAAAUGAGAAUCUUGUUUAAUUGCAAUAAUGACAAACCUAAUCCUUUCAUUAGGAGUAAAUUAAUAAUCGUUUGUUAUUAUUGAAUAUGUAUAAAGAAAGGACAAUUCUAUUCAUAGAUUCGACUUAUUUUUUGUUUAAAGUAAUUAAUCAUUCAACCAUCUUCAUUUGCCUCUGGCCAAUGCCCUUGUAGAUUAGUUGAAGCGUUUAUUACUUAAUUCAGAUAAUUACAACGUCCUUUUCGCUAAUUAAUUAUGAUUAUGAACAUUUUCAUAUAGCAAGUGGCAUUGUAGAUCUAAACUACGUUGCUAUUUCAAUACGUUAAUUAAGUGAUUCUCCUCAUUGUCAUCAACGUUAUAAACAGGAAUUGUGCAAACAGUACACAAUGCUGCAGCAAGGCGUGGGUGGCUAGAGUUUUGCAACCACCCUUGAGAUCCUGUGCUGCCAGUAGUAAAAGAAUUUUACGCCAAUUUGGUAAGCCCUGGUCAGCACAACAUUUGGGUAAGAAACUCACUUGUUCCAUUAGACUCUCGAGUUAUAAAUGUUUUUUAUAAUUUACCUGCUGAAAUUAAUUGUGAGUAUGCCAAGUUGCUUGACAAAUUGACCCCGCAACAAUGGAACACAAUUUUCACGACACUUACGGUAGAGGGUGCAUCGUGGGCUAAUGAGGAGGGGCAUGUAAUUAACAAGAUAGAUUUAAAACCCAUUGCUAAGGUGUGGGUGAAAUUUCUAAAAUCCAGGCUUAUGCCAACCACCCACACCACUACUGUUUCACAGGAAAGGUUGGUGCUGUUAUAUGCUAUUGUUAGAGGGCUUCCCAUAGAUGUGGGAAGCAUUAUCGAAAAAGAAAUUCGAGAUUGUGCCAUGAAAAACCACAAGGCUGCUGCCUUGUUAUUUCUUUCACUCAUAACCAGCAUAUGUGUAGUAUCAGGUGUUCGUCUUGAUGCAAAGGAUGAAAUUUGUAAUUAUAUUAUGGCUCCAUUUGGUAUAACUUUUUAAUUCGAACUUAUUUAAGGAGAAUUUUUAUUAGUAGAGUUUUUAUAAAUAGAGAUUUUACUAAAAAACAAAAAUUAUAGUUAUUUAGUUGUCAAUGUCCAAAUUGAUGAACUAUUGUUCUUUUUGUUAACAUGUGUUUGCCAGUCACAUUAUACAUUUUUGCAACUUGCAAUGCAAGCGAUGAGAGAAAAUGAGAAUCUUGUUUAAUUGUCAAUAAUGACAAACCUAAUCGUUUCAUUAGGAGUAAUUUCAUAAUCGUUUGUUAUAAUUGAAUAUGUAUAAAGAAAGGAAAAUUCUAUUCGUAGAUUCGACUUAUUUUUUGUUUAAGGUAAUUAAUCAUUCAACCAUCUUCAUUUGCCCCUGGCCACUGCCCUUGUAGAUUAGUUGAAGCGUUAAUUGCUUAAUUCAGAUAAUUACAACGUCCUUUUCGCUAAUUAAUUAUGAUUAUAUACGUUUUCAUAUAGCAAGUGGCAUUGUAGAUCUAAAUUAUGUUGCUAUUUCAAUACGUUAAUUAAGUGAUUCUCCUCAUUGUCAUCAAGUGGAAAAUAGCUCAAUUGUUUCCCUGCAUCGAUUUUCAUUGGUAAGUGAUUUCUUAUGAUAUUCGUUUGAGCUUUCCUUAUUAAAAAAGCUUGAGCCUUGAUCACCUAAUACUGAUAUCAAUUAACUUGUGAACGAUUUUGUAAUGAAAUUAGGAGUUAAAUAUAUAAGAUUUUUACGUGAUGAAUUUUGAUUUUUUUAAUUUUUUGAUGUAGUCAAUUUGCUAAUUUUAUAUAUUUCAUAUUCAACGGAAUUUGGGCACGGAAAGUUUGGAUUCUAAUAUUUAUAUAUUUAGCUUUAAUCAGCUUGACUUUAGCAAUCUUUUUCCCUCAUCAUUAAGGGAUUCAGAAUUAGAGAAACGCUAGGAAGAGGAAGAAAAUAACUUUGGAAGUAAGUAAGAGGGAAAAAAUUAUGAAAUUUGGAAUUAUUUUUUGUAAAGUAUGUUGCGUUUACUAAACUGGAAUUAGAAUGAGCUGAAAUCAGAAUGAAUAGGAAUGCGAAUGUGCUGAAAUCGGAAUAGGUAAUGAGAAUAAGAAUAAGUUGUUUACUUGAACUGUAAAAAUCAAAAUCGGAAUGAGCUGAAUUGCAAUUACUUUGUCUUGGAAUCGGAAUCGGAAUCGGAAUGAGUUAGAUUAUAACAAAUUACUGAAAAGUACUUAAUGAAUUAUUGUCAUAAUUAUUAUUUUAUAUUUUAAUUAUAGUGAUUAUUUAUUCAAAAAUUAUUAUUAUUAAUUAUUUCCAAUAAUAUAUUAAUAUGUUAAUUAAUUUUAAAAAUUAUUAAUUAAUUUAUUAUAAUAAUAUACUAAUUAAUUAUAAUUAUUAUUAUAAAAAUAUAUUAAUAAUAAAAUUACUAAUUUAAUUGUAAUAAUAUAUGAAUUAAUUAUAAUAAUUAUUAUAAUAGUAUAUGAAUUAAUUAUAAUAAUUAUUAUAAUAGUAUAUUAAUUAAUAAUAAUAAUAAAAAUAUAUUAAUUAUGUGAUUAUUUAUUCAAAAAAUAUUAUUAUUAAUAAUUAUUGUUAAUAAUGUAUCAAUAUACUAAUUAAUUAUAAUAAUUAUUAUAAAAAUAUAUUAAUUAUUAAUAAUAAAAUUACUAAUUUAAUAAUAAUAAUAAAAAUAUAUUAAUUAUGUGAUUAUUUAUUCAAAAAUUAUAAUUAUUAAUAAUUAUUGUUAAUAAUGUAUCAAUAUAUUACUUAAUUAUAAUAUAUUAAUUAAUUAUAAUAAUAUAUUAAUUAAGUAUAAAUGAGGACAAAGUGGGUAUUUUUAAUUUCACGAAGGGGCAAAAUGGUCAAUUCUAGUAAUGGGAGACUCACUCCCACCCUCUCCUUUGGGAAUGAGUCUCCCAUUCCUCAUUCCCAAAUUGUGGUGGGCCCCAUGAUUUUGACUCCGAUUUCUAACUCAAUUUUGCGAAGUAAACGCUACCAAUGAUUCCGAUUUCGGAUUCUGAUUCACUUAUCUGAGAAGUAAAAGCAACAUAAAUGUGUAUGAAUAAUUGAUACCUAUGAAUAGUUUUGGGAGUUUUAGCUAGGAGUCAUCUAUUGAAGAUGUUUAGCAAUUGAAGAUCUCUGUCUCAGUAGUUUUCCCAAUCAAAAUCAAGAAGCAAAAAAACUUGCCAUUUUUCUACUUGAUAAUUAAUUGAAAUUUAAGAAAAUACAAUGGCAUUUCAAUUAGAAUUGGUAAUUGUUUAUCUUUUUUCAUUGAUCAAAUUCUAAUCGUGAUCCAAUAGUUAUGGAUGAAGGAAAUAUUAUGAGAGGCGAUAGGCCAAGUGAAGACGUACCAGCAAAUUCAAAAUAGUCGGGAGGUGGACGUCCAGCAUAUCUCCUUCUCUCUGUAGCACCCAGAUGCAUUGUUAUUUGCUCCAAGAAAUGUUAAAAGGAUUGGCCCUAUCUCAAUGUGGUUAGUGGCAAGGGCGGAGACAGCAUAUUAAUUGACUGUGGGCUUACUCAACUGCGAUAAAAAAAAUUUAAAAAAUAAUAAAUAAUAAAUUUAAAAGAUUUAUCAUACUUCAAUAUAUGUUUAUAAUUAUCCUUUACGAGUUUUCAUACAUUGAUAACGUUGUAUUACAACUUCAUUAUCAAUAUUAUUGUGGGCUGUUUAAAAAUUUGAUUAAUAUUAAUAUUUAUAGGCUUGAUUUUAUUUUGUAAAGCCCAUCUCUUUUUAUUUGUUUUAAAAACUUAGAGUGUGAGAAUUUAAGUAUAAUUAUGUAUUAGGAACUUGAAUAUAAAUUAGUGGGGGCUUAGGAAAAAUUUAUUAGAAAUUUUUGGCAAAUCAAAUUAGUUAGUAAAAGAUUUUUUUUUUUUUUUUCAGUGGGGACUUAAGUCCCCACUGGUCCCAAGCUAGAUCCGCCACUGGUUAGUGGUGAAAAAUUAAACACCAUGGAAGGAUUUGCAAGGAAUAUGCCAAGAAACUGGCUAAGUUCCACAAAUAUGGCAUUAUUGCUCUUUUUUUUUUAAAGAAAAAUUAUACACGUUAAUUUAGCAAAAAGUCUAAGACACGUGCCUUUUGAAAAGAAUAGCUAUUACCAUGACACAAUCGAUGCGGCUGAAACCAAAAUUUUCUUUUCUUAAUGUAAAGUUUUUUUUUUAAAUAGAUUUUAAUAUCAAAAUGCCCUUCGAUGUUAUUACUCUCACAAGCCCUGUAACAGGAGUAAUAAAAAAGUUUAGAAUUUUUGGGCAUGAAAAAAGUAGUAUUAAACAUCAGCAAGCAAAGGUUGUUCUGUUAAAGAAUUGAUAUUGACGUGAUUUUAUUUUGGUUAUCGAGAAAAAAAUAUAUUUGUUGACAAGUAAGAAAAUAUUAUUAUAUUUUACAAUCUAUUAUACAUAUUUUAUUAUAUUAAAUAAUACUAAAUAGAAACAUAAAAUUAGAAUAAAAUAAAUUAAAAUUAAAAUUAAAAUUAUUUUGAAUAUUAUGUAAAAAAUAAUGUUAAUAUCAUUGUUACUUGUAAAAUAUAUUUAGCCUAAAGAUUUAUUUAAAAUUUUAUAAUGAAUAAAAAUAUAAAAAUAAAUUAAAUAUCAUAGUUUAAAAUCUUAAUAUUAUUUUAAAUAUUAAAAAUACUUUAAUGUAUCUUAAUAUUAUUUUAAAUAUUAAAAAUACGUUAAUGUUAUUAUUCUACUACACAUGUUAUAUUAUUUAUAUUAUAUUUGUAUUAAUUAAAAAUUUUAAAGUCAACUUUCUAGUAACUAUAUUCAAAGGUAUUAUGGUUAAAUAAAGGUCUUAGUGUUUCUUUUUCAAAAUUUGAGGGUCUACAUGAUAAUUUUUCCAAACCCUAAGGUAUAGGAGUCCUUUUUGUCAAUAAUUUAUUUCACUUUUGAGAGAAUACGAUGAGAAAUAAGAUCAGAGAAAUGUCAAUUUAAUGUUCUCUAGCUUAAUGAAAAAAAAAUGGAAACCAAGAACUAUUCAAUUUUGUAUUUUUUGUUUGUAAUUCAAAAAAUCCAUCCGCCAAACAAGAUUCACGCAUUUAUGUUGUCAUAAAAUGAAAAAACAGUUUGUGAAAAAAUGGCACCAAACAUACCCUUAAUGUCCCACAUGAUUUCUUAUGAAGCCCAUAUUAGAUAUAUUUAUACAUUUUACUGCAUUUAGGACAUGUUUGAUAGCCUGCAUUAUAUAGGAUAAAAACAUAAUUUUGUAUUAAAUUAAUGCACACUCACGUUUGGCGCUAAAAGUAACUCCAGCCGCAUUGCAUUAAUGGGCUGCUACUGCGGCAAUUGCCGCACUAGCUUGCCUCUUUUUCUUUUUAAUUUUAUUUAUAAUAAUAAUAAUAAUAAUAAUAAUAAUAACAUAAUAUAACUUUUAUUUUAAUAUAAUAUUAAGUAUAAUUUUUAUUUUUACAUUAUAAUUAUUGAUAUAAAUUAAUAAAUUUAUUAUUUAUUAUUCAAUAAUAUUAUAUUAUUAUUUUUUUAUUUUUACAUUAUAAUUUAUUAGUAAAUUUAUAAUUUAAUAUAAUUAAUGAUAAUAGAAAAUAUCAUUACAUGUACUACAAAACUCUUACUUGGAUUAUUUAACACAAUUUAUUUUAUUCGUGAAUAUGUUAUAACAAUUGUAUCACUUUAUUGUUUUGUUAUUAUUUUGUGGUAUGUAUAAAUUUUUAUUCUAUUAUUCAAAGAUGACUUUUGAACUAAUCUUAUAGGUUUUAACUAUUUAUUUAUGUUGUUAUAUUAUUAGAGAUUAUUUGAUUAAAUUAUUUGCUUCGAUCUUUAUUUUACAGGUCAUAUAUUUAGAAAUUACUGAAAAAUAAAUGUUCUACUUCCAAAAAAUUUAAGGCUAUAAGCUCGAUCUUUAUGAAUAAUUGUGAUAUUUUUUAACAUUUACACUAAAAAAAUUGUUAAAUUUCUAAAAUUUAAGACUUCUAUAUUUAGUAUUUUUCCAAUUACUAAUAAGUAUUAUUUUCUAAAUAUAUAAUUUAAAUUAAUCACAAAAAAUUAAUACAGUACAGUGCAAUAUCAAAUAUAAUAUAAUUAAAAAUUAUACAGUACAAUGUAGCACCAAAUAUUGUACAAUAUUAUUAUAAAAUAGUACUGAUGCAAUACAAUAUAAUACAAUAUAGUGUGCCAAACGCACCCUUAGAGUGUGUUUGGAACAUGGGAUUAUAGGGUAUUAAAACACUGUUCACAUUAGCUUAAUACCAAUAUCAUGUUUGGAAAGAAAUUUUAAGGGAUUAAAGGGGGGUGAGCUAAUGCCAUAACUGCGCCAUUAGUGUCUUGGUUUUUUUUUAAAUAAUAAUAAAAAAUAUAAAUUCCUAAUUUUAUGUAAUAUUAUAUAAUAUUAAUUUUUAUUUUCUUUGAUCUUUACAUUAUAGUAAUUAAUAUAAGUUAAUAAAUUUAUAAUUUAUUAUUCAUAUUUUAAUUUUUAUUAUAUUAAAAAUAUAACUAAAUAAUUUAAUUUUAAUUAUAUAAUAAUUAAUGUAUAAAAUUGAUUAAUAUUUAAUAAGUUAAUACAACUAGUAAUAAGUGCUUAAAUAAUAUAUAAAAAUAAAAAUAUAACAUAAUAUUACAUUAUUUAAUUAUAUUACAAUAACUAAUAUAUAAAAAUUGAUUAUUAUUUAACAAUUUAAUAUAGCUAAUAAUAGAUACUUAAAUAAUAAUUUAAUAUAACUAAUAAUGAAUAUUGAUAUAUGAAUAUAUUUAAAUAAUAUUAAUACCAAUAUAUAUAAUAAUAUAAAAUAUUAUUACAUGUACUGUAGUAUUCUUACUUGGAUUAUUUAGCGCAAUUUAUUUUAUUAGUGAAUAUGUUACAACUAUUGUAUCACUUUAUUAUUUAAAUUAAUCAAAAAAAUUAAUACAGUACAAGAUAGCACUAAACAUUGUAUAACAUUAUUAAAAUACAGUGUUAAUGCAAUACAAUAUAAGACAAUACAUCUAUAUUAAAAUAAAAUAAAAUAAUUUAAUUUAAUAUAAUACAGUAUGUCAAACGCACCUCGUAUAUUUUAAUUUCAAAAGAAGUUGGUCCUUCCGUUAUUUAUAAAAGAUAACUUUAUUUUCAGAUUACCACUAAACUCUGAAGUAGAAUUGGUGUAAUGUUAAGAGAGAGUAACACAGUUUUCCAUUACCAUCUUUGAAAAUAGAAAGAUAUGGAUCAGUGUAUUUAAGAGUUAUCGUGAAAAUCAUACAGUUCAAUUCCCUGACACAUAUAUUUAUGAGCAUAUGCCAAAAGAAUAAAUAGAUAGAAAGUAAAUUUACAAUCCUCACUUCCUCACAAUUGUUAAAAUGAAGAUGCAUUACAACUGUGAACUGUCACUAUUUUAGCCUUUUUUAUUUUUUACUUUUAGUUAUAGUGCGAUGGAGACAGUGAACAUCAAGGAUGAGAAUAAAAGUUAAAGAUGACCCACCCACUUUCUUUUUAAAGUGCUCUGCUCAAAGACAAACUUCCUCUGGCUAAUUAAUUUAGAUGUGAAGAGAGAAUAAAGUCCUAGAUGCCUUCUGAAAUUAGAAAUACAUUUUAUAUGCUUUAAUUAUGAUUAUUUGGUAGACUAUAGACCUAAAAGACAUGUUAGAUUAUAAAACAGUGCGAUUAAAAAAAAAAGAGUAUUUGUGACGUCAAAUAACAAUUGGUAACUAAAAUCCAAAAUAUUUGAGUUGUUAAAAGCAAAUAAAAAAAAAGAAGGUAAGAGUGAUGCAGAAACACAAUAUUAGCUUAUCUUGAUUUUCCCACUUUAUUCAUUCUCGAUGCUUUUCAAAACAAAUUCUUCUAAUCUUUCUGGUGUCUGCAGCCCCUUGUCACGGGACGAGAGGUUUCGAGCCCGUGCGGUACUCUCGCAUCCCAUACUGCGAGAGUAAACCUAGUGGAAGUGGCACAAUAUCGACUGGUUUCACCCUGUCUUGGGCUCAUCAGGAGAACGGCUCCAGUUCCCAACCAGUGUGUGAAGAGCUUCGCCUAAACCCCUCUUCAACGUUAAGUCCUUGACUAGCGACAAGCUCCCCAAACUCAACCAGGUUGGCCUGCCUGAACUCCAAGAAAUCUAGGAUCAUUGUAUUCCCCACACGACGCCCCUGAAGCACGUCUCCUACAAUCAGCACAACCCUUAUCGAUACCAGCGUACAAACGCAUAUCUUCGGCGUCACAAUUGCAGUCCGUGACACCCUGCUCUUGUUAUAAAACUCCACCCCAAAUCUACACUACAAACAAGUUGAUUGAAAUUAAACAAUUGCUUUUUGAAGUGGACCCAUUGAGUCGUGGUCAUUACUCGUCAUUGUCUAUUUUUUCUAUGAGCCAUUUAUUUUGAGCAAUAGUGAGCUUCUCUGAACUACUCCAAUUAUUGAUGUAACUCCAGUGGCUGCAUCCAUAGUUGAAUAUAUGACAGUAUUAGCUCUUAUUUGAGAAUAUAGGGGGAUCUUUCUUUGUUUCUUUGUUGCAGUGUUCUAGUUUAUAGUCUUGCUGUUAAUGAAUUCACUGAGGCAUUAUUAAUUUAAUUUCAGUGAAGUAAUUAUGGAUGAAAAAUAAAUAAAGGAUAACAGAAUAGAGCUGAAGUGCUGAAUCGGCUAUUAAAGAAAGUGUCACGUGAUCACAAUCACACUGAUGCACAACUCUCUCUAUGUACUCCAAAUUCAGCCAAACCAUACAUGCCUCAACAAAAUUAAACCGUAGUUCUCAUCACUACAGUAAAUGAAGCCCACAAAGACAGCUGAAAUGGAAAAUAUUGACUAUUGAAUGGAUCAAUGCUGAAUUACACUUGAAAUGGGAAGCUUGGCUGCGGUUACGAUGUUUCCCCCUCUGAUUUUUCUCCAAAACAAAUUCCGUUGUAAAUAAUAUUCAAUGUAGCAACACUUUAUUCAGCAAAGAAAAUACCUAAUUUUUCAACUAACAAAUUCUCUUGUCUAAACUAAAAAAACUCACAUCUCUCCAAUCUAUCUACAAAAUAUUGGAGAUGAGAGGUGAUUUGUCAACUCGAUAAAUAAAUUCAUGCAUAAUGUUACCAAUAAUGAUAAAUUACUUAAUAAUUCUUAUAAAGAAUCAUAAAUAAGGAACAUUAACCAUUUUACAGUCUAUUACAUAAGUAAGAUUAAUCUUAUAAUAAGUUAACUUAUAACGUAAUAAAUAUUUCAAUUCAUAAUUAUUUAAGAAGUCACUUAACAAUAAAAUAUUUUUUUAUUUAAUUGAUCAUGUCAUAUAACGUUAUCUAAACUCCUGACGAUAUUAUUAUUACUCACUUUUCUCAAAAAAACAUGACUAACGUUUAGAGAAAAGUCAUGCCUUUUAGAUAGAUAGAAUAUGAUUACAAGCUAUCCAUACUUUAUCUUACCAUGACAAAAUUGAUGGUGAUUAAAUCUAUUUUUAAAAUAGAUUUAAUGCACAAACAUGAUGACUUUUGCCAAAAAUUAGUUUCAGAAGAUAACUAAAUUAAGUUGCAAAGGAGCUUACUUCAAUUUCUAAGCUUUUCAAUCAUGAUUCCUCCAUGCCUUCCUCUGAUACCAUUUUGUUACGUGCCAACGUAAUUGACCUUGUAAUUGGUUUGUAUAAGGAAUGAAGCCCUUUCAAGAUCGUUUCUUUUGUGUCCAUAUUGUAGUAGACUAGUAGUCAAGUAAAUAAAGAGUGAAUAACUGAAUUUGGUCUAUUUCGAAGAAGACUAUGGCCUCCACACUACAAGAAAAUAGGCGAUAGAUAACGGGAAAUAACCGUCAUAAAAGGUGGUGUAUGACAGACAGUUUAUUCGUCAUCUAUGUCACUGUCAUUAAUUUAUGACAGAAUAUUUUCCGUCAUGAAUUCUUGAUGUUAUUUUACAAUCAUAUAUCCAUCACACAAUAUUUUAAUGAGAAAAAAUAAUUAAAUAAAAUUUGAAUUUAUUAAAAUUUUUGCUCUAUUUUUUAAUUUUUUGGCGGAAAAUUAAAUUGUCAUUUGUAAAUUUCUUAUUCAAUUUUGGUGGAAAAUUUUUUUAUGACAGACUUUAUGAUGUGUAUUUCCCAUCAUAAAGUUAAUUUUUUUAAAUUAUAUUGUGAUUAUAGUUUAUUUCUGAAUUCCUGUUUACAAAUUUAAUUAAUUAAUAAAAAAUGAAUAUUGUCAAAAAAUAAAAAAAUAAUAGUAACUAAAAUCCAUUCAAUCCAACAAAUUAAUUUCAAAAUAAAUACAUCUAAUAUUCAAUGUCAUUACCACUAAUACAUAAUAAAACAUCCCAAAUUAAAAAAAAGAAUGUCAAAAUAUAAAACAAUAGUUAAAUUCCAAUUAAAUUCCAAGAAAUGUAAUUCAAAUUCCGGACACCGAGCCAAGCUCCCCAGCAAAACUUCCAAAGAUUAAUGGAAAUAUUCCAAUAGCAAGACUUCCAGAAGCAAUACCCUCUUCCAGUGGCAAUACAUUGACUAAUCUUUGAAGCCAUGACUCCUCAAGCCAAUGCCAAAAAUGUGUGCAAAAUUAAUGCUCUAUCCACAAAAAUUUCAGUCUAUAUUGGUAAGAAGAAACAUGAAGAAACAAUUACCUCAGCAUCAUCGUCAUUGGAAGCCAAAUCAGCUGUAAAGACCACAAAAUGUUUGGUUAGAACUAGUGGAAGUCUUACUCUAAAACUUUUAAUUUUUGAAUUUCGAAAGAUCUAGUAAUGACAAAGAUUCUCAUAUCCAGUGACCAAGUUUUGAAAAUUAGAAUACGGAAUAACGUCAACUAAAUUCACUAAUAUAGGGUGCAUUUGAGAUUGAGGUUGGACAGCUGUAGCUUAAAAGCUACAGUAGUAAAGUGUUUGGUAAACACUAGUUGCUGUAAUUUAAAAACUAUGUUGAUAUGAUUUUUCACUUGUAUAAUGGAGAAUCUAUUUUUUUAAAUAAUUAUGUCAAAAUUAUUAUUUAAAAUUUAUAUUUACUACAUAUUAUUAAUUUUUGUUUCAUAGUCACAGUUUUUUUUCCACAGCAGUUGUAAAGCUACAUCACCUCAAUCCCAAACGCACCCUAAGCUAGAGGAAUCCCUAGUUGAUAUAGCACACAUGCACACAUGAUAUGCAUGCAUCAGAAUACACAAUAAUAAAUUAUCUCAAAGUCAAUAAGAAGCCAAAACUAGAGAUAAACCUUUAGCCACUAUAAGGAAGACUGAUAUUUGCAGUGUGAUUACAAUAAACAAACAGAAACUUCACUACCCAUAAGUAAAGCAAAAUAAAUAAAGGAUAAUAACUAACCAAGAAAUGGAAAAGCUCACAUUCUCUGAACACGCACCCCAAAAAGAAAGAAAGAAAUAAAUGUUCCCAUUGGAUCUGAAGCACAAGCAAUCCACUGACAUCCUUCUAUAAUUAGGUAAUUUAAAGGGGUUAAGCUCACAUCUUUUACGGAAGCAACAAGAGAAUUAACAACAUUCCAGAGGAUUUAGGGAAAAACCACGAGGCAAGAAAAAAGAAAGAUCCUUCUUCAAUCUAGAUAUCUUGACACUGCUCACCAUCUACAGCAGUCUGGGGCUUAAAAAGCAUGAUCUCUCCCCCCCUCUGGCACCAUUUUCUCUCAUGUGAAUCUGUCAUUGCCCGUAGAAACAAACCAGAACUGCAUAAAUUCUCUUAUCUUCCAGCAGCUUCUUUUCUCCAGAAAUAGGCACAACUAUUUGACAUGGAAACAAUUUAUCUAACAUGGCCACCUUUAAAGACAAAGACAUACUAAGGACAUGGUUUUAGAUACGGAUACAAGAAACAAUCACAAAAUGUAAAAUCUAUACAUAUGAUAUUAAUUUCCAAUGGAUACAGCACUUCAUUCUUUGACUUAACUUCAUUAGAUUACUAGGUUUGAUUAGGUUAUACACACAUUUAUUCAUUUAUGGUUUUCAACCUAUAAUCUACAUGCACUUAGAAUGAGAGGUACCUAUAAAAACAAGUUACCAGAAAACAAUACAGCUAGAAAACAUUAAAACAUUAAUCUAAGCAGUUCUAUAGGUUUAACUAACUGCAGGAAAAAACCGUUGAUUUUGUCCGUCGGAUUAUUGAGAUCCUAAUUCUGGUAAAAAGAAAAUGAGAUAAUAGAAAAUCAAAAAUUAAAUAGACACAAAAUGAGAAAUCAAGAUCAUACGGCAACUAAUAUAUAGCAUGGGCUGCAGCUAACAAGCAAUAUAAGCCAUGAUAUUAUGCCAGAUACAAAAUUUUGAGAUCCAAGAGAGAUCAAGAAGCAUGAAUAUUGAAAGAAGUGAGUGCAGAAGGAUAAGAAAUCAGGUUGAUAUUCUUCAUACUUUGGGUCAACACGUAGUGAUGCAAUAAACUUGUAAUUAGCUUCAAGUGUAUAGGCUACCAUGUCAACAUUUCCGAAAACACACAAGAUUGUGCUGGAUUCAUAUAUAGUACAUAUAUAAAAAAACAAUCUGCUUCUAAACUUCAUGAGAACAUCGAAUAAUGAACUUACAAUUUGAUCCCUCAUCAUCUUCAUCGCACCAUUUGUUCCAAUCAACCUUAAUGUAAGGUGCUGGUUUCUCUUCUGACUUGAGUAGCCUUUUCCACCAACCUUUCUCUUCUUUUUGCACCGAGCAUAUUAUGUUCCUUAAGCCAACUUUAGUCUUACAUUUCUGCACCACCAGCAACAAAAUUCAAAGCAUUACAAAAGAGGUAUAUUUAGCCGCUCUUGACUCGAGUGAGAGAACAGGAUAAACAGCCUAGGUAUAUCCACAUCCAUGUUAUGAGAUUAAUUAUGCAACAACUAACUUUAAUAUAAAGUUUGUGCUCCAACAAAGACUAAAAUGUUUGUAAUUGUUAUGCUUCCGGAGCUAAAAUGUUUCGCAAACACUCACUUUUACUCUGCAGCUAAUAUCUAGCACCCAGCCACACAAAGUCCGUAGUCUUUGUCUCAACUUUGUCUGAGGCCAAUGUAAAUCCAAUUUGCACAAGCUCUCUAUGCACCACAGCUCUUCUGGAAGCUUUCUCAAGUACGCACAAGGGUUGACAAUUAAGCUUUCAAGUUUUGGUAUUGCUCCAGCCCCCAUCGUCCACUCAUCUAGCCAAUACAUUGAUUUCAGGCGCAAAACCUUAAGUUCCGGAAAGCCACCCGAGCAAGCACAGGCCAGCUUUCUUCCUAAAUACAAGCUCUGCUUCAGUUUCAGCACUUGAAGGCGUGGAAGCUUUUUGAUAAGGAAAGGGAGCCACGGAGGUCAACAAAGGUUCAUAAGCCUAACUACAGAUACGAGGGCUUUGUUUGAACAUUCGUAAGUCUCAUGCAGCCAUGCAUGCGGUCAUGCAUGUUGCAUGCAAUACCAUGCAAGACUUAUUUACGCAUGGAUUAAAGAGUAGUCUGUUUCUAGUUUUUUAUUUAAGAUUGCUCAGUUAUUUAAAUUGAUUUUAGCCGUGAAUUGUGGCUACAAAUCCUUAGUAGUGUUUGUAUUAACUACUAUAAAUAAGCUCCAGCAAUUAAUAAAAGGAUUAUGCAAAAAAUUAUCUCAAAGUACUAUUCUUGGUCGUUUUCACCGUAAGUAGAACAACGUAAACUUAGCUAUUGUUGAACGUUUUUGAUUGGGACCUAUCACUUUUCCAGCCUUGGCAUGGGAUCCUCCAUUAGCUCAGUAUUUGAUAAGCUCAGUUGGGUCAGACUUGGAGGAAAUUGGUAUUCAGACAGGACCGUCCGUGAGAGCUUGCUUUCAUUCACCAGCUUCAAGCAUUCAAGUUUCUCUAGUUCGCAUAGGCUUUUGGAAAUCCCAGAUUGAUAGUAACUCAAAUCUCCAGACACUCUAAGAGUUUGAAGAUUAGGUAGUCUGCCCAAUAUAGCUGGAGUGCAACUACUAGGGUGUAAGGCUGAUAUGAAAAUGAGAUUUUUCAGAGAGCUGGAAUAAUUUUUUGGAGGCGCAGGCAGAGUGAUGCAACCGAAGUUUAAAUGCACGAGUUUUCGCAUCAUCCAAAUAUCCUCUGGUGAAUGAUCUAUGUAGCUUGAUGGCAUUUCUAGUGUUUGAAGGUUUAAAAGAGUGCAUAGCAGUGAAGGAAGGCAUUUGAGCGAGGGGAUAUUCAAUUUCAAAUACUUCAAAUGGAAAAAGUUUCUAAUCCGGGCGGAUAUUGGUCGAGAAUUGCAGAACCCAAGUUCAAUACCCCAAGGUGUUUGAACGUUUGACGAAAAUUCUCGCAAUCUAUCAGAGCGAGAUGAUCGCUUUCUGAACUGUGAUUCAGAAAAGAUUGGAGAUAGAUGUCAGGAUGUUCUAAAGAUAAAAACUGAAUCAGAUGUUCCAAAAUGAAGCACCGUUUAACAUUUGCCAGUGGUUCCUUUUCCCUUUCAUGCAUGCAGACAAAUUCCGUCUGCGCUGCCACCAAAAACAAUGGAGUACAUAAAAAACUUGGAACAUAACACGCUUUAAUUGUGCCUCCGGCUCUUCUCUUACUCACUUGAAUGAAGCCGCAAUAGAUUAGUUCUUUCAAAUAAUGCUCGGCAGUUUCUUCACUGUUGUAUGGUAUGAAACCUUCAGCUACCCACAAAUGAUAUAAUUGCCUCGUAGAUAUUUCAAUACUUGGACGAAAGACACACAAAUAGAUGCAGCAGACUUUCAAGUGAAAAGGUAACUCCAUCAAAGAAUAACUGUGUCUCUAAAUUGUCGGAAUCGCUACGCCUUGAACAUAAUUUUCUAAUGGCAUACUUCCAUAGUGUAGGAUGAAAAAUUGCCAGGCUUUAUGCUUUAAUCUGAUCAAUGGUCCUCCACUGAGCACUGAAUCAAACCGAAUCAUCUCUCCGUUUUCCAUGUCCAACAGCGUAAGGGGGCAUGGAUCAGUGACCAAUAUCAAUACUCUGCUUCCAUUCUGAUUGUCAGGAAGAACUUGUUCAAGAUCAUCCAAUACAUCGUCACUCUCUUCACAGUAAUCAUCAAGCACAAUAAAGUACUUCUUGUUUGUUAGGAAAUCUCGAAGAAUAGAUUUCUUCAAUUGAUAAUGUUCACCGAUAAUUACACUAACCCGAGAUGGAGGCAUCACAGACUUGAUUAUGUCAUCCAAUAUCUUGCCAAAAUCGUAGAGUACAGAAAUCCUGACCCAAGCAAGGCAGUCAGAGAAUUGCAACCACUGCAAGCCGAGGAUGUCCUUCAAUCAAUAAAUCAAACAACUCCUCUCUACCACUUUCAAAUUCGUUGAUAUCAAGCCGAGGUUUUCCCUCAAUCAAUAAGUGAAUGAGUUUGUCCCUUUGUUCAGUGAUUACGAAACCAUUGUCGCCGGGUGGAAGUUGUUGCAUCCGAUUUCUAAUAUCAAUAAUUUUACUGUGGAGUCCAACAAGAAGAGCCAUAUUAGUACUGCUUUCACUUUCUUCUUCACUGUUUUGCUGCUGCAUGAUGUUGAUGAAGAAUGUGUCAAUGGCUUCCUCAGAUUCAUGGACAAAGUCAUUGAUGUCCUUCACAAUUUCCAGAAUGUCUGAUCUUUUAACGUCUUCAUCGCUUUCUUGUAAAAAAGCCAAAUAUAUUUCGGAUUCAUCGAAUUCUCCUCUAAUGAGUUGAAACAAAAGCCGAGCCAUGUCAGCUUCAUAGUUUCCCACCAGAGUAGUAGCAAUGAUUUCUGACUCCGUAAGAAGGUUCUGAAAAAGUGGAGUCAAAUUUGUUCAAUCAGGCAACGUUAACGCGCCUUCUUCACCUGCUAGCACCCUUUUCAACCUCUCACAAAAUAGUCGGAGGUUCACGUCCACCAUAUCUCCUUCCCUCCGUAGCACUCAGAGAAGAUUGGUCCUAUCUCAAAGUGGUUAGUGCUGUAAAAUUAAACACCAUGGAAGAAUUUGAAAGGAAUAUGCCAAGAAACUGGCCAAGUGGCUAAAUUCCACAAAUAUGACAUUAUUGCUCAUUUUCUCUCAGACACGUGAUACACGUUGAUUUAGAGGAAAGUUCAAGAAUUUUGCUUUAAAAAAAAAAAUUGAUGGUGCUUAAAUUAUUAUUUUUUUAAUUUAAAGAGUUUUGCUUUUAAAAAAAAAUUAAUAUCAAAAUGCCUUCAAUGUUAUUACUGCCACAAGCCCAGUAACAAAACUCAUUAAAAAUUUUAGAAUUUCUGGCCAUGGAAAGAGUAGUAUUAAACAUCAGAAAGCAAAGGUUGUUCCGUUAAAGAAUUGAUGUUGACAUAAUUUUAUUUUGGUUUUCGGGAAAAAAAAAAUAUUUGUUGGCAAGCAAAGAAAAUAAUUUUAUACUUUACAAUCUGCUAUACAUAUUUUAUCAUAUUAAAGUAAUUUUAAUAUCUAUCAAAAAAAUAAAUUUAAUAAUAAUUGGAACAUAAUAUUACAAUAAAUAAAUUAAAAUUAUUUUAAAUAUUAGGAAAAAAAUAUUAUUAAUAGGAAGAUAUUUUGUUAAUUGUAAAAUCCUUUUAUUCCAAAUAUUUUAUUUAAAUUUUUUAUAAUAAAUAAAAAUAUAAAAUUAAAAUAAAUAUCAUAAUUUAAAUUUUUUAUAUUAAAAAUAUUUUAAUGUUAUUAGUCUACUACAUAAAUUAUAUUAUUUAUAUUAUAUUCGUAUUGAUUAAAAUCUUUUAAAGUUAAUUUUAUAGUUACUAUAUCCACAGGGUAUUAUAUUAUAUUUAAGAGUAAUUUUUUCAAAUUUUAGGAUUGCAGAUGUCCUUCUUCCGAUAAUUUAUUUCACUUUUGAGAGAAUCCAAUGAGAAAUAUGAUAAGAGAUGGUCAGUUUAAUGUUCUCUGCCUUUAUGGAAAAAAAGUAAAAAGUAAAAACUAUUCAAUUUUGUACUUUUUGUGUCCACCAAAUAAAUUUUACACAUUUAUGUUGUCAUAAAACGAAAAAAAAGGGUUUGCCAAAAAAUGGUACCAAGCAUACCUUUAAUGUCCCACGUGAUUUCUUAUUAAGCCCAUAUUAUAUAUAUUUAUACAUUUUAUUGCAUUAAACAUUUUUAUUAUAAAAGAAGUUGGUCCUUCCCCUAGUGAUAAAAGAUAAAUAUGAUAAUGUUUGAGAUGGGUUUAGUCUUUUAUAUUUGCUGAGUCCAGUGGGUUAAAGAAUUAGAGUAAAGCAUCUGGGCAUUCUUUCAUGCAAAACUAAAAAUCCUGAAAAUAGUUGGCUUUAACUGAUUAAGACAAGCUUGGUCGAAUUGAGUUGAACUUCAUAUAUAAAAGCCAAAUAUAUUGCGGAUUCAUCGAAUUCUUCUCUAAUGAGUUGAAACAAAAGCCGAGCCAUGUCAGCUUCAUAGUUUCCCACCAGAGUAGUAGCAAUGAUUUCUGACUCCGUAAGAAGGUUUUGAAAAAGUGGAGUCAAAUUUGUUAAAUCAGGCAACGUUAACGCGCCUUCUUCACCUGCUAACACCCUUUUCAACCUCUCACAAAAUAGUCGGAGGUUCACGUCCAGCAUAUCUCCUUCUCUCCGAGAAACUGUGUAAGUGGCUAAAUUCCAGAAAUAUGACAUUAUUGCUAUUUUUUUAACUCAAAAAAAUGGUACGCGUUCAUUUAGAGAAAAGUUCAAGACGCGCGCCUUUUGAAAAAUGGUACCCGUUCAUGUAGAGAAAAGAACAGGUAUCCCAAUCGGUAUCCAACCUUUAUCUUCUUUAAUUACCACCACGACAUGAUUUUUUUUUUUUUUUUUUGAUGACAUGAGACUAUUGCUUAAAUUACAACUCAAAUUACAACUCAUAUUACAUGAGAGUAUAAUUGAUAUGUACAAUCAUAUAUACAUACUGAGAUCUAUUGACAUUAAUGCUGAUAUGACACUGCUCAGAUUUUUGUAACCCUCUCAAAUAUUCGAGGGACGUCAAACUCCUAUCCUGGGAGAAAGACUGCCUUCACUCGAGCUCUGUGGCUCCAAGGAAGGAAAUAUAAAUUAAACCUCUACAAUGCGACUGCGGAGGCUCGAACCCCUUCCCUCACAUAUGUGAGGGAGUGGCUCUAGCCACUUGGGCUAGCCCAAGUGGUUCCACGACAUGAUUGAUGGUGCUUAAAUCAAUUGUUUCUUUUUUAAUUUAAAGAAAUUUUCAUUAAAAAAAUAUUUUAAUAUCAAAUACCCUUCAAUGGCAUAACUGCCGCAAUCCCAGAAACAGGAUUAAAUAUUUUUUUUUUUUUGAAUUUUUGGGCAUGGAAAGAGCAGUAUUAAAAAUCAGAAAGCUAAGGUCGUUCUGUUAAAGAAUUGAUAUUGACAUAAUUUUUUUUUGGUUUUCGGGGGAAAAAAAAAAUUGUUGACAAGCAAGAAAAUAUUUUUAUAUUUUACAAUUUAUUAUACAUAUUUUUUUUUUUUGGAUCAAUAAUGGGCUCUAAAAGAGCUAAAGCACCAGUAAACGGGAGUGGGCAACCCCAGACACAUCGUUAUGAAGAAUACUCUGUAAAUUAGGAGGAGCAACAGUAAGUAACUGCAAUCCUAAAGGACAAGACAAAUUAAAUGAGGCCAGAAAAUCUGCUGCUAUGUUUGCUUCUCGAUAGAUGUGGUUCACUUUCACGACCCAGUCCCUGCUGAUCAGCUCACGAAUGGCAAGGAUAAGAGAAUGAUGCUCAUUAACAGGAGUGGUCGGAUUCUCCAAGAUUUGAGAUUUAUUAUACAUAUUUUAUCUUAUUAAAGUAAUUUUAAUAAUAAAUAGAAACAUAAUAUUACCAUAAAUAAAUUAAAGUUUAACUUAUUUUGAAUAUUAUAAAAAAUAAUUUUAAUAUUAUUAAUAGGAGGACAUUGUAUUAAUUUUAAAAUUUUUUAACCCAAAGGUUUAUUUAAAAUCUUUAUUAUAAAUACAAAUAUAAAAUUAAAUAUAAUAAUUUAAAAUUUUUAAUAUUAUUUUAAAUAUUAAAAAUAUUUUAAUGUUAUUAGUCUACUACAUAGAUCAUAUUACUUAUAUAAUAUUUGUAUUAUUAAAAAUUCUUAAAAUCAAAUUUUUAGUUAGUAUAUUUAUGAGGUAUUAUGGUUAAAAAAAAAACCUUAUUAUUACUUUUUAAAACAUUGAGGGCCUGCGUGAUAAUUUUUUCAAAAAGAAAAUGCUUGGUAUCUAGGAGGGUUAGAGAAACAGGACUACCAAAAUCUCUCACCCUUUUUUAAUUAAAAAAAAUUAAAAUAUCAAUAAAAAAAAUAAAGAAAAUAGAAUUUUAUCUGCUCCUUACUCCAUUUUUGUAACUCUCUCACCAUCUCUGUCGAGCAGCCCUCUCUUUCACUGUCUCUCACUAUUUCACAAUCUCUCUCUCACUCACACAGUCCUUUAGAAAAGCCCAAAAUAGGCCCAAUAAGCCCAUAAUUAAAAUAAUCGAAUCGAAUUAUUUCAAUUAAUCGAGUAUUUGAUUAUUUCGGUAAUUUGAUUAAUCGCGAUUAUGAUUUUAAAAUAAUCGUAAUCGAACGAUUAUGAAAAAUUUAGUAAAAAACCGAAUUGAACCGAACCGCACCCACCCCUACAUAAAAGAACAACAAUUACUUGUCAUUUUCAAUUUUUUCUAUAAGCUAUUUAUUUUGAGCAUUAGUGAUCUUGUCUGGACUACUCCAAUUAUUGACGUAACUCCAGUGGCUGCAUCCACUGGAAAAAGUGGAUGAGAACAUUUUUUUUUUUCAUAAAGGUAACUACUCCAAUUAUUGACAUAAUUGAUGGUGCUUAAAUCAAUUUUUUUUUUUAAUUUAAAGAAUUUUGCUUUAAAAAAUAAUUAAUAUCAAAAUGCCUUCAAUGUUGUUACCGCCACAAGCCCAGUUAGAGGACUCAUUAAAAAUUUUAGAAUUUUUAGGCCUGGAAAGCGUAGUAUUAAACAUCAGAAAGCAAAGGUUGUUAUGUCGAAGAAUUGAUGUCGACAAAAUUUUAUUUUAGUUUUCGGAAAAAAAAAAAAAUUUGUUGACAAGCAAGAAAAUAUUUUUUAUACUUUACAAUCUGCUAUACAUAUUUUAUCAUAUUAAAGUAAUUUUAAUAAUAUAUGGAAACAUAAUAUUAUAAUAAAUAAAUUAAAAUUACUUUGAAUUAUUGAAUAUUACAAAAAGAUAAUUUUAAUAUUAUUAAUAGGAAAACAUUUUUAAUUGUAAAAUCUUUUUAAUACAAAAAUUCAUUUAAAAUCUUUAUAAUAAAUACAAAUAUAAAAUUAAAAAAAUAUCAUAAUUUAAAUUUUUUAAAAUUAUUUAAAUAUUAAAAAUACUUUAAUAUUAUUAGUCUACUACAUAAAAUAUAUUAUUUAUAUUAUAUUCGUAUUGAUUAAAACGUUUUAAAGUCAAAUUUUUAAUUAGUGUAUUCAAAGAUACAAAAGAUUUUAGUAUUAUUUUUAAAAAAUUUCAGGAUAUGAAUGAUAAUUUUUUCAAAUUUUAAAGAUGUAAGAAUCUUUUUUUCUGAUAAUUUAUUUCACUUUUGAGAGAAUCCGAAAACGUUAAUUUAACAUUCUUUACCUUUGUGAAAAAAGUGAAAAUCAAGAACUAUUCAAUUUUGUUUUUAUUUGUAAUUCAAAAACUUUAUUCAUUUUCGAUGCUUUUCAAAAGAGACUCCUCUAAAUCCUUUUGGUGUCUGCAGCUCCUGCAAUUCUCAUAAAUCUCCAUCCCACAUCUACACUAUCAAACAAGUUGAUGGAAAUUCUUAUCAAAAAAAAAAAAAAAAACAAGUCGAUGGAAAUUGAUCAAUUACUUUUUGAAGUGGACCCAUUGAGUCAUGUUCAUUUCUGGUCAUUGUCUACUCUUUCCAUCAGCCAUUUAUUUUGACCAUUUGCGAUCUUAAAGGAUAUGAGAACGUAGCUGAAGUGCUGAAGGGGCUAUUAAAGAAGAGUGUCACUUGAUCACAAUCACAUUGAUGCACAACUCACUCGUGGCAAAUUUCGACUAUACGUUCUGCAAAUUCAGCCAAACCAUACAUGCAUGAACAAAACUAAAAUGUAGUUCUAAUCACAACUGCAGUUAUAAUGUUUACCCCUCUGAUUUUUCUCCAAAACAAAUUCAGUUCAAAACAAUAAUUAAAUAGCCACAUUUUGUUCGUCAAAAUAAAUGCCCAAAUUUUCAAUUAACAAAUCAUCUUCUCUAAACUAAAAAUCCCACAUCUCUAAAAUCAAUCUACAUAAUGUUGGAGAUGAGGGGUGAAUUGUUAACUCAGUAAAAAAAACUCAUGCAUAAUAUUACUAAUAAUAUAAAAUAUAUAUUAAUCAUUAUAAAGAAUCAUAAUUAGAAAAAUUAAUCAUUUUAUAAUUUAUUACACAAGUAAGAUAAAUCUCAUAAUAAGUUAUAACAUAAAAAAAACGUUAUCAAUAUAUAAUCAUUUAAGAAGUCAUUUAACAAUAAAAUCGUUCUUUAAUCAGUUGGUCAUGUCACAUAGUGUCAUCUAUAUUUACGGUGAUAAUAUUAUUACUCAGUAUUAUCAAAAAACAUGAUUUAACAUUUAGAGGAAAUUCUUGCCUUUUAAAAAAAACAUGUAUGCAACAACUACCCAUGCUUUAUCUUACCAUGACAAAUAUUUUCUCAAUGAAAGAAAAUUUUUUAAAAAUUGAUUUAAUGCACAAAUAUGAUGAUUUUUCCAAAAAUUAGUUUUGGAAAACAUAGUGAGAGAAAAUAGUGACGAUUAUUGUUUAGAUGUAUAAAUAGCCUAAACAUAAUCCUUAAUACCAAUAUCCUAAUGCAUCUUAUCAUCUUUCAUGAUAUUCUUUCAUUUAUGUCCAUUGGUUCAAGAUUUGAAUUUGAUCAUUAAAUCAUGUUCAAUAAUAUUAGAGAUUCUAACAAAUGAGUACCAACUUAAAUCCCAAUGUUAUGUGUCAUUGACCAAUUUUGUGUCAUUUUGUUAUUAACUAGGUGAUGAAUUUGUAGUUGAUAAAAUCACUUAAAAAUAUCUUAAAAAUCAAACAAUAGUUUGCUUAAUUUUUCCAAGUUAACUGCUCAAGAUGCUCUAUUAUAAAUAAUAACCUAAUUAUAUUCAUAAAAAAUGAUAUUUUUUUUGUGGUGUUGAUAAUGAGAUUAUCAUUCAACAUUUUAAAAUGUGAAAACAUAUGGAAGAUGGUUGUAAAUUGAUUGAAUGAAAACAUUUCAGUGAAGUCUCAAAAAUUUGGUACUUGUUGUCUUAUCGAAAGUUUUCUAAAUUAUAUUCGUGGCACAGCCACUAUCCAAACCAUACAAGUCCAAAGCUAUCCAAACCAUACCUGCAAGUCCGGGGCUUAAAUGGAGUACUUCUAAGCAAAAAAACAUUGACUAAAAUAGAAUAUAUACAUACAGACACACAUACAUACCAGCAUAUUCAAAAUAGCAAAAGGAGUGCAAAAGUUCAAGUUUGUAGACAACAUUGCAACCAUAGCAUGUUUAUAGCAAAUCCUCAAAAUCUGCUAAAUAAAACAAUGCCCUGUCUCAUGAAUCAAUGCUGAAUUAAAAUUGAAACUGAAAGUCUGGAUGGUUUUGUUUGUUGAGAAUGUCAAAUAAAACGGCAUUGAAGGAAGUUUUCAAAGGCAGAAUCCGCACUUGUCAAAGGGAUGAUCUGCACUUGUCAAAGACACUAUCCGCGCCGAACGGAUCGACACAUUUCCUUCCGUAUUCACAUAUGUAAUCUUUGAAAAAAUAUAGCUUCUGCAUCUAUAAAUAACGCUCAGUGUAUAAUGUUUUAUUCAAGAAAUAAAAACAAGUUUCUACAUGGUAUCAGAGCCAUGAAUGCGCUCAAGUUUCUUCAAGUUUCGCUGCUCUGUUUGUCACAAAAACAGAGGAAACCAAUUAAAUUCGUCCCACAACCAUUUUUUCCACCAUUUUCUUCCUUAAAAUCAUUCCUAACAUUACAGAAAUCCAUGCCGAUCAAAAAACAUGAAAGACAAAUUACACAUGUGCAGUAACCAAUGAUCAUAUUUCGUUACUGUCAAACACAAUGCAUCUGAGCAAAACAUUGGAAGCCAACACCAGAAUACAUAUGAAUAAACAAUUAAAGAUAGAGAAAAAAGGCUUAAACCUUGGGGGGAAAAAGUGAAAAAACAUGAAAGACAAAUUACACAUGUGCAGUAGCCAUCGAACUUAUCAGUGACAGCUGCAUCCAUUACAUUGCUCCAACAACACAAUGGCAAACCACCAGUUUCAAAUUGAGGAUAGCUAUCGAGAAUGAGAAAGUGUCCAAAACGUCAUAAAUAGACAUGUUCCGAUUGUGCAUAAUUUACAUUAUAGGCAAAUAUUCUUAUACCAUCAAAGGCAAAACAUGACACUAACAAUUGAUCACCCCCCCCCCCCCCCCCCCAACAACAAAAAAAAGGAAAAAAACAAUACAGAAAAGAUUGAAACAGAUAAGGCUACACUGAGCACAGGAUGCCAUGAAACAUAAUCCAGGAACCAAAUUAAUAAAAAAGGAAGCCAAACCAUUAUUUAACAAUCUGUUUUGUAUUUGGGAAAGUCUGAUAAAAUCUACUUGGGGAUAAUUAGAGAACCUCAACUAUUAAUCACACCUCAUAAAUGAACUAACAUUAAACAUCUACCAUCCCAACGUCACACAAACAUUCUCUACACUUCUGAACCUAAUACUUCCAUCUUCAAUUGGGGUUUUUUUUUCUUUUUCUUUGGGGGGGGGGGGGGGGGGGAUUGAAAUGCUGAUUUCGAAUCACUAACAGUAAAAUUGGAAGCUCAUGAAAAAAUAGUUUUAUCUCAAAAUUACAUCUCGAUAUAAAUUCUCUUUUCAUUUCCUUCAACUUUCUAAUUAAGCUUAAAAAAUGUACCUUCAACCACAAAGGGGUUUAAAAUUUAAAAUAUAAAAAAUAAAUUCAGAUAACAAUAAUUAAUUUAAUUAAAAAUAUAAAUAGAGUUACAGAGAAAGAGAAAAUAGAGAAAGACGUAAUGUUGAGUCCUUUGGCGCAAGUCUCUUCAUAGGUCCGAACCAUUUCUUCGGGCGUGGGUUUCGGGUCUUUAGGAUACUCCAUAGUGAUAAGCCAGUGAUUGUAAUCGCAACCCUCGAACAGAAUCGUGUCGGGUGUGAUCUCGUCGCCGUCCUUAUACAAGUGGUACGUCUUGUUAACCGACGGCGUAGACGAGAGGGAGAUCGUCGGGGACGAUCUGAACGGCCGAGAUUGGAUAAUGAUGGAGGAGGAGAAGAUUAGCGAUGACGACGCCGAUGAAAUGGAAGGGUUUACCAGAGGAGUGGAUGCGAAGAAUGCAGGGACGGCCGCAAAGAGAGAGCGGCGGAGAGCGGCGACGGACGGUAGUGACCAGCGGAGGCGGAAAAUGGCGGUAUGGGCCAUUGCUUGCGCGUCGGUGAGUGUCUCGAGUGAGAGAGUGAAGGGUUUUGGGAAAUGAAAAAUGCAAAUGUUUGAUUUUGUUGCUAGAAACUUCUUCUGCCGCUGCCUUUUAUUUUCGCUAUAAUAAUAAUAAUUUGUUAAUCAAAUAUUUUCUUAAAAAAGAUAAAUUUCUACAACAAAAUUUAUAUUAAAUCAAAUUGUAAAAAUGUCUAUUAGGGUUAAUUUCUCCUUAAUAUUAUUAUUAGUAGAUGUAGAUUUUCGAAUUAGUCUUGAUAUAUUUCAGAGUUGUAUUAUAAAUGUAUAUGUAUCUGGAUUGCAAUUAUAUUUUUAAAAAAUAUAAUUUUUUUAAUUAUUGCACAAUAAAUGUAAAUAGUAUCUAUAAAAUAAUAUUAUUAGGACUACGAAAAAAAUAUUAUUUUAGAGAAGUUAUUUAUUUAUUAUUGAAUGAAUAAAAAAAUUAGUUUGGCAUUUUUAUAACCUCCUUGAAGGUUUUACGAUAAACAUAAAUCUACUGAGAAAGUGGGAAAAAAAAAAGAAAAUGCAUAUAAAAGUAUGAGUUAUCAGAUAAGAUUAAAACUCACCCAAUUCAAUCCAUCAGAUUCCGUAAGGAUAUAACUGGAUGUCAUACCGCCACUCCAUAUCCUCGAAAGUCCGUAGUCCUUGUCUCAACUGUGUCUGAGGCCAGUGUAAGUCCAAUUUGCGCAAGCUCUUUAUGCACCACAGCUCUUCUGGAAGCUUUCUCAAGUAAGCACAUGGGUUGACAAUUAAGCUUUCAAGUUUCGGCAUUGCUCCAGCCCCCAUCGUCCACUCAUCUAGCCAAUACAUUGAUUUCAGGUGCAAAACCUUAAGUUCGGGAAAGCUACUCAAGCCAACACAAGCAAGCUUUCUUCCUAAAUACGAGUUCUGCUUCAGUUUCAGCACUCGAAGGCGUGGAAGAUUUUCCAGAAUUGGCAUGGGAUCCUCCAUUAGCUCAGUAUUUGAUAAGCUCAGUUGGAUCAGACUUGGGGGAAAUUGGUAUUCAGACAGGACCAUCCGUGAGGGCUUGCUCUCAUUCACCAGCUUCAAGCAUUCAAGUUUGUGGAGUUCGCAAAGGCUUUUGGAAACCCCAGAUUGAUAGUAACUCAAAUCUCCAGAUAUCCGAAGAGUCUGAACACUAGGUAGUCUGCCCAAUAUAUCAGGAGUACAACUGCUACGGUUUAAAGCUGAUAUGAAAAUGAGAUUUUUCAGAGAGCUAGAAUAAUUUUUUGGAGGUGCGGGCAGAGUGAUAGAACCAAAGUUUAGAUGCAUGAGUUUUUGCAUCAUCCAAAUAUCCUCUGGUGACUGAUCUAUGUAGCUAAAUGGCAUUUCUAGUGUUUCAAGGUUUAAAAGGGUGCAUAGCAGUGAAGGAAGACAUUUGAGCGAAGGGAUAUUCAAUUUCAAAUACUUCAAAAGAUAUAAAUUUUCUAAUCCGGGCGGAUAUUGGUCCAGGACUGCAGAACCCAUGUUCAAUACCCGAAGGUGUUUGAACUUUUUACAAAAAUUCUCGCAAUCUAUCAGAGCGAGACGAUCGCUUUCUGAACUGUGAUUCAGAAAAGAUUGGAGACGCAUGUCAGAAUAUUCUAAAGGAAAGAAGUCAAUCAGACGUUCCACAAUGAAGCACCGUUUAACAUUUGCCACUGAUUCCUCUUCCAUGUCAGGCGUCCAGACAAAUCCCGCCUUCUUUGCCAGAAAAUACAAUGAAGUGUAUACAAAACUUGGAACAUAACACGCUUUAAUUGUGCCGCCGGCGCUUCUCUUACUCACUUGAAUGAAGCCGCGAUGGAUUAGUUCUUUCAAGAAAUGGUCGGCAGUUUCUUCACCGUUGUAUGGUACGAAACCUUCAGCUACCCACAACUGAUGUAAUUGCCUCCUGGAUAUCUCAAUACUUGGAGGGAAGACACACAAAUAGAUGAAGCAGACUUUCAAAUGAAAAGGUAACUCCAUCACAGAAAAAAUUUGUCUCCAAACUGUCGGAAUCGCUUCGCCUUGAAGAUAAUUUUCUAAUGGCAUACUUCCAUAGUGUAGGAUGAAAAAUUGCCAGGCUUCAUGCUUUAAUCUGAUCAAUGGUCCUCCAAAGAGCACUGAAUCACGCCGAAUCUUCUCUCCGUUUUCCAUUUCCAACGACGCAAGGAGGUCUGGAUUAGUGACUGUUAUCAAUACUCUGCUUCCAUUCUGCUUAUCAGGAAGAACUUCUUCAAGAUCAUCCCAUAUGUCACUGUCAUUGAAGACAUCAUCAAGCACAAUAAAGUACUUCUUGUUUGUCAGGUAAUCUCGAAGAAUAGAUUUCUUCAAGCGAUAAUCUUCACUGAUAAUUACCCUAGCCCGAGAUGGAGGCAUCAAAGAAUUGAUUAUGUCAUCCAAUAUCUUGCCAAAAUCGUAGGCUAUAGAAACCCUGACCCAAGAAAGACAGUCAAAAUAGAACUUGACAUGGUUAUUAUUGUAAGUAUCUGCAGCAAAAGCAGUCUUAUCGAAGCCACUGCUGUCGAGAAUUGCAACCACUGAAAGCCCAGAUGGUCCCUCAAUCAAUAGAUCAAAAAACUUCUCUCUGCCCCUUUCAAAUUCACUGAUAUCGAGCCGAGGUUGUCCCUCAUUCAAUAGGCGAAUGAUUUCGUUACUUUUUUCACUGAUAUCAAAACCAUUGUCGCCGGGUGGAAGUUGUUGCAUCCGAUUUCUAAUAUCAAUGAUUUUAGUGUGGAGUCCAACAAGAAGAGCCAUAUCAGUACUGCUUUCACUUUCGUUUUCACUGUUUUGCUGCUGCAUUAUGUUGAUGAAGAAUCUGUCAAUGGCUUCCUCAGAUUCAUGGACAACGGGAUUGAUGUCCUCCAGAAUUUCCAAAAUAUCUGCUGUUUCAACGUCUUCUUUAUCGCUUUCUUCUAAGUCCAACAGUUGCAAAAAAGGCAAUGAUAUUUUGGAGUCAUCGAAUUCUUCUCUAAUGAGUUGAAACAAAUGCCGAGCCAUGUCAGCUUCAUAUUUUCCCAGCAGAGUAGUAGCAAUAAUUUCGGACUCCGUAAGAAGGUUUUGAAAAAGUGGAGUUAAAUUUGUUGAAUCAGGCAAAGUUAACGUGCCUUCUUCACCUGCUAACACCCUUUUCAACCUCACACAAAACAGUCGGAGGUGGAGUUCCAGCAUAUCUCCUUCUCUCCGCAGCACUCAGAGGUAUAGUUGAAAGAUUAAACACCAUGGAAGAAUUUGAAAGGAAUAUGCCAAGAAACUGUGUAAGUGGCUAAAUUCCACAAAUGCGGCAUUAUUGCUCAUUUUUAACUCAAAAAAUUGAUACGCGUUCAUUUAGAGAAAAGUCCAAGACGCGUGCCUUUUGAAAAGAACAGGUAUCCCAAUCGGUAUCCAACCUCUAUCUUAUUUAAUUACUAUCAUGACAUAAUUGAUGGUGCUUAAAUCAAUUGUUUCUUUUUUAAUUUAAAGAAUUUUUCAUUAAAAAAAUAUUUUAAUAUCAAAUUGCCUUCAGUGGCGUAACUGCCUCAAGCCCAGUAACAGGACUAAUUAAAGAUUUUACAAUUUUUGGGCAUGGAAAUAGUAGUAUUAAAUAUUAGAAAGGUGAGGUUGUUCUGUUAAAGAAUUGAUCUUGACAUAAUUUUAUUUUGGUUUUCGUGGAAAAAUAAAAUUUGUUGACAAGCAAGAAAAUAUUUUUAUAUUUUAAAAUUUAUUAUGCAUAUUUUAUCAUAUUAAAGUAGUUUUAAUAAUAAAUAGAAACAUAAUAUUACGAUAAAUAAAUUAAAAUUUAACUUAUUUUGAAUAUUAUAAAAAAAAUUUUAAUAUUAUUAAUAGGAAGACAUUGUAUUAAUUUUAAAAUUUUUUAACCCAAAGGUUUAUUUAAAAUCUUUAUUAUAAAUACAAAUAUAAAAUUAAAUAUCAUAAUUUAAAAAUUUUAAUAUUAUUUUAAGUAUUAAAAAUAUUUUAAUGUUAUUAGUCUACUACAUAGAUCAUAUUACUUAUAUAAUAUUUGUAUUAUUAAAAAUUCUUAAAAUCAAAUUUUUAGUUAGUAUAUUCAUGAGGUAUUAUGGUUAAAAAAAAAAAAGACCUUAUUAUUACUUUUUAAAAAAUUGAGGGUCUGCGUGAUAAUUUUUUCAAAAAGAAAAUGCUUGGUAUGUAGGAGGGGUAGAGAAACAGGACUCCCAAAAUCUCUCACCCUUCUUUAAUUAAAAAUAAAUAAAAUAUUAAUAAAAAAUAAUAAAGAAAAUAGAAUUUUAUCUGCUCCUUACUCCAUUUUUGUAACUCUCUCACCAUCUCUGUCGAGCAGCCCUCUCUUUCGUUGUCUCUCACUAUUUCACGAUCUCUCUCUCACUCACACAGUCCUUUAAAAAAGCCCAAAAUAGGCCCAAUAAGCCCAUAAUUAAAAUAAUCGAAUCGAAUUAUUUUAAUUAAUCGAGUAUUUGAUUAUUUCGGUAAUUUAAUUAAUCGCAAUUAUGAUUUUAAAAUAAUCGUAAUCGAACGAUUAUGAAAAAUUUAGUAAAAAAACCGAACUGAACCGAACCGCACCCACCCCUACAUAAAAGAACAUCAAUUACUUGUCAUUUUCAAUUUUUUCUAUAAGCUAUUUAUUUUGAGCAUUAGUGAUCUUGUCUGGACUACUCCAAUUAUUGACGUAACUCCAGUGGCUGCAUCCACUGGAAAAAGUGGAUGAUAACAUUUUUUUUUUUUUCAUAAAGGUAACUACUCCAAUUAUUGACAUAAUUGAUGGUGCUUAAAUCAAUUUUUUUUUUAAUUUAAAGAAUUUUGCUUUAAAAAAUAAUUAAUAUCAAAAUGCCUUCAAUGUUGUUACCGCCACAAGCCCAGUUAGAGGACUCAUUAAAACUUUUAGAAUUUUUAGGCCUGGAAAGCAUAGUAUUAAACAUCAGAAAGCAAAGGUUGUUAUGUCGAAGAAUUGAUGUCGACAAAAUUUUAUUUUAGUUUUCGGAAAAAAAAAAUUUGUUGACAAGCAAGAAAAUAUUUUUUAUACUUUACAAUCUGCUAUACAUAUUUUAUCAUAUUAAAGUAAUUUUAAUAAUAUAUGGAAACAUAAUAUUAUAAUAAAUAAAUUAAAAUUAAAAUUACUUUGAAUUAUUAAAUAUUACAAAAAGAUAAUUUUAAUAUUAUUAAUAGGAAAACAUUUUUAAUUGUAAAAUCUUUUUAAUACAAAAAUUCAUUUAAAAUCUUUAUAAUAAAUACAAAUAUAAAAUUAAAAAUAUCAUAAUUUAAAAUUUUUAAUAUUAUUUUAAUAUUAAAAAUACUUUAAUAUUAUUAGUCUACUACAUAAAAUAUAUUAUUUAUAUUAUAUUCGUAUUGAUUAAAACGUUUUAAAGUCAAAUUUUUAAUUAUUGUAUUCAAAGGUACAAAAGAUUUUAGUAUUAUUUUUUAAAAAUUUUAGGAUAUGAAUGAUAAUUUUUUCGAAUUUUAAAGAUGUAAGAAUCUUUUUUUCUAAUAAUUUAUUUCACUUUUGAGAGAAUCCGAAAACGUUAAUUUAACAUUCUUUACCUUUGUGAAAAAAGUGAAAAUCAAGAACUAUUCAAUUUUGUUUUUAUUUGUAAUUCAAAAACUUUAUUCAUUUUCGAUGCUUUUCGAAAGAGAUUCCGUUAAAUCCUUUUGGUGUCGGCAGCUCCUGCUAUUCUCAUAAAUCUCCAUUCCACAUCUACACUAUCAAACAAGUUGAUGGAAAUUCUUAUAAAAAAAAAACAAGUCGAUGGAAAUUGAUCAAUUACUUUUUGAAGUGGACCCAUUGAGUCAUGUUCAUUUCUGGUCAUUGUCUACUCUUUCCAUCAGCCAUUUAUUUUGACCAUUUGCGAUCUUAAAGGAUAUGAGAACGUAGCUGAAGUGCUGAAGGGGCUAUUAAAGAAGAGUGUCACUUGAUCACAAUCACAUUGAUGCACAACUCACUCGUGGCAAAUUUCGACUAUACGUUCUGCAAAUUCAGCCAAACCAUACGUGCAUGAACAAAACUAAAAUGUAGUUCUAAUCACAACUCCAGUUAUGAUGUUUACCCCUCUGAUUUUUCUCCAAAACAAAUUCAGUUCAAAACAAUAAUCAAAAUAGCCACAUUUUGUUCGUCAAAAUAAAUGCCCAAAUUUUCAAUUAACAAAUCAUCUUCUCUAAACUAAAAAUCCCACAUCUCUAAAAUCAAUCUACAUAAUGUUGGAGAUGAGGGGUGAAUUGUUAACUCAGUAAAAAAAACUCAUGCAUAAUAUUACUAAUAAUAUAAAAUAUAUAUUAAUCAUUAUAAAGAAUCAUAAUUAGAAAAAUUAAUCAUUUUAUAAUUUAUUACACAAGUAAGAUAAAUCUCAUAAUAAGUUAUAACAUAAAAAAAACGUUAUCAAUAUAUAAUCAUUUAAGAAGUCAUUUAACAAUAAAAUCGUUCUUUAAUCAGUUGGUCAUGUCACAUAGUGUCAUCUAUAUUUACGGUGAUAAUAUUAUUACUCAGUAUUAUCAAAAAACAUGAUUUAACAUUUAGAGGAAAUUCUUGCCUUUUAAAAAAAAACAUGUAUGCAACAGCUACCCAUGCUUUAUCUUACCAUGACAAAUAUUUUCUCAAUGAAAGAAAAUUUUUUAAAAAUUGAUUUAAUGCACAAAUAUGAUGAUUUUUCCAAAAAUUAGUUUUGGAAAACAUAGUGAGAGAAAAUAGUGACGAUUAUUGUUUAGAUGUAUAAAUAGCCUAAACAUAAUCCUUAAUACCAAUAUCCUAAUGCAUCUUAUCAUCUUUCAUGAUAUUCUUUCAUUUAUGUCCAUUGGUUCAAGAUUUGAAUUUGAUCAUUAAAUCAUGUUCAAUAAUAUUAGAGAUUCUAACAAAUGAGUACCAACUUAAAUCCCAAUGUUAUGUGUCAUUGACCAAUUUUGUGUCAUUUUGUUAUUAACUAGGUGAUGAAUUUGUAGUUGAUAAAAUCACUUAAAAAUAUCUUAAAAAUCAAACAAUAGUUUGCUUAAUUUUUCCAAGUUAACUGCUCAAGAUGCUCUAUUAUAAAUAAUAACCUAAUUAUAUUCAUAAAAAAUGAUAUUUUUUUUGUGGUGUUGAUAAUGAGAUUAUCAUUCAACAUUUUAAAAUGUGAAAACAUAUGGAAGAUGGUUGUAAAUUGAUUGAAUGAAAACAUUUCAGUGAAGUCUCAAAAAUUUGGUACUUGUUGUCUUAUCGAAAGUUUUCUAAAUUAUAUUCGUGGCACAGCCACUAUCCAAACCAUACAAGUCCAAAGCUAUCCAAACCAUACCUGCAAGUCCGGGGCUUAAAUGGAGUACUUCUAAGCAAAAAAACAUUGACUAAAAUAGAAUAUAUACAUACAGACACACAUACAUACCAGCAUAUUCAAAAUAGCAAAAGGAGUGCAAAAGUUCAAGUUUGUAGACAACAUUGCAACCAUAGCAUGUUUAUAGCAAAUCCUCAAAAUCUGCUAAAUAAAACAAUGCCCUGUCUCAUGAAUCAAUGCUGAAUUAAAAUUGAAACUGAAAGUCUGGAUGGUUUUGUUUGUUGAGAAUGUCAAAUAAAACGGCAUUGAAGGAAGUUUUCAAAGGCAGAAUCCGCACUUGUCAAAGGGAUGACCUGCACUUGUCAAAGACACGAUCCGCGCCGAACGGAUCGACACAUUUCCUUCCGUAUUCACAUAUGUAAACUUUGAAAAAAUAUAGCUUCUGCAUCUAUAAAUAACGCUCAGUGUAUAAUGUUUUAUUCAAGAAAUAAAAACAAGUUUCUACAUGGUAUCAGAGCCAUGAAUGCGCUCAAGUUUCUUCAAGUUUCGCUGCUCUGUUUGUCACAAAAACAGAGGAAACCAAUUAAAUUCGUCCCACAACCAUUUUUUCCACCAUUUUCUUCCUUAAAAUCAUUCCUAACAUUACAGAAAUCCAUGCCGAUCAAAAACAUGAAAGACAAAUUACACAUGUGCAGUAACCAAUGAUCAUAUUUUGUUACUGUCAAACACAAUGCAUCUGAGCAAAACAUUGGAAGCCAACACCAGAAUACAUAUGAAUAAACAAUUAAAGAUAGAGAAAAAAGGCUUAAACCUUGGGGGAAAAAGUGAAAAAACAUGAAAGACAAAUUACACAUGUGCAGUAACCAUCGAACUUAUCAGUGACAGCUGCAUCUAUUACAUUGCUCCAACAACACAAGGGCAAACCACCAGUUUCAAAUUGAGGAUAGCUAUCGAGAAUGAGAAAGUGUCCAAAACGUCAUAAAUAGACAUGUUCCUAUUGUGCAUAAUUUACAUUAUAGGCAAAUAUUUUUAUACCAUCAAAGGCAAAACAUGACACUAACAAUUGAUCACCCCCCCCCCCCCCCCCCCCAACAACAAAAAAAAGGAAAAAACAAUACAGAAAAGAUUGAAACAGAUAAGGCUACACUGAGCACAGGAUGCCAUGAAACAUAAUCCAGGAACCAAAUUAAUAAAAAAGGAAGCCAAACCAUUAUUUAACAAUCUGUUUUGUAUUUGGGAAAGUCUGAUAAAAUCUACUUGGGGAUAAUUAGAGAACCUCAACUAUUAAUCACACCUCAUAAAUGAACUAACAUUAAACAUCUACCAUCCCAACGUCACACAAACAUUCUCUACACUUCUGAACCUAAUACUUCCAUCUUCAAUUGGGGGUUUUUUUUUUCUUUUUCUUUGGGGGGGGGGGGGGAUUGAAAUGCUGAUUUCGAAUCACUAACAGUAAAAUUGGAAGCUCAUGAAAAAAUAGUUUUAUCUCAAAAUUACAUCUCGAUAUAAAUUCUCUUUUCAUUUCCUUCAACUUUCUAAUUAAGCUUAAAAAAUGUACCUUCAACCACAAAGGGGUUUAAAAUUUAAAAUAUAAAAAAUAAAUUCAGAUAACAAUAAUUAAUUUAAUUAAAAAUAUAAAUAGAGUUACAGAGAAAGAGAAAAUAGAGAAAGACGUAAUGUUGAGUCCUUUGGCGCAAGUCUCUUCAUAGGUCCGAACCAUUUCUUCGGGCGUGGGUUUCGGGUCUUUAGGAUACUCCAUAGUGAUAAGCCAGUGAUUGUAAUCGCAACCCUCGAACAGAAUCGUGUCGGGUGUGAUCUCGUCGCCGUCCUUAUACAAGUGGUACGUCUUGUUAACCGACGGCGUAGACGAGAGGGAGAUCGUCGGGGACGAUCUGAACGGCCGAGAUUGGAUAAUGAUGGAGGAGGAGAAGAUUAGCGAUGACGACGCCGAUGAAAUGGAAGGGUUUACCAGAGGAGUGGAUGCGAAGAAUGCAGGGACGGCCGCAAAGAGAGAGCGGCGGAGAGCGGCGACGGACGGUAGUGACCGGCGGAGAGCGGAAGAUGGCGGUAUGGGCCAUUGCUUGCGCGUCAGUGAGUGUCUCGAGUGAGGAGUGAAGGGUUUUGUACUUUUGUUUAGGGUUUUGGGAAAUGAAAAAUGCAAAUGUUUGAUUUUGUUGCUAGAAACUUCUUCUGCCGCCGCUUUUUAUUUUCGCUAAAUAAUAAUAAUAAUUUGUUAAUAAAAUACUUUCUUAGAAAAGAUAAAUUUAUAGAACAAAAUUUAUAUUAAAUCAAAUUGUAAAAAUGUGGAAUAGGGCUAAUUUCUCCUGAAUAUUAUUAUUAGUAGAAGUAGAUUUUCGAAAUAGUCUUGAUAUAUUUCAAAGUUGUAUUAUAGAUGUACAUGUAUCUGGAUUGUAAUUAUAUUUUAAAAAAUAUACAUUUUUUUUCAUUAUUGCACAAUAAAUGUAGAAAGUGUCUAUAAAAUAAUAUUAUUAGAACUAUGAAAAUAUAUUAUUUUAGAGUAGUUAUUUAUUUAUUUUUGAAUAAAUAAUUUAUUAAUUUAUUAAUUUAUUGAUAAAUUAAUAAAUAUUAAUUUAAAGAGAGAUUUUUUUUUUUGGGGGUUUUUAAGAAGAGUUUUGUUGGUAUAUGUACAAACUUAUAAAGAAAUACAAAAAAUGCUUCCUCAAGUCAAUAGUAUUUACUUUAAUUCAUAAUAGUAUAGUUUAAUCAAGAAACUUAUAAUUAUACUAUAUCUUUCUUUCUUUGUUCUAUUUGGUGGGACAUUGUGAUAAAUCAUUGGAUUAAAAUGCAUUUCUAAAUGAAAACUUGUUAAAACCUAAUUUAUUUGGGAACGACAUUUUAUUUGUCAGUCGUAUUUCUCAACUUCGUAAGUUAUUUCUAAUUUAUCGGUCUCUAUUGGUUCUCUUAAGUACCUAUUUGGCAUGACUUAUUUAAUAGUAAUAAGUGCUUAUUUAAUCUCAUAAGUUUUUUCCCUCUCUGACAAUUGAGUUAGGGGGUCAAACUUGAAAGUAUCUUAAAAUUAGACAACAAUUUAACUAUUUUUUUUUUUUUAGAUAACUGCUAAUAUGCUCUAUUAGACAAUGAUGAGUGAUAACCUAGGUGUUUGCAUUUAAAGGGAUACUUUUUGUGGUGUUGAUAAAGAGGUUAAGUAUGAUUCAACAAUUUAAAAUAUGAAAACAUAUGGAAGACGGCCGCAAUUAAAUUAAUUGUAUGAAAAUAUUUCAAUGAAAUUUUAAAAAUUUAGUAUUUGUUAUCUUAUCGAGAGUUUUUUAAAAUUAUAUUACUACUUGAACUUGACUGCUUUUGUAUUUAAUUCCUACCGUUGCCAUUGCUUCUACUCAAAAGCCAUUUAAGUUUGUGUAAGCUACGUAUAGUUUGAACAACAAUUUACUCAUGAAUUGUUGUUCAUAAUAGCAUCAGUGCAUGCAUCAUUUUAAUGAGAAAGAAUAUUCUAAGAACGAAAUUGAACGUGGGAGGUAUCGGGAAGGAAUUGGAAUGGAAUAAUAUCGAUUCAUAUAGAUACAGAAGAAAAAGUUCUCUAUUGAUUCAAAUGCUGUGCCUAUGGGAUAAGGAUAGAGAAAGAGGAAAAAACCGAAGCCAGAAAUGUACACGCAUGAGGAACUUUUCCUAGAAGAUUGAUAUUUCUUUGACUAGCAAACCAUACAAGUCCAAAGCUAGCCAAACCAUACCUGCAAGUCGGGGGUUUAAAUGGAAUACUUCUAAGCAUAAAACAUUGAUUAAAACAGAAUACACACAUACAUACCAGCAAAUUCAAAAUAGCAAAAGGAGUGCAAAAGUUCAAGUUUGUAGACAACAUUGCAACCAUGGCAUGUUUAUAGCAAAUCCUCGAAAUCUGCUAAAUAAAACAAUGCCCUGUCUCAUGAAUCAAUGCUGAAUUAAAAUUGAAACUGAAAGUCCGGCUGGCGUUGUUUCCCUCUCCAAUUUUGCCUACAUAAGUGAAAAUAAGAAUAAUAAAUGAAAAUCUGCUUUUACGGUUCUUAUUAGAUAGAUAAAAGGGGGAUCUUUCUUUGUUUCUCUGCUGCAAUGUGUGGCUAUCCCACUCUGUUUUGCCACCCAAGCUGAGUCUAUGCUGAGACAUAAUUUUGACAUCAGAAGCAAUCUCAAUUAGUUUGGCACUUUUAAGCAAUCUCAUAUUUUGCUCACUUGAAGGUUUUACGAUAAACAUAAAUCUACAGAGAAAGUGGGAAAAAAAAAAGAAAAUGCAUAUAAAUAUAUGAGUUAUCAGAUAAGAUUAAAACUCACCCAAUUCAAUCCAUCAGAUUCCGUAAGGAUAUAACUGGAUGUCAUACCGCCACUCCAUAUCCUUGAAAGUCCGUAGUGUUUGUCUCAACUCUGUCUGAGGCCAAUGUAAAUUCAAUUUGCGCAAGCUCUUUAUGCACCACAGCUCUUCUGGAAGCUUUCUCAAGUAAGCACAUGGGUUGACAAUUAAGCUUUCAAGUUUCGGCAUUGCUCCAGCCCCCAUCGUCCACUCAUCUAGCCAAUACAUUGAUUUCAGGUGCAAAACCUUAAGUUCCGGAAAGCUACUCAAGCCAACACAAGCAAGCUUUCUUCCUAAAUACGAGUUCUGCUUCAGUUUCAGCACUCGAAGGCGUGGAAGAUUUUCCAGAAUUGGCAUGGGAUCCUCCAUUAGCUCAGUAUUUGAUAAGCUCAGUUGGAUCAGACUUGGGGGAAAUUGGUAUUCAGACAGGACCAUCCGUGAGGGCUUGCUCUCAUUCACCAGCUUCAAGCAUUCAAGUUUGUGGAGUUCGCAAAGGCUUUUGGAAACCGCAGAUUGAUAGUAACUCAAAUCUCCAGAUAUCCGAAGAGUCUGAACACUAGGUAGUCUGCCCAAUAUAUCAGGAGUACAACUACUAGGGUUUAAAGCUGAUAUGAAAAUGAGAUUUUUCAGAGAGCUGGAAUAAUUUUUUGGAGGUGCGGGCAGAGUGAUAGAACCAAAGUUUAGAUGCAUGAGUUUUUGCAUCAUCCAAAUAUCCUCUGGUGACUGAUCUAUGUAGCUAGAUGGCAUUUCUAGUGUUUCAAGGUUUAAAAGGGUGCAUAGCAGCGAAGGAAGGCGUUUGAGCAAAGGGAUAUUCAAUUUCAAAUACUUCAAAAGGAAUAAAUUUUCUAAUCCGGGUGGAAAUUGGUCGAGAACUGCAGAACCGAAGUUCAGUACCCGAAGGUGUUUGAACUUUUUACAAAAAUUCUCGCAAUCUAUCACAGCGAGAUGAUCGCCUUCUAAACUUUGAUUGAUAAAAGAUUGGAGAUAGAUCUCACCAUGUUCUAAAGAAAUGAAGUCAGUCAGAUGUUCCAAAAUGAUGUAGCGUUUAACAUUUGCAAAUGGUUCCGCUUCCAUUCCAGGCAUCCAGAGAAAUUUCGUCUUGUCUGCCACCAAACCCAAUGAAGUAUAUACAAAACUUGGAACAUAGCAAGCUUUAAUUGUGCCGCCGGCUCUUCUCUUACUCACUUGAAUGAAGCCGCGAUGGAUUAGUUCUUUCAAGUAAUGUUCGGCAGUUUCUUCACCGUUGUAUGGUAUGAAACCUUCAGCUACCCACAACUGAUAUAAUUGCUCCGUAGAUAUCUCCAUACUUGGAGGGAAGACCAACAAAUAGAUGCAGCAGACCUUCAAGUGAAAAGGUAACUCCAUCACAGAAAAAAUUUGUCUCCAAACUGUCGGAAUCGCUUCGCCUUGAAGAUAAUUUUCUAAUGGCAUACUUCCAUAGUGUAGGAUGAAAAAUUGCCAGGCUUCAUGCUUUAAUCUUAUCAAUGGUCCUCCAAUGAGCACUGAAUCACGCCGAAUUUCCUCUCCAUUUUCCAUUUCCAACGACACAAGGAGGUCUGGUUCAGUGACUGUUAUCAAUACUCUGCUUCCAUUCUCAUCAUCAGGGAGAACUUCUUCCAGAUCAUCCCAUAUCUCACAGUCAUCGAAGACGUCAUCAAGCACAAUAAAAUACUUCUUGUUUGUUAGGUAAUCUCGAAGAAUAGAUUCCUUGAAUUGAUAAUCUUCACCGAUAAUUACACUAACCCGAGAUGGAGGCAUCACAGACUUGAUUAUGUCAUCCAAUAUCUUGCGAAAAUCGUAGAGUAGAGAAACCCUGACCCAAGCAAGACAGUCAAAAUAGAACUUGACAUAGUUAUUAUUGUAAGUAUCUGCAGCAAAAGCAGUCUUAUCGAAGCCACUGCUGUCGAGAAUUGCAACCACUGAAAGCCCAGAUGGUCCCUCAAUCAAUAGAUCAAACAACUCCUCUCUGCCCCUUUCAAAUUCACUGAUAUCAAGCCGAGGAUGUCCCUCAUUCAAUAGGCGAAUCAUUUCGUUACUUUUUUCACUGAUAUCAAAACCAUUGUCGCCGGGUGGAAGUUGUUGCAUCCGAUUUCUAAUAUCAAUGAUUUCACUGUGGAGUCCAUCAGGAAGAGCCAUAUUAGUGCUGCUUUCACUUUCGUUUUCACUGUUUUGCUGCUGCAUGAUGUUGAUGAAGAAUGUGUCAAUGACUUCCUCAGAGUCACGGACAAAGUUAUUGAUGUCCUUCAGAAUUUCAAAAAUAUCUGCUGUUUCAACGUCUUCUUCAUCGCUUUCUUCUAAGUCCAACAGUUGCAAAAAAGGCAAAGAUAUUUUGGAGUCAUCGAUAUCUUCUCUAAGGAGUUGAAUCAAAUGCCGAGCCAUGUCGGCUUCAUAGUUUCCCAGAAGAGUAGUAGCAAUAAUUUCGGACUCCGUAAGAAGGUUUUGAAAAAGUGGAGUUAAAUUUGUUGAAUCUGGCAGAGGCAACGUGCCUUCUUCACCUGCUAACACCCUUUUCAACCUCUCACAAAACAGUCGGAGGUGGACGUCCAGCAUAUCUCCUUCUCUCUGUAGCACCCAGAGGUAUUGUUUUUUGCUCCAAGAAAUAUUAAAAGGAUUGGUUCUAUCUAAAAGUGGUUACUGGUGUAAAAUUAAACGCCAUGGGAGAAUUUGAAAGGAAGAUGCCAAGGAACUGGCGAAGUGGCUAAAUUCCACAAAUACGGCAUUAUUGCUCAUUUUUAACUCAAAAAAUUGAUACGCCUUCAUUUAGCGAAAAGUCCAAGACGCUUGCCUUUUGAAAAGAAGAGGUAUCCAUAGAUAUCCAACAUUUAUCUUAUUUUAAUUACUACCACGACAUGAUUGAUGGUUGUUAAAUCAAUUGUUUCUUUUUUAAUUUAAAGAAAUUUUCAUUAAAAAAUAGUUUAAUAGACACAUAAUAUUACAAUAAAUAAAGUAAAGUUUAAAUUAUUUUGAAUAUUAUAAAAAAUAAUUUUAAUAUUAUUAAUAGGAAGACAUUUUGUUAAUUUUAAAAUCUUUUUAACCCAAAGGUUUAUUUAAAAUCUUUAUUAUAAAUACAAAUAUAAAAUUAAAUAUCAUAAUUUAAAAUUUUUAAUAUUAUUUUAAGUAUUAAAAAUAUUUUAAUGUUAUUAGUCUACUACAUAGAUUUUAUUAUUUAUAUUAUAUCUGUAUUGAUUAAAAUUUUUUAAAGUCAAUUUUUUAGUCAAUAUAUUCAAGAGGUAUUAUAGUUAAAGAAAAGAUUUUGGUGUUAUUUUUUGAAAAUUUUAAGGUUUAAAUGAUUUUUUUUUUAAUUUUAAGGAUGUGGGUAUUAUUUUUCCGACAAUUUAUUUUAUUUUUGGGGAAUCCGAUGAGAAAUAUCAUGAGAGAAGGUUAAUUUUACAUUCUUUACCUUUAUGAAAAAAGUGGAAACCAAGAACUAUUCAAUUUUGUAUUUUUUGUUUGUAAUUCAAAAAAUGCAUCCACCAAACAAGCUUAUCUUGAUUUUCCCACUUUAUUCAUUUUCGAUCCUUUAAUCCAUCUAGCAUCUGCAGCCCCCGCUAUUUUCACAAAGAGUAAUGAUACAGCCACAAAUUCUUGUACAAAUUUAUUUUGUAUAAACUGACGUGGCAUGAUAAGAUUGGUUGAAUUAAAUAUCACUUGGCCCACAUGAUUUGUUUUUAUUAUUUUAUAUUUUUAUUCAACCAAUGAAUUAAUGCCACGUCAGUUUGUACAAAAUAAAUUUGUACAAGAGUUUGUGGCUGUAUCAUUACUCUGUCAAGAAUCUCCAUCCCACAGCUACACUAUCAAACAAGUUGAUGGAAAUUGAACAAUUGCUUUUUGAAGUGGACCCAUUAGGUUAUGUUCAUUACUGGUCAUUGUCUAUUCUUUCUAAGAGCCACUUAUUUUGAGCAUUAGCGAUCCUAUCUGGACUACUCCAAUUAUUGAUGUAACUCCAAUGGUUGCAUCAACAGUUGAAUGUAAGAUAGUGUCAGUUCUUUUUUGAGAAUAUAGAGGGAUCUUUAUUUGUUUCUCCGUUGCAGCGUAUUAGUAUAAAUUUCUUGACCUUACAGUUCCUACAGUCUUCCUGUUAAUGAAUUCGCUGAGGCAUUAUUGAUCCAAUCUCAGUGAAGUAAUUGUGGGUGAAAAAAAAAUAAAGGAUAAGAGAACGUAGCUCAAGUGCUGAAUUGACUAUUAAAGAAGAGCGUCACCUGAUCACAAUCACAUUGAUGCACAACUCACUCGAGGCAAAUUUCAUCUAUAUAUACUGCAAAUUCAGCCAAGCCAUGCAUGCAUGAACAAAACUAAAAUGAAGUUCAUAAUCACAACUGUAAUUAGAGCUACAAAAGGUGGCAAACCAUACAUGCAUGAACAAAAUUAGACAUAAAUUGAAGCCACAACAUUAAUUGAAGCCACAAAAGCCAGCAAAUCCAAAUGAAAACUUAAAAGGAAGAUCUUAUCGAAGUUUGUCCCCAAAAGACAGCGGAAAUGAAAAAUAUUGACUAUCGAGUGGAUCAAUGCUGAAUUACAUUUGACCUGGAAAGCUUGGCUGCAGUUGCGAUGUUCCCCCUCUGAUUUUCCCUAAAACAAAUUCAGUUGUAAACAAUAACUGGAGUAGCAACAAUUUAUUCAUUAUAGAAAAUACCUAAAUUUUCAACUAUCAAAUCCUCUUGUCUAAACUAAAAAACUCAUAUCUCUAAAAUCUAUAUACAAAAUGUCAUAAAUGAGGGUGAUCUCUCAAUUCGGUAAACAAAUUCAUGCAUAAUAUUACCAAUAAUGAUAAAUUACAUAAUAAUUAUUAUAAAGAAUCAUAAAUUGGAAACAUUAAUCAUUUUAAAAUCUAUUACAUAAUAAAAAUAAAUCUUAUAAUAAGUUACGUUAGAACAUAACAAAUAUUUAAAAUGAUAUAUAUAAUUAUUUAAGAAGUCUUUUAACAAUAAUUUUUUUUUUCUUUUUCAGUUGAUCAUGUCAUAGCGUUAUCUAAAAUGCUAGCGAUAUCAUUAUUCCCCACUUUUCUCAAAAAAAAGAAAAAGAUAAAGAAAAAAGAAAUAUGAUUAACGUUUGGAGAAAAGUCAUGCCUUUUAAAAAGAAUAUGUAUACAAUACCAAUUCAUACUUUAUCUUACCAUAAAAAAAUUGUUUAAAAUAGAUUUAAUGCACAAAUAUGAUGACUUUUGGCAGAAAUGAGUUUCGGAAAUAUUGGGAUGAAAACCAUAUUGGUUCAGACUUAAAAUUACUUAAUAAAAUUACUUAACUACCAUUUAAUAAAUAAAAAUCAUAUUAGUUGAAAGUUAAAUUAAGAUUUAAAUGUUGAGAUAUCUAACGUUACUCAAUCAGAAUAAACAAUAAUCAAUUCAAAUUAUGACUAUCAUGUAGAAGCAAAUGUUUAUGCUUGGGUCUUUUACUUCUUGAAUUUGAUUGGAAAAAUUUCUGAGACAGGGAAGUGAGUGUUUUGGAUAAUAUUUUUCGGGAUUGAAACCACAAGUUGGUCGAGGAAAAUAAUUUUGGACAAAUUUUUAUUAUAUUGUAGAACCUUUUUGGUUCCUUUUGUGUCGGCAGCCCCUCACUAUUCUCUUAACCCUGAGUUUUGAGAUAGAAAUUUCCCGAACUCCAACCCCACAUCCACAGACAAGUUGAUUGAAACAAUUGCUCUUGUAAUUAAGAGGAUGAGUUAGGGUUCAGUUCUUAUCAUUGUCUGUUAUUUCUUUGAAUCAUUAUCUUAGUUAAUUACAUCAAUUGUUUCUUUUCUUAAUUUAAAGAAUUUUUCUUUUAAAAAAAUAUUUUAAUAUCAAAAUGCGUUAAAUGGUAUUACUGCCGCAAUCCCAGUAACAGGAUUAAUUAAAAAAAUAUUCUUAGGAAGAUAUUUUGUUUAUUGUAAAAUCUUUUUAACCCAAAGGUUUAUUUAAAAUCGUUAUAAUAAAUAAAAAUAUAAAAAAAAAUAAAUAUCAUAAUUUAAAAUUUUAAUAUUAUUUUAAAUAUUAAAAAUACUUUAAUGCUAUUAGUCUACUACACAGGUUAUAUUACUUAUAUUAUAUUUGUAUAAAUUAAAACUUUUAAAGUUAAAUUUUUAAUUACUAUAUUGAAAAGGUAUUAUGGUUAAAAAAAGUUUUGGCAUUUGUUUUUUGAAAAUUUGAGGGUCUGCAUGACAAUUUGUCCAAAUCCUAGAGGUAUAGGUGUCUUUUUUUUUCGAUAAUUCAUUUUACUUUUGAGGGAAUCCGAUGAGAAAUAAGAUAAGAGAAACGUCAAUUUAACGUUCUCUAGGGAAAACCAAGAACUAUUCAAUUUUGUAUUUUUUGUUUGUAAAACAAAAAACAGUUUGCCAAAAAAGGUACCAAACAUAUCCUUAAUGUCUCACAUGAUUUCUUAUUAAGUCCAUACUCGAUAUAUUUAUACAUUUUAGGUAUUUUAGUUAUAAAAGAAGUUGGUCCUCCCUCUGUUUAUAAAAGGUAACUUUAUUUCGAGAUUACCACUAAAGUCUUACAAAGAAUUAGUGUAAUGUUAAGAGAGACUAACACAGUUUUCCAUUACCAUUUUGAAAAUAGAAAGAUAUGGAUGUGUGCAUUUAAUGGUGCGUUUACUUGCCGGAUUGGGGAAUCAGAAUCUGGAAUCAGAAUGAUUGAUGGUGUUUACUUCACAAAUAUGGAGCAGGAAUCGGAAUUGGAAUGGUGGGGCCCACCACUAUUUGGGAAUGGGAGAUUGAUUCCCAUGGGGGAAGGUGGGAAUGAGUCUCUCAUUCCCUGGAUUGACCAUUUUGCCCUCCCUCAAAAUUAAAAAUGCCUACUUUGUCCUCUUUUAUAAUUAAUUAAUAUAAUAUUAUAAUUAAUUAAUUAAUAUAUAAAUAUUUUAUUAACUAUAAUUAUUAAAAAUUAUAGUUCUUGAAUAAAUAAUCACAAUAAUUAAUUUAUUAUUAUUAUUGUUAAUGAAUUAAUAUAAUUAUUACUAUUAAUUAAUAUAUUAAUAUAUUAUUAACAAUAAUAUAUUAAUAAUUAUUGUUCGUGAAUAAAUAAUCACAAUAAUUAAUAUAUUAUUAUUGAAAUUAAUUAAUUAAUAUACUAUUAUAAUAAUUAUUAUAAUUAAUUCAUAUAUUAUUAUUAAUUAAUUAAUAAAAUUAAAAUUAUUAAUUAAAUAAAUAAUAUAAUUAUUACUACUAAUUAAUAUAUUAAUAUAUUAUUAAAAAUAAUUAUUAAUAAUUAUAAUUUUUGAAUAAAUAAUCACAAUAAUUAAUAUAUUAUUUUAAUUAAGUAAUUAAUAUUAAUAUUAUUAGUUAAUAUAUUUUUAUAAUAAUUUUUGAUAUAGUUAUUAUAAUUAAUUAAAAUUUUUUACAAUUAAUUAAUAUAUUAGUUAAUAAUAAUUAUGACAAUAAUUCAUUAAGUACUUUUUAGUAAUUUGUUACAAUCUAAUUCAUUCCGAUUCCGAUUUCAAGACAAAGUAAACACAUUAAUGGCAAUCUAGCUCAUUCCGAUUUCGAUUCUUACAGUUCAAGUAAACAACUUAUUUUGAUUCCCAUUACCUAUUCCCAUUCCAGCCCAUUCUCAUUUCUGCCCAUUUCAAUUCCAGCUCAUUCCGAUUCCAGUUUAGUAAACGCAGCAUAAGAGUUAUCAUGAAAAUCAUACAAUUUAAUUUCCUGAAAUAUAUAUUUUAUUCACAUGUGCCAAAAGAAUAAAUAGAUAGAAAGUAAAUUUACAAUCCUCACUCCCUCAUAAUUGUUAAAGUGAAUAUGCAUUACAACUGUGAACUGUCACUACUUUAGCCCUUUAUUUGUUUUUUCAAUUAUAGUGUGAUGGAGACAGUGAACAUUAAGGAUAAAGUGCUCUGCUGAAAGCCAAACUUCCUUUGGCUAAUUAAUUUAGAAGUAAAGCAGAGAAUAAAGUCCUUGAUGCCUUCUGAAAUUAGAAAUACAUUUUAUAUGCUUUAAUUAUGAUUAUUUGGUAGACUAUUGACCAAAAGACAUGUUAAAGUAUAAAACAGAGCGAUUAAAGAAAAAAAAAAGGAGCGUUUGUGACGUAGAAUAACAAUUUGUAAGCAAAGUCCUAAUUUGAGUUGUCAAAAAGCAAACAUAACAGAGAAGGUAAGAGAGAUGCAAAAACAGAAAACUAUUAGCUUAUCUUGAUUUUCCCACUAUAUUCAUUUUCGAUGCUUUUCAAACGAGAUUCUUUUAAUCCUUCUGGCGUCUGCAGCCCCUGCUCUUCUUAUAAAUCUCCUUCCCACAUCUGCACUACGAACAAGUUGACUAAAAUUAAAUAAUGUUGGAGACGAGGGGUGAGCCGUCAACUUAUUAAAAAAAACUCAUGUAUAAUAUUAUCAAUAAUAUAAAAUAUAUAAUAAUUAUUAUAAAGAAUCAUAAAUUAGAAAAAUUAAUUAUUUUACAAUUUAUUUCUUAAGUAAGAUAAAUCUCGUAAUAAGUUAAGUUUAAUGUAAAAAAUAUUUUCAAUUUAUAAUCAUUUAAGAAGUCAUUUAACAAUAAAAUCUUUUUUUUGAUCAGGUGGCCAUGCCAUAGAGUAUCAUCUAUAUUCGUGGUGAUAUUAUUAUUACUCAAUAUCCUCAAAAGACACUAUUUAACAUUUAGAGAAAAUUUCUGCCUUUUAAAAAGAACAUGUAUGCAAUAGCUAGCCACACUUUAUUUUACCACGACAAAAUUGAUAGUGAUUAAAUCAAUUUUCUCAAUUAAAGAAAUUUUUUUUAAAUUGAUUUAAUGCACAAAUAUGAUGAGUUUUUGCAAAAAUUAGUUUUGGAAAAUAUAGUGAGAGAGAAUGGUGACGAUUAUUUUUCAGAUGUGCAAAUAGCCUAAACAUAAUCUCUAAUACCAAUAUCCUUGUGCAUCUUAACACCUUUCAUGAUAUUCUUUCAUUCAUAACCAUUUGUUCAAUAUUUGAAUUUGAUUAUUAAAUUAUGUUCAAUAAUGUUAGAGACCCCAACAAUUGGGUACCAACUUAAAUCCCAAUGCUAUGUGUCAAUGUAACAUAGCAAAAUCCCAUUAACAAAUGUUGUGUCAUUUAUCAUUAUUGAAUGAAUAAUUCGUUAAUUUAUUGAUAAAUGAAAAUUUAUUAAUUUAAAGAGAGAUUUUUUUUUUUGGUUUUAAGAAGAGUUUUGUUGGUACAUGUACAUACUUAUAAAGGAAAAACUUGUAAUUAUACUAUAUCUUUCUUUCUUUGUUCAGUUUGGUGGGAUAUUGUGAUAAAUCAUUGGAUUAAAAUGCAUUUCUAAAUUGAAACUUGUUAAAAUCUAAUUUAUUUGGGAAACGCAUAUUAUUUGUCAGUCGUACUUCUCAACUUAGCAAGUUAUUUCUAACUUGUCGGUCUCUAUUGGUUCUCUUAAAACUAAUAGUCUCGUAUCUCCCGCAUUUGAUAUCUUGCCAUUACUGUUGGCAUUAACAUGUUACCUGAGAUUGGGAUUCAUUAAAAUCCUCAAUGUAAUCGGUGGAACGAAUGGAUUUCUUCUGUUCACCAAUCCACCAAAAUUUCUGUAAUUAAAUUCAAAAGUCAAGAUCUAUGCUUAUAAUCUAUUCAACAGCUAAUAUUCUAUUUUAUAUUUACUUAAAUAUGAAGAGCUAUGCUUGUAGUUAACUUCAAAUGUGAUCGAAGCAGCCUUACAUCUAUAUAUUACUUAUGCCCAACCUUUUUUUUUGACUUCAUAUACAUUCUUUUCAUGUUAUUUACUCUUUUUUCCCCCUCUCUGACAAUUGAGGUAGGGGGUCAAACUUGAAAGUAUCUUAAAAUCAGACAAUAAUUUUUUUUUUUUAAAGAUAGCUACUAAUAUGCUCUAUUAGACAAUGAUAAGUAAUAACCUAGUUGUUUGCAUUAGAAAUGAUAUUUUUUGUGGUGCUGAUAAAGAGGUUGAUUAUGAUUCAACAAUUUAAAAUAUGAAAACAUGUGGAAGACGGCCGCAAUUAAAUUGAUUGUAUGAAAAUAUUUCAAUGAAAUUUUAAAAGUUUAGUACUUGUUAUCUUAUCGAGAGUUUUUUUAAAUUAUAUUACUACUUGAACUUGACUGCUUUUGUAUUGAAUUCCUACCGUUGCCAUUGCUUCUACUCAAAAGCCAUUUAAGUUUGUGUAAGCUACCUAUAGUUUGAACAACAAUUUACUCAUGAAUUGUUGUUCAUAUUAGCAAUUUGAUUGAAAGUGCGGCUGCACUAAUUUUCUAGAUGAAUUUUUUCCUACAUGCUUGUUCUCGUAUGACCCAAAAUCCUACUACAUCAGUUGUAUUAGAAAUUAAUCAACUGGGUUACAAUUAUGCAUCCCCACCAAUAUUUAAGCAAUUUAAUUACAGAAAUAUUUCUUGAGGAAAGAAACUCAUAUCGCCACUAGGCUUGUAAUGAGGCUCAUUUUUAUGAAUCUGGAUGGCAUUAGAUAUCUCUACGAAUAUUGGUGGGAGUAGAUCGCAGAUCUCUGGGCUAUACUACAAAGUUUAUGUACGUUGACUCUCAAUAAAUACAAACGAUUCUCUGAUAUGAUUCAAACAUCAGUGCAUGCAUCAUUUUAAUGAGAAAGAAUAUUCUAAGAACGAAAUUGAAGGUGCAAUCAGCAGCUAAAAUGAAGCCAGAAAUGUACAUGCAUGAGGAAUUUUUCCUAGAAGAUUGAUAUUUCUUUGACUAGCAAACCAUACAAGUCCAAAGCUAGCCAAACCAUACCUGCAAGGUGGGGGUUUAAAUGGAAUACUUCUAAGCAUAAAACAUUGAUUAAAACAGAAUACACACAUACAUACCAGCAAAUUCAAAAUAGCAAGAGGAGUGCAAAAGUUCAAGUUUGUAGACAACAUUGCAACCAUGGCAAGUUUAUAGCAAAUCCUCGAAAUCUGCUAAAUAAAACAAUGCCCUGUCUCAUGAAUCAAUGCUUAAUUAAAAUUGAAACUGAAAGUCUGGCUGACGUUGUUUCCCUCUCCAAUUUUGCCUACAUAAGUGAAAAUAAGAAUAAUAAAUGAAAAUCUGCUUUUACAGUUCUUAUUAGAUAGAUAUAAAUGGAUCUUUCUUUGUUUCUCUGCUGUAUUUUGUGGCUAUCCCACUCUGUUUUGCCAGUCAAGCUGAGUCUAUGUUGAGACAUAAUUUUGACAUCAGAAGCAAUCUCAAUUAGUUUGGCACUUUUAUGACCUCCUUAAAGGUUUUACAAUAAACAUAAAUCUACUGAGAAAGUGGGAAAAAAAAGAAAAUGCAUAUAAAAAUAUGAGUUAUCAGAUAAGAUUAAAACUCACCCAAUUCAAUCCAUCAGAUUCCGUAAGGAUAUAACUGGAUGUCAUACCGCCACUCCAUAUCCUUGAAAGUCCGUAGUGUUUGUCUCAACUCUGUCUGAGGCCAAUGUAAAUUCAAUUUGCGCAAGCUCUUUAUGCACCACAGCUCUUCUGGAAGCUUUCUCAAGUAAGCACAUGGGUUGACGAUUAAGCUUUCAAGUUUCGGCAUUGCUCCAGCCCCCAUCGUCCACUCAUCUAGCCAAUACAUUGAUUUCAGGUGCAAAACCUUAAGUUCGGGAAAGCUACUCAAGCCAACACAAGCAAGCUUUCUUCCUAAAUACGAGUUCUGCUUCAGUUUCAGCACUCGAAGGCGUGGAAGAUUUUCCAGAAUUGGCAUGGGAUCCUCCAUUAGCUCAGUAUUUGAUAAGCUCAGUUGGAUCAGACUUGGGGGAAAUUGGUAUUCAGACAGGACCAUCCGUGAGGGCUUGCUCUCAUUCACCAGCUUCAAGCAUUCAAGUUUGUGGACUUCGCAAAGGCUUUUGGAAACCCCAGAUUGAUAGUAACUCAAAUCUCCAGAUAUCCGAAGAGUCUGAACACUAGGUAGUCUGCCCAAUAUUUCAGGAGUACAACUACUAGGGUUUAAAGCUGAUAUAAAAAUGAGUUUUUUCAGAGAGCUAGAAUAAUUUUUUGGAGGUGCGGGUAGAGUGAUAGAACCAAAGUUUAGAUGUAUGAGUUUUUGCAUCAUCCAAAUAUCCUCUGGUGACUGAUCUAUGUAGCUAGAUGGCAUUUCUAGUGUUUCAAGGUUUAAAAGGGUGCAUAGCAGUGGAGGAAGGCAUUUGAGCGAAGGGAUAUUCAUUUUCAAAUACUUCAAAAGAUAUAAAUUUUCUAAUCCAGGUGGAAAUUGGUCGAGAACUGCAGAACCGAAGUUCAGUACCCGAAGGUGUUUGAACUUUUUACAAAAAUUCUCGCAAUCUAUCACAGCGAGAUGAUCGCCUUCUGAACUUUGAUUGAUAAAAGAUUGGAGAUAGAUCUCACCAUGUUCUAAAGAAAUGAACUCAGUCAGAUGCUCCAAAAUGAUGUACCGUUUAACAUUUGCAAAUGGUUCCGCUUCCCUGUCAGGCAUCCAGAGAAAUUUCGUCUUGUCUGCCAUCAAACCCAAUGAAGUAUAUACAAAACUUGGAACAUAGCAAGCUGUAAUUGUGCCGCCGGCUCUUCUCUUACUCACAUGAAUGAAGCCGCGAUGGAUUAGCUCUUUUAAGUAAUGUUCGGCAGUUUCCUCACCGUUGUAUGGAAUAAAGCCUUCAGCUAUCCACAACUGACAUAAUUGCCUGGUAGAUAUCUCAAUGCCUGGACGGAAGACACACAAAUAAAGGCAGCAGACUUUCAAGUGAAAAGGUAACUCCAACACAGAACAAAUUCGACUCAAGAGUGUCAAAACCACUUUUUCAUCCAUAUAAUUUACUAAUGGGGCACUUCCAUAGUGUAGGAUGAAAAAUUUCCAGGCUUCAUGCUUUAAUCUGAUCAAUGGUCCUCCAACAGGCACUGAAUAAAGCGGAAUGAUCCCUCCAUGCUCCAAUUCAAAAAAGGUAAGGAGGAAUGGAUCAGUGACCAAUAUCAAUACUCUGCUUCCAUUCUGCUUAUCAGGAAGAACUUCUUCAAGAUCAUCCCAUAUGUCACUGUCAUUGAAGACAUCAUCAAGCACAAUAAAGUACUUCUUGUUUGUCAGGUAAUCUCGAAGAAUAGAUUUCUUCAAGUGAUAAUCUUCACCGAUAAUUACCCUAGCCCGAGAUGGAGGCAUUAAAGAAUUGAUUAUGUCAUCCAAUAUCUUGCCAAAAUAGUAGCCUAUAGAAACCCUUACCCAAGCAAGACAGUCAAAAUAGAACUUGACAUGAUUAUUAUUGUAAAUAUCUGCAGCAAAAACAGUCUUAUGGAAGCCAUUGCUGUCGAGAAUUGCAAUCACUGAAAGCCCAGAUGGUCCCUCAAUCAAUAGAUCAAACAACUCCUCUCUGCCCCUUUCAAAUUCACUGACAUCAAGCCAGUGUUGUCCCUUACUCAAUAGGCGAAUGAUUUUGUUACUUUGUUCAGUGAUAUCAAAACCAUUGUCGCUGGGUGGAAGUUGUUGCAUUCGAUCUCUAAUAUCAAUGAUUUUACUGUGGAGUCCAACAAGAAGAGCCAUAUUAGUACUGCUUUCACUUUCGUUUUCACUGUUUUGCUGCUGCAUGAUGUUGAUGAAGAAUGUGUCAAUCGCUUCAUCAGAUUCAUGGACAAAGUGAUUGAUGUCGUCCAGAAUUUCCAAAAUGUCCCGUCUUUUUACGUCUUCAUCAGUGUCUUCUAAGUCUAACAGUUGCAGACAAAGCCAAGCCAUUUCAGCUCCAUUGAGUUGUUCUCUAAUGAUGCGUCGAAUCACACGACGAGUCAUGUCACCUUCAUAGUUCCCGAGCAGAGUAGUAAUAAUUUCAGUCUCCGUAAAAAGGUUUUGAAAAAGCGGGGCUAAGUUUGUUGAAUCAGGCAACGUUAACGUGCCUUCUUCACCUGCUACCACCCUUUUCAACCUCUCACAAAAUAGUCGGAGGUGGACGUCCAGCAUAUCUCCUUCUCUCUGUGGCACCCAGAGGUAUUGUUAUUUGCUCCAAGAAAUGUUAAAAGGAUUGGUCCUAUCUCAAAGAGGUUAGUGGUGUAAAGUUAAACACAAUGGAAGAAUUUGAAAGGAAUAUACCAAGAAACUGUGUAAGUGGCUAAAUUCCACAAAUAUGGCAUUGUUGCUCAUUUUUAACUCAAAAAAAUACACGUUAAUUUAGCGAAAAGUCCAAGACACGUGCUUUUUGAAAAGAACAGGUAUCCCAAUAGGUAUCCAACCUUUAUCUUAAUCAAUUACUACCAUGACAUACUUGAUGGUGCUUAAAUCAAUUUUUCUUUUCUUAAUGUAAAGAUUUUAUUUUUUUAAAACAGAUUUUAAUAUCAAGAAAAAAUAUCACUCGUAUAUCCUUAAAUGACACUUGUAUCAAACGUACUACAACACUUUUAACAUGUAUCACUUGUAUACCUUAAGUUGACAAAUUGUGUCUACCAUCCACCAAACCGUUAGUUGCCGUUUGCAAGCGCUGACAUCAUAAAGGUAAUCUAGUCUUUUCAAAUGGAAGAAACUUUGAUUAAAAAAACGACAUGUCAUCCCAUUUACCUCGUAAAAAAUGACAUAUCAUAUGAUAUAUAUUGACAAAAAAUGACAUGUCAUCCCAUUUAUCGGAAGAUGAUGUCAUCUAUGUGAAACAACGUUGUUUCAACGGGACUAAAAAAAAAAUGAUACUCCACAACCGAAUCGACUCCUCCAAACUUUAACUUGAAUAUUUGAAGAUCUACUCAUCCAAGCUCCAACUGGAAUUUUUUAUGGUAUAAUAUGUUGUUAAUAAUUUUUUAUGGUAUAAUAUGGAUUAUUUUUUAUGGAUAAUUGUUAAUAAUACGUACCAUUAAUAAUUCAUUUUUUAAUAAAAAAUGUAUUGUUAAUAAAAAAUAAAAAAUAUAUUGAAAAUUUACGUUAAUUUUUUGGGCAAAUAUGUAUUUUUACCUUAUUUUGAGUUUCAAGGGCGAAAUAGUCAAUUUGUCAUAAUUCUGUUAACUUUCUAAUGGUAGCUAACAGUUUGGUGGACAGCAGACACAUUUUGUCAACUUAGGGUGUACGAGUAAUACAUGUUAAAAGUGCUGCAAUACGUUUGAUACAAGUGUCAUUUAAAGGUAUAUGAGUGAUACAUGUUAAAAGAGUUGUAGUACAUUUGAUACAAGUGUCAUUUAAGGGGAUAUAAGUGAUAUUUUCCCUAAUAUCAAAUUGCCUUCGAUGUUUUUACAGCUACAAGCUCAGUAACAGGAUUAAUUAAAAAGUUUAGAAUUGUUGGGCGUGCAAAGAGUAGUUUUAAACACCAGAAAGCAAAGGUUGUUAUUGACAUAAUUUUAUUUUUGUUUUCGAGGGAAUUUGUUUUUUUUGUUGACAAGAAAAUAGUAUUAUAUUUUACAAUCUAUUAUACAUAUUUUAUCAUAUUAAAGUAAUUUUAAUAUUAAAUGGAAACAUUAAAUUUAAAUUAAUUAAUUAAAAAUUGAAUUAUUUUGAAUAUUAUGUAAAAAAUUAUUUUAAUAUCAUUAAUAAGGAGAUAUUUUGUUAAUUGUAAAAUAUUUUUAACCCAAAUAUAUAUUAAAUUUUUUAUAAUAAAUACAAAUACAAAUAUAAAAAUAAAAUAAAUAUCAUAGUUUAAAAUUUUAAUGUUAUUUUAAAUAUUAAAAAUAAUUUAAUGCUAUUAGUCUAUUACACAGGUUAUAUUAUAUUUGCAUUAAUUAAAAGUUUUAAAGUCAAUUUUCCAGUUUCUAUAUUCAAAGGUAUAAUGGUUAAAAGAAAGUUCUUGGUGUUUCUUUUUAAAAAUUUGAGGGUCUUAAUGAUAAUUUUUCUAAAUCGUAAGGGUAUAGGUGUCUUUUUUUCCGAUAAUUUAUUUCACGGGUAUCCAAUAAGAAACAUGGUAAGAGAACGUCAAUUACUUAUCAUUUUCUAUUUUUUCUAUGAGUCAUUUAUUUUGAGCAUUAGUGAUCUUAUCUGGACUACUCCAACUAUUGAUGCAACUCCAGUGGCUGCAUCCACAGUUAAAUAUAUGAUAGUGUUAGCUCUUAUUUGAGAAUUUAGAGGGAUCUUUCUUUGUUUCUCUGUUGCAAUGUGCUAGUAUAAAUUUCUUUACCUUAAAAUUUAUAUAGUCUUGCAGUUAAAGAAUUCACUGAGGCAUUGUUGAUUCAAUUUCAGUGAAGCAAUUGUGGGUGAAAGAUAAAUGAAGGAAAAGAGAACAGAGCUGAAGUGCUAAAUUGGCUAUUGAAGAAGGAUGUCACAUGAUCACAAUCACAUUGAUGCACAACUCUCUGGAGGCAAAGUUUGUCUAUAUGUACUCUGAAUUCAGCCAAGCCAUACAUGCAUGAACAAAAAUUAAACCGUAGUUCUAAUCACAACAGUAAUUGAAGCUACAAAAGCCAGCAAAUCUGAACGAAGACUUAAAAGAAAGAUCUUAUUCAAGUUUGUCCCCAAAAGACAGCUGAAAUGAAAAAUAUUGACUGUUGAAUGGGCCAAUGCUGAAUUACAUUUCAAAUGGAAAGCUUGGCAGCAGUUACAAUGUUUCCCCCUCUGAUUUUCCUCCAAAACAAAUUCAGUUGUAAACAAUAACCGAAGUAGUAAUAAUUUAUUCAUCAAAGAAAAUGCCCCCAAGUUUUCAAUUAAAAAAUCCUCUUGUCCAAACUAAAAGAACUCAUAUCUCUAAAAUUUAUUUGCAAAAUGUUGGAAAUGAGGAGUGAUCCGUUAACUCUGUAAAUAAACUCAUGCAUAAUGUUAACAAUAAUGAUAAAUUACAUAAUAAUUAUUAUAGAGAAUCAUAAAUUGGAAACGCUAAUCAUUCUACUAUUAUAUAAGUAAGAUAAAUAUCAUAAUAAGUUAAGUUAUAAUGUAAUAAAUAUUUGCAAUAUAUAAUUAUUUAAGAAGUCAUUUAACAAUAAAAUAUUUUUUUAUCCAGUUGAUCAUAUAGCGUUAUCUAAACUCUUGACAAUAUUAUUAUUACUCACUUUUCUCAAAAAAACAUGAUUAACUUUUAGAGAAAGUCAUGUCUUUGAGAAAGAAUAUGUAUACAAGCUAUCCAUACUUUAUCUUACUGUGACAAAAUUGAUGGUGAUUAAUUGUAUUUUUUAAAAUAGAUUUAACGCACAAAUAAGAUGACUUUUGGCAAAAAUUAUUUUCGGAAGAUAUAGUGAUAGAAAAUAGUGAUGAUAAUUAUUGUUUAAAUGUGUAAAUAGCCUAAGCAUAGCCCGUAAUACCAAUAUUCAUUUGCACCUUGAAAGAAACUUAGUUCUAUAUUGUUUGGCAAGCAAGAAAGUAAAGGAAAAUGAAAGAGAACUCUAAAGAACCUUUUUUAUUAUACUCAGAUAUCUCAACUUAAUGAAUACUGAUUGACAUUUAUACUAAGCUACAAUCUUCACUACACACACGAGUUUGUAACAUCACAUAACCAUUUGCUGCAUAACUAACUUUACACAUCAGCUCAACCAGCUAACUAACUUUGACAGGUCAGCUCAGUGAGUUGAUCUGCUACAACCAGCUACACAGCAACAGCAUGCUCUGCUCCAGCUAUACAGCAACAUCAUGCUCUGUUCCAGCUUUAUCCGCUCUGCUUUGCUCUGCUCCAGCUUUGACAGGUCAGCUCAGUGAGUUGAUCUGCUACAACCAGCUACACAGCAACAACAUGCUCUGCUCCAGCUAUACAGCAACAUCAUGCUCUGCUCCAGCUUUAUCCAAUUCACUAACAUCCCCCCUCAAGCUAAAAUGUUUAGGAUGAACAUUCAGCUUGCUUCUGAAGUAACUGAAUUGUUUGAAAGUAAGAGCCUUAGUUAACACAUCUGCUGUUUGAUCUGGACUAGGCACAUAGCAUACUGCAACCUCUUUAGCAGUGACCUUAUCUCGGAUAAAAUGUAUAUCCAAUUCAACAUGCUUAGUCUUAGCAUGAUAAACUGGAUUAUAAGCUAAAGCAAUUGCUCCUUGAUUAUCACACCACAUUAUAGGAGUGGAGCUUAAUGUGAUACUAAGUUCACCAAGUAAGGAUUUAAUCCAGGUAACCUCUGAAGCAGCAUGGGCAAGAGAUCUAUACUCAGCUUCUGUGCUGGAUCUGGAAACAACAACUUGUUUCUUUGACGACCAGGAAACAAGAUUAGGACCUAGAUAAACAGCAAAGCCAGCCACUGACUUCCUAUCAUCAUGAUCACAAGCCCAAUCAGAAUCUGAAAAACAAUGUAAUUGCAGAGCUCCUUGAUUGUAGAAAUGCAGCCCCAGAUGGAUAGUGCCUUUUAAGUACCUCAAUAACCUUUUACAUGCUUCCCAAUGUUGAGUUCUAGGACUGGAAAGGAACUGACUUAACUUGUUUACAGAGAAGGCAAUGUCAGGUCUGGUAAGAGUAACAUAUUGAAGAGCUCCUAUAACACUUCGAUAUUGAGAAACAUUUUCAAGUGGCUCUCCUGAGUCUUUGGUGAGAUAAAAGCCUGUAGACAUUGGAGUUGGCACAGGACUGCAGUCUGUCAUGCCAUGUUUAUCCAGAAUAUUAGCAAUGUACUUUGCUUGUGUCAAGGAAACCCCUUGUGAAGAUUUGCUGACUUCAAUCCCCAGAAAAUAGUGAAGUUCCCCCAGGUCUUUUAAAGCAAAAGCUUGAUGCAUAUGCUGGAUAACUUGUUGAAUUAUGGAUGGACUGGAACCAGUGAUGAUAAUAUCAUCAACAUAGACCAAAACAACAGUUAGAUGACCACUGUUCCAGGCAUAAAAGAGAGAGUUAUCAGACCUGGAAUGCUGAAAAUGCCACUUGGAGAUCAUUGCAUCCUUAAACCUAUCAAACCAGGCUCUAGGAGCUUGUUUUAAGCCAUACAAAGCCUUAUUUAGCUUGCAGAUAUGAUUAGGUUUAGUUGAAUCAACAAAACCUUGAGGUUGAGCCAUGUACACAUCUUCAAUUAAAAUGCCAUUUAGAAAGGCAUUGUUAACAUCCACCUGCCUUACAACCCAGUGACUCAAUACUGCUAAGCUAAGAAUAACUCUAACAGUGGAGGACUUAACCACUGGACUGAAGGUUUCUGUGUAGUCAAUCCCAUGUGUCUGAUGAAACCCUUUAGCCACAAGCCUGGCUUUAUACCUUGAAACUGAACCAUCUGAGUUAUACUUUACUCGAAAUACCCACUUGUUGCCAACUAUCUUCACUGGAGUAGCAGGUAAGACUAAAUCCCAGGUGUGAUUGGUUUUAAGAGCUAGAUACUCUUCUUGCAUAGCUUUAUACCACAUAGGAUCAGAAAGUGCUUUGGAAACAGAGGUUGGUUCUGACUUCUGAGCUAGUAAAGCUGACAAGUAGAUCUUGGGCUUGAAGAUACCUGCUUUUGACCUGGUUAUCAUUGGAUGACCAGAUGAUGCAGGUUGUGACAAGGUAUGUGGAGGUGAAUGAUGGGAUGGUGAAGAAGGAGAAGAAGAAGUGGAAUUGAAAUUAUCAGAAAAGUAAACUGGAGUAGAAUUUGGGAAGGAAAUAGAAGCAUGUGACUGAGAAUCAUUAAGAAGAUAUUCUGAUGAUGCUGCUAAAGGUGCUUGUAACUGAGUAACAAAAGGAGUAGAAGAAUUAAAAGAAGACUCAGAAUGAGUUGAUGACUGACAGUUUGAAGAAACUGAAGAAAAAUCUGUUCCUGACUCAUAAGGAAAAGAACGUUCAUAAAAGGUUACAUGAUUUGAAAUAUAGACCCUCCCAGAAGAGUGAAGACACUGAUAUCCCUUGUGUUGUGAACUGUAGCCAAUGAAUAUACAUCUAGCUGUUCUGAAAUCAAACUUAUGUCUAUUGUAUGGUCUGAGUGUUGGAUAACAAGCACAGCCGAAAAUUUUAAGUGUUGAAUAAUCUGGUUGGGAAUGAAACAACUUUUGAAAAGGAGAAAUGCUGUUUAGAACUGGAGUUGGAAGUCUGUUUAUCAAGUAGACAGCUGUAUGGAAUGCAUUCCACCAAAAUUUGAGUGGUAAAUGUGCUUGAGCUAAUAAAGUCAGUCCUACAUCAACUAUGUGUCUAUGUUUCCUCUCAAUUUUUCCAUUUUGAUGAUGAAUGUGGGGGCAAGGAUGUCGAAAAUGGAUGCCAGAAGUGGUGAGUAAUGAUGAAAAUGUUCUGAACUCCCCUCCCCAGUCAGUUUGGACAGUUUUGAUGGAAAGUUGAAGAUGCUUCUCAAUGAAUAUUUUGAAAUUGGUAAAAACUUCAAGAGCAUCAGAUUUUGCUGAUAAGGGAAAAAUCCAGGUAAACCUACUGUAAUCAUCUAGGAUUGACAAGUAGUAAUUAUAUCCUUGGGUAGAACAAACAUGAGAAGGGCCCCAAAGAUCUGCAUAUAUCAGUUGUAAAGGUGCUGAAGUUUUUGUUUCUACUGAAUCAAAAUGCAGCAUGUGAUUUUUACCAUAUUGGCAUGCUGAACAAAAUUUCAAACUGUCAACUUUAUUAAAAGCAGUAGAGUUGUUACAAGCUUUGAGAAUGGUUUUGAGAGUAUAAGAUGCUGGGUGUCAUAAUCUUCUAUGAAGAAGAUUUACAUCAAUAGAACCCUUUACAACAACUGACAGACAUGACUUUUUAUUCAACUCAUAAGAGCUAACAGUAGAGAGCUGAGCAGAAUUAAAAACAGGAGAACAAGCAAAAAGAGACUGAAUUUUGUUUUGACCAACUGAACUGAGAAAGACUGAAUGAACAGCAGCAUGAGAAGAGACUUUAUACAAGCUGUUGUGCAAAUUUUAAUGUACUCGCAAGCGCACGAAUCUAUUAUAGUAUAGAUCAAUGGUGACGAGUGUCGAUCCCACGAGGAGGUAGAUUUUAAUUGUGUAUAGAAUUAAUUUUGCAAAUGGUUGAUUGGAUUUGUAGUGGAAAUGAUUAGGAAUAUGCUAAAACUUAAAUUAAAAUGGCGAGAAUAAAUUCUAAAAUUGGAAUUGCAAUGGCGAGAAUAAAUUGAAGAGAAAUGUAUUGAAAUGACGUACUUGGGUAUCUGGAUCCGUAUCAACAUGCAUCAUGGGCUAAAUAAUCCGUAUUAAUGCCAAUUAAAUCAUGAGGGGGGAAUCCACACCUCAUGAACCACGCUCUAAUCAAUAUGGUGCUAAGGGCUUAUCGUGCCAAAUAAUAAUAACCUUAUACUAGAGAGCCGGUGUAACCAAGGCGGUAUCUAGACAAGAUCAGUAUUAUUUGUCGACGAUAAGUCAAAUCAUCCACAAAAACUAGAGGGGAAAAGAAAAUAAAUUUACCAAAUAAAGCCCAUGACACAUGUUGAGACUUCACCUUCAACCCAAGCUUGAAAGGAAAUUAGCUACUCAUAAUUGAACUAGGGGCAAAAUGGGAAUUUAUUAAAAUACAAAGAAAAUACAAGAUGGAGAGGGAAUUACAGAAAAUGGAUCCCAAAAAUGGAUUCAGAGAUAUCAAAUUAGGGGGGGAGGCCCAUUUUUUAUAGAUACAUGGAGUAAAUCAUGGCCAUCGGAUUAAAAACAGUUUGGACGCUCAGGAUUGCGCCACGUCAUCAGUCAACAGUCAACGGUUUGACCACGCGGAUGAACAGUAACAUGGUUUGGUUGAAAAUAAUCCUGUGUGAUGCAUACACCGUACGCGAGAUUUUUCGUCCACUGAUAUGCUGCCACGUCACCAUCAACAGUACAUAAGAAUUUUAGUCCAACAGGAUCGUGACACCUCAUCAGUCAAUGCCACAUCAUCGGUCAAUGCCACGUCAUCGAUCCGUCUAUGUGAACAGUGUCGUGAACAGUAACGUAGACAGUACCGUAUACGUGAAUAGUACCGUACAUGUGAAUAGUGCCAUUUUUCCUUUUAUGCUCCUCCUAAGGUUUUCGACCGUCCUGAGUUCAAAAGUGAUGUCCGUUUUGCCGUCUGAUCUCUCCUUUAUUGUGAAAUGACUAUAAUGCCCCUAAAAUACAUAAAAUACUUAAUUAAAAUAACACACACGUAAUUACAUCACAAGAGGGUUAAAUACAUAAAAGUAAGGGUUGUUAGUAAGACUUGAAACGUAAAAUGACGGUUUUCUCCUUUAUAAAUAUGCAUUUUCUAACACUCAACACAAGCCACCUUUAGCAACACCUUCAAGUAAAAUUUUCCCUGUGUUCCUGGCCUUUAUAAAACACAAAUUACCAAGAAAUUCAACAGUAACUGGAUUGUCAGCCAACAAUUUUGAGAUGCUAAGCAAAUUCUUAGUAAUAAAAGGGACAUGAAGAACAUGGUUAAGAAAUAAGGAUUGAGAAGCUGAAGUAUUUAGCACAACUGACCCUACAUGUGUAAUAGCUAAUGCAUUUCCAUCUCCAACAAAUAACCUUUCAGUACCAGUGUAAACUUUUGAAUCCAGAAGCUUACCUAGAUCAUUGGUAAUAUGAUUUGUUGCUCCACUAUCAAUAUACCAGGAAGGAUCUUCAAUGUGUUCAGGUGGGAGUGAAGAAGACAUAGCAGAGGAGGAGGAAGCACUUGACUGUUCCAGAUUAUUAUGUCCUAGACAGAAACAAAAUUAGAUGAUCCAGGGUUGAAUGAGAAAUAAGCAGAUGGGUUGCUUUCUGGAUAUACUAUAUUUCCUUGAUAGCCAAAACCCCUGGGGGCAUUACCAAAACCAACAUUUUGUCCAAAACCAGCAUUUGAACCAAAACCUCCAAAACCUCUUCCACUAUUACCAUUAAAGGCUCUUCCUCGACCAUAUUGCCCUUGAUUAAAACCUCUGCCACCAUUCAUAUUACCUCUACCAUGGUUCCUCUGUGGAACAAAAGAUGAGUUGUACCUAUUUCUGCAUUUAUAGGCUGCAUGACCAGGUAUGAAGCAAAUUUGGCAAACAACUUCAGAGAAAUUACUAUUAUUAUUAAACUGACCAUAUCCAUAUCCAGAAUUAUUACCACCUCCAGAGUUAUUUCCAUACUGUUUCUGAAAAUUUCCAUUAUUCUUUCCAGCAUAUGAGUUCUUCUGAACAAUAUUUGCUGUCAUGUUAUGCAUCACAUCACCAGCAAUUUUUCCUUUCUUUUGCUCAACUCUAUUUUCAUGAUUCAACAGCAAAGAAUAUAGUUCAUCUAAUGUUAUCUUUUCACCUCGAGCUAACACAGCAGUGACUAAAGAUUCAUAAUCUGAUGAAUCAAGACCAGUUAAUACAUGCAUCACAAGAUCAUUUAACUCAACAGGUUUUCCAGCUAGAGCUAAAGUAUCAGCUAUACGUUUUACUUUUACAAAGUAAUCAGACAUAUGCAUUGCACCUUUCUUAAUAGUUUGAAUCUGCAUUCUAAGUGUUUGAAUUCUAGCUUGUGAUUGAGAGAUAAACAUACUAGCAAGAGUCUCCCAAAGCUGUUUUGAGGUUGUUGAGUCAAUCACAGUAGCAAGCAGAUUUUGUUGUAUCAAUGACAUCAUCCAACUCAGCAGAAGUUGAUCAGCCUUCAUCCAAGCUACGAACUCUGGAUUAACAGAUCUGGAUCCAGAUUCAGUAACAGAUCUGGAUCCAGAUUCAAUUAAGAUUUCAGCUCCAUUGUUGUUGCCAGAAGAAAGAAACUGCUCAGGACAUUCUCGAUCACCAUUGAUAAAACCUUCCAAACCAUUUCCUUUGAUCGAAGCUAGAAUUUGUGUGCGCCACAAAAUAUAGUUGUUUUGAUCUAGCUUUACAGGCGUAACAAAACUAAAAGAGUUGUUGUUUUGAACUGUAUUUGCCAUUUAUGGCUCUGAUACCAUGAAAGAAACUUAGUUCUAUAUUGUUUGGCAAGCAAGAAAGUAAAGGAAAAUGAAAGAGAACUCUAAAGAACCUUUUUUAUUAUACUCAGAUAUCUCAACUUAAUGAAUAUUGAUUGACAUUUAUACUAAGCUACAAUCUUCACUACACACACGAGUUUGUUACAUCACAUAACCAUUUGCUGCAUAACUAACUUUACACAUCAGCUCAACCAGCUAACUAACUUUGAUAGGUCAGCUCAGUGAGUUGAUCUGCUACAACCAGCUACACAGCAACAGCAUGCUCUGCUCCAGCUAUACAGCAACAUCAUGCUCUGCUCCAGCUUUAUCCGCUCUGCUCUGCUCUGCUCCAGCUUUGACAGGUCAGCUCAGUGAGUUGAUCUGCUACAACCAGCUACACAGCAACAGCAUGCUCUGCUCCAGCUAUACAGCAACAUCAUGCUCUGCUCCGGCUUUAUCCAAUUCACUAACACACCUUCAUUUGUGUUAUCACAUUUCAUGAUAUUCUUUCAUUUAUGACCAUUGUUCAAGAUUUUAAUUUGAUUAUAAACUAAGUUGCAAGGGAGCUUACUUCAGUUUCUAAGCUUUUCAAUCGUGAUUCCUGCAUGCCAAACGUAACUGACCUUAUAAUUGGUCUGUAUAAGAAAUCAAGCCCUUUCAGGAUCGUUUUCUUUUUCUCCCUAUUGUAGUAGUCAACUAAAUAAAGAAUGAACAACUAAACUUGGUCUAUUUCGAGGAAGACUAAGGCUUCCAAUACUAGAUGAACUUUGAAGAAAAUUAAUCCGUUGUUUUUAUUCAUCUUUGGACUAUGAAUUUAUACAAAGACUUUAACAGAAAAUAACAAAGACACAGCUAAAUGAUAGCAAUAAGUGCUGACUUGGUGGACCACUUCUGCAAGUAAAUAAAAACUAAAUAUUUAUUUUGACUAUAACAACAACUACGCUGAUGAAUAGGAUUUCACAGCAGCCACGUGACAACUAAUUUCUCCUUAAUAUUAUUAUUAGUAGAAGUAGAUUUUAAAACUAGUCUUGAUAUAUUUCAAAGUUGUAUUAUCAAUGUAUAUGUGUCUAGAUUGUAACUAUAUUUUAAAAAAUAUAAAAUUUUUAAUUAUUGCACAGUAUAUGUAGCAAAAUAUCUAUAGAAUGAUAUUAUUAGGACUAAGAUUUUUUUUUAUUUUAGAUAAGUUAUUUAUUUAUUAUCGAAUGAAUAAUUUAUUAAUUUACUGAUAAAUGAAUAUUUAUUAAUUUAAAGAGAGAUUUUUUUGGUUUUAACAAGAGUUUGUUUGGUAAAUGUACACACUUAUAAAGAAACAUAAAAAGUGGUUCCUCAAGUCAAUAGUAUUUGCUUCAAUCGCAAUGGUUCAUAAUAAUAUAGCAUAGUUAGGAAAUUUGUAAUUAUAUUAUGGCUCUGUUUGGUAGUAAAACUCAUUUAAGUAGAGUUGUUGUUAAUAGAGCUUUUAUAAAUAAAGCUUUUACUAAAAAAAAUUUAGUUGUUUGCUUGUCAAUGUCCAAAUUGAUAAACUUUUGUUCUUUUGUUAAGAUAUGUUUGUUUUACUUAAUAAUAGCAUCGGCAAGAGUUUUCGAUUGUUGCAACUUGCAAUGCACGCGGUGAGAGAAAAUGAGAAUCUUGUUUAAUUGUCAAUAUAUAAUGACAAACCUAAUCCUUUCAUUAGGAGUAAUUUAAUAAUCGUUUGUUAUAACUGAAUAUGUAUAAAGAAAGGAAAAUUCUAUUCAUAAAUUUCGACUUAUUUUUUGUUUAAAGUAAUUAAUCAUUCAACCAUCUUCAUUUGCCUCUGGCCAAUGCCCUUGUAGAUUAGUUUACUUAAUUAUGAUUAUAUACAUUUUCAUAUAGCAAGUGGCAUUGUAGAUCUAAACUAAGUUGCUAUUUCAAUACCAGCAAAUUCAAAAUAGAAAAGGAGUGCAACUAUUCAACUUUGUAGACAAUAUUGCAACCAUGGCAUAUUUAUAGCAAAUCAUUGAAAUCUGCUAAAGAAAACAAUGCCCUGUCUCAUGAAUCGAUGCUCAAUUAAAAUUUAAAUUGAAAGUCCGGCUGGUGUUGUUUUCCUCUCCAGCGAAAUAAGAAUCAUAAGUGAAAAUAGGCUUUGACAGGUCUUAUUUCUUUGUUUCUCUGCUGCAAUGUGUGGUUAUCCCACUCUGUUUUGCCACUCAAGCUGAGUCUACGUUGAGACAUUAUUUCAGUAUUGAGGUAACAAUAAUUUCGGACUCCGUAAGAAGGUUUUGAAAAAGUGGAGUCACAUUUGUUGAAUCAGGCAACGUCAACGUGCCUUCUUCACCUGCUAACACCCUUUUCAACCUCUCACAAAAUAGUCGGAGGUGGACGUCCAGCAUAUCUCAUUCACAUUUGUUGAAUUUGCAUGGAAUUUGCAAGGAGUAUGCCAAAGAAUUUGCAAGGAAUAUGCCAAGAAUUUGCAAGGAAUAUGCCAAGAAACUGGCCAACCCGCUUAGCUUAAUUCCACAAAUAUGACGUUAUUGCUCAUUUUUCUCUCAAGCACAUAAUACACGUUCUUCGAGACGCGUGCCUUCUGAAAAGGACAGGUAUCCAACCUCAUCUUAAUUACUACCAUGACAUAAUUGAUGGUUGCUUAAAUCAAUUUUUUCUUCUUUUUUUUUUUUAAUUUAAAGAAUUUUCCCUUAAAAAAAAUUUAAUAUCAAAAUGCCUUCAAUGUUAUUACUGCCGAAAGCCAAACUUCCUUUGGGUAAUUAAUUUAGAAGUGAAGCAGAGAAUAAAGUCCUAGAUGCCUUUUGAAAUUAGAAAUACAUUUUAUAUGCUUUAAUUAAUCAAUUCACUGAGGCAUUAUUGAUCCAAUCCCAGUGAAGUAAUUGUGGGUGAAAAAAAAAUAAAGUGCUGAAUUGGCUACUAAGAAAGAGUGUCACUUGAUCACAAUCACAUUGAUCCACAACUCACUCGAGGCAAAUUUCAUCUAUGUGUACUGCAAAUUUAGCCAAACCAUACAUGCAUGAACAAAAUUAGGCCGUAGUCCUCAUCACAACAUUAAUUGAAGCCACAAAAGCCAGCAAAUCCAAACAAAAACUUAAAAGAAAAUGCUUGGUAUAGAGAAGCACGAGAGAAAGACGAGAAAAACAAUGAAGAAAGUGGUAGAGAGAGAGUGAGUGGGUAGAGAGAGAGCAAAAUUCUCUCGUCUUUCUCUCGUGCUUCUCUCUCUCUAUCACUACUCAAACUUAAAAGGAAGAUCUUAUUCAAGUUUGUCCCCAAAAGACAGCUGAAAUGAAAAAUAUUGACUAUUGAGUGGGUCGAUGCUGAAUUACAUUUGACAUGGAAAGCUUGGCUGCAGUUGCGAUGUUCCCCCUUCUGAUUUUCCUCCAAAACAAAUUCAUUUGUAAACAAUAACGGAAGUAGCAACAAUUUAUUCAUUAUAGAAAAUACCUAAAUUUUCAACUAUCAAAUCCUCUUGUCUAAACUAAAAAACUCAUAUCUCUAAAAUCUAUAUACAAAAUGUCAAAAACGGGUGAUCUCUCAAUUCGAUAAAUAAAUUCAUGCAUAAUGUUACUAGUAAUGAUAAAUUACAUAAUAAUUAUUAUAAAGAAUCAUAAAUUGGAAACAUUAAUCAUUUUACAAUAUAUUACAUAAUAAAGAUAAAUUUUAUAACAAGUUAAGUUAGAACAUAUCAAAUAUUUUCAAUAUAUAUAAUUAUUUAAGAAGUCUUUUAACAAUAAUUUUUUUCUUUUUCAGUUAAUCAUGUCAUAUACCGUUAUCUAAAAUGCUGGCGAUAUUAUUAUUCCUCACUUUUCUCAAACAAAAAAGAAAAGAAAAAAGAAACAUGAUUAACGUUUAGAGAAAAGUCACGCCUUUUAAAAACAAUAUGUAUACAAUAGCAAUCCAUACUUUAUAAAAUUGAUGGUGAUUACAAAGAAAAAUUGUUUAAAAUAGAUUUAAUGCACAAAUAUGAUGACUUUUGGCAAAAAUUAGUUUCGGAAAUGUUGGGAUGAAAACCAUAUUAAUUGAGAAUUAAAAUUACUUAAUAAAAUUACUUAACUACCAUCUAAUAGAUGAAAACCAUAUCAAUUGGGACUUAAAUUAAGAUUUAAAUGUUGAAAUAUCUAGCAUUACUCACAAUAACCAAUUCAAAUUAUGACUAUCAUGUAGAAGCAAAUGUUUAUGCUUGGGUUUUUUACUUCUUGAAUUUGAUUGGAAAAAUUUCUGAGAUAGAGAAGUGUUUUGGAUAAUUUUUUCGGGAUUGAAACCACAAAUUGGUAGAGGAAAUUAAUUUUGGACAAAUUUUUCUUAUAUUGUAGGACCUUCUAGUUGGAGUAGUGAUGGCUUUGUCUUCAUUUUUGGUUCCUUUUGUGUCAGCAACCCCUUACUAUUCUCUUGACCCUGAGUUUGAGAUAGAAAUUUAUCAACCUCCAACCCCACAUCCACAAACAAGUUGAUUGAAACAAUUACUCUUUUAAUUAAGAGGACCCAAAUGAUUUAGGUUUCAGUUCUUAUCAUUUGUCUAUUAUUUCUUUGAAACAUUUAUUUUGAGCGUUACUGAUCUUAAUUAUCUGUAUUUCUCCAAUUAUUGAAGAAUUUCAAGUGGCCACUUUUUCUCCUUUUUAUAUAUGUUUAUUUUUUGGAGUGAUCAAACGGGUGAAAAAUCAAGUAUUCGCUGGUCUGUAGUUUAGCCAACGAUGGCUGAUCCACACAGUUGAUUAUAUGAUACUAUUAGCUCUCAAAAUCUUUCUUAUUUGAGAACAUAAAUUGCCCAUUGAAGUUAAACUAUGUUACCCAGCUCCAUGCACAUACAUUAAAUGUUUAGGUAGUUUUACAAAAUGAUAACAGCAUGCCAAAACUUGAUGUUGUCAUAUUCGACAUUUCAAAUUGAAAAAUAUGCAAGCAAUCUUCAGUGACCAUUACGUUUUUAUUGAAUAAUUUAAAUGGCCAGUAAAUCAACAGUCCGUGAGUUUUAAAUCUGUUAUGACUUAAUGUAUCUUUCUGUAUUCGUACACAGGUUAUAUUAUCAUAGUUUAAAAUUUUAAUAUUAUUUUAAAUGUUAUAAAUACUUUAAUGCUAUUAGUCUACUACACAGGUUAUAUUAUUUAUAUUAUAUUUGUAUUAAUUAAAACUUUUAAUGUCAACUUUCUAAUUACUAUAUUGAAAAGGUAUUAUGGUUAAGAAAAAGUUUUGGCAUUUCUUCUAAAAAAUUUGAGGGUAUGCAUGACAACACUACAAGAAAAAUGACCUACCAUGACAGUCCUCUGUGUGACAGUUUUUGGUCUGCAGAGCUACUACGAUAGAUGGAUGAUAAAUUUUUUUUCUAUCAUUCAUUUAUGACAUACUUGUGAUAGAAAUUUCAUCUAUCAAGCACUUAUGAUAGACUGAUGAUAAAUUAUUUGGUUAUCAAGAAGUAAUGACAAGUUUGUGAUAUAAUUUAGAUCAUCAAGUAGCUUUUUUAUUUUGACUUUAUUUCACAAGGUUGACUGAAAAUUUUAAAAUGAAUGAAAAAAAUAAAUAAAGAAUAAACGGUACCGUUUGGAUUAAAAGUUUCUCUUUGGACAAGAAACGACACCGUUUAGAUUGAAGCUAAAUAAAAACAAAACCCUCUUCAGUUUUCACUAAUCGAAUUUUUUUUCCCUAAGUGUCGGCACUCUCACUCACUCUCGUCUCUCGCUCAGUCAUUCUCGUCAAUCUCACACUCACAAAGCCCUUUUCACCCGAAAUCCUUGCAUGGGCACUGAACCACUGCCGCCAUUCUCUUGUAUUUGACUAUCAAUUUUGGCUCUCACCGAGAACUAUAUGGAAUACCCACCAAACGCAUGUGCUUCUACUAUUGAAUUUCAAUACCCUAACUGAGAGCCCACGCUCACCCACUAUUGUAACCGUUCGAUCAAUACAGGUAAAUAAUAUUUCUAGUGUUGUGUUCCAUUUCAAUUUUAAUGUUCUUGUCAAACUCGAACCCUAUAUAUGUAAACUUAAAAACCCUAGAUGUGUUCUUGUCAAAUUCGAACCCUACACACCUAAAUCUUGUAAAACCUAGAUGUUUUCUUGUCAAAUUUGAACCCUGUACGUGUAAAACUUGAAAAUCCUAGGUGUGCUCUUGUUAAAUUUGGAUCUAUUUGAUUGGUCUUCUAUGUUUCUUUAUUUAUGGAAUUUUAAACAUUUAUUUGAUUUUUUUGGAAUUUAAUUAUUAUAGUUUUAUUGUUAAAUUAAUUUGAUUUAGGCUGUAAAGAUCCUUGCCAAUUUAAUCGUGAUGGGUGUUGGGAUAUUGUCUAGGCUGCUUUAUCUUUGGGGUUUUCUAAUAACUAAUUUUUUUUUUUCACUUUUUUGUGGAUGCAUGGAACUAUAUAUAUAGAUAAUUCUCAAAUUCGUUCACUGUGAUGCAAAGUCUUUUUUUUUUCAAUUUCAUUGGUUAAAUUCACUAAUUCGUUGAAAUUAGUGGUGAUUGUGGGCCGAGUCGCAUGUGCAGGAAGUGGUGUCAGGUCUGGGCGCACAUUGAGUCAUGCACUUGGUGGGCAAUUGGUAUUGUUUCUAUUGUGUGUGUUGGAAAUAAUGUCAAUAUCAUCCAACCAAUGUGUGUUUCUAGUGGCUGUUUUUGCACCGAGCAGAUAAUUUAUUAUUACAUCAGAGUUCCCCAUCCCUUGUUUCUCUUUUGGGUAAUGCAGGUAUUGACUAGUUCAUUUCCAUUUUCAUUUGUCUUGAGGGAAUGUUAUCAAUUUUUCGAUCUUACAAGAUAUUGAUUGAUACAUAUGUGUACAAUACAUUAAAAAUCAUUAAACAUUUUGCUCUUAGUUACAAUUUUGAAUGAAUGUCACAUGGAAAGAUCCUCUAAGAAUAUCAAUAGUAUUGUGGUUUCUACUCAAUUUCCACUCUCCGCACUCAUAUGAGCAUGGUUUGAAUCUCAAGCCUUUUGUACCAUUCAAAAAUUUAUACCAAUUAACAACAUAGCUUGCUAGCACCACAAAUUGUUUCAACUCCAAGGCAGAGAAUUCCUAGAAGAUAUAUACAUAUUGAUAUAUACUUGCAUGUAGCCGUAUGCUCACUACCUUCGAAUUGGGGAUAUAGUCACUAUUUUUGUAUUCCCUCCAAGUGUUUGAUAAAAAGCAUGAAUGAAUCUUGGCUCUUUAAUUGUUGCAGGCCAUUUCUACCUAUGAGGAGCAAAGGAAUAUGAAGCUUAUUAUAUUCAUUCACAAAGCAAAGCUGAUAUAAUUCAUGGCAAAGCUUGAUGAGGUGUUGUAUUUAAUCUUGCUCAUGAGAUCAAUUACCUAUCUUGUUGGACUUUAUUCUUGUAAUUAAGGUCCAUCCAAAGUUGAUGGCUUGUUUGUCAGAAAGAUAAUCUGAAGGCUAUGAUUGAUUACUUGCGGGCCGAUGGAAAUGUCUCCAUGAUUGGUUUAUGAGGUUGUUAAAUUACUAAAUAGGUAUAUUUACUUUUCAUGAGCUUUAUCUUCGUUUUUCCAUUAUGGAAAUGUCUCUAUGAUUGUAACUUUUAACACGUGGAACUCUUGAACCCUAUGUUUAGUUAUAUACUUAUAUUGGGACUUGUAUAAAUUAAUAUGAUGGUUUUAUUAUUAUUAUUAUUAGUAGUAGUAGUAGUAGUAGUAGCAGCUACAAAAGAUCAAAAGAACUUAAAGGUGUGGCUUGUGGCUUUCUUGCUGUUUGGGCUUUAACUGCUGCCUCACUUGUCAUUGUUGCUAAUCUGGUGUGCCACGUCCAUUUCAGUGUAAUUACAUAAGUUAGUUUGCUUGAUUAAUUAAUUAAUUAGUUAGCGGAUUGAAUAGCCAGAGUACUACAUUUUGCAUAGGUCUGAUGCUGGAUGAAUUUUCAUGUCUUGGCUUUGGGGCUGCUGGAUUUUGCUGCUGGAAGACUAGAUUUUGCAAUUUUGUUGCUGGAAGACUACAUUUUGUGUAGGUUUGUUGCUGGAUGUUGCUGAAUGCGGAGUACUUUGCUUGGUUUUGGAUUGGCCUUUGUUGUCUAUUGGCUCGACUUUGGAAUAUGGAUUAACUAAUGUAAUGUACUUUGGAUAUUUUUAUGGUUAAUAAAGUUCACUAAUUUAGUUCAUUAGUUUUGGAUUUAAUUGCAUUUAGUAAUUUAUUUUCUUUCAUAUAAUUUUAAUAAUUUUAAUAAUUUUAAUUUUUAAAUUUCAUAAUUUUUAUUUUAAAUUAAUAAAUAAAAUAAAUAAUCAAUUUUUUCAAAAAAAAUGUGAUAGAAAAUACUAGUCAUACACACAAUUGAUAUCCCAAAAAAAAAUACAAUCCAAAAAUUUCUAAAAAAAUGAAAAUAUAAAAUAAAAAAAUAAUUUCCCUCUUCUAAGUAGUAUGACAUAAUUAUGAUAGGUAAAAUCUAUCACAACUUGUGACGCGAUUUUAUCUGUCAUCUUUUCUUGACGCUGACUAUAAUGACAGUAAGGAUAACCGUCAUCUACCCCCUAAGAUGACAGUUUUUACCUAUCAUAAUAGGUCAUUUUUCUUGUAGUGCAAUUUUUCCAAUUCUAAGGGUAUAGGUUUGAAAAUUUAACGUUAUUUAACUUAAUGAAACAAAAGGGGAAACCAAGAACUAUUCAAUUUUGUAUUUUUUGUUUGUAAUUCAAAAAAUACAUCCACCAAACAAGUUUUACACAUUAAUGCUGUCAUAAAACGAAAAACAGUUUGCCAAAAAAUGGUACCGUCACAUGAUUUCUUAGUAAGUCCAUAUUAGAUAUAUUUAUACAUUUUAGGUAUUUUAGUUAUAAAAGAAGUUGGUCCUCCCCCUAUUUAUAAAAGAUAACUUUGUUUCGAUAUUACCACUAAACUCUUACAUAGAAUUAGUGUAAUGUUAAGAGAGAGUAAUGCGGUUUUCCAUUACCAUCUUUGAAAAUAGAAAGAUAUGGAUGCGUGCAUUUAAGAGUCAUCGUGAAAAUCAUACAAUUCAAUUUCCUGACAUAUAUAUUUAUGCACGUAUGCCAAAAGAAUAAAUAGACAGAAAGUAAAUUUAUAGUCCUCACUUCCUCACAAUUGUUAACGUGGAGAUGCAUUACAACUGUGAACUGUCACUACUUUAGCCUUUUUUUUUUUUAAUUAUAGUGUGAUGGAGACAUUAAGGAUGAGCAUAAUAGUUAAAGAUGACUCAUUUCUCAUUUUCUUUUUAAAGUGCUCUGCUGAAAGCCAAACUUCCUUUGGCUAAUUAAUUUAGAAGUAAAGCAGAGAAUAAAGUCCUAGAUGCCUUCUGAAAUUAGAAAUACAUUUUAUAUGCUUUAAUUAUGAUUAUUUGGUAGACUAAAGACCUAAAAGAUAUGUCAAAAGUAUAAAACAGAGCGAUUAAAGAAAAAAGAAAAAAAAAACAGAGUAUUUGUGACGUAGAAUAACAAUUGGUAAAUAAAUCCUAAAUAUUUGAGUUGUUAAAAGCAAAUAUAACAGAGACGGUAAGAGAGAUGCUGAAACAGAAAACUAUUAGCUUAUCUUGAUUUUCCCACUAUAUUCAUUUUCGAUGCUUUUCAAACGAGAUUCUUUUAAUUCUUCUGGUGUCUCUUAUAGAUCUCCAUCCCACAUCUGCACUACGAACAAGUUGAUUAAAAUUAAAUACUGUUGGAGAUGUGGGGUGAGCGGUCAACUUGGUAAAAAAACUAUGUAUAAUAUUGUUAAUAAUAUAAAAUAUAAAAUAAUAAUUACAAAGAAUCAUAAAUUAGAAAAAUUAUUUAUUUUACAAUCUAUUUCUUAAGUAAGAUAAAUCUCGUAAUAAGUUAAGUUAUAAUGUAAAAAAUAUUUUCAAUUUAUAAUCAUUUAAGGAGUCAUUUAACAAUAAAAUCUUUCUUUUUUUGAUCAAUUGGUCAUGCUACAGAGCAUCAUCUAUUCGUGGUGAUAUUAUUAUUACUCCGUAUUCUCAAAAAACACGAUUUAACAUUUAGAGAAAGUUCCUACCUUUUAAAAAGAACAUGUAUGCAACAACUACCCAUACUUUAUCUUACCACGACAAAACUAAUAGUGACUAAAUCAAUUUUCUCGAAUAAAGAAAAAUUUCUUAAAAUUAAUUUAAUAUACAAAUAUGAUGACUUUUUGCAAAAAUUAGUUUUGGAAAAUUAGUGACAGAAAAUAGUAACGAUUAUUGUUUAGAUGUGUAAAUAGCCUAAACAUGAUCCCUAAUACCAAUAUCCACGUGCAUCUUAACACCUUUCGUCAUAUUCUUUCAUUCAUGGUCACUGGUUCAAGAUUUGAAUUUGAUCAUUAAAUCAUGUUCAAUAAUAUUAGAGAUCCCAACAAUUGAGUACCAACUUAAAUCCCAAUGCUAUGUGUCAUUAACAAAUGUUGUGUCAUUUAUAAUUAUUGAAUGAAUAAUUCGUUAAUUUAUUGAUAAAUGAAAAUUUAUUAAUUUAAAGAGAGAUAUUUUUUUUUUGGGUUUUAAGAAGAGUUUUGUUGGUACAUGUACAUACUUAUAAAGAAAUAAACUUGUAAUUAUACUAUAUCUUUCUUUCUUUAUUCAGUUUGGUGGGAUAUUGUGAUAAAUCAUUGGAUUAAAAUGCAUUUCUAAAUUAAAACUUGUUAAAAUCUAAUUUAUUUGGGAAGCGCAUAUUAUUUGUCAGUCGUACUUCUCAAGUCUCAACUUAGCAAGUUAUUUCUAACUUGUCAGUCUCUAUUUGUUCUCUAAAAGCUAAUAGUCUCGAAUCUCCCGCAUUUGAUAUCUUGCCAUUAUUGUUGGCAUUAACAUGUUACCUGAGAUUGGGAUUCAUUAAAAUCCUCAAUGUAAUCGGUGGAACGAAUGGAUUUCUUCUGUUCACCAAUCCACCAAAAUUUCUGUAAUUAAAUUCAAGAGUCAAGAUCUAUGCUUAUAAUCUAUUCUAACAGCUAAUAUUCUAUUUUAUAUUUACUUAAAUAUGAAGAGCUAUGCUUGUCAUUAACUUCAAAUGUGAUCGAAGCAGCCAUACAUCUGUAUAUUACUUAUUCCCAACCUUUUUUUUUGACUUCAUAUACUUUCUUUUCAUGUUAUUUACUCUUUUUUUCCCCUCUCUGACAAUUGAGGUAGGGGGUCAAACUUGAAAGUAUCUUAAAAUCAGACAAUUUUUUUUUUUUUUAAGAUAGCUGCUAAUAUGCUCUAUUAGACAAUGAUAAGUAAUAACCUAGUUGUUUGCAUUAGAAAUGAUAUUUUUUGUGGUGCUGAUAAAGAGGUUGAUUAUGAUUCAACAAUUUAAAAUAUGAAAACAUGUGGAAGACGGCCGCAAUUAAAUUGAUUGUAUGAAAAUAUUUCAAUGAAAUUUUAAAAAUUUAGUACUUGUUAUCUUAUCGAGAGUUUUUUUAAAUUAUAUUACUACUUGAACUUGGGUACUUGUUAUCUUAUCGAGAGUUUUUUUAAAUUAUAUUACUACUUGAACUUGGCUGCUUUUGUAUUGAAUUCCUAGCGUUGCCAUUGCUUCUACUCAAAAGCCAUUUAAGUUUGUGUAAGCUACCUAUAGUUUGAACAACAAUUUACUCAUGAAUUGUUGUUCAUAAUAGCAAUUUGAUUGAAAGUGCGGCUGCACUAAUUUUCUAGAUGAAUUUUUUCCUACAUGCUUGUUCUCGUAUGACCCAAAAUCCUGCUACAUCAGUUGUAUUAGAAAUUAAUACUGGGUUACAAUUAUGCAUCCCCACCAAUAUUUAAGCAAUUUAAUUACAGGAACAUUUCUUGAGGAAAGAAACUCAUAUCGCCCCUAGGCUUUUAAUGAGGCUCAUUUUUAUGAAUCUGGAUGGCAUUAGAUAUCUCUCCGAAUAUUGGUGGGAGUAUAUCGCAGAUCUCUGGGCUAUACUACAAAGUGUAUGUACGUUGACUCUCAAUAAAUACAAACGAUUCUCUGAUAUGAUUCAAAACAUCAGUGCACGCAUCAUUUUAACGAGAGAGAAUAUUCUAAGAACGAAAUUGAAGGUGCAAUCAACAACUAAAAUGAAGCCAGAAAUGUACACGCAUGAGGAAGUUUUCCUAGAAGAUUGAUAUUUCUUUAACUAGCAAACAAUACAAGUCCAAAGCUAACCAAACCAUACCUGCAAGUCCGGGGCUUAAAUGGAGUACUUGUAAGCAUAAAACAUUAAUCAAAACACAGUAUAGACACACACACACACCCCUACAUACAUACCAGCAAAUUCGAAAUAGAAAAAGGAGUGCAACUAUUCAAGUUUGUUGACAAUAUUGCAACCAUGGCAUAUUAAAGCAAAUCCUUAAAAUCAGCUAAACGAAACAAUUCCCUGUCUCAUGAAUCGAUGCUCAAUUAAAAUUGAAAUUGAAAGUCCGGCUGGUGUUGUUUCCCUCUCCAGGUUUGCCUACAUAAGUAAAGGGAAAUGAGAAUCAUAAAUGAAAAUCUGCUUCGAUCACUGUUCACAAAUCACUGUUCACAAAUCCCUAAUUCAAAAAUUACUGUUGAUUAUCGUUUUACAGCAGCGCCUCAGCUCCAGCCUUCACCCCGCAACGCAAGCAGCAGCCAGCGCGAACCAGUCGCGCCCAACGCAAGCCCCAGCAACCCAGAUUGUUAGCUCCAGCCGCGCGCAACGUAGCUGAGCAGCAGCAGACCAGCAGCGCGAACCAGCUCUCGCGCGCAACACAACGCGAACGCAGCAGUGCGUAGAUGCAGCCCAGCAACGCAGCGCGAACCAGCAAUGCAGCCUCACCAGCGCGCAACGCAAGCCCCCGCACGCGCAGCACCAGCAUCCCGUUUCUCGCAGCGCAGCAGCGCGCAACGCAGCGCAGCACCCGCAAAGCAAGCCUCACCAGCGCGCAACGCAAGCCCGCAACGCAGCAACGAGCACGCCCUGCAACGCAACCAGCUUACGCCUUGUAUUCCAGCCGGGUAAAUCGAAAUCCGUGAGUACAAUUAUUGUAACAAUGCCGAAGAGGAAAGCAUCCACUUCCAAGUCAUCGAAAAAGACACCCAUCGCAAAGAAAUCUAAGAUUGCCGCUCCCACUACGGUUCCAUGGAACACAAUUUCAGAUUCACGCCAAGCCGUGAGACAAAGAUCGAAGCAUGGAAAAGGCAUGAGUAUUUUGCCACUUGCGGAAUCCAAUCUCGAAGGGUGCCUUGCAUUCGCGACUCAACAAGAGAAAGAGAGGUACAAAGAUAUUUCCACGGGCAAAAUACUUCCAGCUAAGAAUUUUUGGAUAUGUCUAUGUUUGAAAGAACAUGUGUGGUUGAAUUCAAGGAGGGGAGAUUUCAGUUUACUGAACCAGGACCCACUCAACUUCCGAAGAAGCUUUAUGCUAGGAGUGGUGCUACCUCUGAUGACGAGUUUGACGACGACACUGCUGCCCCGCCAACUAUUCCUUCUACAUCCGCACCACCUUUGAGCAUUCAAUUAGAGAAAAUGGAGCACAAGCUGAACAAGAUGGAGCAGAAUUUGGCCGCAUACUUCGAGAGUGUGGGAUUUACCCCACCAUUUCCGCCAAGCCCAUAGACGUUAUGUGGAUCAAAGCUCACAAUUCAGGGAAGUUUCUUUUUGCCCUUAAUCCUUUAUCCUUACGCUUUAAUUUUUAUGUGAGCUUUGAUUAUCUUACAUUGGGGACAAUGUAAGUUCUUGGUGUGGGGGAGGGAUUUUUGCAUUAUUGAUGUCUGGAAUUAUUGUUUUCACUCUACUUAUUUUUUUUUUUCACUCUACUCAUCCUUAAAUGAUUUUGGAGUUAGUAUGCUUUAUAUAUUAUUAUUUUUUCUUUUCUUUUAUUUCUCACAACUUUUUUUUUCCCAUCUAUCUCAAAUUAUUUACAUCUAUUUUUAUUCUAUCAUACUGUUUCAUCGCUCACAUUUUAUCUUUCACUUUUCAUCUUUCUCACUUCUUAUCAUUUUUACCUUUCCUUUUAUAUAUCACCCAUACCUUCUUCUCAUUCUACACCACUAUUGAUGGUUGAUUCAUUUGAAGAGUGUACAUGAUUUGAUGGCAAAUUUACCAACUUUGUGAGGAUUUGAGCCUAUGAGCAACCACUUUGCUCUAAUAUUUUUGUUAUGUGAAUAUCAAUCUUAGUUUGUUUAUUCUAGAACUUGCUUUGUUAUGCAUGUUGAAGCCGCAUUACGGGAUUUUAUGCACUAAAAUGAUAAGGGCAAACCCUUUUCCAUUUUUCUAUUCUCGCAUUUUUUUUCUCUACCCGAAGAUCUUUAUUUGCUAUCUUUGUUUGAGCCUUAACAAUUACCCAUCUAAUUCUCUCCGUCUACUUAACCAUUUUUCUUCUUUUUUUUGAGCCUCAAUUUAAGGAGAUUUUUGGACUCAUUGUGUGGAUAUAUUUUGUUGCUUUUUCUACCUUGUAAUAAAGUUUCUCAAUUAGAUCAACAAGCAUUAUGCUUGAAUUAAAUUGUGCAAGGUUCGUUUCUUUUGUUUGAUUCAAAAACAAAAACAAAAAAAAAAAAACAAAAAACAAAAAAAAAAAAGAAAAAAAAAGAAAAAAAAAAAGAAAAAGAAAAAUCACAAAAAAAAAACAAAAAAAAAUGUUUACAUUCUUGGUGACUUAAGUAGAAAUAAGCAUUUUGAUAUCAUAAGUUCAUUCAAUGAGUUCAUUUUUCUCGUUUUAAUCUCUUUUUCUUUCGUAAACCUUUCUUUUUCAUUUAACCCAUUUAACCCCAUUACAACCCUCUUAAGACCCUUAGAUUUUUGCAUUUUAUUCAUGUUUUGUGGAUUGAGAUGUGAUAUAUGAGCAAGCUUAUGGUAAUAGCAUUCUUUGAUUUGAUUUGAGUGGAUAAAUGACACCCUAAAAACUUUGAGUGCAUGGAGUGAAGUUAUUGAGAGGGCUAUUAAAUCUUGUUGCACUUGAAUUUUGAAUGGAUCUCCUUGGUGGUUGAAUGUUCUUAUUCUAUCUUAUGAAAUUCUAUGCUUUAAAAUCCUUGUCUCUCGAAUGUUAAUCGACUUAAUUUCUUGAGGUAUGCUUUCUUAAAAUUGUUUUUGGAUGAGUUGAGAUGAGAAUUGAGUGGAGAUUUGAGAUUAAUCUUGAGUUAUAUGCUUGAGGACAAGCAUCAUCUUGGUGUGGGGGAAUUUGUUAGAGUGCAAUUUAUGCACUAGUUUUGCAUUGUUUACUUCCCUUAAUAUCGAUGUUUUACACUUAAUAAUAAUGUUUUACUUGUGUUUUACUUUUGUAGGUGCAAUUCUAUUGAUUGGUGAUAAAAUUGAGCUAAAAGAUGAUGUUUAAGGAGGAUUGUUCUCUUGGAGAAAUUAUGAGCGUCGAAAGAACUUUGUUGAUAAGGCGUGGGCGCGUGCUGUCAACUGCGGACCUGCAGUUUUUAGUUUAACGUGUUUUGUAUUUUUGGUUAUUUUUGUAAUUACGAAUUUAAUAUUUCAGAUAUUAGUAUUUUAUUUUAAAUAGAAUUCUAAAAGAGAAGAGAGAGAGAGUAUUUAAGGGAGGAAUCUAUUGUGAAAAGGGGGAUUUGGAUUGGAGAAAAAGAAAGAAACCCUAGAUCUAAUUUUUCUCUUCUCUCUAUGAAGAACUAAACCUAUUUUUCUGGUUGAAGGAUAAUGACGCUUUGAUUCAUCACUACUGUGAGAUUUUUCUUAUGCUUUAAUUGUUUUAUUACUUUUUGGGUAUUUGUUUAUUCUCUGAAUUAGUUUCAUGAUUAUGUUUGUUAAUUAGGUAAUUGUCCACUAUUUAAUUAUCAACUUAAUCUAUUGUCAAUUAAAGGAUUCAUCGUAUGAAGAAUUUAAUGUUUGUGACAAAUAACAUAGCAGAGAGUUGUGUUGUGAGAAUAAACAAUCUAAUUUAAAUGAAUCAUCAUAUGUGUUGAUUAGGAUUUGGGUCUCUCUGGUUUUUCAGGCUGUCAAUUGAUUAAAUCCUAUGAUCGUAUCAAGGGUUGUCUAUUGAUUAGGGAAAUAUCCAACGGUCGUACCUUGGUUAUCGACUAGUUAAGGAGAGAUUGGCUAUUAGAGGGUCUCAAUAGCUAUAACCGGUCUAUUCAUAAGUAAUAAUAAUAUAUAUUUGAAUCAAUGAUCAGUAGUCGAAUCAAGCUGAGUUAAUUCCUUCAACCAGAGCUUUCUCCAAUUUGAAUUACAACUUUAAUUUGCAUUUUGUAUUUAAUUUGAUUUUUAUUAUUGUCUACAAUUCCCCCAUUUUAUGUUUUACGUUUCAAAAGGAUUUAAAUAAUUACCGAUCUCUGUGGACACGACCCUGCUCAAUCACUAUACACAAUUUAUUUAGAGUAGGAAUUUAUUUUUGUUGGCUUCGACACCCAUCAGUUGAUUUGUGUUGUUUAUUGCUAGAUUUCGCAUAAUUGUUUGCUGAUUACUAGAACUGGCUCUGUUUGGAUCUGAUACCAUGUUUAAAAACAUAAAAAAUCACUGAUCAGUUUGUUUGGUUGCUAAGAAAAUUUGCUCUGUUUGCUGAGAAAGUUUCAAAGAAGAUUCUCGAUUUUUUUUAUUUCAUCUUUCUUACUUCACGAAUGAUUACAAACACACCUUUUAUACACAACUCAACUAGCUAACAGAAAGAAAGCUACAAAACAGAAUCUCAGUAAGCUUAACUAAUUUUGCUGAGCUGGCAUUACACACUUAACUAACUUCGGCUAACUAAAUUCUCACAUGUGCUAAGCAUGAGCAGACUGUUUGUACACAUUAUGUGCUUCUUUAACACAAUGGAGUUUUAAAAAUUUGGUACUUGUUAUCUUAUCGAAAGUUUUCAAAAUUAUAUGAAUGUUCAAACUUAGCCCCUCCCGGCACUGCCACUGCUUCUACGUGAAAGUCAUUUAAGUUUGUGUUAGCUGCCUAUAGAUUGAAUAACAAUUUUACUCCGGAUUUUUUGUCCAUUAUGAAAAUUUGAUUGAAAGUGCGGCUGCACUAAUUUUCUAGAUGAACUUCCCUACAUGUUUUUUCUCAUAUGACCCAGAAUACUGCUAUAACAAUUGUAUUGGAAACUAUUCAACUGGGUUACUAUUCUACAUCCCCACCAAAAUUUAAACAGUCGACAUUGUGGAAAGAAACUCAUUUCGCCACUAGGCUUUUAGUGAGGCUAAUUUCUCUGAAUUUGGACAGAGUAGAUUUCUAAGCUAAUGCUUGGAAGAUCUCUGGCGAUAUUACAAAGUGCAUGUACAUUGAGUCUUAAUAAAUAUAAACGAUUCUCUAAUAUGAUUCAAAACAUCACUACAUGCAUAAGUUAAUAAGAGAAAAAAUUAUAAGAUUAUUUAUGCAUCACCAUUUAUAGUUGCACCCUCUCUAAUGAAAUUGAAGGUGCAGCCAGCAAUUAAAAUGAAGCAGAAAUGUACAUUGACCCUUAAUAAAUAGAAACUAAGGCGUUAUCGAUUCAACUUCAGUUGAUCAAUUGCGGGUGAAAGAUAAAUAAAGGAUAAGAGAAUAGAGCUGGAGUGCUAAAUUGGCUAUUGAAGAAGGGUGUCACAUGAUCACAAUCACAUUGACGCACAACUCUUUGGAGGCAAAUUUUGUCUAUGUGUACUCUAAAUUCAGCCAAACCAUACAUGUAUGAACAGAAUUUAAACCGUAGUUCUCAUCACAAUAGUAAUUGAAGCUACAAAAGCCAGAAAAUCUGAACAAAAACUUAAAAGGAAGAUUUUAUUCAAGUUUGCCCCCAAAAGACAGUUGAAAUGAAAAAUAUUGACUAUUGAAUGGGUCAAUGCUGAAUUACAUUUCAAAUGGAAAGCUUGGCAACAGUUACAAUGUUUCCCCUCUGAUUUUCCUCCAAAACAAAUUCAGUUAUAAACAAUAACUGAAGUAGGAAUAAUUUAUUCAUCAAAGAAAAUACCCUAGUUUUCAACUAACAAAUCCUGCUAUCCAAAUUAAAAAAACUCGCAUCUCUAAAAUUUAUUUGUAAACUGUUGGAAAUGAGGAGUGAUCUGUCAACUCCGUAAAUAAACUCAGGCAUAAUAUUAAUAAUAAUUAUAAAUUACAUAAUAAUUAUUAUAAAGAAUCAUAAAUUGGAAACGCUAAUCAUUCUACAAUCUAUUAUAUAAGUAAGAUAAGUCUCAUAAUAAGUUAAGUUAUAAUGUAAUAAAUACUUUCAAUAUAUAAUUAUUUAAGAAGGCAUUUAACAAUAAAAUAUUUUUUUUUCUAUUCGGUUGAUCAUAUAGUGUUAUCUAAACUCUUGACGAUAUUAUUAUUACUCACUUUUCUAAAAAAAAAACAUGAUUAACGUUUAGAGAAAAGUCAUGCCCCUUAAAAAUAAUAUGUAUACAAGCUAUCCAUACUUUAUCUUACCAUGACAAAAUUGAUGGUGAUUAAAUCUACUUUUAAAAUAGAUUUAAUGCACAGAUAUUAUGACUUCUGGCAAAAAUUAGUUUUGGAAGACAUAAUGGUAGAAAAUAGUGAUGAUCAUUAUUUAAAUGUGUAAAUAGCCUAGGCAUAGCCUGUAAUACCAAUAUCCAUUUGCCUUUAUUUGGAUUAUCACAUUUCAUGAUAUUCUUAUAUUUAUGACCAUUGUUCGAGAUUUGAACUUGAUCAUAAAUUAAGCUGCAAGAGAUUUUACUUCAGUUUCUAAGCUUUUCAAUCGUGAUUCAUCCAUGCCUUUCUUGGAUACCAUUAUGUUACGUGCCAAUGUAACUGACCUUGUAAUUGGUGUGUAUAAGGAAACAUGCCCUUUCAAGAUUGUUUUCUUUUGUUUCCUUAUUGUAGUAGUCAAAUAAAUAAAGAACGAACAAUUGAACUUGGUCUACUUCGAGGAAAACCAAGGCCUGCAAUAUUAGAUGAACUUUGAACAAAAUUAAUCUACUGCUUUUAUUCAUCUUUGGACUAUGAAUUUAUACAAAGACUUUAACAAAAAAUAACAAAGACACAACUGAAUGAUAGCAACAAGUGCUGACUUAGCGGACUACUGCAACAACUAAAUAAAAACUAAAUAUUUAUUUUGACUGUAACAACAAUUGCCCUGAUGAAUAGGACUCCACAGCAGCCACGUGACAACUAAUUUCUCCUUAAUAUUAUUAUUAGUAGAAGUAGAUUUUCAAACUAGUCUUGAUAUAUUUCGAAGUUGUAUUAUUAUCAAUGUAUAUGUAUCUAGAUUGUAACUAUAUUUUAAAAAAUAUAAUUUUUUUAAUUAUUGCACAGUAAAUGUAGAAAAAUAUCUAUAAAAUAAUAUUAUUAGGACUAAGAAAAAAAUAUUAUUUUAUAUAAGUUAUUUAUUUAUUAUUGAAUGAAUAAUUUAUUAAUUUAUUGAUAAACGAAUAUUUAUUAAUUUAAAGAGAGAUUAUUUUGGUUUUAAGAAGAGUUUGUUUGGUACAUGUACACACUUAUAAAGAAACACAAAAGGUGCUUCCUCAAGUUAAUAGUAUUUGCUUUAAUCGCUAUAGUUCACAAUAAUAUAGCAUAGUUUGGAAAAUUGUAAUUAUACUAUGUCUACGUUUGGUACAAUUUUUCAAGAAGAACUUAUUUAAAUAGAGUUUUUGUUAGUAGAACAUUUAUAAAUAAAAUUUUUACUGAAAAAAUUUAAGUUAUUUGGUUGUCAUUGUCAAAAUUGAUGAACUUUUGAUCUUUUGUUAACAUGUGUUUUUUUUACUAAAUAAUAAAUGUUAGGUUACAAUUAUUUUCAAUAGUUUUUGAAGGAAUCAAGUUAUGAAAUUUUUAUCAAUGAACUUUCAAUAUGUCAGCAUAUGGUCUGUAAAAUUUGAGAGUUUUCCAAUGAGGGAAUAAUUUAUUAAAAAUAAGAGAAUAUGGAUUGUUCUGUUUUAAGGGCCGAUUAUUGAGGACAUUUGAGGUUGAGCUUAGGAGAUGUUUAAAUUGAGAUAUUUGAGGACAUUAUGUUAGCCUAAAGGGCUACACAUAAUGUAAUUUUGAUGAUAACAAACAUGUGUCUUAAGUAAAAAUAAUAAAUAUUGUAUUUCACAUUUUCACUAGUUUUUGAAGGAUAAUAUUUAUGCAAGUGAAUCAAGUGAAAUCAAGAUUGAAGAUACUCAACGGACAACGGCGACAUCAAGAAUAUAGUUUAGAGCUCAAUGAACAAAUUAGUGCGAUAAAUUCUUGUAAAGCCGGUAUGAUUUAAUUGAUGCAUGAUUUAGCAUUUGAGAAGCUCAAGAGAUUAAUUUAAUUAAAUACUUUUCAUAAACUAAAAGGUUUUAUUUUUAUAAAGUAAAGUAUUUUGUGGAUUUGAGUAAUUUGGACUUAAAUGCUAAGAUUUGAAAUCUUUGAUUUUAAUAAGUAUUAAAUUUCGGAGUUGGACGUUUUGAUAAACAUUUGAAAUGUUUUGGGUCAUACUAUAAUUUAUAAAUAUUUUGGACUAAAGUGAAAGGUUUUGAGAACUUUGAAAAAUAUGGGUAUUAUGUUGAAAAGGACCUUUGUGCGAACUAAAAAUUUCUUUGGGGCCAUAUCAUAAUUUCAGAAAGUUUGGGAAGACAACUACUCUUAGGAAGUUCUGAAAUUGGACCUAUUUGCAAAGUUUUAUGACAUUUUGAGCCAUAGUAUAAUUAUAGAAAGUUUUGAGCCAAAGUAUAAUUUUAGUGAACAGUGUUACUAUAGCAAUUCAAAAAUAACGGUAAUAUCACUGUUCCUGAGCGGCUAGCCGGAUAAAUCAAGCGGCUAACUGCUUGGGCGAGGGAAUUUGCCUAUAACGGCUAGUUUUCAGGCUUUAACUAUAAAAACUCAGCUCAAACUUCAUUCUAAGUACUAAUGCAUGCAAAUAUAAGAUCAUACAACAUAUAUUGAGCUUCCAAAAUGCAAAUCAUCAUUGAUUGAAUCAUUGUUGAGCUAUUAGUUGCAUAUCCACUCUUAAAGAGAGUUUUUGUUGUAAUUUUCAUUUCUUAUCAAAUUGUGAGUGUGUGAGUGUGUAAGUGUGGGAAACACUUGGGGUGAAGAGAUUGGGGAGAUAAUCUCUUGGUUGUAAAGGUUCAUUGACACCUUGGAAGUCAAUUGUAAAAACUUGAACCCUUGAGAGGCUUGGAUAGUGAAAUCCUCGAGCAUGGUUGGCUUGGAGGCGUGGACGUAAGCAGGGAUUGCCGAACCACGUAAAAAUCCGCGUGUUUGUUUCUCUCUUCCCUUGCUCUUUUAUUUUUACGCUUGUUUGAAUUUAUUGUUCUCUAUUUCAUUAAGGCGUUAGAUUGAUUUAUUGUGCGAAUUGUAUUGCAUUAUUUUUAAAAACUCAAUUCACCCUCCCUCUUGGGUUGCAUUACUUGCAUUUACAUUAGAGUUUAUGAUUGAGACUCGAUUAUAUCUUAUGAGAAAUUUAUUGAUGAUUUUAGGUUGAUGAUAACAGUACGCAUUUGUUACAUGAGGAUGCCAAGAGGUAAGUAAACUAGACUUAAAAACGAAUCACAAUAAACAAUAUAUAUGUUUGACUUGUAUGAAAAGUCUAUUUUGAUAUGUACGAAUAUAGAUUUAUAUGUCUCUACUCAUGUGUUUAUGUGAUGUGUUGUUAUGUAUUGGGCGUGAUUAUGUACAUAGGCAUAUGUAUGUGUGAUGGUUCAUUGUCAUGAGCACGAAAAUGCAUUGAGUUUUCUAUGAAUGAAAAGUGGAUUUUAGCAAAUGAGAUUUCUCUUUUAUGAGAUUUUGCAUUGGGGGCCACCUCUUGAGGGCCAGAGUGCCGCAAAGUACCACGCACAACACAAAGUGCCACAUUGCAGGAUACGUAUUUUAUUGAAAGGAAAUAUGAAAGUUUGAAAGCGACAGAAAGAGAUUUUUAUGAAUUUGUUUUACAGUAUUUCCAAAAGAUCAUGGCAUAGCAUCCAUCUACAUUAUGUAUAAGUAUGCAUGUUUGCUUAUUGAGUUUUGUACUCAUUAUAGUUUAUUAUGAUUCAGUUUCCAGAAGUCAGGAUUGAUUCGUGAUGAGUGAGAAGAUGAAUUUAAAUUGAGGAUGGUAGAUGGUUUGGCUAAAUUUUUAAGUUAUUCCGCUGGCUUUUGUAUUCGAGGCUCGAAUUUUAUCGGUUGUAAAGAGUUAUUUAAAUUCAUAUGUGAGUUGUAGUCAGAUUUGCCCUCGGAGUUCGGGUUGGGGCGUUACAGAUGCAGAAACAGAAAACUAUUAGCUUAUCUUGAUUUUCCCACUAUAUUCAUUUUCGAUGCUUUUCAAACGAGAUUCUUUUAAUCCUUCUGGCGUAUGCAGCCCUUGCUCUUCUUAUAAAUCUCCAUCCGACAUCUGCACUAGGAACAAGUUGAUUGAAAUUAAAUAACAUUAGAGAUGACGGACGGUUGAGCCGUUAACUCGGUAAAAAAACUCAUAUAUAAUAUUACUAAUAAAAAAAAAUAUAAUAAUCAUUACUAAGAAUCAUAAAUUAGAAAAAUUAAUUAUUUUACAAUCUAUUUCGCAAGUAAGAUAAAUCUCAUAAUAAGUUAAGUUAUAACGUAAAAAACAUUUUCAAUUUAUAAUCGUUUAAGAAGUCAUUUAACAAUAAAAUCUUUCUUUUGGUCAGUUGGCCAUGCCACAGAGUAUCAUCUAUAUUCGUGGUGAUAUUAUUAUUACUCCGUAUUCUCAAAAAACUUGAUUUAACAUUUAGAGAAAAUUCCUACCAUUUAAAAAGAACAUGUAUGCAGCAGCUACCCAUACUUUAUCUUACCCCGACAAAAUUAAUGGUGACUAAAUCAAUUUUCUCGAUUAAAGCAAAAUUUUCUUAAAAACGAUUUAAUGCACAAAUAUGAUGACUUUUUGCAAAAAUUAGUUUUGGAAAAUAUAGUGAGAGAAAAUAGUGACGAUUAUUGUUUAGAUGUGUAAAUAGCCUAAACAUAAUUGCUAAUACCAACAUCCACGUGCAUCUUAACACCUUUCGUGAUAAUCUUUCAUUCAUGGUCACUGGUUCAAGAUUUGAAUUUGAUCAUUAAAUCAUGUUCAAGAAUAUUAGAGAUCCCAACAAUUGAGUUCCAACUUAAAUCCUAAUGCUAUGUGUCAUUGACCAAUAUUGUGUCAUUUUUUGUUAACUGGGUGAUGAAUUUCUAGUUGAUAAAAUUACUUAAAAAUAUCUUAAAAAUCAGAUAAUAGUUAGCUUAAUUUUUUGAAGCUAACUGCUCAAGAUGCUCUAUUAGAAAUGAUAACCUAAUUAUAUAAAAAAAAAAAUGAUGUAUUUUUUUCGGUGUUGAUAGUGAGAUUAUCAUUCAACAUGUUAAAAUAUGAAAACAUAUGGAAGAAGGUUGUAAAUUGAUUGAAUGAAAAUAUUUCAGUGAAGUCUAAAAAAUUUGGUACUUGUUAUCUUAUCGAAAGUUUUCUAAAUUACAUUCGUGGCACUGCCACUGCUUCCAUGUGAAGGUCAUUAAAAUUUGUGUUAGUUACCUAUAUGUUGAAUAAUAAUUUUAUUCAUGAAUUGUUGCUCAAUAUAGCAGUUUCUAGAUGAAUUUUCCUACAUGUUUGUCCUCAUAUGACCUAGAAUGCUGCCAUAUCAAUUGUAUUGGAAAUUAUUCAAGUGGGUUUGUGCUCUAUACCCCCACCAAAAUUUAAGCAAUCUACAGAACAUUCCUUGUGGAAAGAAACUUAUUUCGCUACUAGGUGGGAGUAGAUUUCUAAGCUAAUGCUCGGCAGAUCUCUAGGCUAUACUAAAAAGUGUAUGCACUUUGACUCUCAAUAUAUACGAGUGAUUCUAUGAUAUGACUGAAAACAUCAGUACAUGCAUGAUUUUAUAAGAAAGAAUAUUCUAAAAUUAUUUAUGUAUCACCAUUUGAAGUUGUACCCUCUCGAAUGAAGGUGCAAUCAGCAACUAAAAUGAAGCCCGAAAUGUACACGCGUGAAGCAGUUUUUCUAGAAGAUUGAUAUUUCUCAAACUAGCAAACCGUACAAGUCCAAAGCUAGAAAAAGGAGUGCUUCUAAGCAGAAAACAUUGAUUAAAACAGAAUGCACACAAACAUACCAGCAAAUUCAAAAUAGAAAAAGGAGUGCAACUGUUCAAGUUUGUGGACAAUAUUGCAACCGUGGCAUAUUUAUAGCAAAUCCUUGAAAUCUGCUAAAUAAACAAUGCCCUGUCUCAUGAAUCAAAGCCGAAUUAAAAUUGAAAUUGAAAGUCCGGCUGGUGUUGUUUCCCUCUCCAGUUUUGCCCACAUAAGUGAAGGGAAAUGAGAAUCAUAAACUAAAAUCUGCUUUUACAGUUCUUAUUAGAUAGAUAUAAAGGGAUCUUUCUUUGUUUCUCUGCUGCAAUUUGUGGCUAUCCCACUCUGUUUUGCCACUCAAGCUUAGUCUACGUUGAGACACAAUUUUGACAUCAGAAGCAACCUCAAUUAGUUUGGCAUUUUUAUGACCUCCUUGUACGUUUUACGAUAAACAUAAAUCUACUGAGAAAGUGGGAAAAAAAGAAAAUGCAUAUAAAAGUAUGAGUUAUCAGACAUGAUUAAAACUCACCCAAUUCAAUCCAUUAGAUUCCGUAAGGAUAUAACUGGAUGUCAUACCGCCAUUCCAUAUCCUCGAAAGUCCGUAGCCUCUGUCUCAACUCUGUCUGAGGCCAAUGUAAAUCCAAUAUGCGCAAGCUCUUUAUGCACCACAGCUCUUCUGGAAGCUUUCUCAAGUAAGCACAAGGGUUGACAAUUAAGCUUUCAAGUUUUGGCAUUGCUCCAGCCCCCAUCGUCCACUCAUCUAGCCAAAACAUUGAUUUCAGGUGCAAAACCUUACGUUCCGGAAAGCAACCAGGGCCAACGCAGGCCAGCUUUCUUCCUAAAUACGAGUUUUGCUUCAGUUUCAGCACUUGAAGGCGUGGAAGCUUUUCCAGCAUUGGCAUGGGAUCCUCCAUUAGCUCAGUAUUCGAUAAGCUCAGAUGGCUCAGACUUGGAGGAAAUUGGUAUUCAGACAGGAUAAUCCGUGAGGGCUUGCUCUCAUUCACCAGCUUCAAGCAUUCAAGUUUGUGCAGUUCGCAUAGGCUUUUGGAAACCCCGGAUUGAUAGUAACUCAAAUCUCCAGAUAUUCUUAGACUUUGGACAAGAUAUUCUUAGACUUUGGACAUUUGGUAGUCUGCCCAAUAUAGCUGGACUGCAACUACUAGGAUGUAAGGCUGAUAAGAAAAUGAGAUUUUUCAGAGAGCUUCAAUAAUUUUUUGGAGGUGCGGGCAGAGUGAUGCAACCGAAGUUUAGAUGCAUGAGUUUUUGCAUCAUCCAAAUAUCCUCUGGUGAAUGAUCUAUGUAGCUAGAUGGCAUUUCUAGCGUUUGAAGGUUUAAAAGGGAGCAUAGCAGUGAAGGAAUGCAUUUGAGCGAAGGGAUAUUCAAUUUCAAAUACUUCAAAAGGAAUAAAUUUUCUAAUCCGGCUGGAUAUUGGUCGAGAACUGCAGAACCCAAGUUCAAUACCCGAAGGUAUUUGAACUUGUCGCAAUCUAUCAGAGCGAGAUGAUCGCUUGCCGAACUGUUAUUCAGAAAAGAUUGGAGAUACAUGUCAGAAUGUCCUAAAGAUAAAAACCCAGUCAGAUCUUGGGCAAUGACGCACCGUUUAACAUUUGCCACUGGCUCCUCUUCCCUGUCACGCAUCCAUACAAAUUCCGUCUUCUCUGCCACCGAGCACAGUAAAGUAAAUUCAAAACCUGGAACAUAAAACGCUUUAAUUGUGCCGCCGGCUCCUCUUACUCACUUGAAUGAAGCCGCAAUGGAUUAGUUCUUUCAAGUAAUGUUCUGCCGUCUCCUCACUGUUGUAUGGUAUGAAACCUUCAGCUACCCACAACUGAUAUAAUUGUCUCGUAGAUAUCUCAAUGUCUGGACGGAAGACAAACAAAUAGGUGUAGCAGACUUUCAAGUGAAAAGGUAACUCCAUCACAGAAUAAAUUUGUCUCCAAAUUGUCCGAAUCGCUUAGGCUUGAAGAUAAUUUUCUAAUGGCAUACUUCCAUAGUGUAGGAUGAAAAAUUGCCAGGCCUCAUACUUUAAUCUGAUCAAUGGUCCUCCAACGAGCACAGAAUCAGGCCGAAUCUUCUCUCCAUUUUCCAUUUCCAACGACACAAGGAGUUCUGGAUCAGUGACUGUUAUCAAUACUCUGCUUCCAUUCUCAUUAUCAGGGAGACCUUCUUCGAGAUCAUCCCAUAUCUCACUGUUAUCGAAGACAUCAUCAAGCACAAUAAAGUACUUCUUGUUUGUUAGGUAAUCUCGAAGAAUAGAUUUCUUCAAUUGAUAAUUGAAAGAGUUUGUAUAUAGUGUUUGGUUUAAGAGAAACUAACAAGAAAAUAAAAGAAAAUCAUAAAGAACCAGAUCUGAAAAUGAUCAUAUUCUCAUUUUUUGACUAAUGAUUACAACUUGUUAUUUAUAGUAAAGAUCAGAGGCGUCACGUAGCUUGUCAGUUUGUUGGAUCUAAUAUGCAUGCAGUACAGUUCGUUAUCUUUGCUGCUGAGCUGGAUAACUAACUCAACACACGUAAGCAUCAGCAGCUCCAUUUAAUCAGAUGCUCUCAUCUAUACCAUAUUAUCAUACUCUAUAACAUCCUCCCUCAAGCUGAACUGACCUGGAUGGACAUUCAGCUUGCUUCUUAGAUAGUGAAACUGAUUGAAGGUUAGUGCCUUGGUAAGAACAUCGGCAUUUUGGUCUUCACUGGGAAUGAACUGAACUGUAAUUUGCUUAGCUGUUACUUUGUCUCUGAUGAAGUGAAUAUCAAGCUCAACAUGCUUAGUUUUAGCAUGAUAAACAGGAUUGUGAGCUAAAGCUAUGGCACUUUGAUUAUCACACCACAUUAUGGGGGCUGUGACAAGAUGAAUAUGUAGCUCUUUCAGUAAGGACUGAAUCCAAGUAACCUCAGCUGUAGCUUGAGCCAAAGCUCUGUAUUCAGCUUCAGUGCUUGAUCUGGAAACUACUGCCUGUUUCUUAGACGACCAAGAAACCAAAUUUGAACCAAGAUAAACAGCAUAACCAGCCACUGAUUUGCGAUCAUCCUUAUCACAUGCCCAAUCUGAGUCACUAAAACAAUUUAUCUGCAUAGUGCCGUAAUGAUAAAAAUGUAAUCCAAAAUGAAUUGUUCCUUUCAAAUAUCUAAGAAGCCUCUUACAAGCCUCCCAGUGCUCUGCUGUUGGUGAAGCUAAAAACUGACUAAGUUUGUUUACAGAGAAAGCUAUUUCUGGCCUAGUGAGAGUCACAUAUUGUAAAGCUCCAACUGCACUUCUAUAUUGAGAACUAUUUGAAAUAACACUUCCUGACCCCUUUGUAAGAUAAUGACCAGUGGCCAUGGGAGUAGGAACUGGACUGCAGUCAGCCAUAUUGUGUUUGGCUAGAAUAUCAGCUAUGUAUUUAGAUUGAGAGAGAUAAAUUCCAGAUGCUGUUUUGGUAACUUCUAUCCCAAGAAAAUAACUCAAUUUGCCCAGAUCCUUCAAAGCAAAAGCAUUUUGCAUAUUGGUAAUCACUUGCUGCACCAUUUGAUCACUUGAGCCUGUUAUGAUUAUAUCAUCCACAUAGACAAGAACAAAAAUUACUUGAUCACCUAUCCACUUGUAGAAAAGGGAGUUGUCUGACCUUGAAUUUUGGAAACCCCAUUUCACAACCAUAGCAUCUUUCAGUCUCUCAAACCAUGCCCUGGGGGCUUGUUUUAAACCGUAGAGAGCCUUUUUCAACUUACAGACAUGAAGAGGUCGAGAUGGAUCAAUGAAGCCCUCUGGCUGCCCCAUGUACACAUCUUCAACUAAUAUGCCAUUCAAAAAGGCAUUAUUCACAUCCACUUGUCUGAGCUCCCAUUUAUUCAUAACUGCCAAACUUAAAAUAACUCUGACUGUGGAUGCUUUAACAACUGGACUGAAUGUUUCUGUGUAAUCAACUCCUUGUGUCUGAUGAAACCCCUUAGCCACUAACCUGGCUUUGUAUCUAGAAAUGGUUCCAUCAGCAUGAUAUUUUAUCUUGAAUAUCCAUUUGUUACCAACUACCUUAACUGGUUCACUUGGCAAAACCAGAUCCCAUGUAUGAUUAUUCUGAAGUGCUUGAAAUUCUUCUUGCAUUGCCUUAAACCAUUUUGGAUUAGAUAAAGCAGCUGAAACAGAAGUAGGUUCUGAAGGUAUGGCUAGUAAAGCAGCUAAAUAAGAUUUAGGCUUAAAUAUACCAGCCUUGGAUCUGGUUAUCAUGGGAUGACCUAUAGGUGGUGCAGCAGGUAAUAUAUGAGGAGGAGAUUGUGUAUGAUGUAUAGGAUGUGUAUGUGAUGUCAAAGUAGAAGAUGAAGAGGAGGUUGAAGAAGGAGAGAAUACCUGUGGAGUGUCAGCAGGUAGGUAAUCACUUGCUAGAGAUUGUUGCAGGGGGGAUUGUACUUGUGGGAUUGGAACAAGAGUAACUUUGGACUCUGAAGAAAUAUCUGAGGGACUGCAAGACUGAGCAAUGGAAGAGAAGUCUAAUCCAGAUACAUAUGGAAAAGAUUGUUCAUCAAAGAUGACAUGAUUGGACACAUACACACGACCAGAUGAAUGAAGACACUGAUACCCUUUAUGAGAAGAGCUAUACCCAAUAAAAACACAUCUGUUUGAUCUAAAACUGAGCUUGUGUCUGUUAUAAGGUCUGAGAUAAGGAAAGCAAGCACAACCAAAGACCCUAAGAGAGACAUAAUCUGGUACUUGCUGAAAAAGUUUUUGGUAAGGUGAAAUGUAUUCAAAGUUGGUGUGGGUAGUCUGUUAAUAAGGAAUACAACAGUAUGAAAGGCAUUCCACCAGAACUUAAGUGGUAAAUUAGCUUGAGCUAACAGAGUGAGGCCAAUGUCCACUAUGUGUCUAUGUUUUCUCUCAAUUCUUCCAUUUUGAUGAUGGAUAUGUGGACAAGGAUGCCUGAACUGAAUUCCAAACUGAGUGAGAUAUGAUGCAAAGGUUCUAAACUCCCCUCCCCAAUCUGUUUGAACUGUUUUGAUGUGUUGUUGUAAGUGUUUUUCAAUAAAAGAUUUGAAUUCUGUGAAAACUUGGAGUGCAUCUGAUUUGGCAGUCAAAGGAAAAAUCCAUGUGAAUCUGCUAAAAUCAUCUAAAAUGGACAAAUAAUAUAUAUAGCCUUGAGUGGAUGCAACAUGUGAUGGUCCCCACAAAUCAGCAUAUAUAAGUUGUAAUGGUGCUGUUGUUUUUGUUGGAAUAGAUCCAAAAUGUAAAAGGUGACUUUUACCAUGUUGACAGGCAUUGCAAAAGUUUGGAGUUUUAUUGAGUACAUUGAAACUAUUACAAGCUUUCAAUACAGAUUUGAGUGUGUGUAAGGCAGGAUGUCCUAGCCUUUUAUGGAAAACAUUGACAUCGACUGAGCUAGUAUUGACAGCCAAGGCUGAUUUACACAGCAAAUGAUGAGACAAAGUACUCUUACUUAUUUCAGGAGAAAUAUCACUAGACAAAGGAGAAUGAAAAGCAAACAAAGACUGAGGUUUAUUGGAAGAAAGUUGACAAGACAAGGCUGAGCUAGUUUCAGAGACUUGAGCUGCAGAUUGGACUUGAUACAAUCCCCCUGUUGCAAUUCCUCUAAGCAAAGUGAUCCCUGAGUUCCUGGCCUUGACAACACAGACAUUUGCAAAAAACUCAAGUGUCACAUUAUUAUCUACUAAGAGCUUUGAAACACUGAGUAAAUUUUUCUUAAUAUUUGGAACAUGAAGAACAUGGUUUAAACACAAGGGUUUAUUUGCAGUAGUAGCUAGCAAUACUGAUCCAAUAUGCUGAAUAUGCAAUGCAGAACCAUUCCCAACAAGCAAUUUGUCAGUUCCAACAUAUGGCUUGAGAUCCAGUAAUUUACCUGGGUCAUUUGUGAUGUGGUUAGUAGCACCACUGUCAAUGUACCAAGCUGGAUCUUCAAUCAUCUCAGGUGCAUGAGCUGGAACAGGGACUGAAGGAGAUCCAGAGUAAUCUCCAGUAGGAGCAAAAGCAUGAGCAGGAGAGUAACCACCAUGAGAAUUAGAUGGUUGAUAAACAUUGAAAGCAGCUGGAUCUGAAUACAUCAAAUGGCCUUGAUAACCAGGUGCUCUUGGUAUGUUGAAAUUACCAAACUGAGAGUUACCAAUUCCAGCACCAUAUUGAGGAUUAAGAUUUCUACCAAAAUUACCAAAAUUUCCAUAAGCCAUAGAAGACCUAUUGCCAUUAGCAUAGCCAAAACCUCUACCAUACUGCCUCUGACCAGGCCUAAAAUUUCCAUUAAAACCACCUCUUCCUUGAUUUCUUGAAGGAACAAAAGCUGAGUUAAACCUAUUCCUGCAUUUAUUGGCACCAUGACCAGGAAUGAAAUAGAUCUGACAUACAAUUUGUGAGAAGUUACCAUCACUAGAUCCAGCUCCAGAAUUAUAACUUCCUCCAUACGAUCCAAUGUUAAACUUCUGAUUACCACUAGUGUUUUUACUAGGAUUGAACUGCUUUUGAGCAACAUUAGCUGACAAGUUAUGUGUAACAUCACUUGCAAUUUUUCCUCUCUUUUGUUCCACAUGAUUUUCAUGACUCAAUAACAAUGAAUAAAACUCAUCAAGACUGAUAUUAUCUCCUCUAGCUAACACAGUAGUAACUAGUGAUUCAUAAUCAGAGGAAUCCAAUCCAGUCAAAACAUGUUGAACGAAAUCAUUCACUUCAACAGGUUUUCCAGCUAAAGCCAAGCUAUCAGAUAUCCUUUUCAUUUUUGCAAAAUAAUCAGUUAUGGACAUCGAGCCUUUUUUAAGAGUUUGGAUUUGCAUUUUUAGAGGCAUUAUUCUAGCUUGUGACUGGGAAACAAACAUACUUGUAAGUGUAUCCAGCAGCUCCUUUGCAGUUGAGCAGUGGAUCACAGUUGUCAACAGAUUCGGCUGAAUAGAUGAGAGCAUCCAGCUCAGAAUCAAUUGAUCCGUCUUUAUCCACAUUGUGUAAGCUGGAUUGAUCUCUUGAUUCUCUGUUCCAGUUGAGAAACCAGCAGCAGAGCUUAUAGCAGAGAAAAAUUUUCCCGGACAGACUUGAUUUCCAUUGAUGAAAUCUUCUAAACCAUUUCCUUUAAUGGAUAUGAGAAUCUGAGUUCGCCAAACAAUGAAGUUAUUAUGAUCUAGUUUUAUCGGAGUAAUAAAACUAUAGGAUCCAGAAUUUUGAUUCGAAUUUGCCAUUUGUUAGCUCUGAUACCAUGAAAGAGUUUGUAUAUAGUGUUUGGUUUAAGAGAAACUAACAAGAAAAUAAAAGAAAAUCAUAAAGAACCAGAUCUGAAAAUGAUCAUAUUCUCAUUUUUUGACUAAUGAUUACAACUUGUUAUUUAUAGUAAAUAUCAGAGGCGUCACGUAGCUUGUCAGUUUGUUGGAUCUAAUAUGCAUGCAAUACAGUUCGUUAUCUUUGCUGCUGAGCUGGAUAACUAACUCAACACACGUAAGCAUCAGCAGCUCCAUUUAAUCAGAUGCUCUCAUCUGUACCAUAUUAUCAUACUCUAUAACAUCCUCCCUCAAGCUGAACUGACCUGGAUGGACAUUCAGCUUGCUUCUUAGAUAGUGAAACUGAUUGAAGGUUAGUGCCUUGGUAAGAACAUCGGCAUUUUGGUCUUCACUGGGAAUGAACUGAACUGUAAUUUGCUUAGCUGUUACUUUGUCUCUGAUGAAGUGAAUAUCAAGCUCAACAUGCUUAGUUUUAGCAUGAUAAACAGGAUUGUGAGCUAAAGCUAUGGCACUUUGAUUAUCACACCACAUUAUGGGGGCUGUGACAAGAUGAAUAUGUAGCUCUUUCAGUAAGGACUGAAUCCAAGUAACCUCAGCUGUAGCUUGAGCCAAAGCUCUGUAUUCAGCUUCAGUGCUUGAUCUGGAAACUACUGCCUGUUUCUUAGACGACCAAGAAACCAAAUUUGAACCAAGAUAAACAGCAUAACCAGCCACUGAUUUGCGAUCAUCCUUAUCACAUGCCCAAUCUGAGUCACUAAAACAAUUUAUCUGCAUAGUGCCGUAAUGAUAAAAAUGUAAUCCAAAAUGAAUUGUUCCUUUCAAAUAUCUAAGAAGCCUCUUACAAGCCUCCCAGUGCUCUGCUGUUGGUGAAGCUAAAAACUGACUAAGUUUGUUUACAGAGAAAGCUAUUUCUGGCCUAGUGAGAGUCACAUAUUGUAAAGCUCCAACUGCACUUCUAUAUUGAGAACUAUUUGAAAUAACACUUCCUGACCCCUUUGUAAGAUAAUGACCAGUGGCCAUGGGAGUAGGAACUGGACUGCAGUCAGCCAUAUUGUGUUUGGCUAGAAUAUCAGCUAUGUAUUUAGAUUGAGAGAGAUAAAUUCCAGAUGCUGUUUUGGUAACUUCUAUCCCAAGAAAAUAACUCAAUUUGCCCAGAUCCUUCAAAGCAAAAGCAUUUUGCAUAUUGGUAAUCACUUGCUGCACCAUUUGAUCACUUGAGCCUGUUAUGAUUAUAUCAUCCACAUAGACAAGAACAAAAAUUACUUGAUCACCUAUCCACUUGUAGAAAAGGGAGUUGUCUGACCUUGAAUUUUGGAAACCCCAUUUCACAACCAUAGCAUCUUUCAGUCUCUCAAACCAUGCCCUGGGGGCUUGUUUUAAACCGUAGAGAGCCUUUUUCAACUUACAGACAUGAAGAGGUCGAGAUGGAUCAAUGAAGCCCUCUGGCUGCCCCAUGUACACAUCUUCAACUAAUAUGCCAUUCAAAAAGGCAUUAUUCACAUCCACUUGUCUGAGCUCCCAUUUAUUCAUAACUGCCAAACUUAAAAUAACUCUGACUGUGGAUGCUUUAACAACUGGACUGAAUGUUUCUGUGUAAUCAACUCCUUGUGUCUGAUGAAACCCCUUAGCCACUAACCUGGCUUUGUAUCUAGAAAUGGUUCCAUCAGCAUGAUAUUUUAUCUUGAAUAUCCAUUUGUUACCAACUACCUUAACUGGUUCACUUGGCAAAACCAGAUCCCAUGUAUGAUUAUUCUGAAGUGCUUGAAAUUCUUCUUGCAUUGCCUUAAACCAUUUUGGAUCAGAUAAAGCAGUUGAAACAGAAGUAGGUUCUGAAGGUAUGGCUAGUAAAGCAGCUAAAUAAGAUUUAGGCUUAAAUAUACCAGUCUUGGAUCUGGUUAUCAUGGGAUGACCUAUAGGUGGUGCAGCAGGUAAUAUAUGAGGAGGAGAUUGUGUACACACUGAUCCAUGUACAACACAUCUCUUGAUUAUCUGUGUGUGUGCUGCUCAUCAAUGAUUAACAAGAUACAGUAGUUUUGUGAAGUCUCAUGUCUUGUGUUACAAAAUUUUGUGAUGGAAAGAAGGAAUAAUUCAACUAAAAAAAAAAAACACACGCGCGCAGCACACACACAGAGGGCCGCAACUAGCCCUUGAACCCCUAUUGAACUCGCACAAGAUACUAUUGAACUAAAUUCAAAAACAGCUGUUAAUAGCAUCUUAAAAUAUGGGUUCUAUCCAUACUCCCACCUGAAUCAUUUCUUGCGGCAUGACUCAAAAAUAACAAUAAGCCUGUCGCACCGAUAACUCAUUAGUGCAAUUUUUUUAACUCAAAAAAUUGAUACGCGUUCAUUUAGCGAAAAGUCCAAGACGCUUGCCUUUUGAAAAGAAGAGGUAUCCAAUAGAUAUCCAACCUUUAUCUUAUUUAAUUACUACCACGACAUGAUUGAUGGUGCUUAAAUCGAUUGUUUCUUUUUUAAUUUAAAGAAUUUUUCAUUAAAAAAUAUUUUAAUAUCAAAUUGCCUUCAAUAGCGUAACUGCCGCAGGCCCAGUAACAAGAUUAAUUAAAAUUUUUUGAAUUUUUGGGCAUGGAAAGAGUAGUAUUAGACUUCAGAAAGCUUAAGGUUGUUAUGUUAAAGAAUUGAUAUUGACAUAAUUUUAUUUUGGUUUUCGGGAAACAAAUUAUUUGUUGACAAGCAAGAAAAUAUUUUUGUAUUUUACAAUUUAUUAUACAUAUUUUAUCAUAUUAAAGUAAUUUUAAUAAUAAAUAGACACAUAAUAUUACAACAAAUAAAGUAAAGUUUAAAUUAUUUUGAAUAUUAUAAAAAUAAUUUUAAUAUUAUUAAUAGGAAGACAUUUUGUUAAUUUUAAAAUCUUUUUAACCUAAAGGUUUAUUUAAAAUCUUUAGAAAUCUCCAUCCCACAUCUACCCUAUUAAACAAGUUGAUGGAAAUUGAACAAUUGCUUUUUGAAGUGGACCCAUUGAGUUAUGUUCAUUACUGGUCAUUGUCUAUUCUUUCUAAGAGCCACUUGUUUUGAGCAUUAGCAAUCCUAUCUGGACUACUCCAAUUAUUGAUGUAACUCCAAUGGUUGCAUCAACAGUUGAAUGUAAGAUAGUGUUAGUUCUUUUUUGAGAAUAUAGAGGGAUCUUUAUUUGUUUCUCCGUUGUAGCGUAUUAGUAUAAAUUUCUUUACCUUACAGUUCCUACAGUCUUCCUGUUAAUGAAUUCGCUGAGGCAUUAUUGAUCCAAUCUCAGUGAAGUAAUUGUGGGUGAAAAAAAAAAAUAAAGGAUAAGAGAACGUAGCUGAAGUGCUGAAUUGACUAUUAAAGAAGAGCGUCACCUGAUCACAAUCACAUUGAUGCACAACUCACUCAGAUCAUUACAACGUCCUUUUCGCUAAUUAAUUAUGAUUAUAUACAUUUUCAUAUGGCAAGUGGCAUUGUAGAUCUAAACUACGUUGCUAUUUCAUUACGUUAAUUAAGUGAUUCUCCUCAUUGUCAUCAGCGCUUUUUGGGCAUGGAAAGAGUAGUAUUAAACAUUAGAAAGCAAAGGUUGUUCUGUCAAAGAAUUGAUAUUGGCAUAAUUUUAUUUUUGCUUUCGAGUAAAAAAAAAAAAAUUGUUGACAAGCAAGAUACUGUUUUUAUAUUUUACAGUCAGUUAUACAUAUUUUAUCAUAUUAAAGUAAUUUUAAUAAUAAAUGGAAACAUAACAUUACAAUAAAUCAAUUAAAGUUUAAAUUAUUUUGAAUAUUAUAAAAAAUAAUUUUAAUAUUAUUAAUAGGAAGAUAUUUUGUUUAUUGUAAAAUCUUUUUAACCCAAAGGUUUAUUUAAAAUCGUUAUAAUAAAUAAAAAUAUAAAAACAAAAUAAAUAUCAUAAUUUAAAAUUUUAAUAUUAUUUUAAAUAUUAAAAAUACUUUAAUGCUAUUAGUCUACUACCCAGGUUAUAUUACGUAUAUUAUAUUUGUAUAAAUUAAAACUUUUAAAGUUAAAUUUUUAAUUACUAUAUUGAAAAGUUAUUAUGGUUAAAAAAAGUUUUGGCAUUUCUUUUUGAAAAUUUGAGGGUCUGCAUGACAAUUUGUCCAAAUCCUAGAGGUAUAGGUGUCUUUUUUUUUUUUCGAUAAUCAUUUUACUUUUGAGGGAAUCCGAUGAGAAAUAAGAUAAGAGAAACGUCAAUUUAAGGUUCUCUAGGGAAAACCAAGAACUAUUCAAUUUUGUAUUUUUUGUUUGUAAAACGAAAAACAGUUUGCCAAAAAAGGUACCAAACAUAUCCUUAAUGUCUCACAUGAUUUCUUAUUAAGUCCAUACUCGAUAUAUUUAUACAUUUUAGGUAUUUUAGUUAUAAAAGAAGUUGGUCCUCCCUUUGUUUAUAAAAGGUAACUUUAUUUCGAGAUUACCACUAAAGUCUUGCAAAGAAUUAGUGUAAUGUUAAGAGAGAAUAACACAGUUUUCCAUUACCAUUUUGAAAAUAGAAAGAUGUGGAUGUGUGCAUUUAAUAUUGCGUUUACUUGCUGGAUUGAGGAAUCGGAAUCUAGAAUCGGAAUGAUUGAUGGUGUUUACUUUGCAAAUAUGGAGCAGGAAUCGGAAUUGGAAUGGUGGGGGCCACCACUAUUUGGGAAUGGGAGAUUGAUUCUCAUGGGGGAAGGUGGGAAUGAGUCUCCCAUUCCCUGGAUUGACCAUUUUGCCCUCCCUCAAAAUUAAAAAUGCCUACUUUGUCCUCUUUUAUAAUUAAUUAAUAUAAUAUUAUAAUUACUUAAUUAAUAUAUAAAUAUUUUAUUAACUAUAAUUAUUAAAAAUUAUAGUUCUUGAAUAAAUAAUCACAAUAAUUAAUUUAUUAUUAUUAUUGUUAUUUUAAUUAAUUAAUUAAUAUACUAUUAUAAUAAUUAUUAAUAUAAUUAAUUUAUAUAUUAUUAUUAUUAUUAAUGAAUUAAUAUAAUUAUUACUAUUAAUUAAUAUAUUAAUAUAUUAUUAACAAUAAUAUAUUAAUAAUUAUUGUUCGUGAAUAAAUAAUCACAAUAAUUAAUAUAUUAUUAUUGUAAUUAAUUAAUUAAUAUACUAUUAUAAUAAUUAUUAAUAUAAUUAUUAUAAUUAAUUCAUAUAUUAUUAUUAAUUAAAUUAAUAUUAUUAAAUAAAUAAAUAAUAUAAUUAUUACUACUAAUUAAUAUAUUAAUAUAUUAUUAAAAAAUAUUAAUAAUUAUAAUUUUUGAAUAAAUAAUCACAAUAAUUAAUAUAUUAUUUUAAUUAAGUAAUUAAUAUUAAUAUUAAUAUUAUUAGUUAAUAUAUUUUUAUAAUAAUUUUUAAUAUAGUUAUUAUAAUUAAUUAAUUUUUUUUACAAUUAAUUAAUAUAUUAGUUAAUAAUAAUUAUGACAAUAAUCCAUUAAGUACUUUUUAGUAAUUUGUUACAAUCUAAUUCAUUCCGAUUCCGAUUUCAAGACAAAGUAAACACAUUAAUGGCAAUUUAGCUCAUUCUGAUUUUGAUUCCUACAGUUCAAGUAAACAACUUAUUUUGAUUCCUAUUACAUAUUCCCAUUCCAACCCAUUCUCAUUUCUGUCCAUUCUCAUUUCUGCCCAUUCCGAUUUUAGCUCAUUCCGAUUUCAGUUUAGUAAACGCAGUAUAAGAGUUAUCAUGAAAAUCAUACAAUUCAAUUUCCUGAAAUAUAUAUUUUAUUCACAUGUGCCAAAAGAAUAAAUAGAUAGAAAGUAAAUUUACAAUCCUCACUCCCUCACAAUUGUUAAAGUGAAUAUGCAUUACAACUGUGAACUGUCACUACUUUAGCCCUUUUUUUUUUUUCAAUUAUAGUGUGAUGGAGACAGUGAACAUUAAGGAUAAAGUGCUCUGCUGAAAGCCAAACUUCCUUUGGCUAAUUAAUUUAGAAGUAAAGCAGAGAAUAAAGUCCUAGAUGCCUUCUGAAAUUAGAAAUACAUUUUAUAUGCUUUAAUUAUGAUUAUUUGGCAGACUAAAGACCUAAAAGAUAUGUCAAAAGUAUGAAACAGAGAGAUUAAAGAAAAAAGAAAAAAAAAAAAAAACAGAGUAUUUGUGACGUAGAAUAACAAUUGGUAAAUAAAUCCUAAAUAUUUGAGUUGUUAAAAGCAAAUAUAACAGAGACGGUAAGAGAGAUGCAGAAACAGAAAACUAUUAGCUUAUCUUGAUUUUCCCACUAUAUUCAUUUUCGAUGCUUUUCAAUCGAGAUUCUUUUAAUUCUUCUGGUGUCUGCAGCCCCGGCUCUUCUUAUAAAUCUCCAUCCCACAUCUGCACUACGAACAAGUUGACUGAAAUUAAAUAAUGUUGGAGAUGAGGGGUGAGCCGUCAACUUGUUAAAAAAAACUCAUGUAUAAUAUUAUCAAUAAUAUAAAAUAUAUAAUAAUUGUUACAAAGAAUCAUAAAUUAGAAAAAUUAAUUAUUUUACAAUCUAUUUCUUAAGUAAGAUAAAUCUUGUAAUAAGUUAAGUUAUAACGUAAAAAAUAUUUUCAAUUUAUAAUCAUUUAAGAAGUCAUUUAACAAUAAAAUCUUUCUUUUGAUCAUGUGGGCAUGCCAUAGAGUAUCAUCUAUAUUCGUGAUGAUAUUAUUAUUACUCAGUAUCCUAAAAAAAACACGAUUUAACAUUUAGAGAAAAUUCCUGCCUUUUAAAAAGAACAUGUAUGCAAUAGCUAGCCAUACUUUAUUUUACCACAACAAAAUUGAUGGUGAUUAAAUCAAUUUUCUCAAUUAAAGCAAAAUUUUAAAAAUUGAUUUAAUGCACAAAUAUGAUGAGUUUUUGUAAAAAUUAGUUUUGGAAAAUAUAGUGAGAGAAAAUGGUGACGAUUAUUUUCAGAUGUGCAAAUAGCCUAAACAUAAUCUCUAAUACCAAUAUCCAUGUGCAUCUUAAUACCUUUCAUGAUAUUCUUUCAUUCAUGGCCAUUUGUUCAAGAUUUGAAUUUGAUUAUUAAAUCAUGUUCAAUAAUGUUAGAGAUCCCAACAAUUGAAUACCAACUUAAAUCCCAAUGCUAUGUGUCAUUAACAAAUGUUGUGUCAUUUAUAAUUAUUGAAUGAAUAAUUCGUUAAUUUAUUGAUAAAUAAAAAUUUAUUAAUUUAAAGAGAGAUACUUCUUCUUUUUUUGUUUUAAGAAGAGUUUUGUUGGUACAUGUACAUACUUAUAAAGAAAUAAACUUGUAAUUAUACUAUAUCUUUCUUUCUUUGUUCAGUUUGGUGGGAUAUUGUGAUAAAUCAUUGGAUUAAAAUACAUUUCUAAAUUAAAACUUGUUAAAAUCUAAUUUAUUUGGGAAACGCAUAUUAUUUGUCAGUUGUACUUCUCAACUUAGCAAGUUAUUUCUAACUUGUCAGUCUCUAUUGGUUCUCUAAAAGCUAAUAGUCUCGAAUCUCCCGCAUUUGAUAUCUUGCCAUUACUGUUGGCAUUUGUUAAGUAUAGCUGAAGCUGGUGACGUGUAUAAGCUGCUGAUGAAGCUGCUGAGUUGGCUGGCUGGUGAUGUGUAUAAACUGAAGGUGCUGAGCUGGAUUGGGUUGUUGUUCACACCAACUAAAGAUGUAACAGAUUAUCCAGCUGGCUUGUUAUGAUUGGAAGUUAGAUUAGUUUGUUAAUACAGCAAACAAUGAGCUCUGUUUUGGUAGUUAGUUUUGAGUGUAACUAUAAAUACUGGCUAACAUGUUUUCAGUGUUAAGCUUGAGUUUUAAUCAAUAAAAAUCAAUUCAGUUAAAGUUUCUUUGUUAACUUUCUUUCACUUUCUCACUUGCCAAACAACCUAUUAAUUCUAAAAUGGUAUCAGAGCUUGCACCUAUGUCAGGAUCUAAUCAUAUAGCUUCCUCAUCACUUUCAUUCAAUUUUGUUCAACCUAUAAAACUCGAUAGAUCAAACUACUUGGUGUGGAAAGCUCAAGUUAGAACAUCGAUCAUUGCUAAUGGACUUGAGAGCUUCAUCAAUGGUGAGAGUGUAUGUCCAAAAUGUUAUCUCAUUGAUUCUAUUCAAGAACUUCAAAGAUCUGGAGCUGAAACAUCACAGAAGCAGGAAAAUCCAGAGUAUAUCUUAUGGAUGAAAACUGACAAACUUCUGCAGAGCUGGAUGCUUUCGUCAAUGGUGGACAAUGUAUUAAUCAUGGUGAUCAAUUGUGAAACAUCACUUGAACUUUCGGAGAUGCUUGCUAGAAUCUUCAUGUCACAAUCCAAAGCGAGAUAUCUGCCUUUGAAGAUGCAGAUUCAAUCAACAAAUAAAGGAUCUCUCUCCAUCAGUGAUUACUUCAAAAGGAUGAAGAAAAUUGCUGAUAGCUUGGCCAUUGGAGGUAAUCCAAUUACUUCGAAUGAACUGAUUAUUCACUUGCUUACUAGAUUGGAUGAAAACUAUGAAUCCAUAGUCACAAAUAUACUUACUAGACUGGAAAAAGAGAGACUUACUGCUGAAGAGGUGUACUCUAUGUUACUUAGUCAUGAAACUAGGUUGGAAAUGAGCAAAGGAAAAUCACAUAAUGAACCUCUGCAUGAUAUGACAUCAAAUUUUGCUCAGAAAGGCCAAGGUUAUAAUACUGGUCCUGGAAGAGAUGUUGUGUGUCAAAUCUGUUACAUUCCAGGCCAUGGAGCUUAUAAGUGUAAACAUAGAUUCAAUCAAGGGUUUAUUCCUAGAAACAAAGGCUUUGGUGGUUUCAGGCCAAGAGGUGGAGGUCAGAAUUAUAGAGGAUUCCCUAGAAAUAAUCAGAAUUAUUUUGGUAGAGGUUCUGGAUACAAUAGUUCUGCUUUUGGAUCUGGAUUCAGACCUAACUUUCCCAGGCAAGCCGGACCUACUGGACCUUUCUUUGGCUAUGUUGCCUAUCAGAAUCCAGGAUUCAUGAAUCCUCAAGGUGCCUUUGACUUUCCAAGUGCAAAUGGUGAUUAUACUGGUGUUCCAACAGCAAACAUGUAUGUUGGAAAUUAUGGCAUUCCUCAUAAUGUCUCUCCCUCUGCACAAUUGGCAAACUUCAGCAAUGUAGCUGAUUCAGCCUGGUACCUUGACUCUAGAGCAACAAAUCACAUUGCUCAAGAUGCAGGUAUACUUUCUAAGUGCUCAACUUACCAUGGCCUUGAAAAACUACAUGUAGGAAAUGGUAUGGGGCUGCCUGUUCAUAAUGUUGGUUUUGUUGCUGUUAAAACCUUGACUACAACACCUAUAUACCUAAAUCAUGUUCUGCAUGUCCCUAAAAUUACUAAAAACCUUAUCAGUGUUUCCAAAUUGCUUGCUGAUAACAAUGUUUUUAUUGAGUUUUACAACCAUGUUUGUUUUGUUAAGGACAAGAAUUCAAGAAUCACAUUGCUCAAGGGGAUUGUUAGAGGAGGUCUUUAUCAAGUUUCAAGCUUAAAUACAGUCUGUGAUAACUCCAGUUCAGUGUUCCCAGUGUCAACCACUUCUGAGUUUGUUUUUACUUCAAUAAGUACAUUCCCAGCAACUCCAGUGUCUAUGUUUACUCAACUAAGUUCAUUUGAUACUAAGUUUCACUCUUGUAUGCUUGUAAAUAAUUCUCAAAUCAAUAAGAAUGUCCCUGUGGCUCACUUUGCUUCAUAUAACAAGCCUAUUGAUUAUAGUUUACUGCACAAAAGAAUGGGUCAUCCAACUACUCAUGCUUUAAAACAGAUCAUGAAAUGCCUGAACUCAAAUUUUAUUCUUCCCAAAGAUUUCACAACACAGUUCUGUGAUGCCUGUCAACUAGGCAAGUGCCAUACGCAGCAUUUUCCCUCCAUAGAAACUUCAACCACUCAGCCCCUUGAAUUACUACAUGCUGACCUUUGGGGACCAGCUCCCAUUACCUCUUCACAAGGUUACACCUACUAUCUAUCUAUCUUAGAUGACUACACUCGAUACACUUGGAUUUUUCCUCUCAUUGCCAAAUCCAAAACCUUGUCAGCCUUUAUUGAAUUCAAAAACAUGAUUGAAAACUGCCUGAACUUGAAAAUUAAAUGUUUACAAACUGAUUGGGGUGGAGAAUUCAGGCCUUUUGUGUCAUAUCUUUCUAACCAGGGUAUACAAUUUUGACAUCCCUGCCCUUAUAUCCAUCAUCAACAUAUUACCUGAGAUUGGGAUUCAUUAAAAUCCUCAAUGUAAUCGGUGGAACGAAUGGAUUUCUUCUGUUCACCAAUCCACCAAAAUUUCUGUAAUUAAAUUCAAGAGUCAAGAUCUAUGCUUAUAAUCUAUUCAACAGCUAAUAUUCUAUUUUAUAUUUACUUAAAUAUGAAGAGCUAUGCUUGUCAUUAACUUCAAAUGUGAUCGAAGCAGCCUUACAUCUGUAUAUUACGUAUUCCCAACUUUUUUUUGACUUCAUUUACUUUCUUUUCAUGUUAUUUACUCUUUUUUCCCCCUCUCUGACAAUUGAGGUAGGGGGUCAAACUUGAAAGUAUCUUAAAAUCAAACAAUUUUUUUUUUAAGAUAGCUGCUAAUAUGCUCUAUUAGACAAUGAUAAGUAAUAACCUAGUUGUUUGCAUUAGAAAUGAUAUUUUUUGUGGUGCUGAUAAAGAGGUUGAUUAUGAUUCAACAAUUUAAAAUAUGAAAACAUGUGGAAGACGGCCGCAAUUAAAUUGAUUGUAUGAAAAUAUUUCAAUGAAAUUUUAAAAAUUUAGUACUUGUUAUCUUAUCGAGAGUUUUUUAAAUUUUUCUACUUGAACUUGACUGCUUUUGUAUUGAAUUCCUAGCGUUGCCAUUGCUUCUACUCAAAAGCCAUUUAGUUACUCAUGAAUUGUUGUUCAUAAUAGCAAUUUGAUUGAAAGUGCGGCUGCACUAAUUUUCUAGAUGAAUUUUUUCCUACAUGCUUGUUCUCGUAUGACCCAAAAUCCUGCUACAUCAGUUGUAUUAGAAAUUAAUCAACUGGGUUACAAUUAUGCAUCCCCACCAAUAUUUAAGCAAUUUAAUUACAGAAACAUUUCUUGAGGAAAGAAACUCAUAUCGCCACUAGGCUUUUAAUGAGGCUCAUUUUUAUGAAUCUGGAUGGCAUUAGAUAUCUCUCCGAAUAUUGGUGGGAGUAGAUAUGCUACAAAGUGUAUGUACGUUGACUCUCAAUAAAUACAAACGAUUCUCUGAUCUGAUUCAAAACAUCAGUACAUGCAUCAUUUUAAUGAGAAAGAAUAUUCUAAGAACGAAAUUGAAGGUGCAAUCAGCAGCUAAAAUGAAGCCAGAAAUGUACACGCAUGAGGAAGUUUUCCAAGAAGAUUGAUAUUUCUUUGACUAGCAAACCAUACAAGUCCAAAGCUAGCUAAACCAUACCUGCAAGUCGGGGGUUUAAAUGGAGUACUUCUAAGCAUAAAACAUUGAUUAAAACAGAAUACACACAUACAUACCAGCAAAUUCAAUAUAGCAAAAGGAGUGCAAAAGUUCAAGUUUGUAGACAACAUUGCAACCAUGGCAUGUUUAUAGCAAAUCCUCGAAAUCUGCUAAAUAAAACAAUGCCCUGUCUCAUGAAUCAAUGCUGAAUUAAAAUUGAAACUGAAAGUCUGGCUGGCGGUGUUUCCCUCUCCAAUUUUGCCUACAUAAGUGAAAAUAAGAAUAAUAAAUGGAAAUCUGCUUUUACAGUUCUUAUUAGAUAGAUAUAAAGGGAUCUUUCUUUGUUUCUCUGCUGUAAUUUGUGGCUAUGCCACUCUGUUUUUCCAGUCAAGCUGAGUCUACGUUGAGACAUAAUUUUGACAUCAGAAGCAACCUCAAUUAGUUUGGCAUUUUCAUGACCUCCUUGAAGGUUUUAUGAUAAACAUAAAUCCACUGAGAAAGUGGGAAAAAAAGAAAAUGCAUAUAAAAGUAUGAGUUAUCAGAUAAGAUUAAAACUCACCCAAUUCAAUCCAUCAGAUUCCGUAAGGAUAUAACUGGAUGUCAUACCGCCACUCCAUAUCCUCGAAAGUCCGUAGUCCUUGUCUCAACUGUGUCUGGGGCCAGUGUAAGUCCAAUUUGCGCAAGCUCUUUAUGCACCACAGCUCUUCUGGAAGCUUUCUCAAGUAAGCACAUGGGUUGACAAUUAAGCUUUCAAGUUUCGGCAUUGCUCCAGCCGCCAUCGUCCACUCAUCUAGCCAAUACAUUGAUUUCAGGUGCAAAACCUUAAGUUCGGGAAAGCUACUCAAGCCAACACAAGCAAGCUUUCUUCCUAAAUACGAGUUCUGCUUCAGUUUCAGCACUCGAAGGCGUGGAAGAUUUUCCAGAAUUGGCAUGGGAUCCUCCAUUAGCUCAGUAUUUGAUAAGCUCAGUUGGAUCAGACUUGGGGGAAAUUGGUAUUCAGACAGGACCAUCCGUGAGGGCUUGCUCUCAUUCACCAGCUUCAAGCAUUCAAGUUUGUGGAGUUCGCAAAGGCUUUUGGAAACCCCAGAUUGAUAGUAACUCAAAUCUCCAGAUAUCCGAAGAGUCCGAACACUAGGUAGUCUGCCCAAUAUAUCAGGAGUACAACUACUAGGGUUUAAAGCUGAUAUGAAAAUGAGAUUUUUCAGAGAGCUAGAAUAAUUUUUUGGAGGUGCGGGCAGAGUGAUGCAACCGAAGUUUAGAUGCAUGAGUUUUUGCAUCAUCCAAAUAUCCUCUGGUGACUGAUCUAUGUAGCUAGAUGGCAUUUCUAGUGUUUCAAGGUUUAAAAGGGUGCAUAGCAGUGAAGGAAGGCAUUUGAGCGAAGGGAUAUUCAAUUUCAAAUACUUCAAAAGAUAUAAAUUUUCUAAUCCGGGUGGAUAUUGGUCCAGGACUGCAGAACCCAUGUUCAAUACCCGAAGGUAUUUGAACCUUUUAAAAAAAUUCUCGCAAUCUUUCGGAUUAAGAUGAUUGCUUUUUGAACUGUGAUUCAGAAAAGAUUGGAGACACAUGUCAGAAUGUUCUAAAGAAAAGAACUCAAUCAGAUCAUCGUCAAUGACGCACCGUUUAACAUUUGCCACUGAUUCCUCUUCCACGUCAUGCAUCCAGACAAAUCCCGUCUUCAUUGCCACAAUAUACAAUGAAGUGUAUACAAAACUUGGAACAUAACACGCUUUAAUUGUGCCUCUGGCUCUUCUCUUACUCACUUGAAUGAAGCCGCGAUGGAUUAGUUCUUUCAAGUAAUGUUCGGCAGUUUCUUCACCGUUGUAUGGUAUGAAACCUUCAGCUACCCACAACUGAUAUAAUUGCUCCGUAGAUAUCUCAAUACUUGGAGGGAAGACAUACAAAUAGAUGCAGCAGACUUUCAAGUGAAAAGGCAACUCCAUCACAGAAAAAAUUUGUCUCCAAACUGUCAGAACCACUUCGCCUUGAAGAUAAUUUUCUAAUGGCAUACUUCCAUAGUGUAGGAUGAAAAAUUGCCAGGCCUCAUGCUUUAAUCUGAUCAAUGGUCCUCCAAAGAGCACUGAAUCACGCCGAAUCUUCUCUUCAUUUUCCAUUUCCAACGACGCAAUGAGGCCCGGAUCAGUGACUGUUAUCAAUACUCUGCUUCCAUUCUCAUCACCAGGAAGAAGUUCUUCGAGAUCACUCCAUAUCUCACUGUUAUCGAAGACAUCAUCAAGCAAAAUAAAGUACUUCUUGUUUGUUAGGUAAUCUCGAAGAAUAGAUUUCUUCAAUUGAUAAUCUUCACCGAUAAUUACACUAACCCGAGAUGGAGGCAUCACAGACUUGAUUAUGUCAUCCAACAUCUUGCCAAAAUCAUAGAAUAUAGAAACCCUGACCCAAGCAAGACAGUCAAAAUAGAACUUGACAUGGUUAUUAUUGUAAGUAUCUUCUGCAAAAGCAGUCUUAUCGAAGCCACUGCUGUCGAGAAUUGUAACCACUGCAAGCCGAGGGCGUCCUUCAAUCAAUAAAUCAAACAACUCCUCCCUGCCCCUUUCAAAUUCAUUGAUAUCAAGCCGAGGUUGUCCCUCACUCAAUAGGUGAAUGAUUUCGUUACUUUUUUUACUGAUAUCAAAACCAUUGUCGCCGGGUGGAAGUUGUUGCAUCCGAUUACUAAUAUCAAUGAUUUUACUGUGGAGACCAGCAAGAAGAGCCAUAUUAGUACUGCUUUCACUUUCGUUUUCACUGUUUUGCUGCUGCAUAAUGUUGAUGAAGAAUGUGUCAAUGGCUUCCUCAGAUUCAUGGACAAAGUCAUUGAUGUCCUUCACAAUGCCCAAAAGGUCCGCUCUUUCAACUUCUUCUUCAUCGCUUUCUUCUAAGUCCAACAGUUGCAAAAAAGGCAAAGAUAUUUUGGAGUCAUCGAAUUCUUCUCUAAUGAGUUGAAAGAAAUGCCGAGCCAUGUCAGCUUCAUAUUUUCCCAGCAGGGUAGUAGCAAUAAUUUCGGACUCCGUAAGAAGGUUUUGAAAAAGUGGGGUUAAAUUUGUUGAAUCAGGCAGCGUUAACGGGCCUUCUUCACCUGCUAACACCCUUUUCAACCUCUCACAAAACAGUCGGAGGUGGAAUUCCAGCAUAUCUCCUUCUCUCCGUAGCACUCAGAGGUAUAGCUGAAAGAUUAAACACCAUGGAAGAAUUUGAAAGGAAAAUGCCAAGACAUUAUUGCUCAUUUUUUAACUCAAAAGAUUGAUACGCGUUCAUUUAGAGAAAAGUCCAAGACGCGUGCCUUUUGAAAAGAACAGGUAUCCCAAUCGGUAUCCGACCGAUAUCUUAUUAAAUUACAACCAUGACAUAAUUGAUGGUGCUUAAAUCAAUUGUUUCUUUUUUAAUUUAAAGAAUUUUUCAUUAAAAAAAUAUUUUAAUAUCAAAUUGCUUUCAGUGGCGUAACUGCCUCAAGCCCAGUAACAGGACUAAUUAAAAAUUUUACAAUUUUUGGGCAUGGAAAUAGUAGUAUUAAACAUUAGAAAGGUAAGGUCGUUCUGUUAAAGAAUUGAUAUUGACAUAAUUUUUUUUGGUUUUCGGGGGAAAAAAAAUUGUUGACAAGCAAGAAAAUAUUUUUAUAUUUUAUAAUUUAUUAUACAUAUUUUAUCUUAUUAAAGUAAUUUUAAUAAUAAAUAGAAACAUAAUAUUACGAUAAAUAAAUUAAAGUUGAACUUAUUUUGAAUAUUAUAAAAAAUAAUUUUAAUAUUAUUAAUAGGAAGACAUUGUAUUAAUUUUAAACUUUUUUAACCCAAAGGUUUAUUUAAAAUCUUUAUUAGAAAUACAAAUAUAAAAUUAAAUAUCAUAAUUUAAAAUUUUUAAUAUUAUUUUAAGUAUUAAAAAUAUUUUAAUGUUAUUAGUCUACUACAUAGAUCAUAUUACUUAUAUAAUAUUUGUAUUAUUAAAAAUUGUUAAAAUCAAAUUUUUAGUUAGUAUAUUCAUGAGCUAUUAUGGUUAAAAAAAAAAAGACCUUAUUAUUACUUUUUUAAAAAUUGAGGGCCUGCGUGAUAAUUUUUUCAAAAAGAAAAUGCUUGGUAUGUAGGAGGGGUACAGAAACAGGACUCCCAAAAUCUCUCACCCUUUUUUAAUUAAAAAAAAAAAUUAAAAUAUCAAUAAAAAGUAAUAAAGAAAAUAGAAUUUUAUCUGCUCCUUACUCCAUUUUUGCAACUCUCUCACCAUCCCUAUCGAGCAGCCCUCUCUCUCACUGUCUCACUCACACAGUCCUUUUCACGAUUUGAAAUUCUUUGGCCCUCUGCAUUACAAGAAAUUAACGCUUUGGUUCUCCCAAGGGUAGAUUGGUUUUAUUGGGAAGCUAUUAAUUUUUUUUUUUUUUGAAUACUGAUUAAUCAUCAGAUUACUGCAUUACACAGAUAUUUACAACAACUGCUAUUGUAGCAGAGAUAUUAUACUGAUAUUUACAAUCAGAUAUACAUAAUUGGGACUUAUAUUAUGACAUUGAAUUCUAUGAAGUACAUGCCCAAACAAAUAACCCCUCACAGGAGAGGGAUGUCCAUACUCCACUCGCAUUUCGCAAGGGAGAAUGAUUUUUUGGAAGUAUAAAGAACAUUUAGCCCCCACAAUACUUUUGUGGGGGCUAGAACCGCUGCAGCAUUGUGAGGGCAGCAGCCCACCACUUCGGCCUUGGCCGAAGUGGCGGGAAGCUAUUAAUUAGAAGGAGGAAAAAGGACUAUAUUUAGAAUAUGAUUUGUUGGAGAAUCUCAGAGUUAGUCAAUUUUCAAGCCACACUUUCAAUAGCCAAUUGAUUUAGUAACCAUUAAUUACUUUAAUUUCCAUAAAUUGUAAUGACAGUGCAAAUGCAUCUGGUUGUGAUAGCUAAGGGUUAGCUUGAAGAAUUAAAUUUCAUAAGAUAUUACUGGAAAAUGCUUUGCAGAUAACGUGCUGCUUCCUUUGCUAGACUACAAUUUCAAAAAUCUCACGAGUUUUCCAUUGUUGUCACAAACCGAGAAAUUAUAAAAUACAUGGCCUGGUUCUUUGGCAAUGACCAUCUCAUCGUCGGCGGUCGUGUCGUCAUUGUCACUGUUCUUGCUCGACCGAGACAGUGAGAGAGAGGUUUGUUAGAUGGAGUUAGUGAGAGAGAGUUGUAAAGAUGGAAUGAUGAUAAAAGGAUUCUAUUUGUUUUUAUUGUUUUUUAUUAAUAUUUUAAUUUUUUAAAUUAAAAUGUGCUGCCGUUUCUCUAGCCUUUUUAGCUGCUUAACUUAACAGUAUUCUUUUCAAAAUUUAAGAAUGUAGUAGGUGUCCUUUUCUCUAAUAAUUUAUUUCAUUUUUAGGGAAUCCAAUGAGAAAUAUGAUAAAAGAACGUCAAUUACUUGUCGUUUUCAAUUUUUUCUAUAAGCUAUUUAUUUUGAGCAUUAGUGAUCUUGUCUGGACUACCCCAAUUAUUGACGUAACUCCAGUGGCUGCAUCCACUGGAAAAAGUGGAUGAGACCAUUUUUUUUUUCAUAAAGGUAACUACUCCAAUUAUUGACAUAAUUGAUGGUGCUUAAAUCAAUUUUUUCUUUCUUUUUUUUAAUUUAAAGAAUUUUGCUUUAAAAAAUAAUUAAUAUCAAAAUGCCUUCAAUGUUGUUACCGCCACAAGCCCAGUUAGAGGACUCAUUAAAAAUUUUAGAAUUUUUAGGCCUGGAAAGCAUAGUAUUAAACAUCAGAAAGCAAAGGUUGUUAUGUCGAAGAAUUGAUGUCGACAAAAUUUUAAUUUUGUUUUCGGAAAAAAAAAAAAAUUUUGUUGACAAGCAAGAAAAUAUUUUUUAUACUUUACAAUCUGCUAUACAUAUUUUAUCAUAUUAAAGUAAUUUUAAUAAUAUAUGGAAACAUAAUAUUAUAAUAAAUAAAUUAAAAUUACUUUGUAUUAUUGAAUAUUACAAAAAGAUAAUUUUAAUAUUAUUAAUAGGAAAACAUUUUUUAAUUGUAAAAUCUUUUUAAUACAAAAAUUCGUUUAAAAUCUUUAUAAUAAAUACAAAUAUAAAAUUAAAAAAUAUCAUAAUUUAAAAUUUUUAAUAUUAUUUAAAUAUUAAAAAUACUUUAAUGUUAUUAGUCUACUACAUAAAAUAUAUUAUUUAUAUUAUAUUCGUAUUGAUUAAAACGUUUUAAAGUCAAAUUUUUAAUUAGUGUAUUCAAAGGUACAAAAGAUUUAAGUAUUAUUUUUUAAAAAUUUCAAGAUACGAAUGAUAAUUUUUUCAAAUUUUAAAGAUGUAAAAAUCUUUUUUUCUGAUAAUUUAUUUCACUUUUGAGAGAAUCCGAAAACGUUAAUUUAACAUUCUUUACCUUUGUAAAAAAAGUGAAAAUCAAGAACUAUUCAAUUUUGUUUUUAUUUGUAAUUCAAAAACUUUAUUCAUUUUCGAUGCUUUUCAAAAGAGAUUCCUUUAAAUGUCUGCAGCUCCUGCUUUUCUCAUAAAUCUCCAUCCCACAUCUACACUAUCAAGUAUCAAACAAGUUGAUGGAAAUUCUUAUAAAAAAAAAAAAAAAAUUGAUGGAAAUUGAUCAAUUGCUUUUUGAAGUGGACCCAUUGAGUCAUGUUCAUUUCUGGUCAUUGUCUACUCUUUCUAUCAGCCAUUUAUUUUGACCAUUUGCGAUCUUAUCUGGACCUACUCCAAUUAUUGUUGUAACUCCGAUGGUUGUAUCUACAGUGGAAUGUAAGAUAGUGAAAGCUCUUUCUUUGAGAAAAUAGAGGGACCUUUCUCUGUUUCUCCGUUGCAACGUGCUCGUAUAAAUUUCUCUACCUUACAGUUUAUACGGUCUUGCUGUUAAUGAAUUCGCUGAGGCAUUAUUGAUCCAAUCUGAGUGAAGUAAUUGUGGGUGAAAAAUAAAUAAAGGAUAUGAGAACGUAGCUGAAGUGCUGAAGGGGCUAUUAAAGAAGAGUGUCACUUGAUCACAAUCACAUUGAUGCACAACUCACUCGUGGCAAAUUUCGACUAUACGUUCUGCAAAUUCAGCCAAACCAUACAUGCAUGAACAAAACUAAAAUGUAGUUCUAAUCACAACUGCAGUUAUGAUGUUUACCUCUCUGAUUUUUCUCCAAAACAAAUUCAGUUCAAAACAAUAAUCAAAAUAGCCACAUUUUGUUCGUCAAAAUAAAUGCCCAAAUUUUCAAUUAACAAAUCAUCUUCUCUAAACUAAAAAGCCCACAUCUCUAAAAUCAAUCUACAUAAUGUUGGAGAUGAGGGUUGAAUUGUUAACUCAGUAAAAAAAAAAAAACUCAUGCAUAAGAUUACUAAUAAUAUAAAUUAUAUAUUAAUCAUUAUAAAGAAUCAUAAAUUAGAAAAAUUAAUCAUUUUAUAAUUUAUUACACAAGUAAGAUAAAUCUCAUAAUAAGUUAUAACAUAAAAAACGUUAUCAAUAUAUAAUCAUUUAAGAAGUCAUUUAACAAUAAAAUCGUUCUUUGAUCAGUUGGCCAUGUCACAUAGUAUCAUCUAUAUUUAUGGUGAUACUAUUAUUACUCAGUAUUCUCAAAAAACAUGAUUUAACAUUUAGAGGAAAUUCUUGCCUUAAAAAAAAAACAUGUAUGCAACAGCUACCCAUGCUUUAUCUUACCAUGACAAAUAUUUUCUCAAUGAAAGAAAUUUUUUAAAAAAUUGAUUUAAUGCACAAAUAUGAUGAUUUUUGCAAAAAUUAGUUUUGGAAAACAUAGUGAGAGAAAAUAGUGACGAUUAUUGUUUAAAUGUAUAAAUAGCCUAAACAUAAUCCUUAAUACCAAUAUCCAUAUGCAUCUUAUCAUCUUUCAUGAUAUUCUUUCAUUUAUGUCCAUUGGUUCAAGAUUUGAAUUUGAUCAUUAAAUCAUGUUCAAUAAUAUUAGAGAUUCCAACAAUUGAGUACCAACUUAAAUCCCAAUGUUAUGUGUCAUUGACCAAUUUUGUGUCAUUGACCAAUUUUGUUAUUAACUAGGUGAUGAAUUUCUAGUUGAUAAAAUCACUUAAAAAUAUCUUAAAAAUUAGACAAUAGUUUGCUUAAUUUUUCCAAGUUAACUGCUCAAGAUGCUCUAUUAGAAAUGAUAACCUAAUUAUAUACAUAAAAAAUGAUGGAAAUUGAACAAUUGCUUUUUGAAGUGGACCCAUUGAGUUAUGUUCAUUACUGGUCAUUGUCUAUUCUUUCUAAGAGCCACUUGUUUUGAGCAUUAGCAAUCCUAUCUGGACUACUCCAAUUAGGAUAGUGUUAGUUCUUUUUUGAGAAUUUCUUUAUUUGUUUCUCCGUUGCAGCGUAUUAGUAUAAAUUUCUUUACCUUACAGUUCCUACAGUCUUCCUGUUAAUGAAUUCGCUGAGGCAUUAUUGAUCCAAUCUCGGUGAAGUAAUUGUGGGUGAAAAAAAAAAAAAAGGAUAAGAGAACGUAGCUCAAGUGCUGAAUUGACUAUUAAAGAAGAGCGUCACCUGAUCACAAUCACAUUGAUGCACAACUCACUCGAGGCAAAUUUCAUCUAUAAAUAAAAGAUCCCUUACUAUUCUCUUAACCCUGAGUUUUGAGAUAGAAAUUUCCCGAACUCCAACCCCACAUCCACAGACAAGUUGAUUGAAACAAUUGCUCUUGUAAUUAAGAGGAUGGGUUAGGGUUCAGUUCUUAUCAUUGUCUGUUAUUUCUUUGAAUCAUUAUCUUAAUUAAUUACAUCAAUUGUUUCUUUUUUUUAAUUUAAAGAAUUUUUCUUUAAAAAAAUAUAUUUUAAUAUCAAAAUGCCUUAAAUGGUAUUACUGCCGCAAUCCCAGUAACAGGAUUAAUUAAAAAUUUUAGAAUUUUUGGGCAUGGAAAGAGUAGUAUUAAAUAUCAGAAAGCUAAGGUUGUUCUGUCAAAGAAUUCAUAUUGGCAUAAUUUUAUUUUUGCUUUCGAGUAAAAAAAUAUAUAUAUAUAUAUUUGUUGACAAGCAAAAUACUGUUUUUAUAUUUUACAAUCAGUUAUACAUAUUUUAUCAUAUUAAAGUAAUUUUAAUAAUAAAUGGAAACAUAACAUUACAAUAAAUCAAUUAAAGUUUAAAUUAUUUGGAAAAUUAUAAAAAAUAAUUUUAAUAUUAUUUAUAGGAAGAUAUUUUGUUUAUUGUAAAAUCUUUUUAACCCAAAGGUUUAUUUAAAAUUGUUAUAAUAAAUAAAAUAUAAAAACAAAAUAAAUAUCAUAAUUUAAAAUUUUAAUAUUAUUUUAAAUAUUAAAAAUACUUUAAUGCUAUUAGUCUACUACAAAGGUUAUAUUACUUAUAUUAUAUUUGUAUAAAUUAAAACUUUUAAAGUUAAAUUUUUAAUUACUAUAUUGAAAAGGUAUUAUGGUUAAAAUAUGUUUUGGCAUUUCUUUUUAAAAAUUUGAGGGUCUGCAUGACAAUUUGUCCAAAUCCUAGAGGUAUAGGUGUCUUUUUUUUUCGAUAAUUCAUUUUACUUUUGAGGGAAUCCGAUGAGAAAUAAGAUAAGAGAAACGUCAAUUUAACGUUCUCUAUGGAAAACCAAGAACUAUUCAAUUUUGUAUUUUUUGUUUGUAAAACGAAAAACAGUUUGCCAAAAAAGGUACCAAACAUAUCCUUAAUGUCUCACAUGAUUUCUUAUUAAGUCCAUACUCGAUAUAUUUAUACAUUUUAGGUAUUUUAGUUAUAAAAGAAGUUGGUCCUCCCUCUAUUUAUAAAAGGUAACUUUAUUUCGAGAUUACCACUAAAGUCUUACAAAGAAUUAGUGUAAUGUUAACAGAGAGUAACAUAGUUUUCCAUUACCAUUUUGAAAAUAGAAAGAUAUGGAUGUGUGCAUUUAAUGGUGUGUUUACUUACCGGAUUGAGGAAUCAGAAUCUGGAAUUAGAAUGAUUGAUGGUGUUUACUUCGCAAAUAUGGAGCAGGAAUCGGAACUGGAAUGGUGGGGCCCACCACUAUUUGGGAAUGAGAGAUUGAUUCCCAUGGGGGAAGGUGGGAACGAGUCUCCCAUUCCCUGGACUGACCAUUUUGCCCUCCCUCAAAAUUAAAAAUGCCUACUUUGUCCUCUUUUAUAAUUAAUUAAUAUAUAAAUAUUUUAAUAACUAUAAUUAUUAAAAAUUAUAGUUCUUGAAUAAAUAAUCACAAUAAUUAAUUUAUUAUUUUUAUUUUUAUUUUAAUUAAUUAAUAUACUAUUAUAAUAAUUAUAAAUAUAAUUAAUUUAUAUAUUAUUAUUAUUAUUAAUGAAUUAAUAUAAUUAUUACUAUUAAUUAAUAUAUUAAUAUAUUAUUAAAAAUAAUAUAUUAAUAAUUAUUGUUCGUGAACAAAUAAUCACAAUAAUUAAUAUACUAUUAUUUUAAUUAAUUAAUAUAAUUAAUUUAUAUAUUAUUAUUAUUAUUAAUGAAUUAAUAUAAUUAUUACUAUUAAUUAAUAUAUUAAUAUAUUAUUAAAAAUAAUAUAUUAAUAAUUAUUGUUCGUGAACAAAUAAUCACAAUAAUUAAUAUACUAUUAUUUUAAUUAAUUAAUAUACUAUUAUAAUAAUUAUUAAUAUAAUUACUAUAAUUAAUUCAUAUAUUAUUAUAAUUAAUUAAUUAAAUUAAUAUUAUUAAAUAAAUAAAUAAUAUAAUUAUUACUACUAAUUAGUAUAUUAAUAUAUUAUUAAAAAUAAUUAUAAUUUUUGAAUAAAUAAUCACAAUAAUUAAUAUAUUAUUUUAAUUAAGUAAUUAAUAUUAAUAUUAUUAGUUAAUAUAUUUUUAUAAUAAUUUUUAAUAUAGUUAUUAUAAUUAAUUAAAUUUUGUUACAAUUAAUUAAUAUAUUAGUUAAUAAUAAUUAUGACAAUAAUCCACUAAGUAUUUUUGAGUAAUUUGUUACAAUCUAAUUCAUUUUGAUUCCGAUUUCAAGACAAAGUAAACACAUUAAUGACAAUCUAGCUCAUUCCGAUUUCGAUUCCUACAGUUCAAGUAAACAACUUAUUUUGAUUUUCAUUACCUAUUUACAUUCCAGCCCAUUCUCAUUUCUUCCCAUUCUCAUUUCUGCCAAUUCCAAUUCCAGCUCAUUCCGAUUCCAGUUUAGUAAACGCAGCAUAAGAGUUAUCAUGAAAAUCAUACAAUUCAAUUUCCUGAAAUAUAUAUUUUAUUCACAUGUGCCAAAAGAAUAAAUAGAUAGAAAGUAAAUUUACAAUCCUCACUCCCUCACAAUUGUUAAAGUGAAUAUGCAUUACAACUGUGAACUGUCACUACUUUAGCCCCUUUUUUUUUUUCAAUUAUAGUGUGAUGGAGACAGUGAACAUCAAGGAUAAAGUGCUCUGCUGAAAGCGGAACUUCCUCUGGCUAAUUAAUUUGGAAGUAAAACAGAGAAUAAAGUCCUACAUGCCUUCUGAAAUUAGAAAUACAUUUUAUAUGCUUUAAUUAUGAUUAUUUGGUAGACUAUUGACCAAAAGACAUGUUAAAGUAUAAAACAGAGCGAUUAAAGAAAAAAAAAGGAGUGUUUGUGACGUAGAAUAACAAUUUGUAAGUAAAGUCCUAAUUUGAGUUGUCAAAAAGCAAAUAUAACAGGGAAGGUAAGAGGGAUGCAGAAACAGAAAACUAUUAGCUUAUCUUGAUUUUCCCACUAUAUUCAUUUUCGAUGCUUUUCAAACGAGAUUCUUUUAAUCCUUCUGGCGUCUGCAGCCCCUGGUCUUCUUAUAAAUUUCCAUCCCACAUCUGCACUAGGAACAAGUUGAUUGAAAUUAAAUAACAUUGGAGAUGACGGACAGAUGAGCCGUCAACUUGGUAAAAAAACUAUGUUAAUAUUGUUAAUAAUAAAAAAAAAUAUAAUAAUCAUUACAAAGAAUCAUAAAUUAGAAAAAUUAAUUAUUUUACAAUCUAUUUCGUAAGUAAGAUAAAUCUUGUAAUAAGUUAAGUUAUAACGUAAAAAAUAUUUUCAAUUUAUAAUCAUUUAAGAACUCAUUUAACAAUAAAAUCUUUCUUUUGAUCAAUUGGUCAUGCCACAGAGUAUCAUCUAUAUUCGUGGUGAUAUUAUUAUUACUCCGUAUUCUCAAAAAACACGAUUUAACAUUUAGAGAAAAUUCCUACCUUUUAAAAAGAACAUGUAUGCAACAGCUACCCAUACUUUAUCUUACCACGACAAAACUAAUGGUGACUAAAUCAAUUUUCUCGAAUAAAGCAAAAUUUCUUAAAAUUAAUUUAAUAUACAAAUAUGAUGACAUUUUGCAAAAAUUAGUUUUGGAAAAUAUAGUGACAAAAAAUAGUAAUGAUUAUUGUUUAGAUGUGUAAAUAGCCUAAACAUGAUCCCUAAUACCAAUAUCCACGUACAUCUUAACACCUUUCGUGAUAUUCUUUCAUUCAUGGUCACUGGUUCAAGAUUUGAAUUUGAUCAUUAAAUCAUGUUCAAUAAUAUUAGAGAUCCCAACAAUUAAGUACCAACUUAAAUCCUAAUGCUAUGUGUCAUUGACAAAUGUUGUGUCAUUUUUUGUUAACUGAGUGAUGAAUUUCUAGUUGAUAAAAUUACUUAAAAAUAUCUUAAAAAUCAGACAAUAGUUUGCUUAAUUUUUUGAAGCUAACUGCUCAAGAUGCUCUAUUAGAAAUGAUAACCUAAUUAUAUACAUAAAAAAUGAUGUAUUUUUUGCGGUGUUGAUAGUGAGAUUAUCAUUCAACAUGUUAAAAUAUGAAAACAUAUGGAAGAAGGUUGUAAAUUGAUUGAAUGAAAAUAUUUCAGUGAAGUCUAAAAAAUUUGGUACUUGUUAUCUUAUCGAAAGUUUUCUAAAUUACAUUCGUGGCACUGCCACUGCUUCCAUGUGAAGGUCAUUAAAAUUUGUGUUAGUUACCUAUAUGUUGAAUAAUAAUUUUAUUCAUGAAUUGUUGCUCAAUAUAGCAGUUUCUAGAUGAAUUUUCCUACAUGUUUGUCCUCAUAUGACCUAGAAUGCUGCUAUAUCAAUUGUAUUGGAAAUUAUUCAAGUGGGUUUGUGCUCUAUACCCCCACCAAAAUUUAAGCAAUCUACAGAACAUUCCUUGUGGAAAGAAACUUAUUUCGCUACUAGGUGGGAGUAGAUUUCUAAGCUAAUGCUCGGCAGAUCUCUAGGCUAUACUAAAAAGUGUAUGCACUUUGACUCUCAAUAUAUACGAGUGAUUCUAUGAUGACUGAAAACAUCAGUACAUGCAUGAUUUUAUAAGAAAGAAUAUUCUAAAAUUAUUUAUGUAUCACCAUUUGUAGUUGUACCCUCUCGAAUGAAGGUGCAAUCAGCAACUAAAAUGAAGCCCGAAAUGUACACGCGUGAGGCAGUUUUUCUAGAAGAUUGAUACUUCUCAAACUAGCAAACCGUACAAGUCCAAAGCUAGAAAAGGAGUGCUUCUAAGCAGAAAACAUUGAUUAAAACAGAAUACACACACACAUACCAGUAAAUUCAAAAUAGAAAAAGGAGUUCAACUGUUCAAGUUUGUGGACAAUAUUGCAACCGUGGCAUAUUUAUAGCAAAUCCUUGAAAUCUGCUAAAUAAACAAUGCCCUGUCUCAUGAAUCAAAGCCGAAUUAAAAUUGAAAUUGAAAGUCCGGCUGGUGUUGUUUCCCUCUCCAGUUUUGCCCACAUAAGUGAAGGGAAAUGAGAAUCAUAAAUUAAAAUCUGCUUUUACAGUUUUUUAUUAGAUAGAUAUAAAGGGAUCUUUUUUGUUUCUCUGCUGCAAUUUGUGGCUAUCCCACUCUGUUUUGCCACUCAAGCUUAGUCUACGUUGAGACAUAAUUUUGACAUCAGAAGCAACCUCAAUUAGUUUGGCAUUUUUAUGACCUCCUUGUACGUUUUACGAUAAACAUAAAUCUACUGAGAAAGUGUGAAAAAAAGAAAAUGCAUAUAAAAGUAUGAGUUAUCAGACAUGAUUAAAACUCACCCAAUUCAAUCCAUUAGAUUCCGUAAGGAUAUAACUGGAUGUCAUACCGCCACUCCAUAUCCUCGAAAGUCCGUAGUCUUUGUCUCAACUCUGUCUGAGGCCAAUGUAAAUCCAAUUUGCGCAAGCUCUUUAUGCACCACAGCUCUUCUGGAAGCUUUCUCAAGUAAGCACAUGGGUUGACAAUUAAGCUUUCAAGUUUUGGCAUUGCUCCAGCCCCCAUCGUCCACUCAUCUAGCCAAUACAUUGAUUUCAGGUGCAAAACCCUAAGUUCCAGAAAGCAACCAGAGCCAACGCAGGCCAGCUUUCUUCCUAAAUACGAGUUCUGUUUCAGUUUCAGCACUUGAAGGCUUGGAAGCUUUUCCAGCAUUGGCAUGGGAUCCUCCAUUAGCUCAGUAUUCGAUAAGCUCAGAUGGCUCAGACUUGGAGGAAAUUGGUAUUCAGACAGGACAAUCCGUGAGCGCUUGCUCUCAUUCACCAGCUUCAAGCAUUCAAGUUUGUGGAGUUCGCAUAGGCUUUUGGAAACCCCAGAGUGAUAGCAACUCAAAUCUCCAGAUAUCCGAAGAGUUUGAACAUUAGGCAGUCUGCCCAAUAUAUCUGGAGUACAACUACUAGGGUGUAAGGCUGAUAUGAAAAUGAGAUUUUUCAGAGAGCUGCAAUAAUUUUUUGGAGGUGCAGGCAGAGUGAUGGAACCGAAGUUUAGAUGCAUGAGUUUUUGCAUCAUCCAAAUAUCCUCUGGUGAAUGAUCUAUGUAGCUUGAUGGCAUUUGUAGUGUUUGAAGGUUUAAAAGGGUGCAUAGCAUUGAAGGAAGGCAUUUGAGCGAAGGGAUAUUCAAUUUCAAAUACUUCAAAAGGAAUAAAUUUUCUAAUCCGGGUGGAAAUUGGUCGAGAACUGCAGAACCGAAGUUCAGUACCCGAAGGUGUUUGAACUUUUUACAAAAAUUCUCGCAAUCUAUAAGAGCGAGAUGAUCGCUUUCUGAACUGUGAUUCAGAAAAGAUUGGAGAUACAUGUCAGAAUAUUCUAAAGAAAGGAACUCAAUCAGAUCUUCCAAAAUGAAGCACCGUUUAACAUUUGCCAGUGAUUCCUCUUCCAUGUCAGGCGUCCAGACAAAUCUCGUCUUCUCUACUACCAAAGCCAAUAACGUAUAUACAAAACUUGGAACAUAACACGCUUUAAUUGUGCCGCCGGCGCUUCUCUUACUCACUUGAAUGAAGCCGCGAUGGAUUAGUUCUUUCAAGUAAUGUUCGGCAGUUUCUUCACCGUUGUAUGGUAUGAAACCUUCAGCUACCCACAACUGAUAUAAUUGCCUCGUUGAUAUCUCAUUGCAUGAAAGGAAGACACACAAAUAGAUGCAGCAGAUUUUCAAGUGAAAAGGUAACUCCAUCACAGAAAAAAGUUGUCUCCAAACUGUCGGAAUCGUUUCGCCUUGAAGAUAAUUUUCUAAGGGCAUACUUCCAUAGUGUAGGAUGAAAAAUUGCCAGGCCUCAUGCUUUAAUCUGAUCAAUGGUCCUCCUACGAUCACUGAAUCAAGCCGAAUCUUCUCUCCGUUUUCCAUUUCCAACAGCGUAAGGAGGUGUGGAUUAGUGACCAAUAUCAAUACUCUGCUUCCAUUCUGAUUAUCAGGAAGAACUUCUUCAAGAUCACUCCAUAUCUCACUGUCAUCGAAGACAUCAUCAAGCACAAUAAAGUACUUCCUGUUUGUUAGGUAAUCUCGAAGAAUAGAUUUCUUCAAUUGAUAAUCUUCCCCGAUAAUUACACUAACCCGAGAUGGAGGCAUCACAGACUUGAUUAUGUCAUCCAAUAUCUUGCGAAAAUCGUAGGCUACAGAAACCCUUACCCAAGCAUGACAGUCAAAAUAGAACUUGAUAUGGUUAUUAUUGUAAGUAUCUGCAGCAAAAGCAGUCUUAUCGAAGCCACUGCUGUCGAGAAUUGUAACCACUGCAAGCCGACGAUGUCCUAAAUCAAUAAAUCAAACAACUCCUCUCUGCCACUUUCAAAUUCAUUGAUAUCAAGCCGAGGUUGUCCCUCACUCAAUAGGCGAAUGAUUUUGUUUCUUUGUUCACUGACAUCAAAACCAUUGUCGCCGGGUGGAAGUUGUUGCAUCCGAUUACUAAUAUCAAUGAUUUUACUCUGGAGUCCAUCAAGAAGAGCCAUAUUAGUGCUGCUUUUACUUUCGUUUUCACUGUUUUGCUGCUGCAUGAUGUUGAUGAAGAAUCUGUCAAUGGCUUCCUCAGAUUCAUGGACAAAGCGAUUGAUGUCCUCCAGAAUUUCCAAAAUAUCUGGUCUUUUAACGUCUUCUUCAUCGCUUUCUUCUAAGUCCAACAGUUGCAAAAGAGGCAAAGAUAUUUUGGAGUCAUCGAAUUCUUCUCUAAUGAGUUGAAAGAAAUGCCGAGCCAUGUCAGAUUCAUAUUUUCCCAGCAGAGUAGUUGCAAUAAUUUCGGACUCCGUAAGAAGGUUUUGAAAAAGUGGGGUUAAAUUUGUUGAAUCAGGCAGUGUUAACGUGCCUUCUUCUCCUACUACCACCCUUUUCAACCUCUCACAAAAUAAUCGGAGGUGGGCGUCCAGCAUAUCUCCUCCUGUCUGUAGCAGCCAGAGGUAUUGUUAUUUGCUCCAAGAAAUGUUAAAAGGAUUGGUCCUACCUCAAAGUGGUUAGUGGUGUAAAAUUAAACACCAUGGGAGAAUUUGAAAGGAAGAUGCCAAGAAACUGGCAAAGUGGCUAAAUUCCACAAAUACGGCAUUAUUGCUCAUUUUUAACUCAACAAAUUGAUACGCGUUCAUUUAGAGAAAAGUCGAAGACGCGUGCCUUUUGAAAAGAACAAGUAUCCAAUAGGUAUCCAACCUUUAUCUUAUUUAAUUACUACCAUGACAUGAUUGAUGGUGCUUAAAUCAAUUGUUUCUUUUUUAAUUUAAAGAUUUUUUCAUUAAAAAAUAAUUUAAUAUCACAUUGCCUUCAAUGGCGUAACGGCCGCAAGCCCAGUAACUAGAUUAAUUAAAAUGAAAUUAUGAUUGCACUACUUUUUUAUUUAUUUAUUUAUCUAAUCACUAUAAAAUUUUAACAUAUUUUAUUUACUAUAUUUUUUUUAAAUUUGCAUCAAUUAGUCACUUUUACACUAAUACCGUUAAAUAAUUUAAACGGAAUGAUAAUUUUACCCCUAAAUAAAAUUAAAAGUUCAUUUUAUUUUAUAAAAACUUUGAAAAUAAAAAAUUAUAAUUAUAAAAUAUCCCUAAAUUUAAUAAAGAAAUAAAUCCCAAAAUUAGAAUGUUUAUUUUUAAUAAAAAUUAUUUUAAUAAAAAAUUAUAAUUAGAAAAAUAAUUACAAAAUUUUGGGAUUUAAUAAAAAUCCCCUAAAUGAUUAAAAUUUUAGGAUUUAUUUUUUAAUAAAUAAAUUCAGUUAUUUUAAUAAAAUUUUGCAAAAUUAUAAUUUUUAAUAAAUAAAUUCACUUAUUUUUAUUAUAAUUUUAAAAAAAUUUAAAUUUUUAAUAAAAAUAAUUAUUAAAAUUUUACAACAUCUAAAUUGAAUAAAAAUCAGCUGAGCACCUAUAUUUUGUAUUUAUUUUUAUUAAAUUUAGGGGUAUUUUUAUAAUUAUAAUUUUUUAUUUUUCAAAGCUUUAUAAGAUAAAAUGGUCUUUUAAUUUAUUUAGGGGUAAAAUUAUCAUUUCGUUUUAAUUAUUUAACGGUGUUAGUGCAAAAGUGGCUAAUUGAUACAAAUUUGAAAAGAAAUGUGGCGCAGAGAACAUAUUAAAAUUUUGUGGUGGUUGGAUGAACAUAAGGCAACAGAAAGGUGGUGCAAUAAUAAUUUCCCUAAUUAAAAUUUUAGAAUUUUUGGGCAUGGAUAGAGUAGUUUUAAUUAUGUUAAAGAAUUGAUAUUGACAUAAUUUUAUUUUGGUUUUCAACGAAAAAAAAUUUGUUGACAAGUAAGAAAAUAUUUUUUUUUUACUUUACAAUCGGUUAUACAUGUUUUAUCAUAUUAAAGUAAUUUUAAUAAUAAAUAGAAACAUAAUAUUACAAUAAAUAAAUUAAAGUUUAAGUUAUUUUGAAUAUUAAAAAAAUAAUUUUAAUAUUAUUAAUAGGGAGGCAUUUUGUUAAUUGUAAAAUCUUGUUAACCCAAAGGUUAUUUAAAAUCUUUCUAAUAAAUACAAAUAUAAAAUUAAAUAUCAUAAUUUAAAAUAUUUAAUACUAUAUUCAAUGUAAAAAUAUUUUAAUGUUGUUAAUAUACUACAUAGAUUAUAUUACUUAUAUUAUAUUUAUAUUGAUUAAAAAUUUUUAAAAUUAAUUUUCUAGUUACUAUAUUCAUAAGGUAUUCUGGUUAAAGAAAAUAUCUUGAUAUUACUUUUUGAAAAUUUGAGAGCCUGCAUGACAAUUUUUUCAAAUUUUAAGGAUGUAAUUAUCCUUUUUUCCAUAAUUUAUUUCAAUUUUGAGGGAAUCCAAUAAGAAAUAUGGCAGGAGAAUGUCAAUAGGCGAAUGAUUUUGUUACUUUGUUCACUGAUCUCAAAACCAUCGUCGCCGGGUGGAAGUUGUUGCAUCCGAUUACUAAUAUCAAUGAUUUUACUGUGGAGUCCAUCAAGAAGAGCCAUAUUAGUACUGCUUUCACUUUCGUUUUCACUGGUUUGCUGCUGCUUGUUGUUGAUGAAGAAUGUGUCAAUGGACAAAGUUAUUGAUGUCCUCCAGAAUUCCAAAAAUAUCUGCUGUUUCAACGUCUUCUUCAUCGCUUUCUUCUAAGUCCAACAGUUGCAAAAAAGGCAAAGAUAUUUUGGAGUCAUCGAAUUCUUCUCUAAUGAGUUGAAACAAAAGCCGAGCCAUGUCAGCUUCAUAGUUUCCCACCAGAGUAGUAGCAAUGAUUUCUGACUCCGUAAGAAGGUUUUGAAAAAGUGGUGUCAAAUUUGUUGAAUCUGGCAACGGCAACGCGCCUUCUUCACCUGCCAACACCCUUUUCAACCUCUCACAAAACAGUCGGAGGUGGAAUUCCAGCAUAUCUCCUUCUCUCCGUAGCACUCAGAGGUAUAGUUGAAAGAUUAAACACCAUGGAAGAAUUUGAAAGGAAUAUGCCAAGAAACUGUGUAAGUGGCUAAAUUCCACAAAUAUGACAUUAUUGCUCUUUUUUGAACUCAAAAAAAUGGUACGCGUUCAUUUAGAGAAAAGAACAGGUAUCCCAAUCGAUAUCCAACCUUUAUCUUAUUUAAUUACUACCAUGACAUGAUUGAUGAUGCUUAAAUCAAUUGUUUCUUUUUUAAUUUAAAGAAUUUUUCAUUAAAAAAAUAUUUUGAUAUCUAAUACCCUUCAAUGGCAUAUCUGCCGCAAGCCCAGAACAGGAUUAAUGAAUUUUUUUUUUAAUUUUUUGGGCAUGGAAAGAGCAGUAUUAAACAUCAGAAAGCUAAGGUUGUUCUGUUAAAAAAUUGAUAUUGACAUAAUUUUAUUUUGGUUUCGGGGAAAAAAAUAUUUUCUGAAAAGCAAGAAAAUAUUUUUAUAUUUUACAAUUUAUUAUACAUAUUUUAUCGUAUUAAAUUAAUUUUAAUAAUAAAUAGAAACAAAAUAUUACGAUAAAUAAAUUAAAGUUUAAAUUGUUUUGAAUAUUAUAAAAAAUAAUUAUAAUAUUAUUAAUAGGAAGACAUUUUGUUAAUUUUAAAUUUUUUUAACCCAAAGGUUUAUUUAAAAUCUUUAUUAUAAAUACAAAUAUAAAAUUAAAUAUCAUAAUUUAAAAAAUUUAAUAUUAUUUUAAGUAUUAAAAAUAAUUUAAUGUUAUUAGUCUACUAUAUAGAUCACAUUACUUAUAUUAUAUUUGUAAUGAUUAAAAAAUUUUUAAAUCAAUUUUCUAGUUAAUAUAUUCACGAGGUAUUAUGGUUAAAGAAAAGACCUUGGUGUUACUUUUUAAAAAUUUGAGCGCAUGCAUGAUAAUUUUUUCAAAAUUUAAGAAUGUAUGUGUCCUUUUCUCCAAUAAUUUAUUUCACUUUUGAGGGGAAUCCAAUGAGAAAUAUGAUAAGAGAAUGUCAAUUACUUGUCAUUUUCUAUUUUUUCUGUAAGGUAUUUAUUUUGAGCAUUGGUGAUCUUGUCUGGACUACUCCAAUUAUUGAUGGAACUCCAAUGGCUGCAUCCACAGUUGAAUAUAUGAUGGUGUUAGCUCUUACUUGAGAAUUCAGAGGGAUCUUUCUAUGUUUCUCAAUUGCAAUGUGCUAGUAUAAAUUUCUUUACCUUACAGUUUAUAUAGUCUUGCUGUUAAUGAACUCACUGAGGCAUUAUUGAUUCAAUUUCAGUGGAGCAAUCGCGGGUGAAGGAUAAAUAAAGGAUAACAGAACAGAGCUGAAGUGCUAAAUUGGCUAUUGAAGAAGGUUUUCACAUGAUCACAAUUAUGUAAAAUAAUCAUUUUUCUGAAAUUGUGUUUCCUAAAAUUAAUAAAUUUCCUUUUUUUUAAAAAAAAAAAAAAACUCUUCUACGACGUGGUUGCACAGCAAAUUAGAGAAUUAUAGGGUCUCUAAUCAAUACUCCAACCAAUAAUGAUAUGUGCACAAAAAAUAGUAUCAAUCACAACAAGAUUAAAAUUAAAAAAAGUAACUAUAAGAUGGAAAAAAAAAUUAUUACAAGAAAAUAAUUUUUUUGUCUUUUCUAUCUUUUAUACUAUUUUUGUUUAUAUGUACUCUAAAUUCAGCCAAACCAUACAUGCAUGAACAAAAAUUAAACCGUCGUUCUAAUCACAACAGUAAUUGAAGCUACAAAAGCCAGCAAAUCUGAACGAAGACUUAAAAGAAAGAUCUUAUUCAAGUUUGUCCCCAAAAGACAGCUGAAAUGAAAAAUAUUGACUAUUGAAUGGGUCAAUGCCGAAUUACAUUUCAAAUGGAAAGCUUGGCAGCAGUUACAAUGUUUCCCCCUCUGAUUUUCCUCCAAAACAAAUUCAGUUGUAAACAAUAACCGAAGUAGUAAUAAUUUAUUCAUCAAAGAAAAUACCCCCAAGUUUUCAACUAAAAAAUCCUCUUGUCCAAACUAAAAGAACUCAUAUCUCUAAAAUCUAUCUGCAAAAUGUUGGGAAUGAGGAGUGAUCUGUCAACUCCGUAAAUAAACUCAUGCAUAAUGUUAACAAUAAUGAUAAAUUACAUAAUAAUUAUUAUAAAGAAUCAUAAAUUGGAAACACUAAUCAUUCUACAAUCUAUUAUAUAAGCAAGAUAAAUCUCAUAAUAAGUUAAGUUAUAAUGUAAUAAAUAUUUUCAAUAUAUAAUUAUUUAAGAAGUCAUUUAACAAUAAAAUAAUUUUUUUAAAUCAGUUGAUCAUACAGCGUUAUCUAAACUCCUGACGAUAUUAUUAUUACUCACUUUUCUCAAAAAAAUAUGAUUAAUGUUUAGAGAAAAGUCAUGCAUUUUAGAAAAAAUAUGUAUACUAGCUAUCCGUACUUUAUCUUACCGUGACAAAAUUGAUGGUGAUUAAAUCUAUUUUUAAAAUAGAUUUAAUUCACAAAUAUGGUGACUUUUGGCAAAAAUUAUUUUCAGAAGAUAUAGUGGCAGAAAAUAGUGAUAAUUAUUGUUUAAAUGUGUAAAUAGCCUAAGUAUAGCCCAUAAUACCAAUAUCCAUUUGCACCUUCAUUUGGUUUAUCACAUUUCAUGAUAUUCUUUCAUUCAUGACCAUUGUUCAAGAUUUUAAUUUGAUUAUAAAUUAAGUUGCAAGGGAGCUUACUUCAGUCUCUAAGCUUUUCAAUCGUGAUUCCUGCAUGCCAACGUAACUGACCUUAUAAUUGGUCUGUAUAAGAAAUCAAGCCCUUUCAGGAUCGUUUUCUUUUUCUCCCUAUUGUAGUAGUCAACUAAAUAAAGAAUGAACAACUAAACUUGGUCUAUUUCGAGGAAGACUAAGGCUUCCAAUACUAGAUGAACUUUGAAGAAAAUUAAUCCGUUGUUUUUAUUCAUCUUUGGACUAUGAAUAUAUACAAAGACUUUAACAGAAAAUAACAAAGACACAGCUAAAUGCACUACUAAAAAAAUGAGUUUUACUGACACUAAUUUAGCGUCAGUAAUUACUUUUAUUGACACUUGUUAAUUGUGUCAGUGUUGCUCAAGCCAGAACACACUGACACUAAUUUUUGAUGUCAAUAAUUUUUGUGUCAGUAAUUUGUUUCACUAUAGUAUCACUAAAAUAAUGACACGAUGAUGUUGGUAUUUAAUAAUACUAUUUACACGUCAGUAAUUUAUGUGACUAUAGUAUCAAAAACUGACUCGAUAAUAUAAAAAAUUCUUAUUGUUAUUUUAAAUAUGUAGUGUCAGUAUUUAGUAAUGUUAUGCUGCUUUUGGUUAAUAGUAUAUUUUUUAUUUUAAUUAUAUUUUUCGUGUUUGUUGUACAACCAAAAGAAAACUCGAAAUAUAUUUAUUAUUAAAUAUCUUGCAACACAAUUCAUAUAAUAAACAUCUCAAAUACAUCACUUAAAUUCACACAAUUCAACUACAUCACUAUGUGUAAAAGACUUAACAUAAGUAUCAAAUUAAAUUUUCAACAAUCUCUAAACAACAAGUGCUAACUACUACUCAAUUAAGUUUCCAACCCAAAAGAAAAAAAAAAAAGCACAAGGUCACUCAAUAUCCAUCCACGGCUUCAUUUUGUUCCCACCUACAAAUGCAUAAAAUCAAUUAGUAUACUGUGAAAAAUAAAUCUUAGUUAUUUUGAAGCAAAAAUACUCAUAAAUUACUUCAACAUGGAAGAGUAGGAUUAAAAGAAGCAAGUUAAGGAAUCAGAAAAAGAAAUUGUAGAAUCUACACGUUCCCAAGUUAAUUACAGCCUGCAAUCAUGAUACCACAAAUUGCUUCACCAAAAGUAUUCUAUCAAGUAUUAAAGAGAACACUUAAUAAGUACAUCAAUAUUUAGUAAUGAUGACAUGAACAAUGGUGUCUACAACUUGACAAGCAUAAGUUAUUUUUUUUGUAAUCUAUUUCAUUGUCUAAAUUUAAAGUAAACAAUGCUAUAAUAUAUGAUCAAGUACAUUAAGUUAACAAGCACUAUAACAUUUAUUUAGCCCACAUUCAACGAUGAUCAGUUGGACCGAAAGCCAUAAAUUGAAAAACAAAAGAUAUUUAAUGAGCUUAAAGAGGAAAAAUAAAAGUUAACAAAAUUUAAACGACUAAUGAAGAAAUUAACCAAGCCGAGAUGAAAAACAGAAAUAGAAGGCCACUAUAAGCCAAACAUUACAAAUCAGGUUGCUUUUUAAGACACGAACCCAGUUUCCAAUUACAGUACUUUGCAAUUCUUUAAAAAAAAAAGGGUUUCCCAAUUACUAAAUCUUUUUAGGUUUGAAGUGGAUUGAUAAUUAAAUUGAUGAAAGAAAGGAAAGUGAAGCAAAAAUUAGAUUCAAGUAUGGGUCAAGUAAAAAAGUAAAAGAUAAAAAUCAGAUUCAGUGCAAACCUGGGUUUCAAAUGAUUAGCAAAGGAACAACUUCUUCUUUCUUCAAUCUAAUAUUCUUCUUCGAACAUGGAAUACUAACAAAAUACAAUUAGUAAUUCAUAAACAUAUAGUAAAAUGAGAUAGGUAUUUUUUGAGAGGAGAUUGAGAAAUACAUAUUUGAUUGAAGAAAGAAAACACAACAAAAAAAAAGGACCAGGUCUCCUCAAAGAAAAGCAAAAUGGGAAAAUAGGGGAAUAGUCUAUACAAAAGCCAACCCACCACCCUUGGAGGACCAUCCUUCUUCUGAGCAAAAAUCUAUACAAGAUUAGCCCAAACCUCCAAUAUAGUAAAAUGGGUUCGACAGACUAUUUCUAAUCUGUCAUUUGCAAAGUAAAGCUAAAAUUAGAAUUGUCUACUAACAACCUUCCUAUAGUUUGUCCACUAUAUUAUUACUAUAUUAUUAGAUGUAAAAUGCCCACUAUAAAAGGUAAUUAAUAGAGAAACUUCUCUGUAGUAUUUUCAUACCUGUGCCAAAACAGAGAAGAGAAAGAAAUGGUGUCUGACCUCGGUGGUAAAGGAACCGCUAUGGUAAAGGAUCGAACAUGGAUGAAAAAUAAACUUGUGCAAAUGGAGCCACCAGCAUUUUGCAAGAAUUAAAGAUUUUGGGUGAAAUCCUCUCUUAUAAACACUUAUUUGUAUUGGGAGCAUGCAUACUUCCGAGUAUGAUAUAAUUCUAUAAAAUUUAGACUCCUGAUAGAUAGAUAGAUAACACGUAUUAGCAUUAAUUAAAUGGAAGCAUCAACAAUAAUCAAUAAAUCAUUAUAGAAAAAAAAUUAAAAAUGAAAGGAGCUGAGGCACACCAUUGUGAUGCAAGAUUGACAAUCAAAAGAACCUUUCCUUUGUAGAUGCUAAGAUCAACAUCCUGUCCCUUCGCAUCCUGCAAAUAAGAUAAAUUUUUAUAAAAAUUAAAAAAUAUAUCUGUCAAAUCCCAAAUUGAAUUAAAAAUCAAAACAAGGGAAAGAAAAUGAAAGGAACAUGUCAUCAAAUUGUAGGUGGCUGGUGGUGCUUUUUAGUGAAGUGUUUGUAGAACUGUUAGAUGUAACCAUUCUUUACGCAUCAACUUCGCUAGUGAUUUGAUUUGAUGAAGAGGAUCUUUCCUUAUCUAGUUAUCUUCUUGUGUAGAUCCAUGUAGGAUUCCUUCACGAUUUCUUUUUUUUUUUUUUGGGGGGGGGGGGGGGGAGGUUUAAUUAACAAAACAAUAAGAGUAAAUGAGGAAUCAAUCCCUAAUUUAAGGCCUUCUAAGAUUGCUGAAGCUCUGCAUAAUCAAUGUCUCCAAGAAAAAGGUUUAUUUGCAGGCUGUAGCAGCAAUUUUCUUCCCCAUGAAAUCCAACUGAUCCAUUUGUAUUGAAUUUAAGCACACGCCUGAGGCUGGAAAAGACAAAGAAAUUAAUGAAAACAGGCUAUGUAUCUUUUUUACUUAUCAUUGCUCUAUGAAUUAAUUAUGCUACUAAUCACGACGCCGUUUAAAUCUUAGAACAAUAAUAAUCUUUUAGCAACAAAUAUGACGGUUCAAUAAUAUGUUCCGACUAGGGAUGUCAUAUUGUGAGGGCUGUUAAGUUUAAGAAACGAUCAAAUCUAAUUUUGUGUUCCAAAAACUCAUUGGCUUAACAGAUUAACUCCUCUGUAGUAUUUUCAUACCUGUGCCAAAAGAGAGAAGAGAAAGAAAUGGUUCUUGAUCUCGACGGUAAAGGAGCGGUGGCUGGCUGGGCUGAAGUUGAUGUGACGGCAUAAAAGCGGUAGCAGCGACAUACUGAAAGGUGGCUAGCUAGUCGUAGGUGGCUGAAGCUUGACAACAGUAGAGCAAAGGCGGCAGUGACGUCAAGGAACGGCGGCCGACAGCAGUGAAAGUCGAGGAGCAGCGGCCGGCAGCAGUGAAAGUCGAGGAGCAGCGGCCGGCAGCAGUGAAAGCCGAGGAGCAGCGGCCGGCAGUAGUGAAAGUCGAGGAGCAGGGGAGCGGUCGGCAGCAGUGAAAGUCGAGGAGCAGGGGAGCGGCGGCAGCAACUUAAGAAGUGGUGUGUUUGAUUCGGUUAGAUUUAGGGUUUCUUAUUUUCAUUUUAUACUUUGAAAAAUUAUACAGUGUAAUUGUUCGCAUUGUAAUUUAAUAAAACAACAAACUACAAGUCAACAUGUGGUCAAGUAAAAUUAUUAUUAUUAACAACGAAUUACAAGUUGACAUGUGGCAAAAUAAAAAAUAUUAUUCUCAAAACUAUUAUUAUUAUUAUUAUUAUUAUUAUUAUUAUUAUUAUUAUUAUUAUUAUUAUUAUUAUUAUUGUCCACAAAGUAAUUGUGUAAAAUUUAAUUAAAUAAAAAAAUUAAUCAAAUUGAAAAUUUAAAAACACAUGCAUCAAUGGUUUGCACUCUAAACUUACAAAUUUUAAGUUUAGAGAUCUUGAGUUCGAGUUCAAAUUAAAACAAAAUUAAUAUUAUUAUUUUUUUAUCACUGAUGCUUUAGUAUCAAUAAUCAUUGAAUUUUAAGCUACUGACACCUUAGUAUCAAUGAUUUAUGAUACAUACUUGUUAAAGGCGGAAAAUGGUCCAAACGUACACCAUUUCUGACACUUUUUACUAAGUGUCAGAAACAAAGUGUCAGUAAAUGUCAUUUUUGUAGUAGUGAUGAUAGCAAUAAGUGCUGACUUAGACACUUAGUGGACCGCUUCUACAAGUAAAUAAAAACUAAAUAUUUAUUUUGACUAUAACAACAACUACGCUGAUGAAUAGGAUUUCACAGCAGCCACGUGAGAACUAAUUUCUCCUUAAUAUUAUUAUUAGUAGAAGUAGAUUUUCAAACUAGUCUUGAUAUAUUUCAAAGUUGUAUUAUCAAUGUAUAUGUGUCUAGAUUGUAACUAUACUUUAAAAAAUAUAAAAUUUUUAAUUAUUGCACAAUAUAUGUAGAAAAAUAUCUAUAAAAUGAUAUUAUUAGGACUAAGAAUUUUUUAUUUUAUUUUAGAUAAGUUAUUUAUUUAUUAUCGAAUGAAUAAUUUAUUAAUUUAUUGAUAAAUGAAUAUUUAUUAAUUUAAAGAGAGAUUUUUUUGGUUUUAACAAGAGUUUGUUUGGUAAAUGUACACACUUAUAAAGAAACAUAAAAAGUGGUUCCUCAAGUCAAUAGUGUUUGCUUCAAUCGCAACGGUUCAUAAUAAUAUAGCUUAGUUAGGAAAUUUGUAAUUAUACUAUAACUUUGUUUGGUACAACUUUUCAAGUAAAACUUAUUUAAGUAGAGUUGUUAUUAGUAGAGCUUUUAUAAAUAAAGCUUUUACUAAAAAAAAUUUAAUUGUUUGGUUGUCAAUGUCCAAAUUGAUAAACUUUUGUUCUUUUGUUAAGAUAUGUUUGUUUUACUUAAUAAUAGCAUCGGCAAGAGUUUUCGAUUGUUGCAACUUGCAAUGCACGCGGUGAGAGAAAAUGAGAAUCUUGUUUAAUUGUCAAUAAUGACAAACCUAAUCCUUUCAUUAGGAGUAAUUUAAUAAUCGUUUGUUAUAACUGAAUAUGUAUAAAGAAAGGAAAAUUCUAUUCAUAGAUUUCGACUUAUUUUUUGUUUAAAGUAAUUAAUCAUUCAACCAUCUUCAUUUGCCUCUGGCCAAUGCCCUUGUAGAUUAGUUGAAGCGUUAAUUACUUAAUUAUGAUUAUAUACAUUUUCAUAUAGCAAGUGGCAUUGUAGAUCUAAACUAAGUUGCUAUUUCAAUACCAGCAAAUUCAAAAUAGAAAAGGAGUGCAACUAUUUAACUUUGUAGACAAUAUUGCAACCAUGGCAUAUUUAUAGCAAAUCCUUGAAAUCUGCUAAACAAAACAAUGCCCUGUCUCAUGAAUCGAUGCUCAAUUAAAAUUUAAAUUGAAAGUCCGGCUGGUGUUGUUUUCCUCUCCAGUUUUGCCUACAUAAGUAAAGGGAAAUAAGAAUCAUAAGUGAAAAUAUGCUUUGACAGGUCUUAUUUCUUUGUUUCUCUACUGCAGUUUUGCCUACUCAAGCUGAGUCUACGUUGAGACAUAAUUUCAGUAUUGAGGUAACAAUAAUUUCGGACUCCGUAAGAAGGUUUUGAAAAAGUGGAGUCACAUUUGUUGAAUCAGGCAACGUCAACGUGCCUUCUUCACCUGCUAACACCCUUUUCAACCUCUCACAAAAUAGUCGGAGGUGGACGUCCAGCAUAUCUCCUUCUCUCUGUAGCACCCAGAGGUAACAGGAUUAAUUAAAAAUUUUAGAAUUGUUGGGCGUGGAAAGAGUAGUAUUAAACAUCAGAAAGCAAGGUUGUUCUGCUAAAGAAUUGAUUUGUUGACAUAAUUUUUUUUUUUUUUUUUUGGUUUUCGAGGAAAAAGGCAUAUUUGUUGACAAGCAAGAAAAUGUUUUUGUAUUUUACAAUCUGUUAUACAUAUUUCAUCAUAUUAAAGUAAUUUUAAUAAUAAAUAGAAACAUAAUAUUAUGAUAAAUAAAUUAAAGUUUAAAUUAUUUUGAAUAUUAUAAAAAAAUAAUUCUAAUAUUGUUAAUAGGAACAUAUUUUGUUAAUUGUAAAAUCUUUUUAAUCCAAAGAUUUAUUUAAAAUCUUUAUAAUAAAUACAAAUAUAAAAUUAAAAUAAAUAUCAUAAUUUAAAAUUUUUAAUAUUAUUUUCAAUAUUAAAAUAUUUUAAUGUUAUUAGUCUACUAUGUAAGGUAUCAGAGCCAUACCCAUCCUUGAAUGGGUCAAUGCUGAAUUACACUUGAAAUGGAAAGCUUGCUGCAGUUACGAUAUUUCCCCCUCUGAUUUUUCUCCAAAACAAAUUCAGUUGUAAACAAUAACCGAAGUAGCAAUAAUUCAUUCAUCAAAGAAAAUACUCAAAUUUUCAACUAACAAAUCCUCUUAUCUAAACUAAUUAAAAAAAACUCAUAUCUCAAAAAUCUAUCUACAAAAUGUUGGAAAUAAAGGGUGAUCCGUCAACUCGAUAAAUAUACUCAUGCAUAAUGCUAACAAUAUGAUAAAUUACAUCAUAACUAUUAUAAAGAAUCAUAAAUUGGAAACACUAAUCAUUCUACAAUCUAUUAUAUAACUAAGAUAAAUCUUAUAAUAAGUUAAGUUAGAACAUAAUAAAUAUUUUCAAUAUAUAUAAUUAUUUAAGAAGUCUUUUAACAAUAAAUUUUUUUUCUUUUUCAGUUGAUCAUGUCAUAUAGCGUUAAUGGUGAUUAGUGACUGAUUACAAAGCAAAAUUGUUUAAAAUAGAUUUAAUGCACAAAUAUGAUGAAUUUUGGCAAAAAUUAGUUUCGGAAAUGUUGGGAUGAAAACCAUAUUAGUUGAGACUUAAAGUUACUUAAUAAAAUUAUAUCACUACCAUUCAAUGGAUGAAAACUAUUUUAGUUGAGACUUAAAUUUAGAUUUAAAUGUUGAGAUAUCUAGUAUUACUCAAUCAGAAUAAACAAGAACCAAUUCUGACUAUCAUGUAGAAGCAAAUAUUUAUGCUUGGAUUUUUUACUUCUUGAAUUUGAUUGGAAAAGUUUCUGAGACAGAGAAGUGUUUUGGAUAAUCUUUUUCGGGAUUGAAACCACAAAUUGGUCGAGGAAAUUAAUUUUGGACAAAUUUUUAUUGAGUUGUGCUAAACAUCAAGAAGGGCGAGAGAAUGCUGAGAGAAACGGCAGCUUUGUGCUGCUGUUUCGACUUCUCACUCUCUCGCCAUUCUAAUAAUUUUUUAUUAUUAAAAAUAAAAAAGCGGAGAAAAUGAUAGCAGACAACCCACAUCUACCAAAUCUCCAUCACUCCAUCACUCUCUUUCUCUCUCUCCCUCUCUUGAUUUUCAUCCUCUCUCUGGCUUCCUCACUCUCUACGGCUCCCCAUCAAGCUUCCUCAGUCUCUUCGGCCUCACUAUCUCUAGCCUCACUCUCUCCAGAUUCUUUCAUUUUCUCCUUUUUUUUAUAUUUUUAACAAUAAAAAAUUAGCAUUCUGCUGAGAAAGAGAGUGGUACACGACUCUUGAACAAUUUUUUUUCUGUCGUGAUCGUCUAUCAAACCACCUAAAAAUGAGCCAAGGGGGUUCUCAGCCCUAGCAGCUCACGUACUUUCAAGAUUUAGAGUAUGGUUCCAGUCCAAGCUAUUUAAUUAGUAUUGGGAUUCGAUUUAGUUGUUCUUCUAAUUUAAUAGGAUAAAGAAUUUAAUUGGAGAAAUGUCAUUAAUAUCAUAGGAGCAUAUAUAUUGUUUUGAUUUAAAUAUUGCUAUUUUUUUAUUGUUGAAAAAAAAAACACUAGAAAAUGGGAAGCCAAAAUCUUAGCCCUGUGUUUUUACUUUUACUUUUCUCUUAAACAUUUUAAAGAUGUAAAGGAAAAUGCUCAGAAUGGUGAGAGAGUGAUGGACGUGAUGGGCUAUCUUCUAUCCUUUUUUUAAUAAAUUUUUAAGAAUAAAAAAUUUAUUAAAACAGUAAGAGAGCGAAACCAAAACGGCAGCUUGUGCUGUCGUUUCUCUUAACAUUCUCUCGUCAUUCUUGAUGUUAAGCAUUUUCCAUUUUUAUUAUGUUGUAGCACCUUUUUGGUUCCUUUUGUGUCGGCAGCCCCUUACUAUUCUCUUAACCCUGAGUUUGAGAUAGAAAUUUCCCGAACUCCAACCCCACAUCCACAGACAAGUUGAUUCAAACAAUUGCUCUUUUAAUUAAGAGAAUGAGUUAGGUUUCAGUUCUUAUUGUUGUCUGUUAUUUCUCUGAAUCAUUAAUUUUGAGCAUUACUGAUCUUAGUUAUCUGUAUUUCUCCAAUUAUUGAAGAAUUUAUUAUUGAAUGAAUAAUUUAUUAAUUUAUUGAUAAAUGAAUAUUUAUUAAUUUAAAGAGAGAUUAUUUUGGUUUUAAGAAGAGUUUAUUUGGCACAUGUACACACUUAUAAAGAAACACAAAAAGUGCCUGCUCAAGUCAAUAGUUUUGGUACAUUUACACACUUAUAAAGAAACACAAAAAGUGCUUGCUCAAGUCAAUAGUAUUUGCUUUAAUCGCUAUAGUUCAUAAUAAUAUAGCUUAGUUAGGAAAUUUGUAAUUAUACUAUGGCUCCGAUUGGUACAACUUUUUAAGUAGAACUUAUUUAAUUAGAGUUUUUAUUAGUAGAGUUUUUAUAAAUAGAGAUUUUACUAAAAUAAAAUUUAGUUAUUUAGUUGUCAAUGUCCAAAUUGAUGAAAUAUUGUUCUUGUUAACAUAUGUUUGUUUUACUUAAAAAUAAAAGUUUAGUUUACAAUUACACCAGUAUAAAAUCAGCAGAGCAUUUUUGCUUAAAUAUUUAUUAAUUUAAAGAGAGCUUAUUUAAAUAGAGUUUUUGUUAGCAAAACUUUUAUAAAUAAAACUUUGCUUAAAAAAAUUUAAUUAUUUAAUUGUUAAUGUCCAAAUUGAUGAACUUUUGUUCUUUUGUUAACAUGUGUUUCUUUUACCUAAUAAUAAAAAUUAGUUUACAAUAACACUGGUGUCAAAUCAGCAGAGAUAUUUUCCAGCCAGUCACAUUAUACAUACGGGAGCCUCUAUGUUACAUUGAAUGUACCAUACACAACUAAUAAGAACCACAUAAAUUGUGGGACCCACAUAAUUGUGUGGUUCUUAUUGGUUGUGUAUGGUACAUUCAAUGUAACAUAGCAAAAUCCUAUACAUUAUACUAAUAGCAUCGGCAAGAGUUUUCGAUUGUUACAACUUGCAAUGCACGCGGUGAGAGAAAAUGAGAAUCUUGUUUAAUUGUCAAUAAUGACAAACCUAAUCCUUUCAUUAGUAGUAAUUUAAUAAUCGUUUAUUAUAAUUGAAUAUGUAUAAAGAAAGGAAAAUUCUAUUCAUAAAUUUCGACUUAUUUUUUGUUUAAAGUAAUUAAUCAUUCAACCAUCUUCAUUUGCCUCUGGCCAAUGCCCUUGUAGAUUAGUUGCAGCGUUAAUUACUUAAUUAUGAUUAUAUACAUUUUCAUAUAGCAAGUGGCAUUGUAGAUCUAAACUAAGUUGCUAUUUCAAUACCAGCAAAUUCAAAAUAGAAAAGGAGUGCAACUGUUCAACUUUGUAGACAAUAUUGCAAGUUGCAACCAUCCAAAGGUGAAGAUCUAUGCUUAUUAUCUAUUUAACAGCUAAUAUAUAUAUAUAUAUAUUUAUUUAAAUAUCAAGAGCUAUGCUUUUAAAUAAGUUCAAAUGGGAUGAGAACAGACUUAUAUUUAUUUAUUUAAAUAUGACCCAGGCUAAUUUCUCUGAAUUUGGACAGAGUAGAUUUCUAAGCUAAUGCUUGGCAUAUCUCUGGCGAUACUACAAAGUGCAUGUACAUUGACUCUUAAUAAAUAUAAACGAUUCUCUGAUAUGAUUCAAAACAUCACUACAUGCAUAAGUUAAUAAGAGACAAUAUUCUAAGAUUAUUUAUGCAUCACCAUUUAUAGUUGUACCCUCUCUAAUGAAAUUGAAGGUGCAGCCAGCAACUAAAAUGAAGCAGAAAUGUACACGCAUGAGGCAGUUUUUCUAGAAGAUUGAUAUUUCUUUAACUAGAAAACCAUACAAGUCCACAACUAGCCAAACUGUACCUGCAUGUGUCUAGGGCUUAAAUGGAGCACUUCUAAGCAUAAAACAGUAACUAAAACACAUACACAAACAUACAUACCAAAAAAUUCAGAAAAUAGAGAAAGGAAUACAACUAUUCUUGUUUGUAGACAAUAUUGCAACCAUGGCAUCAGUUAUAGCAAAUCCUUGAAAUCUACUAAACAAAAUAAUGUCCUGUCUCAUGAAUCAAUGUUGAAUUACAGCUGAAAUUGAAAGUCUGGCAUCAGUUAUAGGAAAUAUUGAAUUACAAUAUUUCCCUUGCCGAUUUUGUCUACACAAGUAAAAUGGAAAUAAGAAUCAUAGAUGAAAAUCAACUUUUACAGUUCUAAUUAUUAGAUAGAUACAGAAUGAUCUAUCUUUGUGAGUUUGUUUUUCUGCUGCAAUGUGCGAUCCCACUCUGUUUUGAUACUCAAAUUGAGUCUAUGUUGAGACAUAAUUUUGACAUUGCAAGCAAUCCCAAUUAGUUUGGCAUUUGUAUGACCCUUUGAAGGUUUUACAAUAGAUGCAAAUCUACUGAGAAAAUGGUAAAAAAGGUGCAUAUAAAAUGAGGCAAGUAACAGAAGUAUGAGUUAUCAGAUUAGAUUAAAAGUCACCCAAUUCAAUCUAUCAGAUUCCGUAAGGAUAUAACUGGAUGUCAUAUCGCCACUCCAUAUCCUCGAAAGUCCGUAGUCUUUGUCUCAACUCUGUCUGAGGCCAAUGUAAAUCCAAUUUGCACAAGCUCUUUAUGCACCAUAGCUCUUCUGGAAGCUUUCUCAAGUAAGCACAUGGGUUGACAAUUAAGCUUUCAAGUUUUGGCAUUGCUCUUGCCCCCAUCGUCCACUCGUCUAGCCAAUACAUCGACUUCAAGUGCAAAAUCUUAAGUUCCGGAAAGCCACCAGAGCCAACGCAGGCCAGCUUUCUUCCUAAAUAUGAGUUCUGCUUCAGUUUCAGCACUUGAAGGCGUGGAAGCUUUUCCAGCAUUGGCAUGGGAUCCUCCAUUAGCUCAGUAUUUGAUAAGCUCAGUUGGAUCAGGCUUGGAGGAAAUUGGUAUUCAGACAGGACCAUCCGUGAGAGCUUGCUCUCAUUCACCAACUUCAAGCAUUCAACUUUGUGGAGUUCGCAUACGCUUUUGGAAACCCCAGAGUGAUAGCAACUCAAAUCUCCAGACACUCUAAGAGUUUGAAGAUUAGGUAGUCUGCACAAUAUAUCUGGCGUGCAACUACUAGGGUGUAAGGCUGAUAUGAAAAUAAGAUUUUUCAGAGAGCUGGAAUAAUUUUUUGGAGGUGCAGGCAGAGUGAUGGAACCAAAGUUCAGAUGCAUGAGUUUUUGCAUCUUCCAAAUAUCCUCUGGUGUUUGAUCUACGUAGCUAGAUGGCAUGUCUAGUGUUUGAAGGUUUGAAAGGGUGCAUAGCAGUGAAGGAAGACAUUUGAGCGAAGGGAUAUUCAAUUUCAAAUACUUCAAAUGGAAUAAAUUUUCUAAUCCGGGUGGAUAUUGGUCCAGGACUGCAGAACCCAUGUUCAAUACCCGAAGGUGUUUGAACAUUUUACAAAAAUUCUCGCAAUCUAUCGGAUUAAGAUGAUCGCUUUCUGAACUGUGAUUCAGAAAAGAUUGGAGGUACAUGUCAGAAUGUUUCAAAGAAAAGAACUCAAUCAGAUCAUCGACAAUGAUGUACCGUUUGGCAUUUGCCAUUGAUUCCUCUUCCAAUCCAGGCGACCAAAAAAAUCCCGUCAAUGCUGCCGGCAAAAGUAACGCAACAUAUGCAAAAGUUGGAACAUAGCACGCCUUAAUUGUGCCUCCGGCUCUUCUCUUAUUCACUUGAAUGAAGCCACGAUCGAUUAGUUCAUUCAAGUAAUGCUCGGCAGUUUCCUCACUGUUGUGUGGUAUGAAACCUUCAGCUACCCACAACCAAUAUAAUUGCCUGGUAGAUAUCUCAAUGCCUGGAUGGAACAAACACAAAUAGAGGCAGCAGAUUUUCAAGUGAACAGGUAACUGCAACACAGAAUAAAUUGUACUCCAAGCUGUCAGAAACGCUUUUUCUCCCAUGUAAAUUCUUAAUGUCGUUUUUCCAUAGUGUAGGAUGAAAAAUUGCCAGGCUUCAUGCUUUAAUCUGAUCAAUGGUCCUCCAACGAGAACUGAAUCAGGAUGAAUCGUCUGUCCAUUUUCCAAUUCGAACGAGGAAAGGAAGUCUGGAUCAGUGACCGUCAUUAAUACUCUGCUUCCAUUCUGAUUCUCAGGAAGGACUUCUUCAAGAUCAUCCAAUACAUCGUCACUCUCUUCACAGUAAUCAUCAAGCACAAUAAAGUACUUCUUGUUUGUUAGGUAAUCUCGAAGAAUAGAUUUCUUCAAUUGAUAAUCUUCACCGAUAACUACACUAACCCGAGAUGGAGGCAUCACAGACUUGAUUAUGUCAUCCAAUAUCAUGCGAAAAUCGUAGGCUAUAGAAACCCUGACCCAAGCAUGACAGUCAAAAUAGAACUUGACAUGAUUAUUGUUGUAAGUAUCAGCAGCAAAAGCAGUCUUAUCAAAGCCACUGCUGUCGAGAAUUGCAACCACUGAAAGCUGAGGUUGUCCCUCGAUCAGUAAAUCAAACAACGCCUCUCUGCCGCUUUCAAAUUCACUCUUAUCAAGCUGAAAUUGUCCCUCAAUCAAUAAGUGAGUGAAUUCGUUCCUUCGCUCUUUGAAAUCAAAACCAUUGCCUCCAGGUGGAAGUUGUUGCAACCGAUUUCUAAUAUCAAUGAUUUUACUGUGGAUUCCGACAAGAAGAGCAAUGCAAGUAGUGCUCUCACUUUCACUGUUUUGCUGCUGCGUGAUGUUGAUGAAGAAUGUGUCAAUAGCUUUCUCAGAUUCACGGACAAAGUAAUUGAUGUCUUUCAGAAGUUCCCAAAUGUCUGUUCUUUUAACAUUUUCUAAGUGCAAGAGCUGCCGAUAACGCGAAGGCAUUUCGUCUUCAUCGAAUUGUUCUCUAAUGAGUUGAAUUAAAACUCGAGCCAUGUCAACUUCAUAUUUUCCCAGCAGAGUAGUAGCAAUAAUUUCGGACUCCGUAAGAAGGUUUUGAUAAAGUGGAGUUAAAUUUGUUGAAUCAGGCAACGUUAACGCGCCUUCUUCACCUGCUAACACCCUUUUCAACCUCUCACAAAAUAGUCGUAGGUGGACGUCCAGCAUAUCUCCUUCUGUCAGUAGCACCCAGAUGUAUUGUCAUUUGCUUCAAGAAAUGUUGAAAGGAUUGGUUCUAUCUCAAAGUGUUUAGUGGUGUAAAAUUAAUUAAUUAAACACCAUGGAAGAAUUUGCAAGGAAGAUGCCAAGAAACUGGCGAAGUGGCUAAAUUCCACAAUUAUGACAUUAUUGCUCAUUUUCAACUCAAAAAAAUGAUACGCGUUCAUUUAGAGAAAAGUCCAAGACGCGUUCCUUUCGGAAAGAACAAUUAUCCAAUAGAGAUCCAACCUUUAUCUUAUUCAAUUACUACCCUGACAUGAUUGAUGGUGCUUAAAUCAAUUGUUUCUUUUUUAAUUUAAAGAAUUUUUCAUUCAAAUUUUUUUUAAUAUUAAAUUGCCUUCAAUGGCAUUACUGCAGCAAGCCCAGUAACACGAUUAAUUAAAAAGUUUAGAAUUUUUGGGCCUGGAAAGAGUAGUAUUAAACAUCAGCAAGCUAAGGUUGAUAUGUUAAAGAGUUGAUAUUGACAUAAUUUUUAUUUUGGUUUUCGGGGAAAAAAAAUUGUUGACAAGCAAGAAAAUAUUUAUAUAUUUUACAAUUUAUUAUACAUAUUUUAUCAUAUUAAAAUAAUUUUAAUAAUUAAUGAAAAACAAAAUAUUGCAAUAAAUAAAUUAAUGUUUAAAUUAUUUUGAAUAUAAUAAAAAUAAUUUUAAUAUUAUUAAUAGGAAGACAUUUUGUUAAUUUUAAAAUCUUUUUAACCCAAAGGUUUAUUUAAAGUCUUUAUUAUAAAUUAAAUAUCAUAAUCUAAAAUUUUUAAUAUUAUUUUAAGUAUUAAAAAUAUUUUAAUGUUAUUAGUCUACUACAUAGAUCAUAUUACUUAUGUUAUAUUUGUAUUGAUUAAAAAUUUUUAAAAUCAAUUUUCUAGUUACUACAUUCACGAGGCAUUAUGGUUAAAGAAAAGAUCUUGAUGUUACUUUUAAAAAAUUUGAGGGCCUGCAUGAUAAUUUUUUCAAAAUUUAAGGAUGUAGGUGUCCUUCUCAAAUAAUUUAGGGUGAGGCUAUUUGAAUCCACCAAUCUACUCACUACACCCAUUUACUAAAUAAACCCGCACUUAAGUUUUGAAAUUUUAAAUUUUACUCAACAAACCGACCUAAAUGUCCAAUAUACCCUUAUUGAACCCAAUUAUUAUAAUAAUAUGUUUUUGCUAAUUAAACCCAUUUAAUUCAUUUAAAGUUAAUAAAUGAUUAUAUUUAUUAAAUUGAAAACUAAAAGAUUAUACAAAACAUAAACAAUACUCUCAAUUAUAUAUUUUGGAGCAAAAAUUCCAAAGUGUAGUAAGCAAAGCCAAUGCAAAAUGGCUGGAGCAGCUAAUAAUGGUAAAAGUCAGAGCCUAGUAAUGUGGUACCGCUACUUGACUUUGGGAAAGAAGUGAUAAUUAUAUCAAUUUCUUCAACUUGGAAGUUGGAAGUGCUGUUGAAAGCGGUUGAUGCCAGAAAAAUAAUUAGAUAUCUGUCAAAAAAAAACUUUGGUAUUUUUAGAAAUAAAAUCCUAUAUCCAGUAUUUCAAUAUGAAAAGUCUCUAGUAUUUCUUUCAAUUGAUUCUUCCUUUGUCUUCUUCGACUCCAUGAAGGUUUAAUUAUGAUGAGAAAGCCAAGGGGAAUCAAUAAAGAAUAUCAAUUUAGGGUUUAAGAAAAAUAUCAUAAAGUUGAAUGUAAAAUGGAUUCAAAGAGUAAAUUUUAUUUUUAAAACUAUAUUUUAAUGUCUAAAAUUGUAAUUUAAUUUAGGGAUAUUUUAAUAAUUACAAUUUAUUUUUAAAAGUGAGUUUAUUAAGUAGUUUGAUGGGUUCAAAUAGUCCCAUCCAAUAAUUUAUUUCACUGUUAAGGGAAUCCAAUGAGAAAAAUAAUAAGAUAUCGUCAAUGACUUGUCAUUUUCUAUUUUUUCUAUGAGCUAAUUAUUUUGAGCAUUAGUGAUCUUGUCAGGACUACUCCAAUUAUUGAUGCAACUCCAGCGGCUGCAUCCACAGUGGCUACUCCAAUUAUUCAUGCCUUUUAAAAAGAAUAUGUAUACAAUAGCAAUCCAUACUUUAUCUUACAUUGAUUUUUUUCAAUUAAUGGUGAUUGCAUUGAUUUUUUUCAAUUAAAGAAAAAUUGUUUAAAAUAGAUUUAAUGCACAAAUACGAUGACUUUUGGCAAAAAUUAGUUUCGGAAAUGUUGGGAUGAAAACCAUAUUAGUUGAGACUUAAAUUAAGAUUUAAAUGUUGAGAUAGUAUUGCUCAGUCAGAAUAAACAAUAACCAAUUCAAAUUAUGACUAUCACGUAAAAACAAAUGUUUAUGCUUGGGUUUUUUACUUCUUGAAUUUGAUUGGAAAAAUUUCUGAGACAGAGAAGUGUUUUGGAUAAUUGUUUUGGGGAUUGAAACCACAAAUUGGUCGAGGAAAUUAAUUUUGGACAAAUUUUUAUUAUAUUGUAGCACCUUUUUGGUUCCUUUUCGGCGGCCCCAUACUAUUCUCUUAACCCUGAGUUUUUUUUUUUUUUUUUUUUUGAAAAGUCUUAACCCUGAGUUUGAGAUAGAAAUUUCCCGAACUCCAACCUCACAUCCAGGGACAAGUUGAUUGAAACAAUUGCUCUUUCAAUUAAGAGGAUGAGUUAGGUUUCAGUUCUUAUCAUUGUCUGUUAUUUCUUUGAAUCAUUAAUUUUGAGCAUUACUGAUCUUAGUUAUCUGUAUUUCUCCAAUUAUUGAAGAAUUUCAUGUGGCCACUUUUUCUCCUUUUCAUAUAUGUUUCGUUUUUGGACUGAUCAAACGGUGCAAAACCAAGUAUUUGCUGGUCCUUAGUUUAGCCAAUGAUGGCUGAUCCACAGUUGAAUAUAUGAUACUAUUAGCUCUUAUUUGAGAAUGUAAAGGGAUCUUUCUUAUUUGAGAAUACAAGUUGCCCAAUAGAGUUGAACUAUGUUACCCAACUCCAUGCUCAUACAUUAAAUGUUUAGGUAGUUUUACAAAAUGAUAGCAGCAUGCCAAAACUUGUUGUUGUCAUUUUCGACAUUUCAAAUUGAAAAAUAUGCAAGCAAUCUUCAGUGAACAUUACGUUUUUAUUGAAUAAUUUAAAUGGCCAGCAAAUCAACAGUCCGUGAGUUUUAAAUCUAUUAUGACUUAAUGUAUCUUUCUGUAUUCGUACACAGGUUAUAUUAUCAUAGUUUAAAAUUUUAAUAUUAUUUUAAAUGUUAAAAAUACUUUAAUGCUAUUAGUCUACUACACAGGUUAUAUUAUUUAUAUUAUAUUUGUAUUAAUUAAAACUUUUAAUGUCAAUUUUCUAAUUACUAUAUUGAAAAGGUAUUAUGGUUAAGAAAAAGUUUUGGCAUUUCUUCUUGAAAAUUUGAGGGUCUGCAUGACAAUUUUUCCAAAUUCUAAGGGUAUAGGUUUGAAAAUUUAAUGUUCUUUAACUUAAUGAAACAAAAGGGGGAAACCAAGAACUAUUCAAUUUUGUAUUUUUUGUUUGUAAUUCAAAAAAUGCAUCCACCAAACAAGUUUUACGCAUUAAUGCUGUCAUAAAACAAAAAACAGUUUGCCAAAAAAUGGUACCAAACAUAUCCUUAAUGUCUCACAUGAUUUCUUAGUAAGCCCAUAUUAGAUAUAUUUAUACAUUUUAGGUAUUUUAAUUAUAAAAGAAGUUGGUCCUCCCUCUGUUUAUAAAAGAUAACGUUAUUUCGAGAUUACCACUAAACUCUUACAUAGAAUUAGUGUAAUGUUAAGAGAGAGUAACACAAUUUUCCGUUACCAUCUUUGAAAAUAGAAAGAUAUGGAUGCGUGCAUUUAAGGGUUAUCGUGAAAAUCAUACAAUUCAAUUUCCUGACAUAUAUAUUCGUGCACAUAUGCCAAAAGAAUAAAUAGACAGAAAGUAAAUUUACAGUCCUCACUUCCUCACAAUUGUUAACGUGGAGACAUUAAGGAUGAGCAUAAAAGUUAAAGAUGACUCAUUUCUCAUUUUCUUUUUAAAGUGCUCUGCUGAAAGCCAAACUUCCUUUGGCUAAUUAAUUUAGAAGUAAAGCAGAGAAUAAAGUCCUAGAUGCCUUCUGAAAUUAGAAAUACAUUUUAUAUGCUUUAAUUAUGAUUAUUUGGUAGACUAAAGACCUAAAAGAUAUGUCCAAAGUAUAAAACAGAACGAUUAAAGGAAAAAGAAAAAAAACAGAGUAUUUGUGACGUAGAAUAACAAUUGGUAACUAAAAUCCUAAAUAUUUGAGUUGUUAAAAGCAAAUAUAACAGAGAAGGUAAGAGAGAUGCAGAAACAGAAAACUAUUAGCUUAUCUUGAUUUCCCACUAUAUUCAUUUUCGAUGCUUUUCAAACGAGAUUCUUUUAAUCCUUCUGGCGUCCGCAGCCCUUGCUCUUCUUACAAAUCUCCAGUCCACAUCUGCACUACGAACAAGUUGAUUGAAAUUAAAUAAUGUUGGAGAUGAGGGGUGAGCCGUCAACUUGGUAAAAAAAUUCAUGUAUAAUAUUAUCAAUAAUAUAAAAUAUAUAAUAAUUAUUACAAAGAAUCAUAAAUUAAAAAAUUAAUUAUUUUACAAUCUAUUUCUUAAGUAAGAUAAAUCUCGUAAUAAGUUAAGUUAUAACGUAAAAAAUAUUUUCAAUUUAUAAUCAUUUAAGAAGUCAUUUAACAAUAUAUUUUUUUUAUCAGCAGGCCAUGCCACAAAGUAUCAUCUAUAUUCGUGGUGAUAUUAUUAUUACUCCGUAUUCUCAAAAAACAUGAUUUAACAUUUAGAGAAAAUUCCUGCCUUUUAAAAAGAACAUGUAUGCAACAACUACCAAUACUUUAUCUUACCACAACAAAACCAAUGGUGACUAAAUCAAUUUUCUUGAUUAAAGCUAAAUUUCUUAAAAUUGAUUUAAUGCACAAAUAUGAUGACUUUUUGCAAAAAUUAGUUUUGGAAAAUAUAGUGAGAGAAAAUAGUGACGAUUAUUGUUUAGAUGUGUAAAUAGUCUAAACAUAAUCGCUAAUACCAAUAUCCAAGUGCAUCUUAACACCUUUCGUGAUAUUCUUUCAUUCAUGGUCACUGGUUCAAUAUUUGAAUUUAAUCAGUAAAUCAUGUUCAAUAAUAUUAGAGAUCCCAACAAUUGAGUACCAAUUUAAAUCCUAAUGCUAUAUGUCAUUGACCAAUAUUGUGUCAUUUUUUGUUAACUGGGUGAUGAAUUUCUAGUUGAUAAAAUUACUUUAAAAUAUCUUAAAAAUUAGACAAUAGUUUGCUUAAUUUUUUUAAGCUAACCGCUCAAGAUGCUCUAUUAGAAAUGAUAACCUAAUUAUAUACAUAAAAAAUGAUGUAUUUUUUGCAAUGUUGAUAGUGAGAUUAUCAUUCAACAUGUUAAAAUAUGAAAACAUAUGGAAGAUGGUUGUAAAUUGAUUGAAUGAAAAUAUUUCAGUGAAGUCUCAAAAAUUUGGUACUUGUUAUCUUAUCGAAAGUUUUCUAAAUUAUAUUCGUGGCACUGCCACUGCUUCUAUGUGAAGGUCAUUAAAAUUUGUGUUAGUUACCUAUAGGUUGAAUAACAAUUUUAUUCAUCAAUUGUUGCUCAAUAUAGCAAUUUGAUUGAAAGUGCCGCUGCACUAAUUUUCUAGAUGAACUUUCCUAAAUGUUUGUCCUCAUAUGACCUAGAAUGCUGCGAUAUCAAUUGUAUUGGAAAUUAUUCAAGUGGGUUAGUGCUCUACAUCCCCACCAAAAUUUAAGCAAUCAACAAAACAUUCCUUGUGGAAAUAAACUUAUUUCGCUACUAGACUUCUAAUGAGGCCCAUUUUCCAGAAUCUGGAUACGAGUUAGAUGUCUCCCAAAAUAUUGGUGGGAGUAGACUAUACUAGCACUCGACAACAUACUAACGACGCUAUGGUCCACCAGAAAGACCGGUCUCCGGUCAGCCGAAAAAUCUCACGUUCAGUCUCUUCUCAAUCUCCCUUCUCCCAGCCAAGUCGAUCCCGUAACAUGAUACUAAUCCACAGUUGAAUACAUGAUACUAUUAGCUCUUAUUUGAGAAUAUAAAGGGAUCUUUCUUAUUUGAGAACAUAAAUUGCCCAAUAAAGUUGAACUACGUUACCCCGCUCCAUGCACAUACAUUAAAUGUUAACAGCAUGCCAAAACUUGAUGUUGUCAUAUUCGACAUUUCAAAUUAAUAUGCAAGCAAUCUUCGGUGAACAUUACGUUUUUAUUGAAUAAUUUAAAUGGCUAGUAAAUCUAGAGUUCUUGAGCUUUAAUCUAAAUCAAAUCUAUUAUGACUCAAUGUAUUUUUUUGUGUUCGUACCAGUAAUGCAGGGGAUUAUUUACGCAACUCUUAUUAUUGACUGAGAUGUUCACCUUCAUCCAAUUAGAGAAAGAGUGACUGUAGAGGUGGCAAAAAUACCCGCCCGGUCCGGACCCGGACCGUACCCAUUACCUGGUCCGGGUAUGAAGCCGGGUCGGUCUUGGGCAUCACUUGAUAAACCUGGAACCCGGAUUUUAUUAAAAAAAUUAUAAAAUAUAUAUUAUUUUAAAUAUUUUAUAUUUAUUUGACUCAUUUAUUAUACAUAUAUAAAGUUUUAAACACUUAAAGUUUAUAUUUUCAUGUCAAAUUUUAUUGAAAUAAAUUUAAAACUUAUAAAAUUACUAAAAAAUAAAAAAUAUAUACACAUAAAAUAUUAAAAAAUAUAAAAUUCGGAUACCCGGAUUAAAACCCGGCCCGAACCCGGACCCAGACCGGUUGCAUCCGGGUAGGGUCCAGUCAUGGCAAUACUCGGACCUGGUCCGGGGUUUUGCCAUCUCUAAGUGACUGGGUUCCUAUAAAGGGACUCUUAACCAUUACGAGAGUAUUCAGACUACAAAUCUUUGUAAUUAAAUUCAAAGGUGAAGAUCUAUGCCUAUUAUCUAUUUAACAACUAAUAUAUAGUUAUCUAUUCAUUUAAAUAUCAAGGGCUAUGCUAAUAAUUAAGUUGAAAUGUUGAUGAAAGUAGCCUUACAUCUGUGUAUUACUCAUCUACUCUAAUCUUUUUUUUUUUUAACUUAAUGUACUUUUUCUAAUGUUGUUUACUCUUCCCCCCCCCCCCCCCCCCCCCCCCCCCCCCCCCCCCCCCCCCCCCCCACCUCUCUGACAAAAUAAUAAGAGUUUAGACUUGAAAAUAUCUUAAAGAUCAAACAGUAAUUUACCUAAUUUUUUGAAGCUAACUGCCAAAGAUAUUCUAUUAGACAUUGAUAACGUAGUUAUAUACAUUUAAAAUGAUAUUUUUUUGUGGAAAGGGAUUAUCAUUCAACAUCUUAAAAUAUGAAAACAUAUGGAAGAUGAUUGUAAAUUGAUUGAAUGAAAAUAUUUCAAUGAAGAUGGUUGUAAAUUGUUAUCUUAUUGAAAGUUUUCUAAAUUUACUACUAUUUGAACUUAGCCCUCCUGGUACCGCCACCAUUUCUGCUUGAAAGUCAUUUAAGUUUGUGUUAGCUGCCUAAAGCUUUUUUUUUUUUUUUUUUCUUUUUCUUUUUGAAAAGAGCUGCCUAUAGCUUGAAUAACUAUUUUGCUCACGAAUUGUUGUCCAUUAUAGCAAUUUAUUUAAUUGAAAGUGCGGCUGCAAUAAUUUUCUUGAUGAACUAUUCCACAUGUUUGUUCUCAUGUGAGGCAGUUUUUCUAGAAGAUUGAUAUUUCUUUAAGUCUUUAACUAGCAAAGCAUACCAGUCCAAAGCUAGCCAAACCAUACCUGCUGGUCCAGGGCUUAAAUGGAGUACUUCUAAGCAUAAAACAGUAACAAAAACACAAUAUAUGCAUACAUACAUACACACAUACAUACAUACCAGCAAAUUCAAAAUAGAAAAAAGAGUGCAACUAUUCAAGAAAUUGGUUAUUGUAGACAAACACACAUACAAACACAUACCAGAAAAUUCAAAAAAUAGAGAAAGGAGGCCAACUAUUCAAGUUUGUAGACAAUAUUGCAAUCAUGGCAUUACUUAUAGCAAGUCCUUGAAAUCUACUAAACAAAACAAUGCUCUGUCUCAUGAAUCAAUGUUGAAUUACAGACGAAAAUGAAAGUCUAGCAGGUGUUGUUUCCCUCUUCGAUUUUGCCUACACAAGUAAAGGGAAAUAAGAAUCAUAAAUGAAAAUCAGCUUUUACAGUUGUAAUUAUUAGAUAGAUCUAGAACGAUCUUUCUUUGUUUCUCUGCUGCAAUGUGCUAUCCCACUCUGUUUUGCUACUAAAAUUGAGUCUAUGUUGAGACAUAAUUUCGACACUAGGAGCAACCGCAAUUAGUUUGGCAUUGCAUUACCCCUUGAAGGUUUUACAAUAGUUGUAAACUUACCGAGAAAGUGGAAAAAAAAGGGCAUAGGGAAUUAGGCAAGUAACUAAAGUAUGAGUCAUCAGAUAUGAUUAAAACUCACCCAAUUCAAUCCAUCAGAUUCCGUAAGGAUAUAACUGGAUGUCAUAACGCCACUCCAUAUCCUCGAAAGUCCGUAGCCUUUGCCUCAACUCUGUCUGGGGCCAGUGUAAGUCCAAUUUGCGCAAGCUCUUUAUGCACCAUAGCUCUUCUGGAAGCUUCCUCAAGUAAGCACAUGGGUUGACAAUUAAGCUUUCAAGUUUUGGCAUUGCUCCUGCCCCCAUCGUCCACUCAUCUAGCCAAUACAUUGACUUCAGGUGCAAAAUCUUAAGUUCCGGAAAGCCACCAGAGUCAUCACAGGCCAACUUUCUUCCUAAAUACGAGUUCUUCUUCAGUUUCAGCACUUGAAGGCGUGGAAGCUUUUCCAGCAUUGGCAUGGGAUCCUCCAUUAGCUCAGUAUUUGAUAAGCUCAGAUGGCUCAGACUUAAAGGAAAUUCGUAUUCAGACAGGGCAAUCCGUGAGAGCUUGCUCUCAUUCACUAGUUCCAAGCAUUCAAUUUUGUGGAGUUCGCAUACGCUUUUGGAAACCCCAGAGUGAUAGCAACUCAAAUCUCCAGAUAUCUGAAGAGUUUGAACAUUAGGUAGUCUGCACAAUAUAUCUGGCGUGCAACUACUAGGGUGUAAGGAUGAUAUGAAAAUAAGAUUUUUCAGAGAGCUGGAAUAAUUUUUUGGAGGUGCAGGCAGAGUGAUGGAACCAAAGUUCAGAUGCAUGAGUUUUUGCAUCUUCCAAAUAUCCUCUGGUGUUUGAUCUACGUAGCUAGAUGGCAUGUCUAGUGUUUGAAGGUUUGAAAGGGUGCAUAGCUGUGAAGGAAGACAUUUGAGCGAAGGGAUAUUCAAUUUCAAAUACUUCAAAUGGAAUAAAUUAUCUAAUCCGGGUGGAUAUUGGUCCAGGACUGCAGAACCCAUGUUCAAUACCCGAAGGUGUUUGAACAUUUUACAAAAAUUCUCGCAAUCUAUCGGAUUAAGAUGAUCGCUUUCUGAACUGUAAUUCAGAAAAGAUUGAUUAGUUCUUUCAAGUAAUGUUCGGCCGUCCCCUCACUGUUGUAUGGUAUGAAACCUUCAGCUACCCACAACUGAUAUAAUUGCCUCGUGGAUAUCUCAAUACUUGGAGGGAAGACAAACAAAUAGAUGCAGCAGACUUUCAAGUGAAAAG
rnacentral:lncRNA from 1 species